AGUUUGCAAUGUAUAGUCAACUAUAAUAGGCUAAGAUUGUGCGGUGAGAAUCAAAUUCUUGCUCCAAUUAAGGUCAUCAAGAAGUCCUUGUAGCCCCCUGAUGUUUUGCGUACCACUGCAUCAUCAAGACUUACCUUGUUCAUGUUGAAAUACUCUUCUUUGAUCUUCAUCAUGUCAAUUUCCACUCGAGCCAAAAUGGCUCUUGCUAAUGAAUGAACAUCUGUCCGAUGACCACUGAGGGAAGCUCUUAUAACCUGGUGAUGGUUCAAACAAAGGAAAAAGAAAUUUCACGAGAAGCUUAAAGUUUAAUAUUAUCUCUGACAAGUACGAAGAAAAUCUUUUGAUGGAAGCAGUUUAAGAAAAAUGACUUUCAUUCAGAAGAUGAAGUUCUGUACCAACCAGAACCUUUUUAUAAGUUUCAAAAUCAUGUUCCUGUUUAAUAACUGUUGAGUUGAAUUGAUUUUUUCUUUGUAAUAUGUUGAAGCUAUCCUUGUAAAACAUAGGCUAAGGCUAAAUGAGCCGUCUUUCAAUAGUGAAAUAGAAUUGCUCGCUCUCUGCCCGUGGACGUAGAUCACUUUGAUCGAACCACGUAAAUCUUAUGUUUGUUCUUGUGUGAUUGUUUUCUUCCAUUAUUCCGCGAUUCUAUUGCUUGCUUGCUUGACAAGUGGUAUCAGAGCCCACAAACACCUGGGUUCAGAUCUGCAGAAGGAAAAUGUCUUCACAGAAAUUCGAAGUUGAGAAGUUCAAUGGGUCGAAUGAUUUCACCUUGUGGAAGCUGAAGAUGAAGGCGCUUCUGGUUCAGCAGAAGUGUGCACAAGCAAUAGAAGGGGAAGAAACAUUACCUGUAGGAUUGACAGCAGUAGAGAAGGAGGAAGUUGUGUCUAGGGCACAUAGUGCGAUUCUGUUGAGUCUAGCAGAUGAAGUUCUGAGGGAAGUAGCUGAUGAAACUACUGCAGUUGGCUUGUGGAGGAAGUUUGAAAGCAAGUACCAGAAAAAGUCACUGACCAACAGGCUUUAUCAGAAAAGGCAAUUGCAUACUUUGAAGAUGUCAGAAGGUAUGCAGGUAAGAGAUCACCUUAACAACUUUAACAGAAUUAUUUUAGACUUGAAUGGAGUUGGUGUUAAAGUUGAGGAAGAGGAUCAAGCCAUGAUUUUGUUAUGUUCUUUGCCUAGCUCUUAUGAAAAUUUUGUAGAUACUAUGAUGUAUGGUAGGAAUAGUAUCUCGAUAAAUGAUGUUAAGGAUGCUCUACAGUCUAAAGAAUUGCAGAAAUUAGUUUCUGGUUCUGAGGAAGGCAGUGUGGAGACUGGGUUAACUGUGAGUAGGGGCAGGAGCAUGGAACGAAAUGGUGGAGGACGUAGUAAGUCGCGUUCUAAAUCGAAGGCUGCAAUGAGAUGCUUUCACUAUAAAGAGAAAGGGCACUUUAGAAAGAACUGUCCACAAAGGCAGAAGGGAAUUGGUUAGGGGUCGAAUGGAAAUGCGCAGGUUGUAGUAGCUCAGAAAGAUUCUGAAAAACAGGAUAGUUCUGACGAGGGAGAAGGAGGAGAUGUUUUAACUGUUAGUACAUCUAGCUCUGCAGAAUCAUGGAUCUUGGAUACUGGUGCUUCGUAUCACAUGGCUUAUUCACGAGAUCUGUUCACUACUUUUAAAGAGUGGAACGGAAGUGUAAAGUUGGGAGAUGAUGGGGAGCUGGGUGUCAAAGGCAGUGGUUCUGUGCAGAUUAAAAUGUAUGACGGAUUGGUUAGGACAUUGAAUGCUUGGUAUGUUCCUGGACUACGAAAGAAUUUGAUCUCUGUGGGUACACUGGAUAAAAAUGGGUACACAUUCUCUGGGAGUGGUGGAGUUCUUAGGGUAUCAAAAGGAGCUCUUGUGGUGAUGAAAGGCAGAUUACAGCAUGGGAUUUACACAUUGAUGGGAAGUUCAGUGUUGGGAACGACGACUGUGUUAAGCUCCAUGGCUAUUGAUUCUGUAGAGAAGAAAGAUAAUUGUACUGAGUUGUGGCAUCGAAGAUUGGGACACAUGAGUGAGAAAGGGCUCUCUAUCUUGAGUAAGCAAGGGCUGAUAAGUGGUGCUGAGACCGGGAAGCUGAAAUUCUGUGAAACUUGUGUUAUGGGUAAACAGCGUAGGGUGAAGUUCAGUAUGGGUAGUCACACUACUAAUGGAGUUCUUGAGUAUAUUCACUCUGAUUUAUGGGGUCCUUCUCCGGUGGAGUCUCAUAGUGGAUGCAGGUACUAUGUUACUUUUAUUGAUGACUUCUCUAGAAAGGUGUGGGUGUACUUUCUGAAAGCAAAGGAUGAAGUGUUUGGGAAGUUCAAGGAGUGGAAGACUAUGGUGGAGAAACGGACUGGAAAAGUAGUCAAGACAAACAGAUAAUGGGUUGGAAUUUUGUAACAAGGAUUUCAAUGAGUUUUGUAGAAAAGAAGGUAUAGUGAGGCACCGCACUGUACGACAUACGCCACAGCAAAAUGGAGUUGCAGAACAGAUGAACCAAACACUUGUACAACGUGCUAGAUGCAUGAGGAUAGAUGCUGGGUUGUCGAAAAAGUUAUGGGCUGAAGCAGUUAACACUGCUGCUUAUCUGGUAAAUAGAUCGCCAUUGACUGCAAUUGAUUUUAAGACUCCUCAAGAGGUAUGGUUCGGUAAACCCUCUAAUUAUUCUGGCUUGAAAAUAUUUGGUUGUCCUGCAUAUGCUCAUGUUAGUGAUGGCAAGCUGGAGCCUAGGGCAAUGAAAUGCAUAUUUCUAGUGUAUGCGACUGGGGUGAAAGGUUAUCGUCUGUGGUGUACUAAAGAUAGAACCCCAAAAUUUAUUAUUAGCAGAGAUAUGACCUUUGAUGAAUCUGCUAUGUUUGGCCAGAGGAAGGAGUUUGGUGAUCUUGCAGGUACUAGUAAAACUAAUCUGGGUGCUAACCAGAAGGUGGAGUUUGAGGUCGAUGCUCCAAUGGAAAAUGGUGUAGAUGACACAUCUGAAGAACAGCCCGUGAUCGACCAGAAUGAUUCACAGAGUAUAGCAGCACAUAGACCAAGAAGGGAAAUCCGGAGACCUAUGAGGUAUGUGGAUUGUGUUAGUGCUAACAUCACUAAUCCUGUUGCUUUUGCUUUAGCAGUGGCUGAAGAGAUAGGAAGGGAGGAACCAAGGUCGUAUAAGGAGGCGAUGGAAAGUAAAGACUCGAAAAAGUGGCUAAGUUCCAUGGAUGACGAGAUGGCAUCAUUGAGAAAGAAUCAAACUUGGGAGCUUGUGCCUUUGCCUGAAGGAGUGAAACCUGUUGAUUGUAAAUGGCUUUUCAAAAUAAAGGAUGGGAUUUCAGAGGAUGAACCACCUAAGUACAAAUCAAGGCUUGUGGCGAAGGGUUUUUCACAAAAGGAGGGGAUUGACUACAAUGAAGUGUUCUCACCUGUUGUGAAGCAUAAAUCUAUUCGGGUCCUCUUAGCGAUGGUAAGCGUUUUUAACUUGGAGCUUGAUCAACUUGAUGUUAAAACUGAUUUUCUGCAUGGAAAUCUAUUAGAGGAAAUUUAUAUGAAACAACCUGAGGGAUUUGUUGUUUCUGAAAAGUUUGAUCAUGUGUGUUUUUUGAAGAAGUCCUUGUAUGGGUUGAAGCAAUCUCCUAGGCAAUGGUACAAGAGGUUUGAUGCAUUUAUGGUCUCUCAUGAGUUUAUGCGAAAUCAGUAUGAUAGCUGUGUUUACUUUAAAACAUUGCCUGAUGGUUCAUUUAUUUAUUUGUUGCUAUAUGUGGAUGACAUGUUGAUUGCAGCUAAGAAUCGAGCUGAAAUUAACAAACUGAAACAGUUGUUGAGUAGUGAGUUUGAGAUGAAAGAUUUGGGUGCAGCUAAGAAAAUCUUGGGGAUGGAGAUUUGGAGAGACAGAGAUGCAGGCUUGUUGUAUGUCUCACAGCAAAAAUACAUUGAGAAGUUAAUGCAGGCUUUCCAUAUGGAUCACUCUAAACCGGUGAGUACUCCAUUAGCUCAACAUUUUAAAUUUGAUCAUAGUACAUUGCCUAACACUGAUGAGGAGGUGGAGUACAUGAAGAGUGUGCCUUACUCUAGUGUGGUUGGUAGUUUAAUGUAUGCUAUGGUGUGCACUAGACCAGAUCUUGCUUUUGCUGUUAGUGUUGUAAGCAGAUUCAUGAGUAACCCUGGUAAAGCUCACUGGGAAGCCGUCAAGUGGAUUAUGCGAUAUUUGAAGGGUUCAAGUAGUGUAUGCUUGGUGUAUGGGAAUGGUGAUGUAUCUAGUGGAUUGGUUGGGUUUACUGAUUCUAAUCAUAGAGGAGAUCUCAUGAAGAGAAGAUCAUUGACCUGUUAUAUUUUCACUCUGUUUGGGUGUGCUAUUAGCUGGAGAGCUUCUUUGCAGCCAACAGUUGCUUUGUCUACAACUGAAGCGGAAUACAUGUCCUUGACAGAAGGGGUGAAAGAAGGUAUGUGGUUAAAUGGUUUUCUUGGCAGCUUGGGUUUGAAUUUGUCUAAGCCGGUUAUCUAUUGUGAUAGUCAAAGUGCUUUGUGUUUGGCAAAGAAUCCUGUUUAUCAUGAGAGGACAAAACAUAUUGAUGUUAGGUUGAACUUUAUUCGUGAUGUGAUUGAAGAAAAGUUAUUCUCCAUUGAGAAGGUUGCCACGGAAGUUAAUCCUGCAGAUAUGUUGACUAAGCCAAUUACUACUGAAAAGUUCAAGCAUAGCUUGGACUUGGUGAAUGUUUGCAAAGUUUGAGCUUGAGGCCCUUCGGGGCGUAGCAGAUGAGUAGUUCUAUAUUCUGAAUUGAAAGAAGAAAGAAAACUCAAUUCAAGGUGGAGAAUUGUGGAGUUGAAUUGAUUUUUUCUUUGUAAUAUGUUGAAGCUAUCCUUGUAAAACAUGGGCUAAGGCUAAAUGGGCCGGGUCUUAUUGUUAAAUGGGUUUUAGGGUUAGGGUUGGUAUAUGAUAACUAGAACUCUUGUAAACUCUAUAAAUAGGUGGCUUGGGAAAACGUAAAAGUGAGAUGGGAAGGUGCAUGAGCCGUCUUUCAAUAGUAAAGAGAAUUGCUCGCUCUCUGCCCGUGGACAUAGAUCACUUUGAUCGAACCACGUAAAUCUUGUGUUUGUUCUUGUGUGUGAUUGUUUUCUUCCAUUAUUCCACGAUUCUAUUGCUUGCUUGCUUUACAAAAUAUUUAUUUAUUUAUUAUUAUUAUAAAAUAGAUAUAUUAAAAAUAAAAAUGAUUAAUAUAUGUAAUUGAAACAAUUUACUUCUUUGUAAGGUAUGUAAAGUAAAUCCUUAUUUUAUCUUAUUAUUAAAAUAAUAAUUUUGUUUUUUUUUUUAAUAUCCAGCCUAAAGACUGAAAUGUUAAAAAAUAAAAUCAACACCCCUAUUCAAGUAUUAUUUUCAAAAAUAUUAUAAAAUUAUUUUAUUAUUAAAAAUAUAAAUUUUUAGAUUUCUAUCCCCGAGUUCGUAAUGUGUGGAUGACUCACGCCUGAGUAGAUUAAUUAUUACAUCCAGCAAACUAUUAAUUAUUGCAAAUUAACACAACUGUAUUUUUAAAAAUACAAGUUGGAUGACUCACCCAACUUGUAUUUCCUUUAUCUUUUGGGUAAUCGACUAACAGGGACUAUCCCAUAUUCCAUAGACACCUUACUUUUCUUUUAAGUCAUGGAUUUUUCAAGUAAAAAUUUGAUUGGAAGCAUUCCUUCUACCAUAAAUAAUCGCUCUAGCCUAAUUGUUCUAGACCUUGGAAAUAACAAUUUGCCUAGAAUGAUACCAAAGUUAUUAGGUCAGUUACAAUUGUUGGAAUCACUACACCUGAACCACAACAAGCUUUCAGGAGAGCUCCCCUCAUCUCUGCAAAAUUUAACAAGUUUGGAUGUCCUUGAUCUCAGUUACAAUAGAUUUUCAGGUCAGGUUCCUGCUUGGAUUGGAGCUGCUUUUGUAAAUCUUGUAAUACUCAACUUGAAGUCGAAUAUAUUUUUUGAAAGACUUCCUUCCCAACUUUCAAAUUUAAGCUCCAUGCAUGUCUUAGACCUUGCAAAAAACAAUUUGAUGGGUGAAAUUCCAAUCACUUUGAUUGAGCUUAAAGCUAUGGCUCAGGAGCAAUUGAAUAUAUAUAUCUGUUAAAUAUGAAUGUCAACUCCUUGUAUGACGAAAGAUUAGUUGUGAUUACCAAAGGCCAAAGUCUAGAAUAUACAAGGACUCUUUCUCUUGUUGUUAGCAUAGAUUUAUCCGGUGAUAAUUUAAGUGGAGAGUUUCCCCAAAGAAUAACAAAAUUAAAUGGUUUGGUGGUUUUGAACUUGUCCAGGAAUCAGAUCACUGGCCAAAUUCCUGAAAGCAUUUCAUUAUUGCGUUAAUUGUCCUCUCUUGAUCUAUCAAGUAAUGAGCUUUUCAGAACCAUUCCUUCAAGCAUGUCCUCAUUAACAUUCUUGGGUCAUUUGAAUUUGUCAAAUAAUAAUUUUUCUAGUAAGAUCCCUUUUAUAGGGCAAAUGACAACUUUCACUGAGUCAACCUUUGUUGGGAAGCUUAAUCUUUGAGGAGUUCUACUGCUCACAAAAUGCCAAGAUGAAGAUCCAAAUAAAAAGCAAAGUGUUAUUGAAGACAAAAAUGGUAGUGACUAUAUUGAUCAAUGGUUUUACUUUAACGUUGGCUUGGGAUUUGUGAUGGACAUUUUAGUUCCAUAUCUUGUCUUAGCAACAAAGAAAUCUUGGUGUGAGACCCAUUUUGAUUUUGUGGAUAAAAUUGUCAAAUGGUUUGAGAAAAUAAAGGUUAUGCUUAAUGAAUAAAAAACACCCAAAGGGGGAGGAGGGGGAGGGUGAAUUGGGUUUUUAAAAAACUUUUCCAACACAACAAGUUCAAACAAAAUAUAAACAAAAAUAAAGAGAUAGAGUUAGAGAAUUCAAACUCGGGUUUUAUAGUGGUUUGAUCAGCACUUCCUUACCUAUGUCUACUCUCCUCAAUCUCCUAACCAAGUGAAGGUUCCACUAACUUGAAGUUUCAACCAAGCUUCCAAUCUUCUUACACUUGGAUUCCGACUCCAAUGGGCUCUUAUCUCUUCAAGAUUCAAACCUGUUGAAGGCUUUAACACUUGGUUUUUACAAGAAUGAAUCCUCAACCUAGCUCAAAGAGAGCUCAAAUACAAAACAAAGUUAGGAUGAUUCACAAGGGUCCACUAAAUGAUAUGCAAGUGAUGAUUUAAUGCACUAAGAAAGAAAUGAGAGCUUUCAGGCCAAGAAUAGGUAGGUAGACAAUUAAUUGCAAGUGUUCUCUAUCUCAUAAAUGAAAUGGAGCUCUUAAUUUAUAGGUUUUAAGCUUGGGAGACAAAAACAACAAAAUGCAGCCUCGACCAGUCGAGUUAGGGGUCGACCAGUUCAUUAGCCAUUUGAGCAUUUAAUGCUUUGGCAGGUUACCGUUGCCUCGACCGGACCUCGAUCGGGAAUGGGUGAACCUCAACCGGGAAGAGGAAGCUACUGGAUGAGAGAGAGUGUUUUUGACACUCCUCGAUCGGACCUCGAUCGGACAAGGGCAACCGGUCGACCAGUUCCCCAACCGAUUGAGUUGAUUGGCUAGAGCCUUGACCGGUUUAGCCUUUUGAUCCCGAAAACCUAUCUUUUUCAAUUCCUUUCUUUUUUAACACUUAGGCAAAGUCUUUAGGUGAAUUAAUAUAUCAAUUUUAAAACAUUUUUCCUAAGGUACAUUUAAUAAAAAUCAGGUUUUAACGAAAUCGAAAUUUUAAAGGAUAAAUCGAGUUUUCAAAAAUGCAUGAAACGAUAUGAAAAACCUAAGUGCACCCAUGCAUUCAUCUUACAUUCGUUUCCUAUGAUCAAAAUACUUCCAAAAGUCUUGAUCUUGUAUCCAUUUGACCCUUUGAUGAAUUUUCGAAUUUUCAAAUUUAUACCUGAGAUUCUUUACCAUUCAAACCAAUUGGUCACUUAACCAUGGUUUGUUAUUAUUAAAACCCGAUUAAGAAAACCCUUGAGCUAAUAUGGUUGUUAAGAGGAAGAGCAACCUAUACCAUAAAUCACCCGUGAAUGAGGUAAAUUUUGUUUGUGGAUCUUUGUUUGUUUUAUAUAUCAGUAUAAGCUUUGGAAGCCAAUUUUAUCACAUUGCAAUAGAUGAAAAGUCUUGGCUUUUAAUUUAUUCAUAGGUAAUUAUUUAAUAUAUUAGUUUUGGGCAUGGAUUUUAUACUCUUUUCUAAUUUCUAAUUUGAGUAGGAUAUGAUGGUCAUAUUACAAUAUCAUGUCAAAUAUUUCUUUUUCAUGUCCUAAAAUUAGUAUUCUAUAAAAAAUUUGAUUAGUUCAACUUAAGAUAUUAGUAUUCUUUUCAUAUUUAGCCCUUGCGUUUGGUUGCCGUGAAGGUGUAGGAAAAUGAAAGAAAAAUCAAUUUGAAUUUUGAAUUUUUGUAAAGUGAUAUUGAAGCUGCCUAGCCCUAGCACUGGUACUAGUAUAAAAAUUCAAUUUUGUCGCCACUGUUACUGUUGAUUUGCUCAGAAUUUUCUAGCAGUGUCGAUGGAUUAAAUUUUUUUACAAUUUCUACUUUCUCUCUCUAUCAGCAUGUAAGCGUCCAAUAUUAUCUGUAUAUUUGACUGAAAUUUAUAGAAAUGGACGGUGUUGAUGAUUGGAAGAAGAAUCUGGAAGAGGAAAAGCUUCGAUUUUAAGGUUCCCUCUCUAUAAUCGCAUAUGCAAUUCAUUUUUGGGUUUGAUUGCGUCAAUCGUCAACACUUUUAUCUUUAUUUAUUUAUUUAUUUUUUAGUUUUUUCAAAAACCGUUUUGCAGAGAAAACCGAGAGGAAAUGGAUAGGGGGAGAAAUUUUCAUGAUUAUGUGUCGUAUUUUCUUGUGGUUUUUUGAAAAUGAAAAUUCCCUCUCAACUAAUGUCAAGUGCUUAUAAUAGGUUUAAUUCCGUGGGAGAAAUUAAUGAUGAACGAUUUGGCAUUCAGGAUUUUGAUUACUAUUAUUAUUAUUGUUGUUGUUUUAUUUUUUGUUUUUCUUAUAUUUUCUUGGUAUCCAAACAAGGUAUUAAGGUUUCAGAAUUUCAUUUCACAUAAAUUGGUUGAUGAUUGUUUUAUGUUAGGUGUAUGGUGUGGGUAUUAUGGUAGUUUAAUUAUUUGUUACAGGCAUUUGUGUGAAUGAAUGCACUGAAUGAUCAUCUAUGAAUUAGUUGUUAUGCUAUUGUGUUGCAACUUAUAUGAUUUUAAUCUGGAUAUAUAUGCAGGCCAUGUAAAAGUAAAAAAUUCAAUGGCAUAGAUUUUAAUCAUUUUUGAAUUUCUGGAAAGAAAGGUAGAAAAUUUGAUGUCUUAGCAGGUUCACAGUCAAUAGUUCAAAUAGUGCACCUAUCUUAUAUUUUCCAGCAGCUAAUGUUUAGUUCAUCUUAUUUUCACUUUGCGUGAUUAAUAGAAUUUAAUAUUCUUUAAAUGAAAUUUUAUUCAGGAAAUGUAAUUUUUGUCGAAACUAGCACAAUGGUUAGUGAGAGUGUGGUAUCUGAAAUAGCACAAAGUAGGCAAGAGGAGCAGAACAAUGAAACCUAGAAGGAGAGUGGGGCUUCAAAGCCCUAGCCGGAGAAGGAUUCAAAGUCUAGACAUAAUGAUCUCAUGCUCAAGUCUGUUGAUCCAAACAACCAAGGAUCUGUUUUCAGGCCCUGUUUCUGUGAUGUAUUUCUGAUUAUCUUAGAUUUCACCCGUAUAAGAGAAUGGAAAGCUAAAAAGUAGACAUGUGUAGAUUUUACUUAUGUGUUCCUUUUAAACAAAUGAGUAGCAAGGAAACCAAGGGUGGGCGGAGAGUCAUUGCUCGCAGAAUGGUGAAGGGUCAUUCAAGAAUAACCAUGUAGCAUCUUUGCCUCCAUCCAAGUUCUCUUAUGCAAUCAAAAUCUAAAAGCUUGUCGGCAUCGUUAGCCUAAGCAAAUAUGAACUUUUAUGUGGUGGUUUGGUCAACACUAACUAGGAACUCUUUUAGGUCUCCCUGAUUUGUGCUCUCAUCACAGAUUCUGCUCCUUUCAUGUGUAAAACAAUUUGUUAUUCAUAAUGAUGCGCAAGUGUUAAUUUUGAAUUGCUUUAUUGAAUUAAAUAACAUUUUUUAUUUUAUAAUUAGUUUGAGCUAAUCUGUUUUGAGAGCAAUGAGAGUAGAAUGCAGUUCUGGAUUUGAUGGUCCUGAUCUGCUGAGCAUUUAAGAAAAUAAGAAAGUAUUGGAAUGAUUGAUGCUUGAACAUGGCAUUUAUGCCUUUCAUUUUCCAAAUGGUUUCAGGCAACAGUUCUCCUUGUGAUUCCUGGACUUGGUAAAUUGGGUUAGGUUAAUGUCCAUUGGAACUAAACCAACCUAUACCCAACCAAAGCCACCCAAAAUUUUAGCCUAGCACUCGUGGAAUUAAAACUAGGAAUUUUCGGCAGUAGGCACCUAAGCUCCCUAAACUUUUGUGAAAAAUACCAUCAAGGCAUUCGACUUGUUUUUCUUCUUGGCUAUGAUUGCUCGUUCAACUAAUAUCACUUUUGAAACCAUCCUAGAAGUUUUUUCUUUUGAUCACCAAUGUUUAUCCUUCAUUUCAAAUGGAAAAUUUGUGUAAAAUCAAACUCUCAUUUUGCAGUGGAUAUAAUAUGGCACCUGAAUAUGCAAUGCCGGGGUAUUUAACCAAUAAAGCAGAUGUUUACAGUUUUGGAAUUGUUGCCUUGGAAAUUGCCAGUGGAAGAAGCAACAUUACUUAUAGGAUCUUCAAGGAUGAAUGGCUUCAUCGUCUAAACUACAAGCUGUAAAACCUGUUGAGAACCCAGAGUGAGUAUAAAUUUCCCAGCUUGAUCAAAGUGGAAGUGAAUAGGAUCAGAAUCAUGAACCCUUAACCAUGGCUCUUGAUUUAUAUAUAUAAAUAUAUAGUCAUCACAUCAUGGCAACUACAUUUUCCUAUCUUGGGCCGAAGUUAUAUUCUAAUUCAUGGCAUCCUUUGGACCAUUUUCCUUGUUCAUGACUUUAUAUGGAUAAAAUAGUCUCUCUUGAACAAAAAUUUGCUCAGACAAAUCAAAAUUGCCCCAGUACUACUAAUACUAACAUGUAUUGCUUCCUCUUCAACCUUAAACGAAGAAGCAGGUAGUAUAUGCUCUCUUCCUGAAUGACUUCAAUUAUACAAAUUGUGUGGUAUUACCAUAUUAGUAAUAAGACGUCAUCAAGGACUUGCCUGGACCACUCUGAGCAAACCCCUGUAUUAGCAUGCCUCUUUCUAGGUAGCAGGCUAGCUAAGCACAUCCCAUUCAUCACAUACCAAAUAUUUAACUCAUUCAAUGAGGUUGUGACAUUUCCAUGGCUUCAUUCAGCACAUGUUGAAACAAAUCAUAGUCUUAUUGCUUGAGUCCAUAUCGCUUGAUUUAAACACAAGCAAUUCUCUUUUAGGUUAUGUUUGGUUCCCGGAAAGUACAAAGGAAAGAAAAAAAAUGCUAAGGAAAAUGAUUUUCUCAUAUUUGGUUAUUCUAUAAAAUAUUCCAAAGAAAAUUAAAUAUAAUUAAAAUUAGUUAAGAAACUUAUUCAUUUUAAAAUUAUUUAAUCUUUAUAUUGAUGAGUUAAAAUAAAUAAAAUGAGUUUGAAAUAGCAAAUGAAAAAAAUUUAUGAUCUUUAAUUCUAUUUUUUAUUUUCCUUCACUUUUUCUUUCCUUUUACUUUUCCUUUCUAUUUUCUUUUAUUUGCAUUUUCCCUCAAAUUUUCCGAGAACCAAACAUAGCUUACUGUAUUUUCUUUGUUUCUUGAUUUCUAGGCACUCAUUAAAAGGGAAGGGGGAUUUGAUGGAUCUAGUCUACCCCAAAUUGGGCUUAGACUUCAACAAGGAAGAGAUCAUGGCGAUGAUGAUCAACAUAGCUCUCUUGUGCACAAACGUCUCUCCAACAUCCACGCUAGCUAUGUCAUCAGUUGUGAACAUGCUUGAUGGCAGAACUGCUAUUCAGGACAUUGUUUCUGAGUGCUCCUUGUGACGAUUUAAAGAUCAAGAAGAUGAAGAAGCAUUGUGACAUCUAAGAAAAGAGCACGGGUUUAGCAGUAGUGUGACAUCUUAUUCGUACUAACCUUAGGGUGCUAAAGGAUGUAAUAUUUAUAUUAAAUUAUUAAAUUAUUAAUAUUCUUUGUGUGAAUUUAUGGGCCUUAAUUGUUUUUAGCUAAAUUCAUCUUUUGUUUUUUUGCUUUUAUAUAUAUAUAUAUAUUGAUCCUAAUUCAUGUCAAGGUGGUGAUUCAUAUAAUUUAUAAUUUUAGUUUUUAGCAUUGAGGCACAACAAUGGUAAUAUGAUCAUUGAUGCUCUUUAGAUAGCAAUUUAGUACUAUUAGAAAAUAAAAUAAAAUUAAUUUUUUAAUUGAAAAUAAACUUUUGCCACAAUUAUUUUUUAUUUUUUUUAAUGGUGGAAUUUAAUCAUUAACCAUAAAUAUUUUUCAUAGUGACCUUUUACCAUGAAUUUUGUGUUCAUGGAAAAUUUUGAUUUUUGCCAUGAAUUGAUUUUGUGGAAAAAGGUGAGUGUUGCUACGUGUUUUAUUUUUUUGGUGAAAUAUAACAUAUUGCCACAAAUUUUAUUUUGUGGAAAAUUUUUGCCUUUUUGGCUAUAAAAUUAAUUUUUUAUUGUAAAAAAUAAUUACUCACAGACUUGUACCAACAACCUUGCCACAAAAAUUUUAGUGGACAAUUUUUUUUUGCCAUGAAAUGCUACUUUUUAAGUACAAAUUAGUACAUGGAAAAAGCCCACAUUUGUGGUAGUUUAAUGAGAAGAAAAAAUGACUAAAAUUAUUUUAAUGAGCAAAGAAGACUUCAAUCAAGGUAUAACUUUGUGAGUAAACAAAAUGUUGUAACAUAGUCUACACUUCAUAUAGAUAAACUAGUUCAUAUAAGUAUUUUCUCUUUAUUAUAGUAAUAUUUUUCUAUUUUUCUUUUAUUUUUAUAUGAACAAAUGUGAUUAUGUGGAGUAAAAUCUAUUUUCCCUAUAUAAUGAUUGUUAGGAAGUGUCUCGAAUUCCUAAUUAGUAUAAAUUCUUUUUUUGUAAAGAAUAUUAUAUAUAAUAUUUCUAGGUUGAUAUAUAGUGUAAUAUUAGACUUCCUUAUAGAAUAAGGAAGGUUUUUGAAAUAUCUCAAUAAAUAUUCUAGGUCUUGGGGAAAAAGUUAUGAGAUGGAGAUGGGCUUGUAAAGAUUAUACGAGGUGAAUAAAGAUGUGAGGAAGAACGGGAGGUACUCGGUGGAGUGAGAGGGCUCAUGGUAGGGUAGGGAUACGAAGAAUGGGGAAACAUGGGAUGUUUCAAGAACCUAAUAGUUGUAUCUGGUUAUAUCCUUUGUAAUGUUUUGGUUCUAUCUUUUGUAAUAUUCUUUAUUGUAUGGUGGAAUGAUUCUCUCUCAUGUGUGGAUGUAGGCGUGGUUGAUCGAACUACAUUAAAACCUCGUGUACCGUUUGUGUUGAUUAUUUUAUUUUUGUGUUCUUGAUUAACGAUGUUUGCAUCAAAGCUUCCGCCAUCAUAAUAAACUGGUAUUAGAGCUUUGAGUUUAAGAUUUCUGGAAAAGUAAAAGAUCACAGAGCACACAAGAUGAAAACAAAAGGAAUUUUCAGUUAAAGGUGGAGUCGAUUGCUCUCUCAUGGUGAUAUGAUACAAAAGCUUGUCUCAUGGAGAGUUUGAAGAUCGACUUCAUGGAAUUUGGUCCAAGGUGGAAAUUGUUAGGAAGUGUCACAAAUUCCUAAUCAGUAUAAAUUCUUUUUUUGUAAAGAAUAUUAUAUAGAAUAUUUCUAGGUUGAUAUAUAUUGUAAUAUUGAACUUCUUUAUAAAAUAAGGAAGGUUGUUGGAAAUAUGUCUAUAAAUAUUCUAGGUCAUGAGGGGAAAAAGUUAUGAGAUGGAGAUGAGCUCAUAAAAAUUAUACGAGUUAGAUAGAGAUGUGAGGAAGAACAGAAGGUACCCGGUGGAGCGAGAAGGCUUAUGGUAGGGUUAUGGUUUUGUCCUUUGUAAUGUUCUCUAUUGUAUAGUGGAAUGAUUCUCUCUCAUCCGUGGAUGUAGGCAUGGUUGACCGACCCACGUUAAAACCUCGUGUACCAUUUGUGUUGAUUAUUUUAUCUUUGUGUUCUUCAUUAACGAUGUUUGCAUCAAAGCUUCCACCGUUGUAACAAUGGUGUUAUUUAACAAUUUUCUUUUAAUUUAAAUUAGUGUAUUAUUAAUAUGAUGGAUUUGUAUUAUGAUAUAAAAAUAAUGUUUUGAUGACUAAGUAGAAACUUGUUUUAUCCAAUAUUAUAAAAAGAAAAAUCAUCUUAAUCAGAAAAUUAAAUAACCAAGUCAAGGUAUUUUUUUUUUCAUUUUUGUUUUAAAUUUUGGGGAAUGUUUUACUUGAACAUGGUUUAGCUUUUUGACUUGUUAACAUAGUUAAUACUAUAUAGAGGAUAAAGUUCCUUUAGUAUUGGUCAUGAUCAAACAAAAUAAAGACUGGUAUGAUUUCAAGUUUAAGGUCUUUUAGAUUUCGUAUAAAUUCAUCCUUAGAAAUUUUACUUAAACAUCAUGAGACUUUUUGACUUGACAAAACUUAACAACAUGGUCUACACUUUAUAUAAAAUAAAUAUUCUUUAUCAUGGGCUUAUUAUCAAUAUGACCUUGUGACAUGACAAAACUUUUACCAAGUGGUCUACACUUUAUAUAAUAUAAAUAUUCUUUAUCAUGGGCUUAUUAUCAAUAUGACCUUGUGACAUGACAAAACUUUUACAAAGUGGUCUACACUUCAUACAAAAUAAAUAUUCUUUAUUGUGGAUCAUGAUCAAGAAAAAUAUGGACUAUUAUGAUUUUAUUUUUAAAUGGUUAUUUAUUCUCCAUUUUUAUGUAAUUUAAAAUUUGUAUAAUAAUAAAAAUUUGGAAGAAACUAAUCUUUUACAACAUAAGGCGAUAUGAUUAUGUGCAUGUUUUUGAUUACUUGGACAUCAAAAAUUAAGUUUGUGGAUUGGAUCAAGUUAUUUUCUAAUACUAUUUUCCUUUAAAGUUAAAAAUGAUUUCUUAAGUUUUCAAACAUAUAUAUAUAUAUAUAUAUAUAUAAUAUAAUUUAUUAUGCAUGUAUAAGAGAACAAAUGGGAUGCAAUUAAAUAAUCGUAAUGAUGCUACUUUGGCACAUGUAGAUUUGAAUUAACUUUCUUUAUUUUGAUGUUUGCUUUUACGAAUUAAUCAAGAUUAGAUGUAGUAAUUGAAUUAUGUGUCCUUCAAUUUAUAAUAUUUUUUUUUAUAAUUAUAUAUAAUAAAUCUUUAAUUUUAUAAUAUUAUUAUUCAAGUUAGUCUUAUCUCAUUUAUAAUAAUUUGAGAACAUUAAACUUAUCUACUAUUAUUACUUAAGUAGGCAACAUUUUCCAUAGAUUCAAAUAUUUGAAAAGAUAUCACUACUUCAAUAAGGUUAUAAAGUUUUUUUAUAUUAUGAAUAAUGGGAUGGUUGUUAACUUAGUUGCUUUAUGAUGUUAUAUGUUUUGGACCUAAUAAUGGUUACAUUCAAUAACAGAUUAUAACUUUUUCCAUGGGUCAUUCACAAUGAGAGAAGACAUAGAUCAAUAUUACAUAAAUUUUUUGACUUCUAUAGAAAUUUAUUGUCCUUAUUAAUUUUUUGAUAAGACAUUUUACACUUUUUAGAAAAAUAAACUAGUUUUUUCUAAAUGAAAAAAAAAAUAGUAAAUGUUUUUAUCAUUUUCUAAGUGGCCAAUAAAUUUCCAUGACUUAUUUAACUAAGUGAAGUAAAAAAAAAAAAAUUGUCAACCUUCUUUUAACUAUUCUGCAUAAAUAGAUUUUUAUUGAAAUUCCUUGAUAGCUUCUACUUAUUAGACUUUAGCAUCUUAUGACUAAAAUAAAAGUUUUGAAAUUUUUAAGUUUUGAGUAUUAGCCGAGAAGAUUUUCUAUUUUUUUAUAUUUUACUUUAGCUAUUCUUCAUUUAUUAUUAUGUAAAAACUCUCUAAUAAUUAUAAAAAGCUUGGCAAAAUAAGAUCCAAGUAGAAUAUAUUCUUAUAUUUCCACCAUUUUAUCUAUUUGCAAGAAAAACAAUCAUAUGGGAUUGAGACUUUUCUAAAUAGCAAAACUAAUAAUGUUCUUUUCUCUUUUUAUAAUACUCCUUUUAUUUUUCAAGAAAAUCAAUGAGUUAAUAUAUAAGCAAAUUUUUAUUCUUCAAAUUAAGCAUAUACUUGUUAUUUAAAAAAAAAAAAAAGGAACUAUGAGCCAAAUAAGGUCUAUCAAAGUUUCUUUAAAUUUCAUCUAAUAUUUUAUUUAAAACAUAUACAACUUAUUUAUUUUAAUAUUUAGGCAAAGAAUAUUUUUAUUUAAUAUGUAAAAGAACUUAAAUUCAAAAAAUAACUUUCUCAAAGGUUUCUUUUUUCUUGGUGUAAACAUAUCAUAUUCCAAGCUUGGAGCUAAAAGAGUAUUUAGAAUGCCUUUUAACUUUGUAGUGGUUUAAUUAUAAGUAUAUAUAUUAUAUAAAACUCUUUUAAUGGUCACCAAAUACCUAUGGACAUUAAAAAAAGUUAGAUCAAAGAAAAUUAUACUUACAAUCCACGAUUAUGCUUGAUGUAAAGUAGUUCAUUGUUUUUAAGUCUCAUACGAAAUAGUUUGUGCAAUAAAAUAGUUUUUUAAGGGACAAAAAGUAAUUGAUGUUGUUUUUUCGAUAAUUCUCCUUAUUUAUUUUUUGUAAGAUAAAAUUAAUAGCCUAAUCAUUAUAGAACUUUCUUUUAUACCAUAAUGAGUUGUAUAAUUUUCAAUACUAUUUUGGUAUGUUGAAUGUCCUAAGCCAAGGUCUCCCAAAGUUUUAAAACAAAUGUAGUUUUCUAACAUGGAAAUGAAUUUUGAUUAUAUAUAUAUAUGGAUACCCCACUCAUGCCUUUUUCUUUUCUCCUAAUCAAGGUCUUCUAAAGUUUAAAACAAAUGUACUUUUUAAAUUGUAAAUCAAUUUAGAUUGCUUUUCUUCUUAAAUCUAUUGGCACGAAGUCAAGAUCUUUGAAAAUUUAAUUAUAUUCCACAUCUUAAUACUACAUUGCCACUAUUUUCCCCUUGAAGUCUAGGUCUUCCAAAGUUUAAAACUAUAUACCUCAUUGCCAUUUUUUUUCGUCUAAGUCUAGGUCUUCCAAAGUUUAAAACUAUAUGCCCCAUUGCCAUUUUUUUCCACUUCAGGUCAAGUCUUCCAAAAUUUAAGACUAUAUAUAUAAAGUUAAAUUAUAUUUCAAGCUUUAAUACCCCACUCACACAUUUUUUUGUCCUCCUAGUCAAGGUCUUCUAAAGUUUAAAACAAAUGUAUUUUUUAACUAGUAAAUCAAUUUAGAUUACUUUUCUUCUUAAAUCUAUUGGCACGAAGUCAAGGUCUUUGAAAAUUUAAUUAUAUUCCACAUCUUAAUACUACAUUGCCACUUUUUUUCCCUUCAAGUCUAGGUCUUCCAAAGUUUAAAACUAUAUACAUCAUUGCCAUUUUUUUCAACCAAGUCUAGGUCUUCCAAAGUUUAAAACUAUAUGCCCUAUUGCCUUUUUUUUCCUCUUUAGGUCCAGGUCUUCCAAAAUUUAAGACUAUAUAUAUAAAGUUAAAUUAUAUUUCAAGCUUUAAUACCCCUUUCACACAUUUUUUGUCCUCCUAGUCAAGGUCUUCUAAAGUUCAAAACAAAUGUAUUUUUUAACUAGUAAAUCAAUUUAGAUUACUUUUCUUCUUAAAUCUAUUAGCACGAAGUCAAGGUCUUGAAAAAUUUAAUUAUAUUCCACAUCUGAAUACUACAUUGCCACUUUUUUUCCCUCCAAGUCUAGGUCUUCCAAAGUUUAAAACUAUAUACCUCAUUGCCAUUUUUUUUCGUCUAAGUCUAGGUCUUCCAAAGUUUAAAACUAUAUGCCCCAUUGCCAUUUUUUUCCACUUCAAGUCUAGGUCUUCCAAAAUUUAAGACUAUAUAUAUAAAGUUAAAUUAUAUUUCAAGCUUUAAUACCCCACUCACACAUUUUUUGUCCUCCUAGUCAAGGUCUUCUAAAGUUUAAAACAAAUGUAUUUUGUAACUAGUAAAUCAAUUUAGAUUACUUUUCUUCUUAAAUCUAUUGGCACAGAGUCAAGGUCUUUGAAAAUUUAAUUAUAUUCCACAUUUGAAUACUACAUUGCCACUUUUUUUUCCCUCCAAGUCUAGGUCUUCCAAAGUUUAAAACUAUAUGCCCCAUUGCCAUUUUUUUCCACUUCAGGUCUAGGUCUUCUAAAAUUUAAGACUAUAUAUAUAAAGUUAAUUAUAUUUCAAACCUGAAUACAUCACUCACACCUUUUUUUUCCCCUCCUAGUCAAGGUCUUUUAAAGUCUAAAACAAAUGUAUUUUUUAACUUGUAAAUCAAUUUCGAUUAUUUUUCUUCUUAAACCUAUUAGCAUAUAGUCAAGGUCUUCGAAAAUUUAAUUAUAUUCCACAUCUGAAUACCCCAUUGCCACAUUUUUUUUUCUCCAUUUCCACUUCUAUUGACAUUUCAUUGAUUGGAAGUCAAUGGGUCGAGGUACUAAACCAGCUUCCAAUUUUAACUAAGUUGCAUCUAACUCAUUGUCUACUCCAUAGCUCAAUUCUAGUAACUAUCCUAUAUGAAUAAAGUUUCACUGAAAUUUCGUAUCAGUAUCUAUUUACAAGAUUUCAGCAUCUCGUGAUUGGAAUAAUAGUUUUUGAAAAAUUUAAGUUUUGAGUAUUAGAUGAGAAGAUUUUCAAUUCUUGCUAUUCUUCAUUUAAUAUAAUGUAAAACUCGUUAAUGAUUAUAAAAUGUUUGGCAAAACAAGAUUCAAAAGUGGAAUCUAUCCUUAAACCUUAAAUAAUUUUUUUUUUAAAGACUAUUUUUAUAAACUGAAAAACUAAUAAUAAUCUUUUCUCUUCAAUAGCACUCCUUUUACAUUGUACGAUAAAACUAAUGAGCUAAUCUAUAAGCACAUUUUUAAUCAAGCAUAUAAUUGUUAAUAUACAUUUUUCUAUUUUAAUAUUAUGAAAAAAUAAUGUUAUUUCGUAUGCAAAAGAACUUUAAUUAAAAAAAUCAUUUUCUUAAGGUUUUGCUAUAAACAUAUCACAUUGUAAACACAACCCUUGGAGUUAGAGGAGUAUUUAAGUUUAAAAUAUUACUUGAUUUAGAAUCUAUUUGUUUAUUAAGAAAAUUUGAAAAAUAUAGCUAUAUGCAAAGGAGAAAUAAGGGAAUCAAAAUUCAUUUUAGGCCAACUUUGGUCAAUUAUUUUCUAGUACAACUCAUUUUGAACCGGUUUUCAUCUAUUAUUUUUUGGUACUCACUGGUCAAUUUUAAAGUUUCAAAUUAUUUAUAAAAAAUAUUAUACUCACUAACAAAUUGAACACAAGUCUUACUUCAUUUGAAGUCCAUUUAUCUAUUGUGCAAAUUUGUAAAAUUAUAGUUAUAUGCAUAGAAGAAACAAGAGUUAUUUUAAACUAAAGUCCAUGAAUUUCUUGUGGUGAUUAAGUUGCUUUUUGAGUCCCAAAUUCUUUCCUGAAAGUAAUAAACUUUUAAAAAAAAAUCCAAACCAAGUAAGUAUUGCUUGAUUUGAAGUCUAUUUAUCUAGUAAAAAAAGAAAAGAAAAUUAUAGUCUUACACAAAAAAUAAACAAUAGAGUCAUUAUAUACCAAUUUUGUCUAUAAAUUUAUGUUAUUAACUGAGUACGUGAGUUUGAAAUUAUUUUUAAAAAUUAUUAGAUUCAAUAAAGGAUUGGAGCAUUAGGUCUAGCUAGAUUUACAUUUUAUUUUCCUAGUUAAAAAAUUCAUAAAAAUAUAGUCGUGUAAUGAAGAAACUAGAAAAGUUAUUCAUAAUAAAUUUUGGUUCAUGAAUUUUUUUAAUAUUAAUUGGAUUAGCUUUGAGUUUGAUGACUGUUUAGUAUUAAUUGGAUUGAUUUUGAGUUUCAAAUUAUUUUUAAAAAUGAAUAAAUCCUAUAUAUUAAUAUUACUUGAGUUGGAAUCUAUUUGCUUAAAAAAAAAAAUUAGAUAAGUUAAAGGAAAUAAAAAAUUAUGUGUAAUUAAGAGAAAUAUCAUAUUUGAUGAUUUUUUUGGUAUUGAUUGGUGAAGAGAAAAUGAAAAAAGAAAGAGAAAAUGAAAAAUUAUUUUUUUAUUUCUUUUAUGUUUUCUUUUGCUUUUAAAAACAAGUGAAAAAUAAUUUUUAUUUGUUUUUCGGAAAUUGUUCUCUAUUUAACUUUCAUUUUAAAAAUUGUUUUCAAACAAAAGGCCAAAUAAUGCUAUAAAUUUUUAAAUUACACCACCAAACAAUCUUAUAGAUUUAAUAGUAUUUUUGUAUGCUAAAUGACCUAAGCUCUUUAUUUAUUCUUGAUAACUUGAUUUACAUUUUUUGUUUCUUCCAAUUAAGAUUUUUUUUGCGUCUAGAAUGAGUAUAGUUUUUUUAAUUCUUAAAUGAAUUUUCAUGUUUAUCUUAAUCUUAUUGACCUUGACUUAGUGCCAAGUUAUGGCUUUUCUAUCCACACUUUUUUUUUUCUUUUUUUUUUCGUUUUUGUCCAAGUCAAGUUCUUCAAUCAAGACACUUGGUUUCUAUGGUGACACAAGGACUGAGGUCAUUUUCCACUCAAUUAGAAUUUAAUAUGAUACAACUCAUAUAAUACUAAAAAAGAAAAAAAGUGAGGCUAUCAUUGUCAUUACUUUAAACCACCUUCUAUAAAAGCAAGGGAAACGAGAAAGAAGUUUCAAGUAAGGUUCAACUCCACUAAUAUUGAUAAAUUAUUUUCAAUAUGCUUUUCUAUAUAAUCCUCUUAACUCUCUUACAGGUGAUUUCGGUUUUCGACAAUCAAAGUAAGGUUGAUCUAUGAGAUGAUCAUAACUGUUUUUCUUAGUAUAUAUUUACAUAUGCUAUUAGUAGAUCUUUUUAGACUGGUGAUGUUUGUUAAAUGUGUUGUUUAAAUAAGUUUUUCAUGUUGAUGCAAUUGUCUUUUAAGUUUUGUCAAUUUUUUCAUUUUUAUGUUGGAAAUAAAAUUUUAAUUCAAUUCAAGAAAAUGCUGACCACAUAUUGGAAUUCAAUUUUUACAGGUGCUCUCUACUAGAGAACUGAAUAUUUACAUGGAGAGAAUUUCAAUUCUUGGUUUCAGUUUAUCCAUUCUCUAUUUCAUAACAACAGAACUUGCAUGUAGUGGUCAUACUCAUAUUGGCAACAAUGUUCAAUCUGUACAAAAGGCGCUUAUUGACUUCAAAAGCAGUCUCAAAGAUCCCAACAAUCGGCUUUCAUCAUGGAAAGGAAGCAAUUAUUGCUCUUGGAAAGGAAUUAGUUGCGAAAAUGGCACAGGAUUUGUCAUUUCAAUUGAUCUUCAUAACCCUUAUCCUCGUGAGAAUGUAUAUGAGAACUGGAGCUCUAUGACCUUAAGUGGAGAAAUUAGUCAUUUGUUGAUAAAACUCAAGUCUUUGAAAUAUCUAGAUUUGAGUUUCAACUCAUUCAAAGCCAUGUCAGUUCCUCAAUUCUUUGGGUCUCUGAAUAAUUUAAUAUAUCUAAACUUAUCGAGUGCUGGGUUUAGUGGAUCAAUUCCUUCAAAUUUAAGGAAUCUUUCUGGCUUGCAAUAUCUCGGUCUUUCUUCUGAGUAUCUUGAUGAUAUUGAUUUUGAAUAUUGUAAUGAUUUAUUUGUUGAAAAUAUUGAAUGGAUGACUGGCCUUGUUUCCUUGAAGUAUCUUGGUAUGAAUUAUGUUAACCUUUCAUUGGUAGGAAGUCGGUGGGUUGAGGUGGCAAACAAGCUUCCAAGUUUAACUGAGUUGCAUCUAGGUGGUUGUAGCCUCUUUGGCUCAUUUCCAUCUCCAAGCUUUGCUAAUUUUACUUCACUUGUUGUUAUAGAUAUCAACAACAACCAAUUUGAUUCCAAGUUUCCUGAAUGGCUUUUAAAUGUUAGCAACCUUGUAUCCAUUGAUAUAAGUCAGAAUCUAUUACAUGGGAGAAUUCCACUUGGUCUUGGUGGGCUACCCAAUUUUCAUUACUUAGAUCUAUCUGGGAAUUUGAAUCUCAGGGGCAAUAUCUCUCAACUGUUGAGGAAGAGUUGGAAAAAGAUAGAAGUUCUAAAUUUGGCUCAUAAUGAAUUUUAUGGUAAGCUUCUUUGUGUUAUUAGAAAAAUUGACAUUUCUUUGUUGAUAUGUUAAUGUAUAGUUAAGUAUAGUUCACAAUUGUGUAUAUAAGUGUUGAAUAUGUAUCAAUAUACAAAUAUCAAAUAAUCACUAUAUUUGAUUCACUUGUUAGAAAAAAAAUUCUUCUUAUUUAAAAAAUAUAUUAUUUUGAAUUUUAAAUUUCUUAGAAGGAAAUUUAGUUUCUUUUUUUUAUCUACGAAAAAGUAUCUAGUUUAACAAUUUAUGCUUAUGAAGUAUCAAUGUUAUUUAACAAUUUUUUUGUGUAAAGGUAAGUGAUUAUAUAAAGUGUUUGUCUACAUAACUAUUAAAAAAAAAUUGUAUCUUAUAGGAAUAUGAUUUUUUUUUUUAAUCCUUAACUUCCGUUUUUACUUUAAAUUAGUUGAUGAAUGAUUUAUUAUUUAUUAUUGUCAAUAAUUAUACAUUUGUUAUAUUAAUUAUUUUUUGAAUGUUUUCGUUUCAUUUUGAUAUAACUCUCAUUUUUUCUUUAGUUUUGCUCCUGAGGAUAUAAUAAUUUGAGCAUGUACUAAAUGGAAUAUUUAUAAGAUGGUUGAAUUGAUAUAUGAUGUGCUUUGUCACUUAUGUUUUAAUAUUUUACUAAAUUUUGUUAUUAAAUGUUUUCCAUUUUUUACUCUCAUGGUAUACCUUCUUUUAAACUAUUCUAUUAAAAUUUUAUUCUAAAUUGUUAUGUUUAUUUAAAGUACUUCAUGUUCCUAUAAAAUUUAAAUAAUUAUAAUUUACUAUUCACUUAUAUUUGAAAAGCUUGUAACUAAUAAAUUAAAAAAAUCACAUUGUAUUAAAAUUUAAAAAUUUGUUUUCUUUGUAUCUCCAAAAAGAAUUAAAUUCCUAUUUUGACAAUUUAUGUUUGUUAAGAAUCUUUAUCAUCAAACACCCUUCAAUCAUCUCCUACAUAUUUUCAAUUUCUAUUUUCUCUCACUAAUUCAUCUAUUAUAUCAAAAUAUUAUACUAGGUUGAACUCCUACUUUUCUCUAGCUUUGUUCUGUAAUGGUACGUUCUACUUUCAAAAUAUUAUAUCUUUGUAGAUAGGAAUAAUUUUCUAUUCAAAUUUUCUAGGAGUUUGUAAAUAAAUAGAAUAACCACUUGGAAUUAAAAUAAUUGUUUAGAAAAACAUUUUUUUUUUUGCAUUGCUAAAAUACAAAUUAUAUUUUUGGUAACUUGGAUUUAUUAAAAAAAAAUAUAAUUACUUUCUCAAUCUUUUGGUUUAUAUUUUCAUUUUCUAUAUUUUCUCAUUGAACUAUCACUUUGUUCAAAUUAUUUUAGUUUAUUGUUAAAGAAACAAUUAAUGUCAAUGAUUAAUCCUACUAGUCUUAUAACAGUGAAAUCAAUUACUUUAUUUCAUGGUUAUCAUAAAAGAAAAAAAAAGUACCUAAAAAAAAAUCCAAUAUUUUUUAUUACUUUUUCUUUAAAGUAAUUGUUCAUGAAUUAAUUUGUUUUGUUAUUUACUAUUUUUAUUAUUUGUUUGUUACAUAAUUUUAAUUAGUAUAUAUUUUUAUUUUUGGUCAUUGCAGGUUCAAUUCCAAGCUCCAUUGGAAAUUUUUGCAACUUAAAAUAUCUGGAUUUGAGUUUUAAUCUCUUGAAUGGAAGUUUACCUAAGAUUAUCAAAGGACUUGAAACCUGCAAUUCUAAAAGUCCUUUGCCUAAUUUGACGGAAUUAUCCUUGUAUGACAAUCAAUUGAUGGGAAAAUUGCCGAAUUGGUUGGGUGAGCUUAAAAAUCUCAAGGCACUCGAUUUAUCCAAUAACAAAUUUGAAGGUCCCAUCCCUGCUUCUUUAGGGACAUUGCAACACUUGGAGUUUCUGUCUCUUCUAGAGAAUGAGUUGAAUGGAAGUCUCCUAGAUAAUAUUGGACGACUUUCUCAACUGCAAUACUUGGAUGUUUCUUUCAAUCAUUUGAGUGGAAGUCUCCCGGAUAGUAUUGGACAACUUUCUCAACUGCAAGACUUGGAUGUUUCUUCCAAUCAUUUGAGUGGAAGUCUCCCAGAUAGUAUUGGACAACUUUCUCAACUGCAAGACUUGGAUGUUUCUUCCAAUCAUUUGAGUGGAAGUCUCCCAAAUAGUAUUGGACAACUUUCUCAACUACAAGACUUGGAUGUUUCUUCCAAUCAUUUGAGUGGAAGUCUCUCUGAACAACAUUUUUUGAAGCUGAGUAAGUUGGAGUAUUUACAGAUGGGUUCCAAUUCUUUCUAUUUGAAUGUUAGUCCCAAUUGGGUUCCCCCUUUCCAGGUGAAUGAACUUGAUAUGGGUUCAUGCCACUUGGGUCCUUCAUUUCCGACUUGGCUUCAAUCUCAAAAGAACCUCGAGUAUCUUGAUUUCUCAAAUGACAGCAUUUCAAGUCCCAUUCCAAACUGGUUUUGGAAUAUUUCUUUUAAUCUGCAACAGUUGAAUCUUUCUCACAAUCAAUUACAAGGUCAACUACCAAAUUCAUUAAAAUUUUCUAUUGGCGGUGGUGCUUACAUCGAUUUCAGUUCCAACCUCUUUGAAGGACCUAUUCCUUUUUCAAUCAAAGGGGUCCCUUUUCUAGAUCUCUCCCAUAAUAAAUUUUUUGGCUUUUUUUCACCGAGCAGAGGUGAAUCCAUGUUAGGCUUGCGUGCCCUUCUGCUUUCAGAUAAUCAAAUAACAGGAUUCAUCCCUCUAAACAUAGGAAAAUCCAUGCCAAACUUGUCUUAUCUUUCUCUUUCAAGUAAUCAAAUAACAGGGGCCAUCCCAUCAAACAUAGGCGAAUCCUUACCCAACUUGGUUUUCCUUUCUCUCUCGGGUAAUUGAAUAACAGGGACCAUCCCAGAUUCCAUAGGACGCAUCACCAAUCUUAAAGUCAUUGAUUUUUCAAGGAAUAAUUUGACUGGAAGCAUUCCUUCUACCAUAAAUAAUUGCUCUAGGCUUUUUGUUCUAGACCUUGGAAACAACAAUUUGUUUGGGAUGCUACCAAAGUCGUUGGGUCAGUUACAAUUGCUUCAAUCACUGCACUUGAACCACAACAAGCUUUCAGGAGAGUUCCCCUCAUCUUGGCAAAAUUUAACAGGUUUGGAUGUCCUUGAUCUCAGUUACAACAGAUNNNNNNNNNNNNNNNNNNNNNNNNNNNNNNNNNNNNNNNNNNNNNNNNNNNNNNNNNNNNNNNNNNNNNNNNNNNNNNNNNNNNNNNNNNNNNNNNNNNNAGUGGCUGAAGAGAUAGGAAGGGAGGAACCAAGGUCGUAUAAGGAGGCGAUGGAAAGUAAAGACUCGAAAAAGUGGCUAAGUUCCAUGGAUGACGAGAUGGCAUCAUUGAGAAAGAAUCAAACUUGGGAGCUUGUGCCUUUGCCUGAAGGAGUGAAACCUGUUGAUUGUAAAUGGCUUUUCAAAAUAAAGGAUGGGAUUUCAGAGGAUGAACCACCUAAGUACAAAUCAAGGCUUGUGGCGAAGGGUUUUUCACAAAAGGAGGGGAUUGACUACAAUGAAGUGUUCUCACCUAUUGUGAAGCAUAAAUCUAUUCGGGUCCUCUUAGCGAUGGUAAGCAUUUUUAACUUGGAGCUUGAUCAACUUGAUGUUAAAACUGCUUUUCUGCAUGGAAAUCUAGAAGAGGAAAUUUAUAUGAAACAACCUGAGGGAUUUGUUGAUUCUGAAAAGCCUGAUCAUGUGUGUUUUUUGAAGAAGUCCUUGUAUGGGUUGAAGCAAUCUCCUAGGCAAUGGUACAAGAGGUUUGAUGCAUUUAUGGUUUCUCAUGAGUUUAUGCGAAAUCAGUAUGAUAGCUGUGUUUACUUUAAAACAUUGCCUGAUGGUUCAUUUAUUUAUCUAUUGCUAUAUGUGGAUGACAUGUUGAUUGCAGCUAAGAAUCGAGCUGAAAUUAACAAACUGAAACAGUUGUUGAGUAGUGAGUUUGAGAUGAAAGAUUUGGGUGCAGCUAAGAAAAUAUUGGGGAUGGAGAUUUGGAGAGACAAAGAUGCAGGCUUGUUGUAUGUCUCACAGCAAAAAUACAUUGAGAAGUUAAUGCAGGCUUUCCAUAUGGAUCACUCUAAACCGGUGAGUACUCCAUUAGCUCAACAUUUUAAAUUUGAUCAUAGUACAUUGCCUAGCACUGAUGAGGAGGUGGAGUACAUGAAGAGUGUGCCUUACUCUAGUGUGGUUGGUAGUUUAAUGUAUGCUAUGGUGUGCACUAGACCAGAUCUUGCUUUUGCUGUUAGUGUUGUAAGUAGAUUCAUGAGUAACCCUGGUAAAGCUCACUGGGAAGCCGUCAAGUGGAUUAUGCGAUAUUUGAAGGGUUCAAGUAGUGUAUGCUUGGUGUAUGGGAAUGGUGAUGUAUCUAGUGGAUUGGUUGGGUUUACUGAUUCUGAUCAUGGAGGAGAUCUCAUGAAGAGAAGAUCAUUGACCUGUUAUAUUUUCACUCUGUUUGGGUGUGCUAUUAGUUGGAGAGCUUCUUUGCAGCCAAUAGUUGCUUUGUCUACAACUGAAGCGGAAUACAUGUCCUUGACAGAAGGGGUGAAAGAAGGUAUGUGGUUAAAUGGUUUUCUUGGCAGCUUGGGUUUGAAUUUGUCUAAGCCGGUUAUCUAUUGUGAUAGUCAAAGUGCUUUGUGUUUGGCAAAGAAUCCUGUUUAUCAUGAGAGGACAAAACAUAUUGAUGUUAGGUUGAACUUUAUUCGUGAUGUGAUCGAAGAAAAGUUAUUCUCCAUUGAGAAGGUUGCCACGGAAGUUAAUCCUGCAGAUAUGUUGACUAAGCCAAUUACUAUUGAAAAGUUCAAGCAUAGCUUGGACUGGUGAAUGUUUGCAAAGUUUGAGCUUGAGGCCCUUCGGGGCGUAGCAGAUGAGUAGCUCUAUAUUCUGAAUUGAAAGAAGAAAGAAAACUCAAUUCAAGGUGGAGAAUUGUUGAGUUGAAUUGAUUUUUUCUUUGUAAUAUGUUGAAGCUAUCCUUGUAAAACAUGGGCUAAGGCUAAAUGGGCCGAGUCUUAUUGUUAAAUGGGUUUUAGGGUUAGGGUUGGUAUAUGAUAACUAGAACUCUUGUAAACUCUAUAAAUAGGUGGCUUGGGAAAACGUAAAAAGGGACCGGAAGGUGCAUGAGCCGUCUUUCAAUAGUGAAAUAGAAUUGCUCGCUCUCUGCCCGUGGACGUAGAUCACUUUGAUCGAACCACGUAAAUCUUGUGUGAUUGUUUUCUUCCAUUAUUCCGCGAUUCUAUUGCUUGCUUGCUUGACAAUAACUUUAAGCAAGUUUACUGCCAAUCUUCCUUAAGAUUACUCCAAAAAGCAUCCUAUCACUCUGUUUGGAAGGUGACAAAAUUUUUUAAUCAUCAUGACACACAAUUUGAGACCAUAAGAAACACUAAGCAUAAUACCAAGUCAGGGUAAGCUUAAAAAAUUUUAUUUUCUUUAUUUAUAUAUUUCCACCACCUCGGCAAAGUGUUUCUCGGGAGCAUCAAUGCAUAAAAUUACCACCCGCAAUAGAGAUCCCAAAUCAUCACUCCCUGAGCUCAUAAUAGCCUGUCAAGAAGGUAUAUAUGUGUCAACUUUCAGUAAAAGAAAAUGACUAGAACAGAUCUGUUAACUAACCAUAUAUAAAAACUGAACCUAGUAGAUAGGAACUUGGUAGUUUUGUUUAUAAUGCUUAAAAGUUGCUCUGAGCUGGAAGAAAUUCCUGGUGCUGAGUAUCCACAUAACUUCAUCACGAUCCGAUUGCUUCUUUUCAAUGGCUUCAUGUAGCUUAGCAGCCUCAGAUUUUGCAACAUUCAAAUCCACCAAUUCUCUAUCAUACCUGUAGGAGCUCACCAAGCCCAGUAGAAGUUGUGCAUGACCCACAUUGCAAGUCAUUCAUAGAAAUGCAAAUGGUGUGCAUAAAGCAUAAGUUUAAACCCUAAAACUGCAACAUAUUUUCUUAAUUAUUAAUAGGACAAAAUAAAGAAAUGACCAUGAUAUCACAAAUCCAUAUAUAUUUUGACUUGUAUAUCUAAGAGAGUGUACCACCUUUUGGAGAGACGAUGAAACUUUGGAUGUGAUGGCUUCUUCAAGGGAACAAUCAAAUAAAGAGUAGUAGGCCUGCCUGACUGCCAUUAGAUGGUUAGGAGAUGAUGCGCAUGCUAUCUCGACAAUGACUUGCAGUUGAGUGAUGCCCGCCUUCCCCCUCUUCAAGGUCUUCUCUACCAACUUGGCAUCCCUUUCAGGCGGUUCUUCCAUCCAAUAGGACAUUGCUUUCUAUUAUGAAACAUUUAAUACCUAUUAUGGUCCCAUAUGCAUGGGGUUUCACAUGGGGAAGACUAGCUUCUGCGAAUUAAAUAUUUUAGGCUCAUAAUCAUCAUUAGAUGAUGCCAAUGUAGAUAUGCAUGAAGGGGACAAUCUUUUACCAGAAAUACUCUCCUAUACUCAACUAGGGAUUGAACCCUAAUCUGCCUUUAAAGAAAAAUAAUGAAGGCAUAGACAGAUGCAAAAUGGUAUGGGAUUUAAGGUCAGGCUGUAUAGAACACCAUUCCUUCCUUCAAUUUUUGACAAGAAUAAAGGACUGCCACUUUCAGAGAGAGAGAGAGAGAACUCAAUUUCUGCGAAGCUAACUAGCCCAAUGCCCUUUAUAUCUAUUGAUUACUACCCAAAAAGUGCUAUUUUACACCUUUAAUGCAUUAUGUUUUAAGCACUUUUGUGUAGUAGUUCUCCAUCUUUAGUCCAAUUGGCAUGUUAAGGACCUAGCAAUAUCUUCUAAUCAUAUUUGUGGCUAGUUUUAAUGUUUUGACAGCUUUUUGGAUCAUUAAGACAAGUCAAGCAAAGGAGAGAAGCAAAGAGAAGCAAAGUGAAAAAAAUCAAGAUGUAGCAGCUGCAGUCUUCUUUCACACUUUUGGAGCACUUCCCGAAGUCCAUUUUUUACAUACUAUAUACCAUUUCAAAGAUCUGGAAGUCAAGAAUCCAACGCUUCAAACCGUGUACGAUUUGGAGCUGAAAUGAGGAAGAUAUGGCCUUCGGAAGCCAACUGCUCCAGGUUAUGCGAAAAUUUCGCAUUCCACAAGAGGUUAUGCGAAAUUCGCAUAACAUUCGCAUAUGGUUCGCAUAACCCAUGCGUGUUGCGAAUUUUACUCUGCCCUUUGCCGACUCCACUUUAGAUAUUUUCCUUUGUAUUUUGUGAUGUAAUUUCCUUUAUUAUCCUUGUAACUAACCAAUCAUAAGCUUUGGCUUUUGUAAAGACUUUAUAAGGGGUGGAAAUCACCUCUUGGAAUAUAUGGAAUACGUAUUACGUUUUUACACUGAGAAUUUUACAGAGCUCUCUCGUUCUCUUUGCUCUUUACUAUUUUCUUUUUCUUGGAAGCCAAACAACCUCUAAGGAUGUUUGCCCGGAGGAUGAGAGGCUAAACUUUCGGUUUCUUGGAGUAAAGGAAGCUAGGUGAAAAGUCCAGAUGAAAAGGUGGAAAGCUUCCAUGCAUUAAAUUCAGGUAGUUGGAAUUCAUAAAUGGCUUCUAAAUCCAAAGUUUUGCUUUAAACCCCUUAGAAUCACUUUGAAUGAUCAAUACAUGGUAAGCUUCAGGUCUUUAUGGAUGCUUAUUGUUAGAUUCAUAUUAGUCCAUUAGUUAUCAUGUACGAGUCAUUGGAAAGUGAUUCAAGGUGAAGACCCAUAGUAUCUUAAGCCAUUAAUGGACCUUGACUACCAUUUCUAUUGAUCUUUUAUGGAUUAAAUCUUCAUUGUCAAACCUAUACCGGUUCGGAAAAUAACUAUAGGUUAAAUCCCCAAUGCGAGGAGAAAAAUCCGGAAUUUUCCACUUUCUAUUCUAAACUUGAUCCUAGCAACCCUUAGCUCCGGGAGACUUUCUUUCUUCCAUUUUUAAUUAGUUUAUGUUAGUUUAGUUUCAAACACUUUCAAAACAAAUUUUAUUUUCUUUUAAACUUUAAGUUUUUGAUUAAGGAAAUCAUUAAAUACAAUUUCUAAUUUUGAAUAUAUCACUGGUAGAAUGAAAACCCAUCCCGGAGUUCGACCCUAGAGCCACUAUACUAUAGUAGCUUUGCUACAUUAGCAUGAGGUCAUAGGUUUUAUAAAUGUUUUUGAUUAAAUGACCCAUUUGGAGUUACACGCGAAUCAUCUAUGAUAAUAUAUGUCAACUGUCAUCAACAAAUUAGCAUGUGCUUCACAAUAUGAUACAUAAAACAUCAAAAUCUUCAUCUUAAACAGCCUUGUUUAGGAAUAUUUAGAAGAUAUAUAUAUUUAGCUGUAAAUAUCUCUUUAUUAUCUAGUUGUUAGGAAAAUAUCCGUUUCCUUAUUUCUAGGAGUUAGUUUCAAUUGUACCAAAAAUAGUGGGACUAAUUAGCUUAUAAAGGCCCGAUUGUACUCUUAUUAUUAUGUAUGAAUGAAAUAUAUAUUUCAUUAAACAACUUGUAGUGUUUUAGCUUGUAUUUCUCUUAUUGUUAAUUUUCAUGGUAUGAGAGCUUUUGAAGCUAANNNNNNNNNNNNNNNNNNNNNNNNNNNNNNNNNNNNNNNNNNNNNNNNNNNNNNNNNNNNNNNNNNNNNNNNNNNNNNNNNNNNNNNNNNNNNNNNNNNNAGCAAAGUGAAAAAAAUCAAGAUGUAGCAGCUGCAGUCUUCUUUCACACUUUUGGAGCACUUCCCGAAGUCCAUUUUUUACAUACUAUAUACCAUUUCAAAGAUCUGGAAGUCAAGAAUCCAACGCUUCAAACCGUGUACGAUUUGGAGCUGAAAUGAGGAAGAUAUGGCCUUCGGAAGCCAACUGCUCCAGGUUAUGCGAAAAUUUCGCAUUCCACAAGAGGUUAUGCGAAAUUCGCAUAACAUUCGCAUAUGGUUCGCAUAACCCAUGCGUGUUGCGAAUUUUACUCUGCCCUUUGCCGACUCCACUUUAGAUAUUUUCCUUUGUAUUUUGUGAUGUAAUUUCCUUUAUUAUCCUUGUAACUAACCAAUCAUAAGCUUUGGCUUUUGUAAAGACUUUAUAAGGGGUGGAAAUCACCUCUUGGAAUAUAUGGAAUACGUAUUACGUUUUUACACUGAGAAUUUUACAGAGCUCUCUCGUUCUCUUUGCUCUUUACUAUUUUCUUUUUCUUGGAAGCCAAACAACCUCUAAGGAUGUUUGCCCGGAGGAUGAGAGGCUAAACUUUCGGUUUCUUGGAGUAAAGGAAGCUAGGUGAAAAGUCCAGAUGAAAAGGUGGAAAGCUUCCAUGCAUUAAAUUCAGGUAGUUGGAAUUCAUAAAUGGCUUCUAAAUCCAAAGUUUUGCUUUAAACCCCUUAGAAUCACUUUGAAUGAUCAAUACAUGGUAAGCUUCAGGUCUUUAUGGAUGCUUAUUGUUAGAUUCAUAUUAGUCCAUUAGUUAUCAUGUACGAGUCAUUGGAAAGUGAUUCAAGGUGAAGACCCAUAGUAUCUUAAGCCAUUAAUGGACCUUGACUACCAUUUCUAUUGAUCUUUUAUGGAUUAAAUCUUCAUUGUCAAACCUAUACCGGUUCGGAAAAUAACUAUAGGUUAAAUCCCCAAUGCGAGGAGAAAAAUCCGGAAUUUUCCACUUUCUAUUCUAAACUUGAUCCUAGCAACCCUUAGCUCCGGGAGACUUUCUUUCUUCCAUUUUUAAUUAGUUUAUGUUAGUUUAGUUUCAAACACUUUCAAAACAAAUUUUAUUUUCUUUUAAACUUUAAGUUUUUGAUUAAGGAAAUCAUUAAAUACAAUUUCUAAUUUUGAAUAUAUCACUGGUAGAAUGAAAACCCAUCCCGGAGUUCGACCCUAGAGCCACUAUACUAUAGUAGCUUUGCUACAUUAGCAUGAGGUCAUAGGUUUUAUAAAUGUUUUUGAUUAAAUGACCCAUUUGGAGUUACACGCGAAUCAUCUAUGAUAAUAUAUGUCAACUGUCAUCAACAAAUUAGCAUGUGCUUCACAAUAUGAUACAUAAAACAUCAAAAUCUUCAUCUUAAACAGCCUUGUUUAGGAAUAUUUAGAAGAUAUAUAUAUUUAGCUGUAAAUAUCUCUUUAUUAUCUAGUUGUUAGGAAAAUAUCCGUUUCCUUAUUUCUAGGAGUUAGUUUCAAUUGUACCAAAAAUAGUGGGACUAAUUAGCUUAUAAAGGCCCGAUUGUACUCUUAUUAUUAUGUAUGAAUGAAAUAUAUAUUUCAUUAAACAACUUGUAGUGUUUUAGCUUGUAUUUCUCUUAUUGUUAAUUUUCAUGGUAUGAGAGCUUUUGAAGCUAACAAUUAGUUAAGGAAAACAAUCGAUGACAGGAGCAAGCAAUGAUGAUGACUCUUAGCCAACCUCUAAAAUUAUUCCCACUACCUUUCUGACAAUCUGACCUUGCAAAUCAUGACACAUAAAUUGAACAUAAAUUUUUUUCUUUAAUGGUUGUGAUCCGUUCAAAUAGUAAUUUGUUGUAAAGGAAAGAUUGGCUACCUUGAUGGUACCAUGUCCCAGCCAAAGAGUGACGAUCCCUUAUUCUCCAAUUGGGAUGCUCAAAACUCAAUGGUUAUAGCUUGGUUAAUACACUCAAUGGAAGACAAGAUUGGAGACACAUACCUAUUUUAUCCGACCACCAAAGGAAUCUAGGAUGCUAUAAAUUUGGCUUACUUAGACCCUGAAUAUUCGUCUCAAAUGCUUGAGCUACGAAACAAAGCCUGUGACCUACAAUAGGGUGAGAUAGACGUGACUUAAUAUUUCAAUUCCUUGACCAAAUUGUGACAGGAAUUAGAUUUCUUCAACAAUUGCUAGUGGCGUGACCCUAAAAAUGUGGUGAUGUAUUGGAAGAUGAAAAAGAAAGACUGAGUCUACAAUUUCCUUGGUAGUCUUAACAAGAAUCUAGAUGGACUGAAGUGAGACUUGCUGGAAUGAAACCAUUUCCGUCCAUUGAAGAAGCCUUUGCAACAGUUCAACAUGAAGAAACUCGCAAAUGUGUUAUACUAGGAAAUUCAUCAGCUCAUAUCAUGGAAAAUUCUACUCUUGUUGUUUGUCGAUCAAACACCCAAAAGAAUGGAUAGUUGUGGUGUGAUCAUUGUCAAAAACCACAUCAUACUAGAGAUAAUUGCUGAGAAAUCCAUGGUAAACAAGUUGAUUAGGUACCAAGGAGUGCAAGAGGACGAUGUGACACAAAAGGUCUCCAUAUAAGUCAAGAGCUAGAAACGUCAAAAGACACAUGCACUUGAUGUCACUCUCACCAAAGAACAAAUGGAGUAUCUCAACAAAAUAAUAUAUGGAAAUCAGAUAUCUAGUACCUUACUAAUGGUGUAAAAAGGUUUUCCCCUAACUACUUUCAGUGGUUUGACUAGGAAAAGUGAACUAUGAAUCAUAAACUCUGGGGCUACAAAUCACAUGAUGGGUUGUGAGAAAUUAUUCUCAUCUUAUACUCCAUGCUCCAGGAAUCAGAGAGUCAAAUUUGCAAAUGGAUCCUAUAUGACUAGCUGGAAUUGGCAACAUUGAGAUAAGUCCUAUGAUCUCACUUAAGGAAGUUCUUCAUGUGUCAAUUUUGUCUUCCAAUUUAAUUUCUAUUUGUAAAAUUACUAAAGAGUUGAAUUGUUUGAUAAAAUUUUCUCCUACCGAUUGUGUUGUUUUUGACGACCGAAUCUUGGGAAGGACGGUUGGCAAUGCUAAGGAGUUUAACGGAUUAUACCACUUUGAGAAGAAUUUUUUGGUGAAUGGUCAAGCUCAUAAUGCGGUGUGCAAUCUCUCUUUCUCUCCUGUGAUCAAAUAAUGUUUUUCCAUCGUGGCCUAGGACAUCCAAAUUUCUUGUAUUUAAUACAUCUUUUUCCCUUAUUGUUUAAAAAUAAUGACUCAUUUCAAUUCGAAGUUUGCCAAUUAGCAAAAUACAAGCAUGGUUCCUAUUUUUCUCAUUUAUAUCGUGCUUCAAAACCUUUUGCAUUGAUUCAUAACAAUAUUUGGGGCCCCCCUCGUGUCUGAGAGUCUUACUAACAAAUGUUGGCUUAUUACAUUUAUUGAUGACCAUACUCGAUUGUGUUGGGUUUAUCUUUUGAAAGAUAAAUUUGAAACAAAAAAAAUAAAAAAUAAAAAGUCUUUAAAAACUUCCAUAGUUUGGUAAAAACUCAAUACAACAAAGACAUCAAGGUUUUUCAUACUGAUAAUAAUACAAAAUACUUAAAUUCUAUACUGAAUGAGUUUCUUAUCAAACAUGACAUAAUUCAUUAAAGUUCUUACAUCAACACUUCACAACAAAAUGGGAUUUCAGAAAGAAAAAAUUGUCAUUUGUUAGAAGUUGCUAGGUCGUUAUUGUUUCAAUGUGAUGUUCCAAAAUAUCUUUAGGGGGAUGUCAUUCUUAUUGCAUGUUAUUUAAUAAAUUGCAUGUUGAGUUGUGUUUUAAAUUACAAAACUCCAUUAAACUAUCUUCAAGAGUUCUAUCCAAAGUCUUGCAUGUUCUCAAGUCUUGAUCUCAAAAUUUUUGGGUGUUUAGAGUUUGUCCACAAUCAUGAUCCAUCCUGUUCAAAAUUGGAUCCUAAGAAUACUAGUGUAUUUCCUUAGAUAUUCAACCACUCAAAGAGGAUAUAGGUGUUAUUCCGGUGAGAAACGAAAAUAUUUCAUAUCUCUAAAUGUAACAUUUUUUUUAAGACACUCAUUUUUUUUAGAAAAAAUUCAGGGGGAGAAUUCAAGUGGAAAAUUUUUUAACAAAAAGAAUUUUUUGGAAGGAAAUUUGGAGAGAACUAGAUCAUGUAUGCCUCACCUAAUUUCGAACUUUGUGGCAUAUGAACCCUUAUCUUCCUUAGUUUAGUCACUUUGCACUAAUCUUUUAGAUGAAGCUAUUCGAAAGAAUGUGGAAGAGGCAUUGAAGAAUCCAACUUGGAAACAGGCUAUCAUGGAGGAAAUGGAAGCCCUAGAAUAAAUAGAACAUGGGACAUAGUUCAAAAUCCUAAAGAGAAAAUACCAGUGGAAUCUAAAUGGGUAUUCACCAUCAAAUACAAAGUUGAUAGAUUAAUUGAACGAUACAAAGUAAGGCUUGUAGCGAAGGGGUAUACUCAGAUCUAUGGGAUUGAUUAUUAUAAAAUAUUUGCUCCUGUUAUCAAAUUAAACAUUGUUAGAGUUCUUUUCUCACUUACAACAAAUCUAGACUGGACUCCCCAAUAGAUGAAUGUGAAAAACACAUUCCUUAAUGGCAAAUUAGAGGAAGAAGUUUAUAUAAACCUUUCGGUUAGAUUUGACAAGGAAAGCAAAGUUGGAAAAGUUUGCAAACUCAGAAAGUCACUCUAUGGCUUGAAACAAUCUCCUCAUGCAUGGUUCAAUCGGUUUUCAAAGUCUCUACAUUAUCAAGGAUACACUCAAGCUAACUUAGACCAUAUGUUAUUUUAUAAGCAUAAAAAUGAGAAGGUAACUAUUCUCACAGUUUAUGUGGAUGAUAUCAUCUUAACUAGUAAUGACAAGGGAGAAAGAGAACAAUUAAAGAAAAAACUAGCUUUGGAGUUUAAGAUGAAGGAUCUAGGAAGCUUACAUUAUUUUCUCGAAAUGGAAGUUGCAAGGAGCCAUGAGGGGAUCUCAAUAUCUCAAAGGAAGUAUGUUUUAGAUCUCUUAAAGAAAACAAGUAUGAUUGGUUGCAAACCGACUAAUACACCACUGGAUCCAAGUACCAAGUUGAGUACCAAAUCAGCUCAAGGACCUGUGAAUAAAGGAACAUACCAUAGAUUGGUGGGAAAACUCAUUUAUUUAUCUCAUACUAGGUCGGAUAUUGCCUUUACAAUAAGUUAUGUUAGCCAGUUCAUGCAUGCACCAUUAGGUGAGCAUAUGGAAGCAAUUCACAAAAUCUUGAGAUAUAUAAAAGGAACUUUUGGAAGAAGCAUUAAUUGAAGUCUAUACUAAUGCAGACUAGGUAGGUUUAAUGGAUGAUUGGAGGUCUACUUUAGGUUAUUACUCAUUGACUUGGGGAAACCUUGUAACAUGGAGAAGUAAGAAGCAAAUUAUGGUUGCUAGGAGUAGUACCAAAGUAGAACUAAGAGCAAUCGCACAUGCAAUAUGUAAAAUUUUGUGGCUAGAAAUGAUACUUAAAGAGUUAAAAGUUAUGGUCAAGGAGUCAAUGGAAGUUUACUGUGACAAUAAAGCAACCAUAAAUAUUUCACAUAGUCCAGUUCAUCAUGAUAGAACUCAGCAUGUUGAAGUUGAUCGUCGCCUCUUCAAGGAAAAGAUUGAUAAAGGAGUUGUUUGCAUAACUUAUAUUCCUACAACCAAGUAGGUUGCUGAUGUGUUGACAAAAGGCCUAAGUAGGCCACUAUUUGAAAAGUUGAUAGAUAAGCUGGGGAUGUACAAUUUCUACAAUCCAGCUUAAAGAGUGUAGGAAUAUUUAGAAAAUUUAUAUAUUCAGUUGUAAAUAUCUCUUUAUUUUUUGGUUGUUAGGAAAAUAUUUGUAUCCUUAAUUCUAAUAGUUAGAUUCAGUAGUAUCCAAAAGCCUAUAAAGGCCAGAUUGUACUCUUAUUAUUAUGUAUGAAUGAAAUAUAUAUUUCAUUAAAGAACUUGCAGUGUUUUGAUUGUAUUUCUCCUAUUAUUAGUUUUCAUUAAUCAAUGUAUCCUUAAUUCUAUUUUUUAUAUAUGAGAAUGAUCAUCAUGUAUCUGGAGUCUACCUAGAUGUGUCCCCAUUUAAUUGAUUACCUAUGCUUGAUAUCGUUUUUCAUGCUAUGGAGCCAUCUAAUUUCACCUAACUUAAUUCCUAACAGCUAGCGAUGGUUGAAGGUUAAAAAUUUUUUGUUCAUAAAAUUAAAACAGAGAAGUAUAUGAAAACAAAGUACCCCAAGUACACCAGAGAGUGUAGAUUGAAGACAAUGAAUGAUGGAUUCUUUAAAAAGCUGUUGAUAAGUCUCUUUGAUCUUCUUCCUUUGAACUGCUUUUCUGUGUCCCAAUAUCCAUAUUAUCACUUCCUGGUCCACUCCCCACCCUACGUACAAACAAGCAUAUAAAUAAAUAAUAAUCAUAAUAAUAAAGUAGUUUGCUAUAUAUAUAUAUCAUUCUGAACUAUAUACCUUCUAACACUGUUGAUGAAAAAUGAAAAAACCUAAGGAAGAAGAUGAAGAGAAAUGAAAGAAAGAAGAAAAAGAAGAGGGAUAGAAACCUUGUAAAGCUACUCUAAGUCUCUCACUGUCUUGGGUUGGAGAAGGGACUACAUCAGGCAGUCUAAGUGUGGCCAUUUUUCAUAUUUUUCUUUACCAAAAUGAGAACCACUCUUUAUAGAGAAAAGCUUGUGUUAUUCAUUUACUUAUUUGUUCUCCUUUUUGAAAAAGAUCCAUUGUGUCAACCCCUUCUUUCCUCUCCCUUUCUCUCCCUUCUUUAUUCUUAUUCUUUUUCUAUUUCUUUUUUGUUUUUUCUUUUUCACUUCUGAUGGGAAACCAACAAGUAAUCUUCAUCGCAAUGUAAACAACUCAUCAAAUGAAAUCCUUAAAAGAGGAUUCCCCAUAUGAGAUUCAUAUCUUACGAUUACCUUUUAUUUUACAAGAGCAUUAUAUGAUUUGUAGGAGAUGCCAUUGCUGACAUCAUGGAAACAAUUUGAAGGUUUGCAUAUCCAAAACGAAAGGAUGGGAGAAAAAUGUAUAAAAAAAUAUAAAAAUUACAAAUAUGAUGAUAAUUUAAGAAAAAUAUUAUUUGAAAUUAAUACUUGUUGGACGACAAUAUAAAUGGAGGAAAAAUGUAUUCCAUCUAUUUUUUCGUCAUUUUUUAUGUGCUAAGUCAAAUAAAUUAAUUUGCCCAUUAACAUACAAAUGCCCAAAAUUUCUAAUGUCAAAAGUUACAAUUUAUAAAUUUUUCUAUUCAAUAGAAAAUAAAAUAAUUACUUUACAAAGAAAGUAAUGUCAAAAGUUGGCAUUCAUCAAACAAGUUGAAUGAGCCUUCACAAAGAAAGAAGGGCCCAUUUGAGAGACUUUUGAAGGUCGGUGUAUCAAAGCAAUUUCUUACUUUAUUAAUUUCAUUUCAUGCUUAAUAAAUUCACUAUGUGAUUGAUGUGGUGAUAAUUAUAAAGCAUAUAAAAUCUAGAAGGAAUUAGUCUUACAUUUGACGUGCAGGUUAAGGAAGAAUCGGUCAAAUCCGAUCAGAUCAAGCUUGGUUGGAAAAUCUCUACUGCAAUAUGAGGUUGGUGAGACUUGAAUUGACUUCCAAAUGGACCAACUUUCACUUUAUAGCUUUAUUGUAUAUGUUUUCACUUAAUAUAAUGACUAGGCCUAACCCCAUUUGGGAUUUGUGAAAUCCAAUUGAAGUUGAAAGAGAAUUGGACAAAUCAACAUAGUAUACACAUGUGACAGAGCAUGAUAAAAGUAUAUUGCUUCCCUUUAAAAGGGAGAAAAAUAUCGUUUGGGGACUGAAAAAAAAAAAAAAAAAGAAUGCAUAGCUUUGAAAUAGUUGCAACUUAAGUUUCCAAAUCAAAUUGCUUUUGAAGAUGCAUGAGAAGUGAAUUUAUUAUGCAGAUAAUGAUGUGGAAAGGGGAAAUUGUUUAUAGUUUCAAUUAUAUUAGUUUUAUAAAAUUAUAAAAGAAAAAAAAAAUCUUUUCUUUUCUUAUAGAUUUUUGGAAAAAAAAAUCCAACCUAGGGAGACCAAUAUUUUGCACAAUUCUAGAGAGUAAUUCUAUGCAAAAUAGAGUAGUAGAAACAAAUGUAAUGUCUGAAUCAAGAGCAUUUUUAUGCAAAUAUAAUUAAGUUCGGAGAUAAGUUAUUCAAAUGAUGGCUCUUAGAACAAGUCAUAGGGUAUGAUGUUGAAAGCAAAAAAAGAUUUGGUCUACUAUCGCCAAAUGCUAAAUGAUUUUCAAAUAAAGUGGUCAAAACUUGAUUUGACAAGUGGUAUCACAAUUAAAGGUCAUGUGAGCAUCAUGGUGAGGGAGGAAUUAUUGAGGUGCAAUAAUACCACUCUUAAGCUCAAAAAUGGGUCAACUAAAUCAUGAUUCUUAAAAUAGACGUGUAUAGUGUGAUGGAAUCAUAGAAAUCUUUCAAGCAACCUAGGGGUUUGAGGUAGGUUGAUGUUACAUUUUAGUUCUUAUUCUAAGUUGUUUGUUUCAAGGAUAUUUUUACAUGAUUUAAGUCUUCCAAGUAAAUAGAUCCAAGAUAGAUUAACAUUUUCGAAGGGUAAACUUUUUGGAAAAGUAAAAGGUGAUGGGAUUUAUGGGAGUGCAAUAAUGUAUGGGAAGAUUGUUUCCACCUUUCCUUUGGCUUAGAAAAUCUUUAAGGGUCCCAAAGAAUGUUAUGUAAAUCAAAACGGGUAUCAUAAAUCUAGGUGCAUGAAGCUAUUAUUUAAUUUACACACUUUCAAAUUUAUGAUUUUUAAAAAUAAAGUAAAAUAAAACUCGUUGCCGUUUGAAAGGUAUUAUAGCUACUUUUACAUGCACUUUAUUCCUUUUUCUUUUUAUCAUUACUAAAGCUAUAUGUAGGAGGUAUAGAGUUACUUAGUUCCCAAGCAAACGAGUUAAUAAUGGAAUAAAUAUAGACAUUAGGAUUAAUGCUCUUUCUUCUAACCCAAGAAAAGAAAGCUUAGGUCUUCUAACUUUGAAAAAGUGAAUAUGAACGCUCGGAAGGACCAUGGAACCCUCAUUAGGAUUAAUUAGGUCUUUCUACAAUUGCUCCAUAGUGCUUUAAUGAUAAUUUUUUUAAAAAAAUAGUUUAGUUAUGAAUACUAACCAAUGUUUACCCUAUAAUUCCACUAGCAAGCAAUAUGUCCUAGGAAAUAUAAUUGGACAAUCAUUUUCAAAGAAAAUACUAAGAACUAAGGGGAGAAGAAAAAAAUAAGAAAGGAUUGUAGUCGUAAUUGAAUUAUAAAAACUCUAAAAUAAAUUUUACAAAUAAAUAAGUAAUUUAAUUAAAGUAAUACAACACCUAAAGAUACUUUUCAUUAUUUAAAAGAAAAAAAACAAUUUUCAUGUGGUAAGACUUUAUCUAUAUGGUACCAAAAUCAAAUCAACAAUUUAUCAUUAACAUGGUCUUGUAUUGGAGAAUAAAUUCAAUACGAACUAUAUUCCACAACCUAAAAUAAAUUUCUAACAACUUCAUGAAAAUAUCAACAAAUUGAAUUGAUUGGUUGAAGGAAAAUAAAAUAUGGGAAUUAAACUACGUUAAAUCUUUUUGUAUACAAAAUGAAAAUAAAAAUUUUAUGAUUUUGGAUUAAUGUCAUUGAAGCAAGAUUAGACAGUCCAAGGUGCCUUUGCUUGGAAUACCUUUGAUUCUAAUUAAGGAGUCUUAUGAUAGUACAGGGUGAGAAGACCCCUUGGUUUGGAUGAAAUUUUAUUUUAGUAUUUGGCUAAAAUUAAUUUUCAAUUUCUAAAAAAUCAAUAUUGUUACAUUCUAUACAACAUACAUUUCUUAAAAUUUGGUGUAAUCUUUGGUUUUUGUGAACUUAAUAUGUAUGUCGAGGGCAAGUGUGGACAGUCCCACUUGAAGUUAAUUAAGAAUCAAAACCAUAGUAUUGACCAUGGAUUUUUUUUUUUUUAUAAAGGUUAAAGCCACUUGUUAUAAUACAAGGUGAUAACAUUGAUUUUUUUUAAAUAUUUUAAAAGAAAUUAAGGACUUUGGUUCACCAAAAUUCAAUAAAAUUUGUUGUCACAUUCUAUUACAUACACAUACCAAUAAUCAAGAUAUCCAACACAACGUUAAAAGAUUAAAUUGUAAAGUUGCUCCGUAUAACUACAUUAUAUUUUUGGCCAUGAUUCAUUUAACUAUAAAUAAAAUCUUUCUAUCAUAUAAAUAGAUAUAGGGUUCAAGAUCAUAAAAUGAAAAUGAAUUUCACUUAUUGAAAGAUUAAGAAUAUAGACCUCUAGAUGUUAUAUUUUGAUUUCUUUUAUAAAAAACAAAAGCAUUUAAUUAUUAAUUAGAUAAAGAACCAUGAAAAUGUCUUCCCCAUUGUAAUAAUCUUGUAACACUUUAUUAAAAGCAAGAAAUAUAUUACAACCAUCAAUUCCUCCUAGAAGUAGAAUAUUCUCAAAAAAGAGAUCAAAUAUUUUGUUUACCUCUCUAUCAAUGAUUAGGCCACUUGAUUAACUAAGUAAAGAAUCCGAUAAAAGAAGCAUCACAUCUCUAAGGUAAUAUCAAAGACUUAGGAAGACCUCUCAUAUAACUUUAAUAGAACUCUUUUUUCUUCUUUAUUAAAGAUAUUACCAUCCUCGAAUCUUCAUCUACUAGAAUAUUAGAGAGAUCCUCAACUUUUGCUAUUGUUUAGCCUUCCAAUAAGGCUAAAGUCUCUUACUCAAUGGCUAGUUCCUCUCCAACAUAUUUCAAGAGGGUUAGUACUAGUGUUCCAACAUGAUUCAUGGUAUGCACAUAGGAGUUCGCUCAAAUAUCACACAAGUUGUCGACCAAGAGGAUGAAGAAAAAUAGAAUAAAUUCCACAAUGACUUAAAGGUGCUUAGUCUAUCAUAAAAACUUUUCUAAUUAUAUUUCUUUUUAGUCCAUAAUAAGAUAGUACUACCAAUGCACCAAAUAACUUUAUACAUCUAGGAAAGCUUCCAAAGAAUUGAUCAAAAGUAGUUAGCAUCUCCACCACACUUCUAGUUGGAACUCAAUCAAUCCCUAUAAGUUUCAACAUUCAAUGCCAUAAUGUCAAUACCGCAUCAAGCAAUGUAGACAUAGAUGAUCCAUUAAUUCCCUUCUCUUCUUAUGCGUAACACAUCACUCUGAGUUGUGGUUCUUGUAAAGUCUCCUCUUCUAUUGCAAUUCUUUUGUAUUAACCUUCUAUUUACCACCUGCCAUGUGAAGGGCUUGACUUUUGAAUGAGUUUGAGAUUUUUAGACAAUUUGUAAGGGCAAAGAGAUCAUUCAAGUUGAUGAGACCAAAAGAGCUUUAAUUAAAAAAGAAUGAAUUGAAGUGGAGGAUAUCAAGAAUCGAACCCUCUCAUAAGGAAAAGUGAAUGACAAAUAUGGAUUGACUAAAAUCAACAUCAAAAGACUAAAUUAAUUAUUCUAUUUCAUGGUCCAAAAGGCUUCGAAGGUUGGAAAUGGCUGCUUAAUUAGUUUGAUUAGCUGAUUAAGACCAUAUAUAUACUUGGGUUUACGGUCAAACUUUUAAGAUAAACGUUCAGAAGGUUCUUAUAAUUCAACUUUUGUGGUACAAUGGGGAAUUAGGGAAAUAUAUCCCGAAUAAAGCCAGUUUUCCGUGAUUUAGAACAACAGCAGACACUUGGUCAAGAGAAUCAAAUUUUUGCUCCAAUUAAGGCCAUCAAGAAGCUUUUGUAAACCCCUGAUGCAUCACGUCUAACUACAUCAUCGAGACUGGUGUUGUUCAUUUUGAAGUACUCUCCUUUGAUCUUCGUCAUAUCAAUUUCAGCCUGAGUCACAAUUGCUCUUGUCAAUGAAUCUUCAUCUUUAGUCCAGUACCCAACAGUGGAGGCUCUAAUGACCUGAUGAUGGAUCAUGCAAUAGAGAAAGAUAAUGCUCAUGAGAAGCUUACAUAUUAAGCUUUAAUAAAAGAAAUACGAACUUUCAUGGAAGAAGAAAGUCUUCCAUUGGAAUAGUUUCAGACCUUCUUGAACAUCCAAUGGCAUGCAUUAAAGCAACUUCAACAAACAUUUAGAAGUUUCUUAUGUGCACACCUGAAUUAAACUCACAAAUGGCAAAACCACAUUAAUCUUGCUGUGUUUGGUUUGCUGAGACAAAAAAGGGAAGAGAAGAGAAAUUGUUUUAGCCUAACAAUAGUUUGGAACAAGACUAACAACUUGGAUUUCUAAGGUCCAAAGUUUUUCUUCUCUUCCCUUAACUAUUAUUCCAUCACCUCAGCAAAAUGUUUCUCUGGGGAAACAAUGCACAAAAUUACUCCUCGCAAUAUAGAGCCCAAAUCACCAUUUCCACUGCUAUUAAUGGCCUGUCAAAAAUUUAUAAAAGUUAAUUUUUAGUAUUAAAAAAAAAAAAAGAAAAGAAAGGAAUUAAUCUACCUAUUGAUUGUCUAGAAGUCAAACCUGAUCAAUAGCAACUUCGUAGCUUUGCUUGUAGCACACAAAAGUUGCUUUAAGUUGAAAGAAAUUCCUUGUUGUCAGUAUCCACACAACAUCAUCAUGAUCUAAUUGGUUCUUUUCAAUGGCUUCAUGUAGCUUAGCUACCUCAGAUUUUGCAAGAUUAAAGUCCACCAAUUCUCUAUCAUGCCUAUAUGAGCUCACUAGACCCACUAGAAGUUAUGCAUCACCCACAAUACAAGUCAAUCUAGGGAGUGAAAACGUAUAAUGCUAGAAGAUUAUAACAAUGGUAUAUAUAAAUUAUACCAACCCAUUUCCUCCCAUAUAAAUAGUAUCUGCUUUGUACUUAAUGAAUACACAUGGUUUUAAAACGUGUCUACACUAAGAGGAGUCUACUAUAUAUAUAAUGUCUAAAAAAUUUUCCUAUGUUGGAUGUGUGGUAUUAUAAUCACCCUACCACCUUGGCAGACACAAUGUCCUUGUUAUGUCAUUUGUACGAGUUUGUGAAGCCAAAUAAAUGGACAUCCCUUGUAGAAUCAGACAAACAAAGUCACACACCAGGAUUAAGAGUCACCUUUGAUAUUAGUCCGUAACAUGCUCCCAUAUACAUAUUGUUUGCUCUGGGUUUAAUAAGUUAUUGGAGCUUUAAAACACAUUUAUACCAUUAAGAGAAUUUCAAUUUAUAUAUAUAGCAUUGGGAACUUUUUCAUAUGUGGGAAAUCACAUAAAUAGCACACAUAAUGGUCCUUGUAUCAUGUGCAUACCUCCUAUGUAUUAGGAUUAAGCUUAUUUUGACAUGCUUUUCUGUUGAUGAAAAGUCAUGAAUUUGAAAUGGUAAGCCCAAUAUUAAUGAUAAGUAAUCAUGGUGAAAUGAUACUGUCAAAGCUGUAACUUAAAUUAGUUUGAUAUAAUAUUAUUGACUCAAAUUAAUUAAUAGUCUAACAUGAUAUAUCACCUUUUGGAGAGAAGUUGAGAUGUUGGAUGUGAUGUCUUCUUCCAGAGAGCAUUCGUAUAAAGAGUAGUAAGCCUGCCUCACUGCCAUUAGAUGGUCCGGGGAUGAUGCACAUGCUAUCUCUACCAAUACCUGCAACUGAUUUAUUUUCUUCCUCUUCCUUUUCAAGGCAUUGUUUGCCAAUAUCGCAUCCCUUUCGGGGGCUUCAUUCAUCCACAAGAUCAUUGCUGUCUGUUAUCAAACAUUUAUUAUAUAGUUUUGAAUAACUCAUUCAUCAAUUUGUACAUGACUAAGAACUAUGUAAAAAUUUGAACCAUUUAUAGGUCCAUAAUUAUUGAUAAGUUGUAUCAAUCUAGAGAUCCAAGGGACAAUAAGAUUUGUCAGAGGGAAAGAAAACUAAUCUAUUUUUAAGAGCAUUUCAUUUUAUUAGAAUGAUAGUCAUAAAUCUACCAUAUUAUCUGACCAGCUCCAUUCAAAUUAUUUAUUAGACAUGUAAUUAGAACCAUUAAUUGCCAUUCAUAUAGCUCAUGUAUAUAACCAAAAUCAAUCAUCCUCCAUAAAAUUGGGGCUAAGGUAUGAACACAAAGUACCUUGAGCACACCAGAAAGUUUAGAUUGAAGACGAUGGAUGAUGGACUCUUUAUAAAGCUGUUGAUAAGUGUCUUUGAUCUGCUUCCUUUGGAUUCCAUUCCUGUGUCCCAAUAUCCAUACUAUCACUUUUUCAUCCACUCCUCUCCCUACCCAUAUCCACAGAACCAAGAAAAAAGUAACCAAGAGGAUUUGAACUUCAUACAAUCAUUACAUUAUGUUGGUCUAUAUGCAUAAAAAAACUGAACAGAUAAAUGAAGGCAGAAGAAAAGAAAAAGAAGAAAGACCUUGUAAAGCUAGACUUAAGUCUCUCACUAUCUUGGGCUGGAGAAGGAAUUGAAUCAAGUAGUCUAAGUGAAGCCAUUCUCAUGUUUUUGCUUUGGGAAAGCUAGAAACAGACUCAACUUUAUAUAGAAAAGAUGCUAUUGGGUCACCUUUAGGAAAGAAGCAUUUGUGUCAACACCUUUUCCCUCGUCUUUUUUCAUGGGAAAUACUGGAAGCUCAAAUAUUAAUCUAUAAUGCAAUGCUACUCUCUACCAAUUCUUUCAAGUGGAUCUUUAAGGAGUAUAUGGUAUAUAAACUCUUUGUUUUAUAAAGAGAAAUUUUACACUAUCAGAGGAGCAAUUCAGUAGUUUCACUUGGAUCUUAAAAACUGUGAGAAGAAAGAAAUAUGUUAGGUGUUACUACUUACUGGAAUGGUUAUUUCUUUAAGCUUAUUUGCUUUUUUCAUUGCAUUAGAACCUCAUUAGUCUAUUUCCAACAUCAACUGAUUAAUGUUGGUUGGACCUGUUAUGUGGAGCUACCUUUACCUCCUAUUAGCUUAGGCUUUAGGGAGUGUAUAUGGUCUCGCAUCAUUUGGUUUCAAAGCGAGAUUGGGAAUCAGCAAUUGAAACAUAAAUAUGGGCAUUAACAAUUUACUAAGGAUUUUUGACAUAGGACAAACAAAAGUCCAAUGCCCCACAUUGGCUGGCUGCUAACAUUGAUUGAGCCUUAUUUGCGGAGGUACUCUACCUUUCAUUAGCUUAGAGGUUCCGUAUCAUAUUCACUUGGAUAUAUAAAACACUUCAAUUACAAAUAUAAAAAAUUUUAUAAUGUUAAUAAUCAAACACCUUUUAGUGUUGAUGUGAGAUUCUCUAGAAAAGUAGUAAUGGUUAAACUAUAACAAAAUUUUGCGGAAUAAGAUAUGAGAAUAGGCACUUUAACGAUGUUGUAAUUAAUUUUUUAUGAAAAACCUAUACAUAUAAUUAAGAAAGGGCUUCUAGAGGAUUCUUUCCAAGUAUAUUAGACUCAUUUCACAAGCUAUUUCAAGAUCUAGUAUUUAUAACCAUCAAAUAACUUUUUAUAUCACCAACUUUAUAAAAAAGAAAAGGUGAAUGGAUAUCAUAAAGGUGCAAUGAGGACAAGAUAAUUCCAUUUUCCUUUUCCCUUCAUUGGGUUGGAAGGGAAUAUUUAAUUUAGCUUGAAAAAAAAAAAAAAAAAAAAAAAACUCUUUAAGGACCCAUAAAAGAACAUCUAAAGCAAUGUUUAUGGUUAAUUUUACAAGUCUUUGUUCUGACAAACUGGGUGCAUAAACUUUUUGUUCCUUCUUUUUCAAUUUUAUAAUUUUGUAACUUUAUUCUUUUUCUAGACCCACUUAGAAGUCAUAUUUGAAUAAAUUCCAAACGUCACACUUCUUUAGUGAACAAGCAUCAUUGUUAUAUAUAUUACUUCUUUUGAGAUUUUAGUACUAGAAAAAAAAAUAUAUCUAAAUGAAAAUUUGAGUUGAAAGAAGUAAUUUUUUUCCUUUAAAUUAGAUCAAUCAAGAAGAUAAUUAAAUCUAAUUGAAAAGUAACUAGAUUACAUUGAGAAGUAAUUUUGUUCACGCACUUCCCACAAGAUCAUUAUAAAUCUUAUUGAUUAAGAUUAAUUUUCAUUUGAUGAAAUGACUUAAAGUAAAAGUGUUCCUUCCGUAUGCAGUAGUACAAUCCAUAUUUCUUUUCUAAAUCGUUUCUCAAUUAUUAGUAUCGGUAUUGAUUUAAUGCUACAUUCACAAGUAUAGAUUGUCCGUCAAUCAUUGUCAUGAGAUAAAAUAUUCUCUUAUAAAAUAUUAGUGGGCUACUUUCGUAUAUGGUAAGUUUCUUUGUUCCAUAUAUAGGAGUGAUAUACGUUUUUCCAUUGUUGAGUAAGACCCAUUGUUUGAAAUAUCAGUAAACAUGGAUAUAUCGGUAUUUGGAUUUUACGGAUAUAUCAGAAAUAUCGGUGGAUAUUUUUACAUAAAUAUUGGUGAGACGAAAAUUAUUCAAAAUUGAUGGGAAUGCUUGGAAAACUUCAAAGAAUGACAAAAUAAGCAAGAAUACACAUGUUAAAAUUAUUUUGUAAGUAUAAUUGAAAUAAAUAUGGUAAAAAAAAUAUCGGUAAUAUAUAUCGAUAGAUUCAAUACUUGGAUUUUAAGAAUAUAAAAUAUGAAUUUUGGAAUUGCACACUUAGCAUGCUAGAAUUGAGUUAAGAAGUAUUUGAUUUUAUUAAAUGAAAACAAUCUAUACAUAAACAUAAUACAUAUAACAUUAUAAUAGUCCUUAAUACCAAAAUGAAGAUUGAUGUGGUUUUAUCAUAUUGUUAAAUGAAGGGAGUCCAUCCUAUUAAAAACAAUAUUCAUACUAGGACAUGGAGUUUCGAUAGUAUUGAUUGUAAGUACAAACAUGUCAUGCAUAAAUUUCUUGAGUUCUACCCACAACUUGUCCAUGGAUGGGAAAUCCAAGGUUUUCCCAUGUGCUCAUUUGAAACUCUUGUUGUUGCAUCUCAUAUGGAAGGUAGUACAACAUUUGUGUAGAAGAAGGAUAGUUAUAUCUUUCAUACUCUCCAUCAAUGGAACUUGAAAGAUUUGGAGGAAGCUGACCACAACUCAUUGCAUAAAGGGAAUAAAUGUUGGCUUCAUUUGAUGAGUCAUUGAAUUGAGUCUCUAUACUCAUUGACUCAAAAUUGGCCAACAAUGAGUCCUCGUUGUAUGGUGUCAUCCUUUGUCGUCUUCCUCUAUAUGGCUUUCCAAUGGCUCUAACACUUAGACCAACUCUUCUAGAGUCGUGGUCUUCAUCUUGAGUACAGUGUGAAAUCAUCUUCAUAAGUAAAUGUCAAUGGUUGUCCACUUUGCUGCUAUUGUCUAACAUCCUUUCCAUCAUUUCCAAGGUCACUACUAUCACUGGUCUCCUCUCCUCUUAAACCAUCAUAACCGGAAGCAGAAGUACUAGCAGCACUAGGUUUGCUACUAUGUUCAACACUCAUAGAGUCAAACGAAGGUCGAGAAGUGACUAUCAGUUGAGAAGUUCCUUGUAGAAAUGAAUCUCUCAUGUCUUGGUGGAAACUAUCAGUAUGAACUUUAUCGGAUAAUAGUCGCUCAAAAUCAACACUUGUUUCUCGGACAUGUGUGGCAAUUCGUGGGUCAGAAUUUCCAUCUUCAUCAUCUAAAUGAAGAAGUCUAACCCAUUGAAACAAUUGGUUAUCUUCUUAUUCACCAGCCUUAGUUGUAAUGUCAAGUAAAUUGAGGUAAUCUUUCUCCACAACUUUGUCAUUUUCUACUUCCAUAUCACGGAUCUUUAGUUUCAUGUUAUAAUAACAUAAAACUAAUUGUUGGAGCCUCGGGUAAGCAAGCCGAUUUCUUUGCUUUGUAUGAAUUAAGGCAAACGUGCUCCAAUUUCUCUCACAAGUUGAAAAUGACACAAUUUGCAAUAAAACCUUGAUGGCCAACCUUCUUAAUGUAGGAGUGUGGUUUCCAUACAUGAACCACCAUUCUACAACCAAAUAAAUGAUAUCAAUACUUAUAUUAGAAAGUUGCAAUAAUAUGCUAAUGUAAUGUAUUAUUAAUUCACAAAUAAUACUCAUCGGGAACCAUUUUUGACCUUGAAAUAAUCGUUGCUUGAUCACUGAAUCCUCUAUUUGCAUCUCGGAAUAGUAUAAGCUACAUAUUAAAUAAUUGAAAGUCAAAAAUUGAGUAAAUGAAAUUCAAUUAUUUAAUUUAUAUUAUAACUAUAAUCAUUUACCUCAUUUCCAAAUUGACUAAGAUCUUCUGCUACAGGAUCUAAUUUCGCAAAGACUUCAUGAACAACUUGAAGUAGACCAGGAUUAAUACCAACUCCACGUUUAUAUUGAAACCUUGGAUUAAGAAAGAAUGGUACAAUAGUAAAGUAGAAAUGUAGAAUUAGAAUGUUAUGAAAGAAACAUAUUAAAUACCAAUAACUUUUGAAGAUGGAUAAUACUUAGUUACUUGCUACAUGAAAAUGAUGUUUAAUAGUUCUAUCCCAACAAUUUAUGAUUAUUUCUAACAUCCAUUAUUUAGCAUUAAAUCAAUGAAGUUCUCUUUCAUAACUCAAAUCAAUUUGUACACAAAUGGCAUUGUAGGAAUAACUUCUAAAUCGACAAUGCGAAGAACCAUGUAUAGUGCCUCAUAGAUUGACACUAGCUUUCCCACUCUCUCCUAGUACGCAUGGUCAAACAUAAGUUUUUCAACCUCUUUACCGAUUAAUGUACGACUUAACUUGUGUUGUGCCCGUUCAUCACUGAUAAACACUUCCUUCGAACUCACUUUCUUUUUCAAAAAACUGUCGAAGGCAAUAUAAUUGGUUGCAAAUCUUGUUGCUCCAAGGCCAACUAUGUCUCCACCACACACCUUCUACAUAUGUGCAACCAACCAACUAUGGUUAUAGAUGAAGUUGGUUAUCUUUCAAGCCUUUGUAAUCAUAUCUGCAAUACUCGGCCUUUUACCGAUGUCUUCGAACAUUAAGUCGAUGCAAUAUGCUGCACACAUAGUCCAAUAAAGAUUGUAUUUCUUCAUUAAUAGCUUUCCCCCCCUUCAUGAAUGCUGACGCAUUAUCCGUAACUAUUUAUACCAUAUUUUGUUUGCCAACUUCCUUGAUCACAUCCUUCAAUAAACCAUAUAUGUAUUUGUUAUCCUUUAUAUAAUUUGAUGCAUCAACAAAUUUGAAGAAGAUUGUGCUACCUUUUGAAUAUACCAUGAAAUUAAUUAGGCUUAAUUUCACGAGCUCAGUCCAUCUGUCACACAUAAUUGUGCAUCCAUAAGUCUUCCACUUUUCUCUUUGAAUAUUGACAUAAGCUUCCAUGUCUUUGUACUCCAUAUCCAAGUACUUGUAUUUGAUUUCAUAAGAAGAGGUGGUUCUAUACCCAUACCUAUCAUCCAUAUAUAAUUAAAGCAUAUAAGAACAUUUGUGGCAAUCAUACUUUAUAAAUAAUAAUGAUAUUGUUAAAAUGAAUACAAUUUUUAAAAUUAUAGUAAUUACCUGCUUAUUGUGGACCAACAAUCAUGUUCUUGAAAUGGUGAGAGUCUACUUCAUUGGGCACAACAAUCUCAUAUAUGAAGAACUUACUGAUCAAACUUCCCAUGGUUUCCUUGAUGGCACCACCUUUGAAAAGAUUUUUCACAUUUUUCUGUCUUGCUGCUAAAGAUUUGUACAAUGAUAGUGCACUAGGCAGUGAUGGAUCCGAAUAUUGAACACUUUGCGAUAUUCGCAUAUGCCUUGUUGGAUUAGUUGGAUGUGAAGACUCACCUAUUAUGAUUAUUAAAAUUAAACAUAUAUGUUAAUUUAAUAUUAUUGAUAAAGUUGAUAAGAAACAGUAAUGAUUCAAAUUAAUAUUAUACUUGUUUUUCUUUUGCCUCUUACAAAAUGUUUUUCUUGUUGGCGAUUCCAUUCGGUAGCUUUUGAUGCUCGAACCGUCGCUCUAUAAGCAUGUCGCUCAUCAAGGUGCAUGUUAGUUGAAUACAUAUACACAUCAUCAUCAUCUCCAUCAUCAUCAUGAUCAUCAAGGUUCUAGUCAUCCUCCUCAUCAGUUAUAUGUUUAUGUCUUCCUCCCAUUGUGUCUCGCAAUUAAGCUCGAAUCUCUUCUAUAUCUACUGGUUUCUUCUCUUUUGCCUUUUUUUUUUCCUCUAGAAGUCGUCUUAUUUCUUGUUUCACUUCUGGAGGCACGUUAGGACAUUUUUUUUGUAUUUGAAUGAGGGUCUAUAUGUGAUAGGUAAAAUUUAAAGCGAGUAAUCUCACCACUUUUUAUUGUCAACCCAUAAUAAUUGUAUACUAUUCCAUUUUUGUUCUCUUCCAUAAUUGUACAAUAUUUCCAACAAGGAUCUUGACCUAUGAUACCACUUCCACUAGCCAUUUUCUAAACAUGUAUUUUAAAUUCCUAUAUGAAACUAAUAUCAAAUUUAAAAUUAUUAAAGAUAAAACAUCUAAGAAAUUUAAUAUUAAUAUUAUUCAUGAAAUUGAUAAGAAUCACUACAAAUAAAAAUUGAAAUUAAAAGUGAAUUAUGCAUAUAUAAAAUAGAUAAACAAUACAAUUAAAUUUUUAUAUGAAUUAAAUUUAAAUUAAAUUACAUUAAAUUGAAUUAAAUAAAUUUUCCACAUUCAUGAAAUUGAUAAGAAUCAUUACUAAUAAAAAUUGAAAUUAAAAUUGAAUUAUGCAUGAAAUAGAUAAACAUUUCAAUUAGAUUUCCAUAUGAAUUUAAUUUAAUUUUAAAAUUAUUAAAAAAUGAAACUAAAUAUGCAUAGAUGUCAAAUCAAUUUCCAUUCCAUAUGAAAUUUAAUGUUAAUAUGAUAAAUUUUUAAAUUAGAUAAUAUUAAUUAAACUAUACAUAAAAAAUAAAAUUGAAUUAUGCAUAAUAAAAAUAAAUUUUAUGAAAGGUAAAACAUACCUUAAUUAGCAUUGACUUGGAGUUAAUCCCCUUCACCACCAAAUUUUCAAAAUUUAAAAAUUUUGGUAGAGAUCAAAAAAAUAAAAAUUUGGAGCAAUAGAAUAAAAUCAAAUUUUUAUGUAUGAAAUGGAAUGGUUUGUGAGUAUUUAUAGGAUUUUUUUUUGGUCAAACUAGCCGUUGGAUGGUUAGAUCACAAACCUAACCAUUGGACACCUUUACAAAAGCAUGGGUGAAAUCUGGGCCAUUGGAUCAUCAAAAAUUCAAAUAUGAUCGUUAAAUGAAUUUUCAAUUUAAAAAAUAAAAAAAAACGCUUGAAAAAAUCUCAGAUUUUUUCCAUUUCUUCCCGUUGCUCAUUGAGUUGCUCCAUGGUCGAUUUAAUCUUCGAUUUAUUGGUUCCAAACCGAUAUAUCACUGAUAUUUCAAUGAUAUUUCUAACAUUUUCUCGAAAUUCCUCCCGUUCGAUAAUCAGUUCUCAAAAUCGUUUUGGGGUCAUCCAAUAUCCGAUAUAUCGAUGAAAUAUCGCCAAUAAAAUUUGAAAUUUCAAUCCUUGGUAAGACCUAAAUUAGAUAACCUCUAAGAAUAUAAAAUUCUUUGAAUAAGAAUAAUUUCCUUCAAGGAGUUUGAUGCUUAUAAUUUACGUUUAUAAUGUAAAUUAUAGUCUUUAACACCUCUUAAGUACGGUCAAAUAAAUGUCCUUGUAGUAAUGUUUGAACACAUGAUCUCUGAUCAAAUGAGAUUGUGAUAUCAUAUUGGACAAUCAUAUUUUCUAAAAGUUUAACUUUAUAGAAUUUGAGCCGAUAAUAUCAUGAUUUCCAACUAUAUUGAUUUUAGGAAAAACCAUUUCUUGAUUUAUGCAAGCAAAUGCUUUGUUUAGUGUGAACUUUCAUAAUAUAUAUAUAUCAACAUUGUUCUUCGAAAAUCAUGAUAUCGACUUCAAUUUCAAUUUUAAUUGAAGUAAAAUACAUAAAAUUAUAACACCAAAUUAAUAUCUAACCGUAUCCAUCUAAAAAUGCUCUAUCUUCCAAGCCAACAAAGAAAGCUUAACUUUCUAACUUAAAAGGUAGAAUUUUUAGAACCGUGGAGACACCCUUUAAUGUGUUGUUUCCCAAAAUCAACCCUUGUCUUAGUCCUGAAAAUGAACCAACAAUAGCUAAGCAUCUUACUUUCAUGUGUUAAGGGAAUCUUCAAUUAAUAGCUCCAUUAGUUCUUUAUCAAUAGUGAAGCAAGUGACUUGAGUUUCAAGGUUCAACUUUAUUUCCCAUGUUCCCUAACAAAUCAAAUAGUGUGAUGACUCCUUUUUUAUUUGUCCUAGCAUGUCCCUAGUUUGUUCUUAAUUUUUAAAUUCAACAUCUAGCUUAUAUAAUAACAUUAAAUUUAAAAAAAAAUUAUUUUUUAACAACUAUAUGCAAGAGGUACCACAUUUAGAUUAUUGAAUGAUAUUAGACACACUAAUUUAGAGAGAAAAAUCACUCCACCAUCAAUGGAAAGAGAGGGUACAUGAAAAACUUUAUUGCCUCCUCCAUUCACCCUUUGUUGAGGCACAUUGUGCUCCUAUAAUUAUUAAUUGUCUUCAUGAAAUUAGUCAUUCCAAUUUAGAAAUUGAUCAUUUCACCCCUAAAUUAGUCACUCAUCUUCUAUUAUCCCUAAUUUCACUCUCAAGGAUAGAAUUAUAAAUCAUUUGUUAAAUUAGCCUGUACUAUGGUCCCAUUGCUUUGUAUCUUUGGUCUUUAUUACCUUUCAUUUUGGACCCACUUCUUUAUGCAUUUGGACCAAUACAAUUGAACCAUUAUUCCUAUAGCUUUGUACUAAAGUUCUAUUGCUUUUGUAUCAUGCUCGUAUUUGUUUGUACCAAGGACCUAUAUAUUUAUACAAUUAAAUAAAUUGGUUAUUCUCAAGUCCAAUUUCAUUGUGCUAUAGUAUAUAUUAAAGCAAUAACCCUCUUAUAUAAUUGAUCAUCAUGGUAAAGAUAUCACCAAUAUCUCAUGGCAAGAAUUGGAUAGGGUACAAAAUGCAAUCUAUUUAAUUCAAAAUAUUUUAUUUACACCUAAACUCUAUGCCAUAAUUUUUUUUAAAAAAAAAGGAAAAUUAACAUCGUAUUAAUUAAAAACAAUACUUUUGGAGCUCCCUUUUUCAAUAGUUGUUUUUACUUUCCUUGUAUUUUGCUUAACGAAUUUCUUCUCUAGUAUCCACAAAUAUAUUCGAGAUAGCUUCAAACACCCACAAGCAUAUAGAGAGAAAUAGAAGCAAAAUGUCUUCUCUUAAUAAUUAAAAAAAAUUAAGGGUUGAUAAUUUUAAGAGUUGGUAUUAUGAUUGAUUUUUUUCCCCAGUUAUGAGUGGAUGUAAUUAUGAUGAAAUAUCAAUAUUAGGUUGUCAUUGUAGUAAAAUGACAAUCUUGUAUUUCGUAAUCUUAAUUAUUGAUGUUAUGUGCAUGAUUGGUCAAAUAUGCAUGCAUCAUAUUUAAUGUCUAUAUCUCUUCAUAUUCUUAAUUGACCUUUAUGUUAUUUAUAUUUGGGUAUAUAUAUUUAUUUAUUUUUAACAUUUUUAAUAUACUCCUUAAAGUUUUUAAACUUAAAUAUUUUCUAAAAAUCAAUGAUCAUAUAUUGAGGAGGGGCAUUUUAGCAACCUUGAUUUUUUCAUCAUAAAAAAAUGGAGAUUGUUAAACCAAGAUUUGGUUAAUCUCCAUUUUGAUGAUAAGAAAAUAAAGCUUGAAACUAAUAUUUUAUCUUAAAUGUGUUUAGGCAAGAAGAUUUAUAAAGUGGUAAUCAUAAAGAUAAAAUAAGUCAAAAGAAAUUCAAAAAGAAAAUGAAGACCUCAAAUAAGAAAUCACUGAAAACCCAUUCCUUAGGAUCUCUUUGUAAGGUUGUUGAUACAUUUGGAUUAUACGUUGUAUUUUUAUUGAUGCACCUACAAUCAUCCAAGAGUUAAAUUGCCUUAAAAUAUUUUAUAUUUGGAGGAUUUCAUGUUUUUAAUCAAAACCUUAAGUCAAAUUCUUUAUAAACUUGCUUUAAAGGUUUUAAGUUGUUUUACCCAAGUUUUUAGAGGUUCCAAACCUCAAAAUCGGAUUAUUUGAGCAUUUCACAAUGCGACAUGUUAAGGUCUAGGAAAUUGGUUGAGCCAAGUGGACUUUAUUAAUUGAGGGGCAUUUUGUACACCCUUGAUUUCUAGUAGCAAGUGUUUAACAAGUUGAGACCAAUUAAAAACUAGUCGAGUUUCGAUCAAGACUCAAUUGAAGCCUUGAACCCCUGAUUAAUACUCAAAAAGUACUCUUUUAUAGCUUGAAACUAACUGUUUUAAACACUUUUGAGUAGUAGUUAAUACCUUUUGGCUCAAUUGGCACAUUAAGGAACCUAGCAAAGGUUACUAAUCAGUUUUUGGCAAGUUUUGGUGUUUUUGGUAGCUCAAAGCUAUGACAAUGCAAGUUAAAGCUAAAAUACAUGAAGAAUCCAAGCUUUGGAGCAUUUCAUAGCCCUUUGCCAAGCCAAUUAGAGAUGCAAGGAAGAAAACCAAAGGAAGAAAUUCAACAACCAGCAGUUUCGCAUGGUUGUGCGAAAUUUCACACACCAUGCGAAACCACUUGAAGCAGCCAAAGGAUUUCGCGCACCAUGCCAAAUUUUGCAUGGUAUGUGAAAUCUUCCUGUGCACUGACUCCGUUAGAUUUUUAUCUUAAGAUAUUUUGUGUAAUUUCCUAGUUUCUCCUUGUAACCAACCUAGAUAUUUUCUUUUAUAUCUUUUUAUAUAUCUUUUAGGUAGCAUAUAUAUAAGGAGAAAGAGAGGAGAUGAAGAUGUAUGUUUUUUUAUUGAACACUUGUAAACCCCCGUAGUAAGAAAUAUACAAAGCUUGUGUUCUACCUUUCCUUCUCAUUUUGUUUUCAUUUUUCUUUCUAGCCAAACAACCUCUGAGGAUGAUUUCUCAAGGGAUGAGUGGCUAGGUUUUACGUUUCUUGGAGUGAUGGAAGCUAGGUGAAGGACCCAAAUGCAAAGGUGGAAGUUGUCCUUGCUUUAAAUGAAAGUAGUUGUUAAGCAUUAAUGGUUUUUAUUUCAAGGUUUAGUUUUAAAUCCCUUAAAAUCACCUUGAAUGGCCAAUACUUGGUAAGCUUUUCGGAUUCUAUGGAUGCUUAUUGCUAGAUCUAUAGAUGUCUAUUAGUUAGCAUUUACGAGUCAUUGGAAGGUGGUUCAAGGUUAAAAUCACCUUGAAUGGCCAAUACUUGGUAAGCUUUUCGGAUUCUAUGGAUGCUUAUUGCUAGAUCCAUAGAUGUCUAUUAGUUAUCAUUUACAAGCCAUUGGAAGGUGGUUCAAGGGUCUUUAGUGUUUGAAGCCAUUAAUGGGAAGCAAUUACCAUUUUUUAUGAACCCUUUGGAUCAAAUCUUAAUUGCUAAAUACAAAACCGGUUCGGGAGAUAACCAUCCUUUAUGUUAUUGUCCCCAACGCGAGGAGAAAAUCCGGAAUCUCCCCCUUUGCCUAAGGAACCGAUCCUAGUGACCUAAAGCUCCAAGAGACCUUUUCUUUGUAGUUAACUUCACUUAUUAUUUUUGCUUAACUUAAAAUCAAUCUUUGCAACCACAAUUCCAUUUUCUUUACAAGCUAAUUUUCAUAAGAAAAAGCACCAUUUUAUUUCCUUCAGUUAAGUCAACUGUACGAUGAAAACUCAUCCCCGUGGACGAUCCUAGAGCCACUAUACUAUGUUAGCUAUGCUACUCUAGUGUGAGGUGAUUUAGGUUUUAUAAAUUUUGUUGAUAACACCUGUCUAAGCCAGAAUCAAAUGGCAUGACUGCAAUGGGGACAAAUCAACACCAAUGGUCAAUUGCUUACACAAUUAAUGCACAAAGGAUAGUGAACUAGUCAAGUUGAUGCUCAACCAAUCAAACCCCAAACUAUGCCUAUGGCUAGUUUGGGCUUCCCUCUCUUAUAAAAAGGUUUCAUUCUUCAUUGUUUAAGAGAGUUUAACAUUCCAAAAUCUUUCUUGGUUAUAUUUAAGCCUUGGGGGAGUGUUUUUUUAAUGCACCUUAUUUCAAAGUUUGUAUAUCCAUUUAGUGCACCUUAUUUCAAAACUUGCAUAUCCAUUUAAAUGCACCUCAAUCUUAGUUAUUCUUCAUAUUAUUUGAGCUUAGCUUAAAUUUGUACUAUGAUCUUGUGAGAUUAUAUUUCCUAUCAAUUUGUAACCUUUGCAAAGAAAGCUUAAGUGUGGGGAAUCACUUAACAGAAAAAUUUAAGUAUAAGGUAUCACUUAGUGUUUGCCAAAUAUGGGACAUCACUUAAGGAAUUCAAAAGUGAGGCAUCUCUUGAAGAAAUUUGUAGUGUCCAUUAGAGUUGAAAAAUCCAAUUAUAUAUCUUGAAUACUUGUAUUGGAAGUCUUAGAUUAGUGGAACUCUCACUCAAUUAGGAGCUUAAGGAGAGUGGACAUAAGUUAGGUUGUGUUAAACUACCAUAAAAUCCAACGUCUACAAUUUCUCUUCCUUACUCUCUCUAUUUUAUAUGCAAUUAAUUUUCAUUAUAUUUGUUAUACAUUUGCAUAUAAUUGUCACUUGCCUUACAUAGCUUAAAUUUGCUAAAAGUGACCUUCACCCAUUCACCUUUCCCCUCUCUCUACAAUGAUUACUUGAGGUUGAGCUAGCUAAAAUCCUAACAAUUAGGUAUGCAUUUAGUAUAUGCAAUCCAAUUUAAAAAUGGUUAUAAUAAAUUGAAAAAAAAAAUGAAAAGCAUAGAAUCCACUUUUUUGUAAAUAGCCCUACUAUUUACCCAUUUUCCCGUGCAUUAUCAAUCCUAUAUCUUAUUCCCUUUCAUUUCCCUAGUCAUUACUCUUCCGUUGGUUUCCUAUUGUAACCAAACUUCUACAAUGCUUAUUCUUACCCAAUGCAUCCUCUCCCAUUCUUACCCUCAUUCUUUUACUAGAUUCCAAGAACCAAAGAAGACAAAUUAUGAUGACUCCAAUAUCUUUUAAUUGAAGUAACUUAGUAAGUGGGUGUUUGGUAAAAACUUAAUACUUAUUACUUAAUAAUGACUUAAAUUGACUUUAAGUUAAAUUAUUCAUAAAUUAUUAAUUUAAAACUUAUCACUUAUUUUUUACAUUAAGUAUUAAGGUUGUUUGAUAAAGUUAAUUUAAAGUUGAUUCUAAAUCACCAAAUUGAAAUAUUUACCCUUAUUAAUUUUAAUUAAUAUUUAUAUUUUUACUAAUUUUAAAUAAUAAAUUUAUUUGUUAAACAUUCAUAUUUAAAAUAUUGUACAUAUAUAAAUUAACUAUAAAAAUAUUUACUAUAAAAAAUGAGUUAUAAAUAUAGAGCCAUAAUUGUAAAAUAUACUCUUAGUAAAUAUGGACAAAUGUUAUAAAAGAGAUUUAAGAUUAAAAAUAAAUUCAUUAUUUUGAAUUAAUACUUAAAAUUAUUUUUUACUUUAAAUUUUGAUAUUAAGUUAUUUUACCAAAUAUAUUUAAUGACUUAAAUUAAGUCAUUAAAUCAUUAAUUCACCAAAUUGAUUUACCAAACAUCCUCUAAAAAGGAAAUUAAUAACAAAAGUUUAACUCAACUUAAAUCUUAAAACAAUGUCUAACUAGGAAAAUUUCAAUAGAGUUUCCCUCUAUUUUCUCUCAAAAUGGCCCCCACACCCUCUCUGCUCACAACGCUUAUGCAAAGAAGAUUCCUACAAGUGCCCACCUCUAGGUUUUGGCAUGUCUAGAUCUCCUCCGUUCCCCUCAUUUAGCAAUUCUCUAAUAGCUUUCAUCAUAAGUAGCAACAGAGAGAAAGUUCUUGACCCAAUCAUAAUUAAUUUAAUUCCUAUAUUAAUUUAAUUUGCUUUUAUAGGAUUUGAAGUUGAUGAGAAAUGGAUGACAAUGAUAUAUGGAAAAUGGGAUUCAAAGUAUUUAUACUUCUUUAGUGAGAGAACUGCACAACUCUUCUAAAAAAAAUGACAUUCAUAUUAGGAUGUGACAAGAUGUCAAUGCGAUCUUGUGGUAGAUUUGAGUUUUGUCAUGGUUAGAAUGCUUUAGUGUAAUGGACCACGCAUACUUGGGAAAGGGAUGCUCAUUUGACAUGUUGAGAAGCUAUGACCAUGCAUGGGUCGACAAUCAUACGGCUUGCUCAUCGGGAUCACAUGCACAAAGUCUGGAAAAGCUUGUCAAUCUCUUUUUGACAUAUCAAUUGAGAAUGUUGACUUCCAAAUUUAAGACAUCAAAUGGAAGAGAGAUAGUGCCACUUAGAAGACAUUCAAAGUAUAUGAGCAUAAUUUUUGCAUGGAAAAUAAUGAUAUGUUUGAUUUUUUUUUUUUCCCCAAAUCAAAUUGUACUUGGAGAAUUUCAAAGUAAAUGGGUGAGACUAAUUCUUAUGAAAUUUGGCUAUUAACAUGAUUAUAACCCGUUAAACUGAUUAAUAUAAUUUUAAUUCAUUAAACUUAUUAAUAUGAUUGUAUUUUAAUUAACCUUUUUAAAAUUUUAAUUUUAUAAGAAUAUUAAUUUAAAAUAUUUUUUUUAGUUGUUCUUAACUUUUAAGUUUAAUUUUUAAACUUUUCAUUAAUUUAUUUAUUUAUUUUAAGUUAUAAUACAUUUAUAAAAUAAAAAUAAAUUAAAAUUUUAAUUAUAUACUGGUUAUAAUUUUAUUUAUUUAUUAAAUUAUAAAAUAUUUUUAAUCUUUAAUAAAAUUAUACUUUAGUUCUUUAAGUUUUCUUAACUAUAUGAUAUUAUUCAUAAUUAAAAGGUAUUUUAAAUUUUUAGAAUUUUAAAAUAUUUAAAAUUAAUAAAUUGGGUUAAACAAAUCAUAAAUGUCUUUUCUCAUAAACAAAUCAUAAACAUCACUAAUUGAAUGAGUUAUAUGAGUUGAUACGAUUACAACAAAAACGUGAUUAUGUGUGACCCGAACCCACUAAUAUUUUAUGUCUUUUCUCACUCAUGUUAGGUUGUGUCAAAAUUGCCACAUGUAUUAGUACACUGAGUAACCCUAAAUGUAAUUGCCUAAAGCCUAGAUGCUCUUACAUGGUCUUUAGUCAAAGACUGGGUCGUCCCAACUCUGGGCUUAUUCCAAGAUGAGAAGUGCAUCAAGCAUGUUGAGCUUGCCUAAGAGCUACCUUAGUGAGCCAAAACCAAGAUGGCCCAUAGAUCUCAAGACUAGGCUGACCAUAUAGUAUGACCAUGUAAUUACACGGGCUGGGCAGUAUCCCUUCACUGUCCAAGCCCGCUCUCUUUUGGGCCUCAAGGCUUAGUAGGCUAGCACCAAUUUAUUGGAUUGUUUCGAAGUGUUAAAAGAGAAAUUAUAUUUGCAUCUACCAAACUUUCUAUAUAUCCAUUAGAAUUAUGAUUUUUCAAGGAUAAACUUUCUAUAUAUCCAUUAGAAUUAUAGGUUUUUAAAAGAUAAAAGUACUUAUAUGUGAAAAGAUUGAAAUUCUUUUAUAAAUUAAUUCAUAUUCUCGACCCACUUCUUCUCUCAUUUCUUUUUUCUUAAUCUUUUCAUAAUUCUAAUAAUUUUUUUUCUAAAAAUUAUAAUUUUAGAAUAAUAAAAAAAAACAAAUAAUCAUCUCCGAUAAUAUUAGAAAUGAAGAUAUACGAUUUUUACCAUUUUUUUUUAAAUAAAUUUAAGAGCUUAAAAAAUGAGGGGAUCAUAAAACGGGUUUCGAAUUUUAGGGAUGGAUGCUUUUUGAUAUUAGGCAUUAUAUCUUCACAUAGCUCUUAAGGUGUCUAACAAUACUAUACAUCCAAAUAUGUCUUAAAUUUUUAUGUAAAAAAUAAUUAAAAGCUCAUUUGGUAAUGCUUCUUAAAAGUGUUUAUAAUCUUAAAAACAUGUAAAGUGUUUUUAAGGUAAUAAAAUAGGUAUUUGACAAUAUUUAAAAAUUAAAACCACUUUUAAAAAUUUAGAAAAAUACUUGAAGCAAUUUUUAGAGAAGCGCUUAGGAAGUGAUUUUAAAAAAAUCACUUUAAAAGCUUACAAAUAUUCUUGAAAUCCCCCCAAGUAUUUUUCCAAUACCCUCCAUUUCCCUUUCACUUUUCUCUUCCUCCUUUCCUCUCCAUCCGAGUGAAGACUCCAUAAUCGGAGGCUUUCAUCAUUAUCAUUCAACAUCAUUGAACUCUGCUCCAAAGUGAAGACUCCGCAGUCGGAGGCUUUCAUCAUUAUCAUUCAACAUCAUUGAACUCUGCUCCAAAGUACUCUCCGUUCUAAAUGGGCAAGUUUUAUAAAGUAAAUCAUGUGUACAUCGCAAAAUAUAUAUAUUGGAAAUUAAUGCUUUUAGGCAUUCCUAUCUCACAAAAGGAAAGAAACUCGCAUAUGCUUAUAAUGGACAUUAUGUGGGCACUUGAAAAUCUAUAGAUUACACGCAUAUAUCACAAGCAUCAUAAAAGGUAUAAUUUUAACUAUAUUUUAUAACCCAACUCUCCACUCCACAUAGGAAUACAAUGGGGCAAGAAUUAACAUUUGACUCUUUUAAUUUUAAACAAAUACAAUUUAAGAAAACUUUUGAAUCUUAAGUAUCUACCACCCAUCAUUUUGUAAUAAAAAAAUAUAAAAUCAAAUAGUUUGUUUCAUUUUUUAAUUAAAAAAAAUUGUUAUAUUAUGAUUGAUGUUUAUUGAUUAAUCCAUUUAAAAAAAUAUAUUUUCCAAAGUUUUCUUGUAAUUAUAAAAAAAUGAUUAUUUUUAGUCUUUUUAACAAUAUAAAUGUUUAUACAUUCUUUUACAAUGAAAAGUUUUGGAUUUAUCAUAAUAUUUACUUUUUGUAAUUAAAUUAUAUGUCCUUUUUUUUGUAAUUUAUUAAUAUUAAAAUAUUUUUAUACUUAUGCAACAUAUUGUCAAAAACAUUAUUAAAAUCAUUUUUCCAGAAUCUCAUAAGGUAGUUUUUCAUAGAAAUAUUAUAGAAGAAAACAUUUUCAAUAAAAACACUUUGCCUAAAAGUACUAUCAAACAGGUUCAAGAGUUUAUUUGAUAGCGUUUUUACUCAAAAAAAUUUUACUGAAAAUGUUUUUUUUUAUAAAAGUGUUUUUAAGAUAAUUUAUCAAAUGUUUCUUUAAAAAACACUAUCAAUGAUUUUUUAAUACCAUAAAUGAAAUUUAAAAGUGUUUCUUAAAUUUUAUCAAAAAUUUUAUGUUUCUUCAAAAAUACUUUUUAGAUUGAAAGUGUUUUCAAAAACACUAUCAAAUGGAGUCUAAGAAUGCGUGUGAGAGUGAUUUUAGAAAACGUUUUUAGUAUUUUUAAUAUUGAAAUGACAAAAAAAUUCAAGGGUUAAGAAAAAUUAAAAAAAAAUUUUAAAAUCACAACCAAACGGGCUUUAAAUGCUAAUUAACUUUUUUUUGUGUGUGUGUGUGUGUAGGAUGCUUUAUAUACAUUCAUCAUAAUUUGACCCCCAUAGAAGAGGCACAUGAACAUUAAGCACCGUGAUGAGUGCCUAAGUUUCCAUGAAUCUUUUCACGACAAAAUUCUAAAGCAGCUUUGACCAACACUGUACCAGUACUAGUAUUCAAUUCCCAUGCCGGCCCACAAGAGAUAUAGGAGCUCAGCCCAAGCCCAAGCCCAAGCCCAACUAUAAAUUCAUUAUUAUUAGAUCAAAACAUAUUCAAAUUGUUCAAAAUCAUUAUUCCAUGAACUAAAAUCACCCAAACCUAGGUCAAAGUCUUGAUCAGAAAAUCAAGUCUUAAAAGCAAAAUUCAAACAGUAUAGUCGGAAUCUCAUAAUCAGUGAAAGGACUCCAUGAUAUUGACAUGCAGUCCUUUGAGGACAGAUGCCUUUCCUCUUCCCACAAGUCAUUCCAUUUUUUGUGUACAUUUUAUUCUACUACAUCCAUCCCCUUGGAUGGAUCGCUUACUAAAUCAUCAUCUCAUAUUCAUGUAUGAAUGAGAAGCCUUUCAUCUUAUUGCGUGACUCGGGAAAAGAAAAACAACCAAAAUGGAUCCUCCAAAUGACUUUGAUGCUCUCACCAAGGCUUUCUCAAGUUUGCCCCUUAUAUUUUUCUCAUCAUUCUUUUUUCAUUUAAUCUUGUUUAUUUUAGUUGGACACUAAGAAUGUGUUUAGCAAUGAUUUUAAGAAAUGUUUUUCGUUGUUUUAGUAUUUGAAUGAUAAAAAAUUUUAAACGUUAGAAAUGUUAUAAACAUUUUUUAGAAUUACAACCAAACGAACUUUAAGAAUGUAUCUGAUAGUGAUUUUAGGAAGUGUUUCUAACAUUUUUAAUACUCAAAAGAUAGAAAUUUUCAAAUGUUAGAAAUAUUAAAAAAACUUCUUAAAAUCACAAUCUAUCACACUCUAAAUUAUGGUAUAAUAGUCUUAAAUUGUGAGAUUCAACUUUUUUAGGCUUUUGUUAUUUUCUAUUUGCUUUAUUUUAUACAGGCUUACCAGGAAUUAUAUGUAGUCCAUCUAUUUGAAGCAACCUUAAUUUGUAAUUUUUAGGAUUUGGAGUUGAUGAGGAUUCCAUGGUAUCGAUCCUAGGAAAGUGGCAUUCGGAGCACUUGGAAUCCUUUAGAAAGAGAACUCCUAAAUUCUUCUUGGAGGAUGAACGUCUUUUUGAGAGGUGGGAUGAUCACCAUAUUGCAUGCUUAACGAAAGAAUUUCUGCGGUUUAAGGUACUCAUGUUCUUCCUCUUGUAAUAGAAAUGUUAGCUGAAAGUCAUAAUUAUGGAUAUCACAUGGAAAAUGGUUGAAAAAUGUUCUCUUUUUAACCUAGUUUUAAUGUAUUUUGGUACUAGAUAUAGCCUACAAAUACUUUUCUGUAUAAAAAAUUGCAAUAUAUAAUAUGGGAAAAUUCUAAUAUAUAUAUAUAUAUAUAUAUAUAUAUAUAUAUAUAUAUAUAUGAUAUAGCACCCUUACUUCAAAUAAUGAAAAAUAAAAUAAAAUAAAAUUUUCUUUUCAUAAACUUGUUAUUGUUUGCUAACACUUACCCUUUCAUAUCAUCGUUUCAUGCCCAAUUUAUACUCAUGGAUCAAUCGGAUUGACUUAUUUUUAGAUCGACUUAUUUUUUAAGUGCUUUUAAUUGACACAAUGACACAUUUUAGUACAAUAUCCAAAUAUACUUUUUGUGGAACCUAUUCAAAAGGCACCACCAAUAAAUGGUGUUGCAUAUGUAAUUCAAGUCUCAUUAUUUUGUACUAUUCCAAGCUCAUUCAUUUGUAUCACAUUUCGAGGUCUCCUUACUCUGUAUAUUGGUUCUAUCCCAUUAUACCUUGGUCUCAUUUGUUUAUACCUUAAUUUUGUUCCCUUAUGUCUUAAUUUAAUUUGUUUUUAUACCAUGAUUCUUUCUUUAUAUUUGUACUUUUAUUCAAUGAUCCAAAUUUCAUCGUAUAUUUCUAGAAACCGAAAUUCGAAGUUUUAGAGGCAUUAAUUUAGUAUCUUAGUAUUUUCCUAAGAGUAUUGUAUUAUAUUUUGCCAAGGCACAUAUAUUAGGAUGUGAUAAUAUGUUAGUUAUGAAUGGUUGAAUUUUUUGCAAUCUUAUGACUCUUUUGAAUUUUUUUAUGGUCAGGAUAUUGUGGUGCAAUGGAUCAUGCAUCCUUGGGAAAGGGAUGUUCGUUUGGUGCAUGAGGCUAUUACUAAGGGUCCUAAAGCAUAUUGUGGUGUAAUUAAAAUAAAUUUUAAAUAAAGAAAAAAAAGGAAGGUACCAUAGUUGUUUGAAGGAAUAACAAUGAUAACUAAACCCCUUAGUAGAUAUAUAAUAAUAAAAUUGAAAUUGUAAUAUGAUAUUCCAUAUUAGUUAGAAGAGAAGUUUUAGGUGUUUUUUUAUAUAGUAGACUUUUCUUAAUUAUGUCAUCUGAUUUAAAAACCAUGGUGAGUAAGAGCCAAGAUUUUUACCAAGAGAGCUCUAGUUACUUAGUCUAAAUCUUUGGGGAAGGAGUAUAACAUACCUACCAAAUUAUAAAUAUAUAUAUAAAAAAAUGAAAUGUAGCAAAGGAAAACAAUUUAAUAUUUUCAUAUUUUAUUUCUUUUUUCUUUUUAUAAAAAAGUGAACAAAUUAAGUAGGAAAAACAAUGAAAAAUCACAUGAAGGGUUUCUUUGAUUUACUUUUCUUAUCAUCUUAAAUUACCAAUUUAGUAUGAUUCUCAUUAAUCUGCUUAGGAUCUUGACACUCUAAUGAGUUUGAAGGAGACACUUCAGUGCCUAUGCAAUCCCUAAGCAUAUUCCAGUAUGGUAAGAUUAAUUCAUCACAAACAACAUCUUAGAAAUGAUCUUAUAUUUGUUUGUAGAAUCACGUAUUGGAUUGAUUGUUUUAAUUCUUUUAGGUCUUAAAUAAUGCAUUCAAAGAUGAUGUAGACGAGAAUACCAAAGAAGCCCUAACUCAAGUAAUAAUGACACAGAGCAAUGAAGGAAAUCAUAGAAGAAUUUGAUAAGCAAUAUAAAGUUCCUUUAACCCAGAAGAUUGAAGAUGUAGCUCUUGGAAACUAUAAGGAUUUCUUGGUGAGCUUGAUUAGAAGAGUGGCCUAAUAAGAAUACAACUUGCAUUUCUUUAGUCAAUAUUUUAACAAUCUUUUCCAUUCUUGUAAACAUGUACAAAUACGUUUGAUGAUAUUAGUGAUAAAAUUAAAUUAAGCUUGUAUUUGUUAGGAAGUUUGUUAAGAGUUUGUUAUGCCAACUCAGAUUGUAAGUAAUUAACUAAACCCUCUUGUAAUAGCUAUAUAUAUCAUAAUCAAUAAUAGACUUAAGUGAGUGUUGUCAUUCUCACCAAAUCCUUUCUCUCUCUAAGUUGGUAUCAGAGCAAGUUUGCAUUUGAGAAUUCUUUUCUCUCUCUCUUCUUUCUCUUUCUAAAUUCUUCCAUUUUUUUUUUUGAAAUUUUUCUCUAGAAACAUAUCUUAGACCUCUUCUACUUCCUUUGGUGCUCCUAAUUUGCCUAUGGCCUCUUUUGUUCCAAGUUUCAAUGUUUUUCUCUUUGGUUGGAUCACAAUAAGUGCUACUAAUGGCGAGCUCAAGUGCUUUCAACUAUACGAGCUUAAAGAUUUGAAGGCUUUUGUUUGGAUUUGUUCUAAUUCUGCCUCAAUUUGUCAAAGUUCCUUGUAACAGUCAUAGUUCUCCACCAACUGGGGUUUAGAAUCUUGAUUUCCUAAUUUGAAUGAGACACGAUCAGUUUCUUCUAAGCUAGAUUAUUUUACCGAUGAGCUAAUCAAUGCUCAAUCAUGUCAAUCAUUGUGCUACUAGUAUUGAAGUUUGGUCCACACGUGAAUAACAUUUUUGGUCUCAAUUGAAGGCCAAAGUGAUGUAGCUUUGUAUGAUGCUAUAGACAUUGAAGAAAUGAGCUCUUAGUGUAGAGGAGUAUAUUCUUAAGAUGUGAGGUUUGACUAACAAUCUUAACUCUAUUGGUCAGGUCAUUAUUGAUAAAAAUAUGAUUCUUUAUAUUCUUAUUGGAUUUUAUCCUAAAUAUGAGUCAAUCAUUGUUAAUCUUACUUCAAGAAAUGAUGUUUUCACUCUUCAAGAGGUUCAACUUGUCAUAUAGACUCAUGAAAUGAUGAUUCAACAUCAAUUGGUCUUUUUGCCAACUGAUUUGCAAAAUUCUCCCUCUAUUAAUGUUGCUUAUCGCAGAUCCUUUUUUGUUGUAUUGAGUAAUGCCAAUCAUGGUGGUAACUCUCAUUUUCGUGGUCAUGAUGACCUUGACAAUGGUGGUUCUAGUCAUGGCAACAGGCCAAUUUGUCAACUCUAUGGCAAGAUUGGUCAUGUGGUUGCUAAAUGCUACAAAAGGUUUGAUAUUAGCUUUUCAAGUGUUGAUUUGACUAGUUAUUAGGCAAAUGUUGCUUUCACCUCUAACUUUGGAGAUCACGAGUAGUAUGUUGAUAGUAGCGCGACAAACCACAUCACUGUCGAUAUGAAUAAUCUGACUAUCAAGGUAGAUUACAUGGGUAAUGAGAAGCUUAUGGUUGGUAAUGGUUCUAAACUUGCUAUUUCUCAUUUUGGAAAUUCCUUUUUACCUUGCAAAAAUUCUUCUAAACCUCUUCUCCUUAAUAACAUCUUACAUGUUCCACACAUAACCAAAAAUCUUUUUAGUAUUUCUCAAUUUACAAAAUAUAAUAAUGUUUUAAUUGAAUUAUGCCAUGACUGUUGUAUAAGCAAGGACAAAGCUUCAAAGAAAAUUAUGGUGGAACGAGCUCUUAGGAAUGGUCUCUAUCAACUUGAUCUCACACAAUCACAAUCUUCAUAGUCCAAGUCAUCUUCUAAGUUCAAGGCCUUGCUUUCUCUACUAAAAGAGCCUAGUGUUUCUCAAUCUAGUUGUCAAAGUGUGUCAGUCAAUUCUUCAAUAAAAAAAGUCUUUGUUCCUAUAUUGUGCUUCAUCUUCUACCACUACAAAAUUGAUUUGGAUUCAAUCUCUAUUUCAUGAGCUGGGUCUUUCUCUUGAAAAACCCUAAUGUAGUGGUGUGAUAACAUUGGUGUUAUUGUGUUACUUCAAAUCCUAUUUUUCAUGCCAAAACUAAACAUAUCAAGAUUGAUAUUCAAUUUGUGCUUGAGAAAGUGCUCAAUAAUGAAGUGGAUGUUUGUUAUAUUCCAUAUAAAGAGCAAACAACUAAUGUCUUUUCUAAGUCUUUGUCUAUUUCUCGUUUUCUUUUUCUGUGUAACAUGCUUUCACUUAGUACCAUCGUUUAGCUUGUGAGGGGUAUAUUAGUGAUAUAGUUCAAUUAAGCUUAUUACCUAUUAGGAAGUUUGUUAUGCCAGCUUAGACUAUAAGUAACUAACUAAUCCUUCUUGUAAUAGCUAUAUAUAUCAAAAUCAAUAACAAACUUAAGUCAUUGUUGUCAUUUUCACCAAAUCCUUUCUCUCUAAGUGAUGAGCAUCAAUCUCUUCCAUACAAACCAGAUGGUAAAAUAAGAAUGAAAUGCUCAUCAUUUCGAUUACAACUUGGUAAUGUAAAACCAAGAAUUAGCAAAUAAUUUUAAGUGCCACUACCAUGUCAUACCUUCUUGCAUGCUUAUUUUUGAGACCUAAAUCAAUCAAAUUCAGAUAGUCCCUCAUUGUCUCACGCACACAGUUCACCAACAAUUCUGUCAUGCUCGUUCAAGUCUCCUUCAAUCACCUUAAGUGGAAUCAAUCUGGAAACAAGUAACAGAAAGAAGGUAGCAGAUCACACUCAAAAAUGACAAUGCACAAAGAUGAUUCUGUUACCCAAUUGAUGGAUGUUUGACAGAAUUUGUGGAGUGGUUCUAGCAUUAAAAGAAGAUAGGGAGAUGUGCAGAAUGUUGAGACUCAAAUGGGCAUACACAGCAACCUGCACUAUGUUUUGUGACCAACAUGCAAAAGUUUGUACCAUUUAAUAUUUCAAAGGGAACAUAAGGAAAGUAUGUACUGAUCCGAACUCAGUCCAUGUUAAGCUUCAUUAUUUUCGAAAGUUCAGUAAAGAAGUGCAAACACAUGUCCAAUUCUGAUGCUCUUUUCAGUAAAUAUGAAGGAAAAAAAUCGCAAACAAAUAAGUAUGCCUUAUAAAUUAUUAGAAAGAAGUGUGAAAAGUGCCUCCUUUGCCAAACUUAAGGGAACCUUGUUCAAGAAGUUCAAGGAGAUGUUGUUUAAACCUGGGCCCAACUUAGAAAUGAUGCAAAGUUCCCCAAUUUCUUUGAGGUGUUGUUUAAAGCUCUGUUUUAGGAAUAUUGAGAGCUAUUUUUUUUUUAAUCUCCACAUGGUUUUCUAAUUUAAAAGGGAUAUUAAACAAUUAGAUAAAAAGAAUGAAAAGAAAAAUCAAAGAAUUAAAUUAAAAUGAUAGAAACAAAAAAAUUGGACGUUUCAUUUCCACUCAAACUUCAUCUCACAUCGCAUUUUUCAGUCGAAAAAAUAAUUGAAUAAAAGAACAAUGAAACAAAGAAAUCUCUUGAAAACUAGAUGUUCAAAGGUACUCCCGGAGAAAAAGCUAGAUGAUCAAAGGUACUCCCGGAGAAAAAGCAGAUCAAACAACUAGGAAAGCAACAGCAACCAUGGCUGCCAUCAGCAGCUGAUACCCAGACACCGAGAUCCCAGAAGCAGAACUGGGUGCUGGUGCUGCGGGGGUGGACGGGGCUGGCGCUGCGGGGGUGGAAGGAGCUGAUGCUGCGGGGGUGGAGGGGGCUGAUGCUGCGGGGGUGGAGGGGGCUGAUGCAGGAGACACCCACGCUUCCAGCACAGUGAUGGCAAGCUUCUGUCCAUAGUUGGCACAAUGGUCGUUCACACCACAAAUAUACCACUUCCUUCCAGGGGUGGCCAGUGUAAUCACGUCAUUUCCAGUGGUAAGAGCCUCAUUUGCUGGUGGUAUAGUGCAGUUCGUGAAGGCAGUAGCGUUAACUUUGAAGACAUUGUGCCUUCCCGCCGUGUAUUUGAAAACUGCAUGUAUGAGAAUUGACGACAAUAUUUUUAGCAGCUUGAAUUAAAAGAAGUUAUAAAGGGAAAAUAAAGUGAUAGUUUGAGCUACAUUACCUAGUUUAUCGCCAACAUGAAAGACUUUGUCCUUGGCCCAGGCUUCAUAGGCGAAAUUAAUGGUCCAACCUUGAUCAUCUCCAACAGUAAACUCAGUUGCCAUGGCCAAAGCAGGAAGAAGAAUUGCGAGGAUUGCAAGGGCAGCUAAAUGUUUAGAAGCCAUUAGAGCUGAUUGAAGUUGAUUAGCGAUAAAGUUUCUUUAUACCAGCUUCAAUGUGUUUCUCCGACUUGCACUGAUGUCCAUUUAAGGGUCUAAAGGGUCUAUUUAUAGCAACUUUUUUAGCUCGAACUUUCAUCGAAAGCCUCAACAACCAUGAGAAACAGGCUGGGUCCGCAGGCCACAGCGUGUUGCCAGGUCAAACUCUGGUUAGAACGAAGUUAUGCCAUGGCUAAUGUUGGAGAAUAGUUACAAAACAAAGAAUUUUCUUCUUUAAGCGAUUUCCUUUGUCCAAACAUACUAUCAAAUAAAGAACGAUAAUUUUUUUGAACUGGAGUCAUGAUUUUGGCAUAAAUGAUUAAACAAUGGCUAAUUGUUAACUUUAGAAGUAUAAAUGGAACUCCCUUAAGAGGGUGACUCUUGUUGGCUUGGAGACUAGGCUGGAAAAAGGCAAAUAGAAAAAGUGGGACCACAAAAAUGCCAAUCCAAACCCAAUUUGCACGACCUUUUAAUUAAUCUAAGCUGAUGAGUGUUGGAGGUCUCUUAGAAUGUUGAACAAGAAGUAAUCUUUAACUUUGAAUAAAAAAUUUAACCUUGGAGUUUUAUUGUUGUUCAUGAAGCAAUCUCUACCUGUCACGCCCCAAGACCCACUCCAAGGGCGUAACGGUCAUUUCACAUUUCAAACCUGAAGGCUUACAGUGUAACUUGACCUAAACAAUUAUCUUGUAAUCGGAAGUUACCAAUUACCAAAUACCUAUUCAGAGUAGCGGAACAAAAUCUAAAAUCCUCAAAAUUCAAUUUCAAAACUAAAACAUCUACUAUCCAAAAUCCAUUGUCCAAAUAUUUGCAAACUUAAACAAUUCAAGUACUAGAACAAAUUUCAAAAUCUCCAAAACUCAACUUUGAUCUAACAUAAAAUUUGAAGGAUCAAUAUCCAAAUAACUUCCAAAUACCAAAAGAUCCAAAUGAACAUAACUAAUAGUUAAACAAAAUCCAACAUAAAAUCCUAAGUCAAAUCCUAAUGAUGAUCAUUCCUCAGCCUAGCCAUCACUCCUCACCCGAACUAAGGGUACCUGAAAAGUAGUCAACAAAUGGGAAUGAGCUCAUAGCCCAAUAAGGAACAUUAAUGCAGUCCAUGGAUCAAAUAUUUCAAACUCACUUGCAAAAUAAGAGAUAUUGUAAUCAAUCAUUUUCAUAAAGCUGUGAGUAAAUUUUUUUUUUUUUUUGCCAAUACAUUCAAAAUUUCUAACUAUAUGCAUUUAUUUCUAAUUCAAACAAUUUCAUAUCAAAUUCAGUCAAAACAUUCCAAUAAUUUAUUUACUCUGGUCAUCAAACAUCAAAGGGUGCACAGUUAGGUGGGACUUUUCAAAUGGGUGGCUAGCCUCAAAUUGUUCCUUUAAGGUGGACGGAACCAAACACUACUAGUACUAGUAACCUUUAACCGAAACCCCUAGAGGCUGAAGUUCAAAUCAAUUACAUUCCCCACCAAGAAAUGUAAAGGUCAACUAUUAUAUCCCAUUGACAAGGGCCAAAAGUCAACUAUUAUAUCCUGUUGACAAGGGCCAAACAAACCAGAGUCAAAUAUUGAUUUCAUUUAUUCAAAUUUACAACAUAUAAUAUCUCCACAUUUAUUUGUCAAAAACAUAAUAUAAAAUUCUAACAUACUUUUCAUGCAAAACAGGUUUGAUCCAUGCAUAAAACGAAAUAUAACUCAAACGUUUUCAAAUAAUGUAUGUAUAUAUAUAUAUAUAUAUAUAUAUAUAUAAAAUUGUUUCAAAAAAGAAUUUAACAACUGCAUUAAUUUCCCUUACCUCAAACGAAAUUCUCAAAAACUUUGGAGAGAAAAAAAUCUUGAAAAUCUACUCUUCACCUAACAAAAUAUAAGAGGAAUAAUUAUUACUAUUUAUCUAAAAUUAUAGGUUUGACAAUCCUAAAAUUUAGGUAUUCAAAUUAAUUUUUUUUAUUUAUGGAAGGUAAUUUAAUCUAUUCAUAUUUUAAAAAUUAAUAAAUUUCUAAUUCAUAUAAAACUGAAUUUAUUUAUUUAUUUUUUAAAAUUUAUUUCUUGGGAUACAACUUAAUUAAACUAUAAUUUAUUUCAAUAAUUAAUUUCUAUGUUAUUGUGGACCCCGCAUUUCGGCUCAUGCGUUUCCCACUCGAUGGCGAGCUCGAUUUUUAUUUUAUUUGAAAAAAAAUUGAUUUUAUUGACUAAGAAAAUGACUUGGAGUUGCCACUCAUUUUUGUUUUAUUUUUAAAAGGGUAAACAAAAUAAGAAAGAAAACCCUAAGUGCGACUCCUUAUUUUGGAAAAGGUGAUCUACGAAAAAUCGGAUCGGGCUCGAGGGUCAGGUUACUUAUCGGGAAGGUACGGCAAAGACCAUAGCACCCCUCUAAGUCCCUAAAGUCAGGUCUCUACUAAUAAAAUGAAGCUGGCAUGACAAUCAAUAGGGAAAAUCAAUGGAUACUCAAAUCGAUCAUGCACAUAUGAGAAUCAAAACACCCAAUAAAGAAUGAUCAAAGUGUGAGCGGGGCGUACCUUGGCAUCAAACGAUCAAUGCGCUAUCAAGAGAGCAGGUUAGUACACAAUUAAGAAACAAUCUCAUGCAUGUCAGAGAGCAAGAUGUAUGAUAAUCCAAUCAAACGAUCAAUCAAUCAAUCAUAAAGUCACCCAUGUGGGGCCCCUAUCAAAGCCCGUUUAUUUGGCAUGACUUAAUGUCACAGAUUUCAUUAUUAUGGAAUUAUGGAAAAUUCGUUCACGUUUAUUAAAAAUCAAGAGGAGCAGAAAAUCAUUUGAAAACUAGAGCGGAAUUAAAACUAUUUGAGAGAAAAUUAGAUUUUAGAAAUUUAAUUUUAAAAUUGGAAUCUCGAAAAUCACUAGAAAAUUGGAGUUUUAGAGUUUAUUUGAAGAUCAGACUUCUAGAGGUUGAAUGUGAGAAUGAGAAUUUUCAGAAAUUGAAUUUGAAAGAGGUGGGAAUUUUGAAAACAAUUUGAGGGUUCAGGAUCUUAAAGAAAGAUUAAGUUGCGAAAAUUGGGACUUUGGGAGUUAAAUUUUGAAAGAAAUCAGAAUCGUAAGUUAUUUGAGAAGUAGAGAUUAUGAAAGUCGAUUUAUAAAAAAAGUUGGCAAUCUUGGAAAUCAUUCGAAGGCAGAAUUUAUAGAAAUAAUGCAUAAAAUAAUAGUGAUAAUGAUAAUAAUAAGUGAUUCAUGCCCAAUUGGUGUCUCAGCUGAUUCAUGUCCAGUUGGUGCUCCUUGGAUGAGGGAGUAAUCAACAAAAUUUAUAACCUAUUACACCAUAUACUAGGGUAGCAAAGAAAAAGCUACUAUAGUAUAGCGGCUCUAGGAUCGUUCACUGGGAAGGAUUAGCAAAUUAUUAAUGAUACCAAUUCAAAGUGAAUUGGUCUUGUUUCAUUUCAAGGUUAGCUUAAGAAAUAAAACACCAACUUUAAUUGGUAAAGAUUUAGAUUUAAACUAACUACAAAACACGUAAUGGGAAUAACUUAGGAAGAAAAACAUUCCUUGGAGAGUCAGGUUCACUGGGGUGGUUCCUCAUGCAAAAGACAUAGCUCCGGUCAGAUGGUUCAUUUCCUCGCGUUAGAGAUUCAACAUAUAGUCAAUUCUCUAACCGGUGUUGUACAGAUACAUCCUUUAAUUAGAUUUCAACUUUAAUUCUCUCACUGAUACAACUUGCAAUGGUUCAAGCCUCUCACUAAGCUUUAACCAUUCAAGGUGAUCUUUAACCUUGGACUUCCCUUCACAAGCUUGAUUACUACUCAAAAAGUGCUAUUUUGUAGCUUGUAAUUAAUCCUUUUAAACACUUUUGAGUAGUAGUUAUUGCCUUUUAACUCAAUUAACAUGUUAAGGACCCUUGCAAUCAUUUCUAAUCAAAUUGUGUAAGUUUUGGUGUUUUUGUUAGUAAUUUGAUCACCAAAACAAUCCAAGAUUGAGGAGAGUUAUUUGGAAUCCAUGGCAAAGCAAUGAAGAGCUCAAAUUCAUGAAGAACCAAGCUUUGGAGCUCCAUAGCCCUUUGCCAAAGUCGUUCAAAGUAUGCAAGGAGAGAAGCAAGGAGAGAGGAAAAACAGAGUGAAGAAAACAGAGGAAAGCUAGCUUCAGUCUUCUUUUGCACUUUUGGAGCACUUCCCGAAGUCCAUUUUCUGCAUUCUAUAUACCAUUUCAAAUCUCAGGAAGUCAAGAAUCCAAUGCUUCAAACGGUGCGCGAUUCGGAGUUGAAACGAAGAAGUUACAGCCACUACAAGUCAAUCACUCUAAAGUGUUGCGAAAUCAGCCUUUUGUUGCGAGAAUUUCGCAGCCUUUUUGUACAGUGUUGUGGAUUUCCUCCUGAAGUUUCACGCCGCGAUGGAAGCCAAACACCACAAGGUGGAAGCCAACUUAGCAGCCCUGCUAGUUUAACUUGUUGAUGCGAAAAUAUUUCGCAGCCCUCUUGAGUGUCUGCGAAAUCUCGCAGACACCAUUUUUCACCUGCGAAAUGUUCCUGGAGCUUCCCGAUAUUUUUGCACCGACUCUUUUAGAUAUUUUUCUUCAUAUUUUUGUGUCUAAAUUUCCAUUUUCUCCUUGUAUUUGACCACUCAUGUAAUUCCUUAGCUAGGAAGUAUCCAAGGAAGGGUAAAUUACCUUCCUAUAUAAACUCUCUUGUAAACACUCUCAAGAGACGCUCGGAUAUCAUGUAAUCCCAUAUAUAGAAUCAACGAACAGAGCACUUGCUCUGUUUUUCAUAUAUAUUCUUGUCUUCUCCUUCAUUUUCAUUUUCUAGCCAACCAAACUCUGAGGAUUUUUCCACAGAGAAUGAGAGGCUAAGCUUUUUGUCUCUUGGAGUAAGGAAAUCCGGGUAAGUUUCCACAUGCAUAAAUUGGAAGUUUUAUUGUUUUAGUUUUUAAUGAAGAGAAAGUGUGACCCGUCAAUGGUUUUUAUCUUUUUAGUUAACUUAAAACGCCAUUAAAUCACCUAGGCCAACACUUGGUAAGGCAAGUGAUCUCCGUCCAUGGAGAUGCACUAGUUUACCCCUUGCGAGCCUUUGGGAGGUGACUUGAAGGUAGGAUUUUCUAGAAUAGCCAACACUUGGUAAGCUUUUGGACUCCAAGGAGACAUCCAUUAGUUAUCUCUUGCGAGCUUUUGAAGGGAAGUCCAAGGUUAAAGAUCAUCUUGAAUGGUAAGUGCUCGUGAGAGGCAUGAACCAUUGUAAGUUGCAUCAGUGAGAGAGAUUUAGUGUUUGAACCCAUUAAUGGGAAGCAUCUGUACAACACCGGUUGGAGAAGGAACUAUAUGUUAAUUCUCUAAUGCGAGGAAAAGAAACAAGUGACCGGAACUCCCUUUUUGUAUGAGGAACCUGAGCCUAGUGAUCUAAACUCCAAGAAACAUUUUUCUUUGUAAGUAAAAUCAGUUACUAUUUUUGGUUAGCUUAAAACCAAUCCUUUUUCAUUCAAACAUCUUUAUGUUUUCUUUUAAAGCUAACCUUGAAAUAAAAAGGCACCAAUUCAACUUUGAAUUAACAUCAUUUGUGAAGUGAAAACCCAUCCCAGUGAACGAUCCUAGAGCCACUAUGCUAUAGUAGCUUUGUCUUUGCUACCCUAGUAUAUGGUGUAAUAGGUUAUAAAUUUUGUUGAUUAAUCCCUCAAUCAAGGAGCACCAGCUGGACACGAAUCAGUUGAGACACCAAUUGGGCACGAAUCAAAUGGCGUCGUUGCCAGGGAUCGAACCCCGAAUCAGAUGGUGCCAUUGCCACUGCCACUGCUAGGGACGAAUCAAAUGGCGCCGUUGCCGGGGAUCGAACCCCGAAUCAAAUGGUGCCAUUGCCACUGCCGCUGCUAGGGACGAAUCAAAUGGCGCCGUUGCCGGGGAUCGAACCCCGAAUCAGAUGGUGCCAUUGCCACUGCCGCUGCUAGGGACGAAUCAAAUGGCGCCGUUGCCGGGGAUCGAACCUCGAAUCAAAUGGUGCCAUUGCCACUGCCACUGCUAGGGACGAAUCAAAUGGCGCCGUUGCCAGGGAUCGAACCCCGAAUCAAAUGGUGUUGUUGCCACUACCGCUGCUAGGGACGAAUCAAAUGGCGCCGUUGCCGGGGAUGGUGCCACUUUACAGUGAUAUCACAUUUUGAGAGUACUUGUGAUCUUCAUCACAAGUUUGGUGACUUUUCUUUUCCUUUUACUAACUCUUUUUAUUUCUUUAUUGUUCAUAUUUUAGUAUACCUUUUAUUUAGUUUUUAGUCUACCUUAAUUUUCUUUCUUUGAAUUUUUUUUCUUUUGUUUUCUUUUGUAUUCUCUGUUUUUUAUUCACAAAUUGCUAGUUGUGCAUGCCAUGUUGAAUACGAGAUAGCAGAGGAAGCCAUGAACUUCAUGAGUUAUGUGGCUGAAGUUUCAAGAGGAUGGGAUGAACCAAAUGCUAGAGAUAUGGGAAGAAUGACGUCUCAACCUAAAGCUAAGGGUGAGAUGUAUAUUUUGAUUACGGCAUGAACAUGAAGGCAGAAAUUGCAGCUAUGGAAAGGAGAUUGGAAGAGCUAGAAAUGAACCAGAUGCAAGAAGUGCAAGCCAUCUCUCAAACACCAUUGCAAACUAUGCCUUGUGCCAUUUGUCUAUCUUAUGAGCACUUGGUGGAUAAGUGUCCUACCAUUCCAGCCGAGAGGGAAAUGUUUGGUGAUUGCAACACCUACAAUUCCAAUUGGAGGGACCAUCCAAAUUUCUCUUGGAAACCACAACCACCUCAGUAUCAACAACCUGCUCAAGCACCACAGCAAGCCUCAAACCUUGAACAAGCUAUGGUGAAUCUUUGCAAGGUCGUGGAAGAUUUUGUUGGAAAGCAAGAAGCCAUCAAUGCUCAAAUCAAUCAAAGAAUUGACAGAAUGGAGAGUACUUUGAAUAAAAGGAUGGAUGAAAUGCAAAAUGAUAUGGCCCAAAAGUUAGAUAUUCUCCAAGAUUCAAUCUCAAGGUUAGCCAACCUCAACACAGUGCAAGAGAAAGAAAACUCUCCUUCUCAACCUUAUCAAAAUUCCAUGAGUAUCCAUGAAAUGGAGGCUGAGAAGGGAGAACCUUCACAAAAGAGGGAAGUCAAAGAAGUGAUCACUCUGAGGAGUGGUAAAGAGGUUGAUCUGCCCACAUGCAAGCUAGAGCAUAAGGUAGAGAGUGAAACAGAGAAAGAAAAGAGGGAGGAAAUCAAAGGAAAGAAAAAGGGGAAAAGCAUAGAGAAAGAUGGCUAUGAUGUUAAUGUAGAAAGAGAACCAUAGAGGAUAGUCAUCAAGGAAGAAUUGAUGAAGAAACACAUGCCUCCACCUUUUCUCCAAGCUUUGUAUGGGAAAAUCAUACAAACCAAGUCUCAAGCCAGAGAUGCAAACUUCAUAUGGGAUCCGGGCAAGCUAAAUCAGGAUCAAAUUUUUUGAUGGACUUAGUCUUUUUAAAGACUAGCUAGUCCAUAUCUUUUUGUUUUGUUAAUUUCUUGUUUUAAUUUUGAUUUCAAUGCUUUAAUUUUGAUUUCAAUGCUUUAAUUCUAGUUUGUUUUGAUGUAAUAUAGGUUUUUGGAUGAUUAAAAUCAAGAGGAAUUGUAAAGAAAUUGAAGGAAGUCUUUCGGAGCAAAAUCGGAGCAAAAUCGGAGUCAAACGGAGCGAAAACAGGGGAAAAACAGGGGAAAAACAGGGGCCUGUGAGAUUUCGCAGCCUCUGCGAAAUCGGCACUUUGCUGCGAAACCAGUUCGUAGCCCAAUUGCCCUCUCUACGAAAAAUUUCGCAGCUGCGAAACCAAGUUUGGCACACGAGUGCCACUUCGCAGCAUAGGAGCCCCCAUUUCGCAGCUGCGAACCACCAAAGCAUGAAAUCCUCCAUUUCGCAGGGAAAGCUCCAUUUGGAAGGGUAUUUCGCAGCUGCGAAACCAUUUUUGGCACACGAGUGCCACUUCGCAGCACAGGAGCAUCCAUUUCGCAGCUGCGAAACGCAUUGCGAAGUGGUAAAGCUUGAUUUCGCAACAAAAGACCCAUUCCGCAGGGUAUUUCACAAUUGCGAAGCAUGUUUUGGCACACGAGUGCCAUUUCGCAGCACAGUGACCCUCAUUUCAUAGCUGCGAAAUGGCUGCGAAGUCCCAAAAAGUGAAAAAUCCCAAUUUCACAGCCGCACCCCCAUUUUGGCAAUUGUUGGACACAUCUCGAUCACUUCCUGAAGUUAAAAUUAUGCAUUCAAUAUCUCAUUUGAAAUCUUGGGAAGUCACGAGUCCAAAGCUUCAAACAGUGCUAGAUUUGGAUUUGAAACGGAAAAGUUAUGACCGUUUGAAGAUGACUGUGCAAACCAUGAGCGGAAAUGUCGCAACUCCAUUUUGCUACUGUUGGACACAUUUUUGAAGAACUUCCUGGAGCUCAAAUUAUACAUAAUAUAUCUCGUUUCAAAGCUUAGGAAGUCAGGAGUCCAGCGCUUCAAACGGUAUGCGAUUUGGAGGUGAAAUGAAGAAGUUAUGGUCGUUUGAAGACAAGUGCACAAAGCUGAGCGAGAAUUUCGCAACCGAGACACCAUUUGCAAGGGUGUUUCGCAGCUGCGAAACCACUUUUGGCACACGAGUGCCAUUUUGCAGCAUAGUUCCCCUCAUUUUGAAGCUGCGAUACGGCUGCGAAAUCACCUUUGGGCUGCGAAAUCACUUUUGAGCUUUGAAACGGCUGCGAAAUCACCUUUGAGCUGCGAAAUCACUUUUAAGCUGCGAAAUGGGCUGUGAGAAUUCCCCUCUUCUACGAAAUCCACCCCCUGCUGCGAAAUUGCCCAUUGCUUGCAAAAUGAUCUCCAAGCUUUGAAAUGGCUACGAAAUCACCUCCAAGCUUAGAAAUGGCCUUCAAAUUGCGAAAUUGACUUGCGAAACGGAGGAAGGUUUGCAAAAACACCUUGCAAAGCCAAGGGAAUUUGUUAAAAUGCCAUCAGAGCCCUGCAACCAUGCAUCUGAAGAGGAGAGCCCUGCACACCCUGGGAUCACACACACUAAGCCUCUCACUCCAUUUUUGACCUCCUUAAACCAUCAAAUCCCAUAGUUACCAACUGAGAGCUUCAGUUGAGGAGACUAUGCCAUCUAAGGAGACUACCAAAACAGAGGCCAAAGUCCUGAUCCAACCCAUUCAAGAGGCCACCACAGACGCAUCAGUUCCACAGGACCUUACCAUUACUUGAUCAUCUCUUUACUUUUUGUCUUUACAUAUUAUAUUAGUGUAGAUAAUUCCAUGUUUUGAUGUCUUACAUUCUGGGAUUGGAUGUAUUACUGGUGAUACAUCAUACAUAGACAUCAUUUUUGUUUAAACUUGGCAUUUUUCUAUUUCCUCUACUCACUAACUCUUAUGUUUUCUUUGAAACAUGUGGUUUCUCCUAUACGACUCAAACUCCAUGUCACUCAAGAGGUACCACUUCCUCCCUAUUUUUCAAUCGCUUUUGUCACAUUGAGGACAAUGUUCAGCUUGGUUGGGGGGAGAGUUGAGGAAGUAAGUAUUGUUAAUAAUGCUAAGUUAUUUUGGUAAUUUAGUUGUUUUUUGCUUAAUUUAAAAUUUUCUUAAAGUUUUUAUUCUACUCUCCAUGGUUAUUAAGGAAAAAUUUUCUAAAUGAAAUGGGAGAAAUUGAAUUUUUGUCUUUUUACUUGACUUAGAUUUUGUAUUAUGCUUACUAAAGUUGAUGAACUAUUGAAACUUCUAUUGAAGUCAACCUUAGUUCUUCCACUUUAAGCUAUCCACACACUGUGCACAAUAGGUUCCAAGUAUAAGAUGAAAAACUAUUUCCCUCUUGACUUAGGAAAAUUUUAGACUUGGUACCUUUGACCUUAUUUAAUAGUGUUGGGACACCUUGUAAAAGGCCAAUGAGUCUUUGAAGAGAAAAAAAGAAAGAAAGAAAAAAUGUUUGCUUGCCUUGAAACCCGAGCAAGGUCUGAGGAGUAUAUGGUGAAAAUCUUUAAAACCUGGUGCCCUAAGCCUUCAUUGGUUGGGAGUCACCGACCUCAAUGCUCGUUACAAGGGUGAAUAGGUGGAGUUUAACAUACUAUAGGUGCUUGGGUAUUAAAAUUCAUUCUCAAAAGUCCGGGGUAAAAUCCGAGGAGUUAGUGGUUGAAAGAUCCUUAAAGCUUGAUGCCCUAAACCUUAAUUGGUUGGGAGUCAUCGAUGGACCCCCGUUACAUGGACAAUUUAGAAAAGAAUACCUUUAAGCCUUGUACUCCUACAAUGAAAAAAAUUGUGAAAAAAGAGGUGCGUUCUUAGCCUAUUGGAGGUUGAUUAGUUUGCUAAGCUUUGAAAAAGAACUAGGUUGGGGGGAGAGAUUAGUUCAACAUACUAUAUUCGGAAGCUAAUAAAUAACACUUAGAUUUUUGUGGAAGAGUAAGGUUUGAUCCUUUAGAAGUGGAAAUGAUUUUAAAGCUUAAAUUUGCAUAAUGCCUUCUCUUUAAGAAUUGUGAUUAGACAAGUUAUUUGAUAACUCUUGUUGAAGUUUGAGUUUUAUUUCUUUAAUGUUCCAUGUGAGAGUUAGAUCAUCAUGCCACUUGAAAAUUGUUUUUUGAUCAGCAUGAUGUUGUAAAUUAUAGUAUUGUUUAUUUUUAUUUUUCUCUCCUUUAUUGCUAAGGGACUAGCAAUAUGUCGGUUGGGGGGAGUGAUUACUACUCAAAAAGUGCUAUUUUGUAGCUUGUAAUUAAUCCUUUUAAACACUUUUGAGUAGUAGUUAUUGCCUUUUAACUCAAUUAACAUGUUAAGGACCCUUGCAAUCAUUUCUAAUCAAAUUGUGUAAGUUUUGGUGUUUUUGUUAGUAAUUUGAUCACCAAAACAAUACAAGAUUGAGGAGAGUUAUUUGGAAUCCAUGGCAAAGCAAUGAAGAGCUCAAAUUCAUGAAGAACCAAGCUUUGGAGCUCCAUAGCCCUUUGCCAAAGUCGUUCAAAGUAUGCAAGGAGAAAAGCAAGGAGAGAGGAAAAACAGAGUGAAGAAAACAGAGGAAAGCUAGCUGCAAUCUUCUUUUGCACUUUUGGAGCACUUCCCGAAGUUCAUUUUCUACAUUCUAUAUACCAUUUCAAAGCUCAGGAAGUCAAGAAUCCAAUUCUUUAAACGGUGCGCAAUUCGGAGUUGAAACGAAGAAGUUACAGCCACUGCAAGUCAAUCACUCUAAAGUGUUGCGAAAUCAGCCUUUUGUUGCGAGAAUUUCGCAGCCUUUUUGUACAGUGUUGUGGAUUUCCUCCUGAAGUUUCACGCCACGAUGGAAGCCAAACACCACAAGGUGGAAGCCAACUUAGCAUCCCUGCGAGUUUAACUUGUUGAUGCGAAAAUAUUUCGCAGCCCUCUUGAGUGUCUGCGAAAUCUCGCAGACACCAUUUUUCACCUGCGAAAUGUUCCUGGAGAUUCCCGAUAUUUUUGCACCGACUCUUUUAGAUAUUUUUCUUCAGAUUUUUGUGUCUAAAUUUCCAUUUUCUCCUUGUAUUCAACCACUCAUGUAAUUCCUUAGCUAGGAAGUAUCCAAGGAAGGGUAAAUUACCUUCCUAUAUAAACUCUCUUGUAAACACUCUCAAGAGACGCUCGGAUAUCAUGUAAUCCCAUAUAUAGAAUCAACGAACAGAGCACUUGCUCUGUUUUUCAUAUAUAUUCUUGUCUUCUCCUUCAUUUUCAUUUUCUAGCCAACCAAACUCUGAGGAUUUUUCCACAGAGGAUGAGAGGCUAAGCUUUUUGUAUCUUGGAGUAAGGAAAUCCAGGUAAGUUUCCACAUGCAUAAAUUGGAAGUUUUGUUGUUUUAGUUUUUAAUGAAGAGAAAGUGUGACCCGUUAAUGGUUUUUAUCUUUGUAGUUAACUUAAAACGCCUUUAAAUCACCUGGGCCAACACUUGGUAAGGCAAGUGAUCUCCGUCCAUGGAGAUGCACUAGUUUACCCCUUGCGAGCCUUUGGGAGGUGACUUGAAGGUAGGAUUUUCUAGAAUAGCCAACACUUGGUAAGAUUUUGGACUCCAAGGAGACAUCCAUUAGUUAUCUCUUGCGAGCUUUUGAAGGGAAGUCCAAGGUUAAAGAUCAUCUUGAAUGGUAAGUGCUCGUGAGAGGCAUGAACCAUUGUAAGUUGCAUCAGUGAGAGAGAUUUAGUGUUUGAACCCAUUAAUGGGAAGCAUCUGUACAACACCGGUUGGAGAAGGAACUAUAUGUUAAUUCUCUAAUGCGAGGAAAAGAAACAAGUGACCGGAACUCCCUUUUUGUAUGAGGAACCUGAGCCUAGUGAUCUAAACUCCAAGAAACAUUUUUCUUUGUAAGUAAAAUCAGUUACUAUUUUUGGUUAGCUUAAAACCAAUCCUUUUUCAUUCAAACAUCUUUAUGUUUUCUUUUAAAGCUAACCUUGAAAUGAAAAGGCACCAAUUCAACUUUGAAUUAACAUCAUUUGUGAAGUGAAAACCCAUCCCAGUGAACGAUCCUAGAGCCACUAUGCUAUAGUAGCUUUGUCUUUGCUACCCUAGUAUAUGGUGUAAUAGGUUAUAAAUUUUGUUGAUUACUCCCUCAAUCAAGGAGCACCAGCUGGACACGAAUCAGCUGAGACACCAAUUGGGCACGAAUCAAAUGGCGCCGCUGCCGGGGAUCGAACCCCGAAUCAGAUGGUGCCAUUGCCACUUCCGCUGCUAGGGACGAAUCAAAUGGCGCCGUUGCCGGGGAUCGAACCUCGAAUCAAAUAGUGCCAUUGCCACUGCCACUGCUAGGGACGAAUCAAAUGGCGCCGUUGCCGGGGAUCGAACCCCGAAUCAAAUGGUGUCGUUGCCACUACCACUAUCGCAAGAGAUAACUAAUGGAUGUCUCCUUGGAGUCCAAAAGCUUACCAAGUGUUGACAAUUCCAGAAAAUCCUACCUUAAAGUCACCUCCCAGAGGCUCGCAAGGGGUAAACUAGUGCAUCUCCUUGGUUGGAGAUCACUUGCCUUACCAAGUGUUGGCCUAGGUGACUCAAGGUGUUUUAAGUUAACUAAAAACAUAGAAAUCACUAAAGGAUUUCACUUCCUCUUCAUUGAUGGCUGAAAACACAAAGCUUUGCAUCCAUGCACUUGGAACCUUCCCCGGCAACCUUAGCUCCAAGGAACUAGAGAUUUAGUUACUCAUUCUCUAGGGAAAAUUCCUCAGAGAGUUCAUAACUUAAUAAGAAAAUAAAAAAUACAAAGUGAGAAGGUAAGGCAAAACAAAGGACCUGAACUUUACUUGCUUUCCCAAAACUUUACAAAGGGUCUCCUCCUUGAGAACAGGCUCUCGAGAGGUAUAUAUAUGAACAUCAUACAAAACUAAUUAUUACAUGGAUAUUUACUCUUUUUACUAACUUAAAAGCUAAGGAAUCUUGUAAUUGGUGGCUUACAAGGAGUAUUUUGGGAUUUAGACAACAAAAAUCUGAUGGAAAAUAUCUCCCAAUGUUGGUAGCAAAUAUCGGGACGCACUAGGGACCAUUUCGCAAGAGAAAAUGAUGUCUGCGAGAUUUCGCAGAGAUACAAAAAGGGUUGCGAAAUCACUUCGCAACAAAAGGCUAUUCUCGCAGGGCUGCGAAGUUGGCUUCCAUCUUGAGGUUCUCAGCUUCCAACUUGUCGCAUAUAUCGGGCAACUUCAGGAGGAAAACCACCACACUGUACAAAAAGGCUGCAAAAUCACUUCGCAACAAAAGGGUGAUUUCGCAACACUUUUGCAAAAUGCUUCCUUCAGCUUAGAGUGAUUGACUUGCAGUGGCUGUAACUUCUUCGUUUCAACUCCGAAUUGUGCACCGUUUGAAGCAUUGGAUUGUUGACUUCCUGAGCUUUGAAAUGGUAUAUAGCAUGCAUCAAUUGGACUUCAGGAAGUGCUCCAAAAGUGGCUGUCACGACUGUCAUCAAGAAUAUGCUUUAUGGCAGAUUCUCUUUACUUCUUCUCCUUGCAUUCCGGAUUUACUCUUGGAAAAGGGCUUCAAAGCUUUAGUUCUUCAUCUUUCUGAGCUUCCAAUUGCUUUGCCCAAGAUUCCAAAGAACUCUCCUCAAUCUUGGAUUGCUUUGGUGAUCAAAUUACUAACAAAAACACCAAAACUUACACAAAGUGAUUAGAAUUGAUUGCAAGGGUCCUUAACAUGCCAAUUGAGUUAAAAGGCCAAAAUUACUACUCAAAAGUGUUUAAAAGGGUUUAAUACAAGCUACCAAAGAGCACUUUUUGAGUAGUAAUCACUCCCCCCAACCGACAUAUUGCUAGUCCCUUAGCAAAAAAUGGAGAGAGAAAAAUAUAAAAGCAAACUAAACUAUAAUUUACAACAUCAUGCUAAAAAAAACAAUUUUCAAGUGCAUGAUGAUCUAACUCUCACAUGAGACCUUAAAGAAAUACAAACCCAACUUUCAACAAGAGUUAUCACAAACUAUGCUAAACAUUGUCAAUCAAGGGAAUGCAUUAUGCAAACUGAAGUUUUAAAAUCAUUUCCACUUUCAAAGAACCAAACUUUAUUCUUCCUCAAAAAUCUAUGUGUAUUGGUUCCUUAGCUUCCGAAAAUAAUAUGCUGAACUAAUCUCUCCCCCCAACCUAUCUCUUUUCAACACUUAGCAAACUGACCAAAAUCAAUAAGAAAAGAACACACUUUUUUUUUUUUAAGGAGGCUUAAUGGGGUAUUCUUUUUGAAUAGUCCAUGUAAUGGGGGUCCAUCGAUGACUCCCAACCAAUUAAGGUUUAGGGCAUCAAGCUUUAAGGAUCUUUCAACCACUAACUCCUCGGAUUUUUCCCCGGACUUUUGAGAAUGAAUUUCUAAUACCCAAGCACCUACCAUAUGCUAACUCCACCUAUCUACCCUUGUAAUGAGCAUUGAGGUCGGUGACUCCCAACCAAUUAAGGCUUAGGGCACCAGGUUUUAAAGAUUUUCACCAUAUACCCCUCAGACCUUGCUCGGGUUUCAAGGCAAGCAAACACUUUCUUUCUUUAUUUCAAAGGCUCAUUGGCCUUUCAUAAGGUGUCUCAACUUUAUUAAAUGAGGUCAAAUGUACCAAGUCCCAAAAUUAUCCUCAGUCAAGAGGGAAAUAGCUUUUCAUCUUAUAGUCGGAAUCUAUUGUGCACAGUGUGUGGAUAGCUUAAAGUAGAAGAACUAAAUUCAAUUACAAUAGAAGCUUCAACAAUUGAACCACUUUAGUGAGCAUAAUCCAUACUCUAAGUCAAGUGAAAAGCAACAGUUCAAUUUCUCCUGUUUUAAUUUGAAAAUUUUUCCUCAAAAUCCAUGGAGAUUAGAGUAAAAAGAGUAAAAAGCAAAAACUACAACUGUUUUACCAACAUAAUUGCAUUAUCAAAAAGAUUUAGCAUACUUCCUUUAACUUAGCAUACUUCCUUCCUCAUUUCUCUCUCUCUCUCUCUCCCCCCCCCCCCCAACCGAACUGAGCAUUGUCCUCAAUGUGACAUGGGUGAUUGCAAUUAAAGGGAGGAAGUGGUACCUCCUGAGUGAUAUCAAUUUCGAAUACUGAUUGGAGAAACCACAUGUUUCAAAAAGAAUAAAAGAUGUGAGAAAAGGAAAUAAGGAUAAAUUAAUGCUAAAUGUUAACAAAAAAUUUUAGACUUGUACUACUUUGAAUCCAUUUGAGUACAAUGAAAAAGAAGGCAAUACAAGCAAUCCCAUAUAUGGUACCAAAAUAAUGGGAUUUCUUACAAACUAAAAAAAAACGAAAAACAUAAAAAACAUAGGCAGUAGAUAUAUAUAAUGAUCUGAUGAGUGGGUGGUGUUGGGACUAGGCAGACGGGUCUGCCUCUUCAGUUGGUGCUCCAGAUGGGGCCUGAGGCUCUGUGGGAUGAGAGUGUGGCACUGCAGUAGUGGAGGUGGAGAGCUCAGCAGCUGGUGGCAGAUCGAAAUGAUGCUGGAGCUGCCUUAAGAUGGCAGUGUGCUGAGCCUGGAUGGCCAACAUCUGCUCUUGGCAUGCUCGAAUGGCUGCCAUCUCAUGAGCAAGGCUGCUCUGAGAUGCUGUGAGGGUAUCCAAUGAACGGCAUAACUCUCUGUAUUCAGAAAUGGGAAUGGCCAUCCUUGGUUCAGCUGAAGUGGAUGGUUGAGAUAAAGCUGGAGUAACUGGUGGAGCUUUGGGAAUGGCAGGAGCAGCAAUAGGUAUACCUUCAGGUAUGUGUCAUGGGAAUGCUCUCCUAGCAGCUGGCUGUGGGCGCUCUGGCUGGUCAACUCUAUAGGCUGUCAUGUUGUUCCAUUUGUCAAGAGUAAAUACCUCUCGGCAAAUGCGCUUGCGCUCCAACUGAGGAUCAGAAGGAUACCCCAGGUGCUCCAGAAUUUGGCACAGUAGCCUUGGAAAGAGAAGAGGAAUGGUAUCAGCUCUCUGCAGCUUCUUUUUAUGCACCUUCUCUUCAAAAUAGAGAAGGACUGCCAUAAUUAGAUGGUGAGGGCUGAAGAAAUAUCCCUCAGACAUCCUGAACAGGGCUUCUAACAGGACUCCUCUCCUUUGAGUCCAAUGCUGCAGUGGGUAGAGGUUAUGACGCAAAAAUGCAUCAAUAAGAAACAUGAUUGGAGGAAGCUCCCCCCUCAACAGAUGUGAUCGUGUGGAAUCUCCUCUAGAUAGGAUAUGCACCAUUUCCAGCUCAGUAGGACUGGUCCACACUCUAAAAUCAUCAAAAUGGCUCGGCUCAUAGGGUAUUUGCAAGGCCUCAGCUAUAUGGCGAGCUCCCAAUAUGCCAUGCCUCCCAUCAAUGGUAAAAUGAAUUAGAGUUGGAUCCCUUACCUGUUUAGUGGUCAUGGACUGAUAAAAAUCCAUGGCUACUCUUGGGUAGAAGAAGUCCCUUGGAGUCAGCAGGUGCUCCAUAUGGUAUCUUCGCAGCAGGUGGAAUGACUGUGCAAGCUUCGGCCGCAAUUGGAAUGUGGUUGUGUCAAAGCACAGCUCGGAGUGGAAUGGCCGAGCUUUACAGUCCAAAUUCCCCUCAAUUGGGGGCUGAGUCAGCAUCGGCCGCCUGAUUAUUUCUUCCGGAGCUAUUUCAGAUGGAAUUUGGGGCUCGGGAAGUGGCGGCUGAGGCUCUUUAGGCUUUGCUGGCGGCGCCGGAGAUGGAAUUGCAGAUAGAACUGGUGAGGGUUCUGGGGACUGCUCCGUUAAAUCAAUGGGCUCUGAGCUUUCAACCCUGGCUCUCUUUUGUAGUAGUCGACCCCCUGACCUGGUAAGAUAACGCCUCGCCGGAGGCUUCUGCGGCGCGGGCUUCGCCGGAGGAGAAACUGCUUUCGGCCGUAGAGGCUUAGAGAUGGGUUCUGGAACGGGCUCCUCUCACGGGACUUUCUUGCGGCUUGAAGGAGAGGACGACUUGGCCCCUCUGGUUCGCGCCAUUCCGGGUUGCCGAAAUUUGGCUGGAAUUGAUGACCGGAGAAGAUGAACGGAGGUUUGUGUGGUGUCGGGCUUGAGCAAGGAGAUGAAUAGUCUGCAAGAAUGGCGCGCUCUAUUUUUGAAACCCUUUCGCAGCUCAAAUGACCGGUAUAUAUAAAAAUAACGGAAGAUUAAUGGUCAUUUUGAGCUUCGUAGAAAAAGGCCAAUUUCGCAGCAAAAAGUCAUUUUCGCAGCCACUUCGCAAUCCGUUUCGCAGCUGCGAAUUGAGUGUCACUGUGUUACGAAGUGGCACACGUGUGCCAAAAUCGCUUUCGCAAUUGCGAAAUACCCUGCAGAAUGGAACUUUGGUUGCGAAAUUAGAGAUUUUCACGCUUUAUCGCUUCGCAGCCGUUUCGCAGCUGCGAAAUGGGGGCUCCUGUGCUGUGAAGUGGCACUCGUGUGCCAAAAUUGACUUCGCAGCUGCGAAAAUUCUCGCAGAGAAUUCCAAUGAGUUGCGGAAUGGUUUGGCAGCAAAGUUCUAAUUUCGCAAAGAAUUUCCUUAUGCUGCUGUGGACCCACAUUUUUCACGUGCGUCCCCACUCGAUCGGCGAGACUCGCUUUUUAUUUGUGAAAAAUUAAUUUUUAGAAAAGUUGGAGUCGCCACUUAUUUUAUUUUUAUUUUAAAGGGAAAAUAAAACAAGAAAGAAAAACCCUAAAAUGUGACUCCAUAAUUUUUGGAAAAGCAUGUCUUUGAAAAACCCGAGUCUAGGUCCGGGGAUUAGGUUACUUAUUAGGAAGGUACCUCUAGGAGAUAGCACCCUUCUAAGCCCUAUAAAGGUCUCUACUGACUAAGUUAAGGGAAGUGCGGCAAUUAAUCGGUACGUUAUAGGUAUCUAAAUAGGCUAGGUGAUUUCAAAUAUAUAGCAUGCCAAACAAGAUUUAAUCACAAUAAGAGAGGGUUAAGAUGCGUACCCGGAUCACUUCUCGAGCGCUAACACAAGACAUUAAAGGUUAGUUUGGAAAUAUGACACAUAGUAUGUAUUUUCAUCAAAGACGAUCAAACAAGCAUCAAGGCAAUCAAUGCAUGUCAUCAAACAAGGGCAUGGUACACAAAGAUAUGGAUAUUCAUGGAAUUUCGAAAGUGGGGAGAUGGAGAGUGUACCUGGAUAGCAAGCUAAUACUCCUCUAUGGGAAACAAAGUUAGAUCAAUAACCAAUUCAAAAUAAUCUCAUAUAUAACACAAAGAGGAAGCACAAUCAAUCAAUUAUCAAACAAACACUAUCGAAGAGAAUAUCAUGAAUAUCGGGCCCCCACCAAAGCCCUAAUUAAUUUCGCAUGAGUUUGUUCCAUGAAUUCCAUUGCUUGGAAUCAUAAAAUUUAUUCAUGCUUAAUAAAAUCGAGAAAAUCAUGAAAAUAGUUGAAAAUAAAAGAAAAUAGUGAAAGUGCAUGCCUGGAGGAAAAUGGCAGCAAAAUGGUGUUGAAAUUUGGAUUUUAAUGCCUAGAAACUCUUAAGGAAUUUUAAAGAAAACUAUAAUUAUUUUUUUGCCAGAAAAAGGUUUUGAAAUCCAGAUUUAAGAUGUAUAAGAUCACAAAGAGAAGAAGAAGAAACACUAGGAGGGGUACAAUGUGUGGCAAGGUGGCCAUGCAUAGCACGUGAAGAAAGUCACGUGGGAAGGGGGUGGAUAGGUAGAGAACAGUGCACCUUGGAGGGUUGGAAAGGAGUUGGUCGUUCAUACUAGGGUAGCCAUGUGUGCCACCUAGAAUCUUUUACCCCUCAUAGAAGGAAAUAGGAUUGCGGUCCACAAGCUGCUCAAGACCGAAAUUCCUCUGGUCUUCAUGUCGUAAGAAAAGAUUCUUGUCCUGUCACGGAUCACCAUUGUAUCACUUUGCUGUGUAUUUCCACGGUGUCUGAGUAGAGUUUUUUACAGCAUGUGCACGGUUAUAGUCUCGCCAAAACUGAACAAAGCUCCUCUUGUUUCCAAGCUCAAGGCACCUUACAUGAAGACCUUAAUAAGUCACCUUUCGGUAAAGCAAUAAUCUACCUCUCAUCCGACCUCGAAUAUCUGACCUUCAAUAAUCUUAUAAACCUCCAUAGGCAAAUAGUUUGGCUUUCGUCGAUUUCCCAUUUGCAGAUAAUGUUGUCGAAAUGAUGACCCAUACCCAUUUUUAUGCAUGUCCAGAAAGUACAGUGUUGCAAGUAAUCACAUCAGGUUCCGUCCAUACUUAUGCAUCAAUCUAGAAAGCUUAGCACAUCCUUCAACUUUUCUGCUCUCUGUUCAGGUUUGACUUUACAUUAUGUAGUGUCGCGGCAGGGAUAAAUUCAUUCUGAUCUUCGUCGAAGGCUUGGAAUGCUUCUUUCAACUCCUUUAAUCACUAUACCAGUUGCUUGAUACCGAUCAUCAAAAUCAUGCCUUCCAGUCUGAAUUAUAUUCCAUCAACCCCAUUGCUAGUAAUUCGUCAUCUGAAUCGGUGAAAAGCACUCGAUUUGCAACAGGUGUGGGAGGUGGCUUAUGUGGAAACAGUGCUGAAUUGAACAAUGGAAAAAAUUUCUGGGCUAACUUGACAAUUUCCUUAUGGACCAGAGCAACUGACUGCUUCUUGGUACUCUCCACAAGUGCAGCAGCCAAUGUCUUUUUAGGUGGUUGGUGACUAGAUGAAGAAACUAGCUCCAUGUUGGUAGCAGGAGGCAUGGUUCCUCUCGAAACUUCGCCACUCUUCAGCAAGUGACUGGAAACUAGGAAAGGGGAACAAAGGUUCCCUAUCAAAUCGGGAAUCACAAGUACCUUGCACAUGUUGGCGCUGAUACUCUCGCACAGCUGUAGAAAUAUCAUCCAUGUAUCCUCUAACUAAACUAAGUGGAGCAACAUCCAAAAUGGAUAGAACUGGACCACAUACAUACGACACCCAGAAAGAGGCUUUAAUUUGAAAGGAAUUGACAUGCCCAUUAACUGUUGGAUUCUCGUCACCCAAAUACAUCAAUUCACAUCUAAUGGCCACUGGAAACUACAGAAAUAUCAGUAUUCCUAGACGAGUCUUCCCAUGCAAAACAUAUAUCCUUCCAACUUCAGCUUCUAUGCCUUUGCCGUUACGCAAACAGAACUGUUUCUUAGCUUCAGCCAGAGGAGUUGGAAUUCUGGACCUUCGCGAUCUGGAUGGCUCAAAUUCUCAGAAAAUAUGUCAAAUGCAUCCACGGCCUUCUCUGAUUCAAUCAGCUGAUUCGUCAGAUCCUAGUUUAUUUUCAUCGCUUCAGUCAACUUCUGCCGACUCUAGAGGUCCCAAUAUUCUGCUAUCAGUGGCUUACUUAUCAAUUCCCUGCAUGUAUGCUUUCCUUGCUUGUCAAGUGAAUGCUUGAUGGUUCUUCUGCUUUUGUGGAUCCCCAGAGUUUGAAAAUCAUUCCGCAAUCUGAAAUUCUACUUCAUUUUUAAUGUUUUUAUCUUCUUCACUCAAGGAGUUCUCUGAGUCGCCUCCGAUUGCAAGAUUAGAAGGGGUAAAAAGAUCGGACUGGUUUGGUCAGGGAGGGGAGCAGGUUUCUGAGACCAGUUCGCAGAUUCCAAUCUAGCAAGACAGUCAACAGAAAAAAAAUCUUGGAUCCGCCUGGAGAGGUUAUUGUGAUACUGCCACUAUCAGAACUUGUAUUUGUUACUGCUUUCAAAAUGGCAGCCAAUGCAACAGAAUUAAAUAAUUCCUUUCUAUCUCCUUCUUCAUCAGUGUCCACUUCUUCAUCUGAAUCACUUAUAAUUUGACCACCAAUUCUUUGUGAAUGGUCACGAGAACUCUCUGCACUAGAGUGAGAACCUCCACUUAAUACUUGCUCCAAUUCCUUCAAGAAGUGUUUGGCAGCUUCAGAACCUUCAAGAACCAUACCUUUAAACUCUUCAUCUGUAACUGAGCCUUCAAUCCCACUUUCUUUAUCAUCUUCAUUUGAGUAAUGAUCGGUUUCGUCUAGUUUUAUUGUUAUGUUAAAAACUGGACUGAGAUCCGCAGAUUCAAGUGACUCUGAUUUGCCAGAGACCGCAUUUUCCAGUUCAGCGCCCUAUGCAUUAACAUGUGUAAGUCUGUUUUCUAACUGUUUUGACUCAAGUGUUAGGUUCUCUAUGGUAGAGCAUAAGGUAAAGAGGAGUUCACUUAUUGGACUGCUUCAACAUCCUGCACAGUUGCCCCACUGUGUUUAAACUACUUCAAAGAGGCAUUUUUUAAUCGUAUCCAAUGCUAUUGAAGAUGUCCCAAUUCUCUUCUGAAUUUCUAUAGACCAGUCAUACAGCCCAGCGUCCUGACACUGGUGAGGAGCUUCAAGCAGAAAUUGCUAUCUUGCUUUUACAUCAGUCAGAAAACGAGCCAGUUUACCUUCUUCUCCAGCACCUCUCAGACCAAGUAAAAGAUAAAUCCACCAUUCCUUAAUAACAAUUCCGUGAGGAGUUGCUCCAGCGUCAGAUUUUUCUGCCAUUGCUGACUUUUAUUACCUCUUCCAGUUCAUGACAACUGUCCAUCUCCCCCUGUAGCAGCAGCUCAUGCAUAAUAUUUCAAUACUGUUGAAAGAUCACCAGUACGUAAAUACAUCGAUCUAUAUUGUUGAAUCAUGCUAGAUGCCUCUUGUUUCAGACUGAUCAGUAACCUCUUCUCGAAGCAAAUUUCUGGAACAUUUAACAGCUGCUCAAACGAAGUGUCAUCUUCAUACAUAAAUAGUUGGAGGAAUGACAAGGCAAGGUCUAUGCAUUUUUCCCAAUACGUUUCAUGGUCCACAACCAAACACUUAAGAAUAUGUCUUUGAAGCCACUCAUAAAGCUCUGAUAGACCUUUCUUUUGACCGCGUCAUUCCAAAUUUGAAUUCAGGUCAACUAUCACGCAUGAAUUUGUAGUUGCAUGUGCACAUUGUUCUCUGAUUUCUUCUCUCAGAUUGGGACUCUCAGAGGACCACUUUAUUCCACCAAUGAACAGAAGAACUGAACCAGAUUUCUCAAAAAUACAACUUUUGCUUAUAGCAACUGAACAUUCUUUAGACUAAAAGCGUCUGAGCAUCUCUAAGUGUCACCAUUCUGACUAGCACAAACGUCAUUCAAUGAAUCCCAGGCACAUUCGACAAGCAAAAACUGAUAGAAUCCAAACAUAUUUUCCCAAGUUGAUCUUCAUGUCCCGCGAGAAUCUUGCUUGCCAAAUAUUGAACAUAUUGAAUCUCAUAAAUGACCACAGGAACCAUGCGUGGUACUAAAUCUUCUAAUAAGAUGAAACCAGAAUUUUUAUUUUUCCAUUGCAGAGAAACCAAAAUUUCUCCUCGAGGUCGGUGAUCCUUCUCCAUAUGAUGAUAAGAUCAGAGAGAGUGGCAACAAGGUUGCUUCCAUGAAAAUCACCAGUCGUAUCAUGAACUUCCCUUUUCUAAUCAGAAACGAAAAUCAAACUUCCAGAAUUUCUCCCAUUUUUCCAAGAUCGGUGACGUGUGAUAGGUCCGAAUUUUAAUGAUCCGUGUUCUAGAUCUCUGCAGUUCACUACCAUGCCUUGGAAUCAACUAUCCAAUAUUUGAGUGAGGUUGCUGCGUACUUCAUCUCUCACAUUGACACUUCCAUUAUUCCUCAGUGUAUACCCAAACGCAAUGACAAGGGUUCGGAAAGCAUUCCGGAAAGGGACAGAAAGGAAAUAAAAUAAAAUAAAAGCGAAGCAAAACUCGGAUAAGGAAAUAGCGGAAGAUGUUGAUCAGUAAACAUAAAUAGCCCCACUUCAAACAUUAAACCGUGGGCUAAAAACUGGAGGGACGAUGCAGAAUGGGAUUUGAAAGAAAACAGAGCAUGCUCAAAUUCAUGAAUUCUAGAAGACAUCAACGACAUGUAAAAGAAACAUAAUCAGAACCAAAAUAGGACAAACAAAAGAUCUACCAAUCUCAAUAGAGCAAUUUGUGGCCCUUAACGUCCACACCAAUCAGCAAAGAUUGAAUAUUCAAAAUGGUCAGAGGAUCAUGGAGUAUUGAAUGUAAACGGGAAUAAAAAAAAGUAGCAAGAAGCAUACCCGGCAGCUUUGACUCAAUUCCUUUCUUCUAGAUAUGAUUCUUCUCCCAAAUCCUUUAGAAACUCGUGUACAUCAGUCCCUGUUCUUCUCACCCAAAACAAUCCAAAGAAUCCCCUAAUACCUCUCGCCUCCUUUCUUCCUUUUCUCCUAUAUAUAUCACCCUUCAAGACCUAAAUUUGUUUCCAAAAAGGAAAAUUCUCCUCUUUUCAUUCUUUUUCUCUUCUUUUUUUUAAAUCUUCCAAUCAAAAGCAAUCUUCCCAAUUUCAAAUUCCCCUCCAAAACCUUCCAAAGAGAGUCCCACCUUCCUUAAACUCCAAUGGUAAGUUUCCUUGCAAAAACAUGAAAAUUUUAAAGUUAAAUCAUUGAAUGAAUAAAUAAGCAAGUAAAUAAAUUAGGAAACGGUAAAAAUAAAUAAAUAAAUAAAUAAUAAAUAAGUUAAGGAAAAUAAUAUAAAGAGGAGAAUAACUAAUAAAAAGUGAAUGAUAAUCAUAAAACUAAAACUAAAAUAAAAUAAAAUAAAAUAAAAUAAAAAUAAACCAAUAAACAAAAGCCGAGCCCAAAAGCCAUGUAGCCAUGCAAGUCAUACAAGUCACGCUAAAAAUGUCCAAAUGGGCCAAGUGUGCCUAAACGGGCUUAUGAUGAGACUAAGCAGGCCUAGGGUGGUGUCUAAUGGGCCAAGUGUAUCUAAAGGCUAUCCUAAAAAAACAAGAAAAGCCUAAGUCUAAAUUAGGGCUGCCAAGGGUCAUAAUAAGGGAUCAAAUAAUCCCUCAACCAAAGUCUCCAAGGUGACUCAGAAAAAGGUAAGUGGUGAGUAGUACUGGGCCACCAAGGAACUACUGUGGAGCACUGAAAAUGAAUUUAAAGACAUGUGCUAAAGGAACAAAAUUGAGGGUCUACAGCUGCGGAAUCUCGUAGAGCCCUGUUUUUGCUCUGUUUACACUCUGUUUUUGCUCUGUUUUCACUCCGAUUUCUCUCCGAUUUCUUCAUUUCAAUUUCUUUGCAUUUUCUUCCACCUGAGAUCAUUCAAAAAGAUUAAAACAUAUAUAAAAACAUGAUUUAAGAUCAAAAACUAAGAUCAAAAGUAUGGAAAAAACUUUGAAAUUUACAAAAUUUACAAAAAUUUUGGAAUGUGGUAAAACCACGUCCACCAAACCCUUAUUUGCUUAGGCUUUUUGUGGCUCAAGGAGGUUGAUUUCCUCCUUUUCUGGUUUGAAUGGCUCCAUGAAUGGCUUGAGACGAUAUCCAUUGACUCUAAAGGUGUCUUUGCCAUUGGAAUUCAAUAAUUCCAUCACUCCAUUGGCAUAUACUUGGUGAAUAAUGAACGGGCCUAUCCAUCUUGACUUGAGCUUUCCAGGAAAGAUAUGGAGUCUUGUGUCAUACAGUAAAACUCUUUGCCCUUUCUGAAAUUCCUUGUUGGAGAUUAGUUGAUCAUGCCACUUCUUCAUCCUCUGUUUUGCAACUUUGGAAUUGAUAUAAGCAUCAUUUCUUAAUUCCUCCAUCUCAUUAAGGUCUAGAUAUCUCUUUUCUUCGGCUCUGAUCAAGUCCAUGUUCAGCUUCUUAAUUGCCCACCAAGCUUUGUAUUCAACCUCCACAGGGAGAUGGCAUGCUUUGCCAUAGACAAGACGAUAGGGAGACAUGCCAAGAAUAGUCUUAUAAGCUAUUCUAUAUGCCCACAAUGAAUCAUGAAGCCUAAUAGACCAAUCUUUUCUACUUGAAUUCACCACUUUCAUCAAUAUGUUCUUUAUUUCCCUAUUAGCUAGCUCAACUUGCCCGGAAGUAUGAGGAUGAUAAGGUGUAGCUACCUUAUGCUUCACUCCAUACUUGGAUAAUAGAGCUUCAAAAGGUUUGUUGCAAAAAUGAGCACCUUCAUCACUGACUAUGGCUUUGGGCACCCCAAAUCUUGAGAAAAUGUUCUCUUUAAGAAACUUGAGAACCACCCUGUGAUCAUUUUGUUUACAGGGGAUUGCCUCAACCCAUUUAGAUACAUAAUCCACCCCCACCAAGAUGUAAGAAUUACCAAAAGACAUUGGGAAAGGCCCCAUGAAAUCAAUGCCCCAUACAUCAAAUAGCUCAACUAUUAGAAUGGGGUUCAUAGGCAUUUGAUUUCUUUUUGUUAGCUUUCCAAGCCUUUGGCAUCUAUCACAACUCCUACACAUGAUGUGGGCAUCUUUGAAAAGAGAUGGCCAAGUAAACCCUGAUUGCAACACCUUCAUGGCUGUUUUCUGAGAGGCAAAGUGGCCUCCACAUGCAUUCUCAUGACAAUGGUUUAGAAUUCCUUGCUGCUCAUCUUCAGGGACACACUUCCUUAUGAUCUGAUCUGCACAAUACUUAAAAAGAAAGGGCUCUUCCCAAUAAUAAGCAUGAACUUUUGAAAAGAAAUGUUUCCUGUCCUAUGCAUUCCACUCACUUGGAAUUUCACCAGUUACUAGAUAAUUAGCAAUAUGAGCAUACCAAGGAGUUUUUACUAGGAACAUGAGUGAUUCUUCAGGAAAAUCAUCAUUAAUAGGCAAGGGAUGGGAAUUAUGUGCUAUAACUAACCUUGAAAGGUGGUCAGCUACCACAUUCUCCACUCCUUUCUUAUCUUUGAUUUGGAGAUCGAAUUCUUGUAACAAAAGAAUCCAUCUAAUCAACCUUGCUUUUGCAUCUUGCUUUGUCAAUAAAUACUUCAAGGCUGAAUGGUCAGUGAAGACAAUGAUGAAAGACCCCACUAAAUAAGCACGAAAUUUGUCCAAAGCAAAUACCAUAGCUAAUAAUUCUUUCUCUGUAGUUGUGUAGUUCCUUUGAGCUUCAUUCAGUGUUUUGCUUGCAUAGUAGAUCACAUAAGGCUUCCCAUCUUCUCUUUGGCCAAGCACAGCUCCUAUAGCAAAGUCACUGGCAUCACACAUCAGUUCAAAAGGUAGUUGCCAGUUAGGGGCCCUCACUAUUGGAGUUGUUGUUAAAAAUUUCUUCAGUUGAUCAAAGCUAUUUUGACACCUUUCAUCCCAUAUAAACUUAGCAUCCUUAGCUAACAGCUCACAAAGAGGUUUUGAAAGACUUGAAAAACCUUUUAUAAACCUCCUAUAGAACCCUGCAUGGCCAAGGAACUGUCUUACUCCUUUUACAGUUGUUGGGGAUGGUAAUUUGACAAUAAGCUCCACCUUUGCUUUAUCAACUUCAAUGCCUUUUUCAGAGAUGAUAUGGCCAAGGACAAUUCCUUGACGUACCAUAAAAUGGCAUUUCUCCCAGUUAAGCACCAGGUCUUUUUCAAUGCAUCUGUGAAGAACCACUUCCAAAUUGAUUAAGCAUUCCUCAAAUGUACCUCCAUAUACGGUGAUGUCAUCCAUGAAAACCUCCAUAAUUCGCUCCACCAUAUCACUGAAAAUACUCAACAUGCAUCUUUGAAAUGUAGCAGGUGCAUUGCAUAAACUAAAAGGCAUUCUCCUGUAAGCAUAUGUUCCAAAUGGACAUGUAAAAGUGGUCUUUUCCUGAUCUGCCACAUCAAUUUCAAUCUGAAAAUACCCUGAAUACCCGUCCAAGAAGCAAUAGAACGGAUGUCCAGAGACUCUCUCCAGCACUUGGUCAAUAAAUGGCAAUGGAAAAUGAUCUUUCCUGGUUACAACAUUCAAUUUUCUAUAAUCAAUACACACCCUCCAACCUGAAGUGAGGCGUGUAGUAAUUUCUUCUCCUUUUUCAUUCUGAACCACUGUAAUCCUUGACUUCUUUGGUACCACUUGAGUAGGACUCACCCAAGGGCUAUCAGAUAUAGGGUAAAUAAUGUCUGCUUGAAGUAGCUUCAGCACCUCAGCUCGCACCACCUCUUGUAAAUGAGGAUUCAAUCUUCUUUGAAGUUGACGAAGUGGCUUUGCUUCCUCCUCCAUAUAUAUAUGAUGCGUGCAAACUAAAGGACUAAUGCCUUUCAAGUCAGAUAUUUGCCAUCCUAUUGCUUUCUUACACCUCUUGAGAACUUCCAUUAAACAAUUCUCUUGAUGACUGGUCAGAGAUGAAGAUAUUACAACAGGACAUUGAUUAUUCUUCUCAAGAUAUAUAUAUUUCAGCUCCACAGGUAGAGGCUUCAGAUUGAGUUUUGGAAUUUCUUUUUCAGCAGCUGCCUCUUCUUCUUUAUUGAACAAAGGUAGAAUCUCUACUAUCUUUCUCCAACUUUGUAGAGUAGCAAGCACAGUAGGGGAUUUAGACAAACCUUCCUCAAAAUCCACAAGACUUUCAUUCAACUUGUCUUGCAUAUUUUGAUUACAGUGCUCCUCCACUAAAGUGUCAAUAAUGCACAGCUCUUCUGGACCCUCUUCUUCUUCCGGAGUGGUUUGCUUUUUAGACAUAUAAAAGACAUUGAGAUCAAGUGUCAUGUUGCCAAAAGUGAGUUGCAUCAGCCCAUUCCUGCAAUUGAUGAUUGCAUUUGAGGUAGCAAGAAAUGGCCUUCCAAGGAUGAUAGGAACUAAAUUAGCUUCCUUUACAAUAGGAUUUGUAUCAAGAACAAUAAAAUCUACUGGAUAGUAGAAAUUAUCCACUUGAACCAAGACAUCCUCAAUUACCCCCCUUGGAAUUUUCACUGAUAUAUCUGCUAAAGAUAGAGUGAUUGCUGUUGGCUUCAAUUCUCCAAGUCUCAAUUGCUUGUAGACAGAAUAUGGAAGCAAAUUCACACUUGCCCCUAAGUCUAACAAAGCUUUCUCCACUACCUUUCCUCCAAUCAUGACUAAAAUGGUAGGACUUCCCGGAUCUUUGUGCUUCAAUGGAGACUUACAUUGUAAGAUUGCACUUACUUGCUCAGUUAAGAAGGCUUUCUUGUUUACAGUUAACCCUCUUUUGAUAGUACAUAAGUCCUUUAGAAAUUUUGCAUACGUUGGAACUUGUUUAAUCAUAUCCAGCAAUGGGAUAUUUACUUUCACUUGUCUCAAUACUUCAAGGAUUUCAGCUGCAUUUCUAAUCCCCUUUUUCCCAUGUAAUGCUUGAGGAAAAGGUGGAGAAGUUGAUUUCUUCAACAUUUCUUCCUUCAGAAGUUCCUUCUCUGGAAUUGCAUUCAUUGUUGAAUCAGAGUCCUUCUUCUCUUCACUGAUCUCACUCUCUUUAUCUUCCAUUUCAUCCCCUUUCUUUAUAUCUUCUUCUUUCUGAACAUGUGGCUUGGUUGUUGGCUUCUCAAUUUUUUUACCACUCCUUAGAGUGAUCAAGGCUUUGACAUCUUUCAUCUGUGAUGAUUCUCCCUCUUGGCUUUCCACUUCAUGGACACCCUUGGGGUUUUGGUGGGGUUGAGAAGGAAAUCUUCCCUUUUCCUGCACUGUGUUCAAAUUUGUGAGCCUUGAAAUUAAAUAUUGGAUAUUAUCAAACUUUUGGGAUAUAUCAUUUUGCAUUCCAUCCAUCUUUUUAUUCAAAGUACUCUCCACUCUGUCAAUUCUUUGAUUGAUUUGAGCAUUGGUGGCUUCUUGGUUUCCAACAAAAUCUCCCACUACCUUGCUGAGAUUCGCUAUUGCUUGUUCAAGACUUGAAGAUUGUUGAGAUGGUGGAUCCGGCUGUUGGUAUUGAGUUGCUCUAGCCUUCCAUGAGAAAUUUGGAUGAUUCCUCCAACUUGAGUUGUAAGUAUUUCCAUAAGGUGCAUUGUUAUUGGGCUUGAAUUGUCCAACAACAUUUGCUUGAUCUCUAAACAUCUCCCUUUCAGCUGAAAUUGCAGGGCAUUCCUCCACCAAAUGUUCAUAUGAUUUACAAUUGGGACACAGCUUCACUUGCACUGGUGCUUCAGCAACAACUUGUACUUCAUGUAUUCUUUUCAGCUCCAGCUCCUCCAAUCUUCUAGUCAUAGCUGCCAACUUUGCUUUCAUAUCAUCAUCUUCUUUCAAGGUAUACAUCCCAGCCUUUGCAUUGAAAGCACUCAGUUGAGACUUCAUCUUACCCACUUCUCCUUUGGUUUGUUCAUCCCAUCCCCUUGAAACUUCAGCUACAUAGCUCAAGAAAUCCAUGGCUUUCUCCGGAUUUUUGCUCAUGAAAUCUCCUCCACACAUUGUCUCGAGGAGUUGCUUCAUUAAGGAGGACAUACCAUCAUAAAAAUAGCUCACCAAUAGCCAAGUAUCAAAGCCAUGGUGAGGACAAGCAUUUAUAGCUUCCAUAUAUCUUUCCCAACACUCAUAGAAUUUCUCAUUCUCUUUAGCUGAGAAGUUUGAAAUUUGCCUUUUCAAGCCAUUUGUUCUAUGAGUGGGAAAAAUUUUCUUGAGGAAUUCAGCUUGUAAGUCAGUACAAGAACGGAUACUCCUUGGCCUUAAAGAAUUAAGCCAAAUUUUGGCCUUAUCCUUUAAAGUAAAAGGAAAUAACUUAAGCCUCAUCAUAUCAAUUGAAGCUCCUCUCUCUUGGAAUGUAUUACAAACAUCUUCAAAUUCCUUGAUGUGUGCAUAGGGAUUCUCACUUUCCAUCCCAUGGAAAGUUGGUAGAAGUGGAACAAGAUACGGUCUGAUCACUAGUUGCUCUAUAAGGGGCACUAUACAUGAUGGUGCACUCAUACGAGGUGGAUGCAUGCGGUCCCUCAUUGAUCUGAAUUCAUUGAGAUUGUCUUGACGACCUUGGUGACUAUGCUGAUCUUCAGGUGUAGCUUCCAUGAUAUUCAAGCUCAAUUCGAAUUCUUUGUUAUGAGGUGUAUCACACUUAACAAGCCUUCCUCCACUAUCUCGUAUCCACUUUGGCAUACACAACUAGUAUCUAUCUGCAACUUAAAUGAAAAUAAAGGACAACAAAAGAAAACAGGGCUACAACAACAAAAUUAAAUUAAGCUAAAUUUAAAAGAUAAACUUGAAUUAUGAAUAAAUAAAGAAAGAAUGAGAAUUAGUAAAGUGAAAGAAACGUUACCAAACUUGUGAUGAAGAUCACAAGUGCUCUAAAAUGGUAUCACUAUAAACUUGACACCUUCCCCGGCAGCGGCGCCAUUUGAUUCAUGCCCAAUUGGUGUCUCAGCUGAUUCAUGUUCAGCUGGUGCUCCUUGGAUGAGGGAGUAAUCAACAAAAUUUAUAACCUAUUACACCAUAUACUAGGGUAGCAAAGAAAAAGCUACUAUAGUAUAGCGGCUCUAGGAUCGUUCACUGGGAAGGAUUAGCAAAUUAUCAAUGAUACCAAUUCAAAGUGAAUUGGUCUUGUUUCAUUUCAAGGUUAGCUUAAGAAAUAAAACACCAACUUUAAUUGGUAAAGAUUUAGAUUUAAACUAACUACAAAACACGUAAUGGGAAUAACUUAGGAAGAAAAACAUUCCUUGGAAAGUCAGGUUCACUGGGGUGGUUCCUCAUGCAAAAAACAUAGCUCCGGUCAGAUGGUUCAUUUCCUCGCGUUAGAGAUUCAACAUAUAGUCAAUUCUCUAACCGGUGUUGUAUGGAUACAUCCUUUAAUUAGAUUUCAACUUUAAUUCUCUCACCGAUACAACUUGCAAUGGUUCAAGCCUCUCACUAAGCUUUAACCAUUCAAGGUGAUCUUUAACCUUGGACUUCCCUUCACAAGCUCGCAAGAGAUAACUAAUGGAUGUCUCCUUAGAGUCCAAAAGCUUACCAAGUGUUGGCAAUUCCAGAAAAUCCUACCUUAAAGUCACCUCCCAGAGGCUCGCAAGGGGUAAACUAGUGCAUCUCCUUGGUUGGAGAUCACUUGCCUUACCAAGUGUUGGCCCAGGUGACUCAAGGUGUUUUAAGUUAACUAAAAACAUAGAAAUCACUAAAGGAUUUCACUUCCUCUUCAUUGAUGGCUGAAAACACAAAGAUUUGCAUCCAUGCACUUGGAACCUUCCCCGGUAACCUUAGCUCCAAGGAACUAGAGGUUUAGUUACUCAUUCUCUGGGGAAAAUUCCUCAGAGAGUUCAUAACUUAAUAAGAAAAUAAAAAAUACAAAGUGAGAAGGUAAGGCAAAACAAAGGACCUGAACUUUACUUGCUUUCCCAAAACUUUACAAAGGGUCUCCUCCUUGAGAACAGGCUCUCGAGAGGUAUAUAUAUGAACAUCAUACAAAACUAAUUAUUACAUGGAUAUUUACUCUUUUUACUAACUUAAAAGCUAAGGAAUCUUGUAAUUGGUGGCUUACAAGGAGUAUUUUGGGAUUUAGACAACAAAAAUCUGAUGGAAAAUAUCUCCCAAUGUCGGUAGCAAAUAUCGGGACGCACUAGGGACCAUUUCGCAAGAGAAAAUGAUGUCUACGAGAUUUCGCAGACAUACAAAAAGGGCUGCGAAAUCACUUCACAACAAAAGGCUAUUCUCGCAGGGCUGCGAAGUUGGCUUCCAUCUUGAGGUUCUCAGCUUCCAACUUGUCGCAUAUAUCGGGCAACUUCAGGAGGAAAACCACCACACUGUACAAAAAGGCUGCGAAAUCACUUCACAACAAAAGGGUGAUUUCGCAACACUUUAGCAAAAUGCUUUCUUCAGCUUAGAGUGAUUGACUUGCAGUGGCUGUAACUUCUUCGUUUCAACUCCGAAUUGCGCACCGUUUAAAGCAUUGGAUUGUUGACUUCUUGAGCUUUGAAAUGGUAUAUAUCAUGCAUCAAUUGAACUUCAGAAAGUGCUCCAAAAGUGGCUGCCACGACUGUCAUCAAGAAUAUGCUUUAUGGAAGAUUCUCUUUACUUCUUCUCCUUGCAUUCCGGAUUUACUCUUGGAAAAGGGCUUCAAAGCUUUAGUUCUUCAUGUUUCUGAGCUUCCAAUUGCUUUGCCCAAGAUUCCAAAGAACUCUCCUCAAUCUUGGAUUGCUUUGGUGAUCAAAUUACUAACAAAAACACCAAAACUUACACAAAGUGAUUAGAAUUGAUUGCAAGGGUCCUUAACAUGCCAAUUGAGUUAAAAGGCCAAAACUACUACUCAAAAGUGUUUAAAAGGGUUUAAUACAAGCUACCAAAGAGCACUUUUUGAGUAGUAAUCAAUAAGUAGCGGGAUAAAUACGGGGAUUGGAGCAUGGGAAACUGAAAAUUAAGUUCGGAGAUAGGACAAUUGGAAUUUCAGAUAGCUAAAUUUAGAAAUCGGAAUUUUGAAGAGUUAGACUUUAAUGAUGGAGAUUUUUAAGAGAAAUAAAUAGGUAAAUAUAGAAUAAUGCUACUAAUUAAUCAGAAUGAUAUUAGAACGGAUGAAAGUGAAUAGUGAAAUUUGUGAGAUUAAAAAUUAAAUUUGAAAUAUUGAGAUUUUUAAAAUAAACAAAUAGAUAAAUAUAGAAUAAUGUUACUAAUUAAUCACAACGAUAUUUGGGAUGGAUGAAGAUGAACAGUGAGGUUUGUGAGAUUAAAAAUUAAAUUAGGAAGUCAGGUUUUUGAAGAAUUGGACUUUGAAUAAGUAAAUAAAUAUAGGAUGAUAAUUCUACUUAAGGAAAAUAACGUUUAAACGAAUAAAGAAGAAUAGUGGAAUUUUUAGGGUUGAAAAUUAAGUUAGGACAUCGGAUUUUUGAAGGGUUAGACUUUAAAUAACUAGAUAAAAACGGGAUUUAUAAUUCUAAUUGAUGAAAAUAAGAUUCAAAUGAAUUAUUGAAAAAUUAAAUUAAGGCAUGAGAUUUUCGAAGGAUUAGACUUUAAAUAAAUAAGUAAAUAGGAGAGGAUAAUUCUAGUUGAUGAAGAUAAGAUUUAAACGUAUUGUGGAAUUUUUAGAAUUAUAAAAUUAAAUUAAGACAUGGAAUUUUUGAAAGAUUAGACUUUAAAUAACUAGAUGAAAACGGGAUUAUAAUUCAAAUUGAUGAAAAUAAGAUUUGAACGAAUUGUAGUAUUUUUUGGGAUUGAAAGAUUAAAUUAUGACAUUGGAUCUUUUUCAAAGGGUUAGACUUUAAAUAAGUAAAUAAAUAUGGGAUACUAAUUCUAAUUAAAGAAAAUAACAUUUAGACAAAUAGUGAAAUUUUUAGGAUUGAAAAUUAAAUUAGGCCAUCGGAUUUUUGAAGAAUGGAAAUUUCAAUGAUUGGAGUUUUUAAAUGAGAUAAAUAAAGAUAUAUGAGAUAAAAAUAAUAAUUGACAAACAUAAUAUCUAAACGAAUGAAAUUGAAUAGUAGAAUAUUUGAGAUUGAAAUUAAUUUAGGAAGAUAUUUGAGUUUCGGAAAUUAGAUUAAAAUCUUGAAUCUUGAAAAUUGACCCUGGAAAUGGGGAGCUAAAAAAAAAGAACAUUCUAAAAUAGAAACUCUUAAAAAUUAGAAAAGGAUUUUGGGAAACGAACUUUGAAAAUGAAGAUUUUGGCAAUUAAAUUUGAAAGUUAAAAAGGGUGAGGAUUGAAGCUUGAUAUUGAGAACGAAGAGGUUGUACAAAUAAACAAAUAUAUAUGCAUGAGUGACACUCUCCACUGCGUGCAUGCAUGAAAGUAAGUGGAGCAAGUGGGCUUUGGAAGUGGGCUUAGGAGGGUGGCCAUGCGAAAUGAGGCCAUGCGGUUGGAUGCACGCAUAAGUGGGCCCAAGAUGGACAAGGAAUGAUGAUGUCGCUGCAGAAAGACAAGGAGGAGAUGCGAAAUCUCGGCUUUGAGCUGCCAGUCAGCCUCUGCAUCAGCCUCCUCCAAUGGGAGCAUGUCAACAUCAACGUCCCCAGCUUCCUCAUCAAUGUUCAAGCUAAGCUUGAGCAUCCUGUGGAUCCUAUUUCCGAAGGAGUUGGGCUCAUCAAGACUAAAUCCUGAGGUGAGGAGAGAAGUCUCGAAGAGUGAGAGGACAACAUUCUUCACUGACUUGUCGUUCUUGUCCAUAUCAGUCCUCUUCCUGAGCUCCUCCAUGAUGGGGUUCUCGGGGUUGAUCUCCAUUGUCCUUUUGCUGGACAUGCAACCAGCCGUGCUAGAGUCUUUAAGUGCCUGGGCCUUCAUGAUCCUCUCCAUGUUAGCAGUCCACCCAUACUCUCCUGUCAUCAAACAGCAAGGAGAAUCCACCACCCGGUCAGAUACAACCACCUUCUCUGCCCUCUUUGGUUGCUGAGACCAGCUUAUUUCCCUCAAAUUCCUUCAGCUGACCAACAGCAUUCACCAUGUCGGAUCUAUAUCAAUAACAAGACCACCCGAGGCAUGAGGUUUGAUGAGAGAGAACACGAGGAGGGUAGUGGGGGAAUGAAUAUUUGAUGUGGUGAAGAAAGGGAAUGGUGAUAAAGAAAAAAAAUAGGUUUUGAUAGGUAUGAAGGUUGAUUAAUGGGAUGAAUUGUGGAUAGAGGUGCGUAGAGGGGUUCAUGCAUGAUGAAGGUGAAUGGGAGUAGUGGUGGAACGAGCAUAGGAGAUGGAUGUGGUGUAGAGAGAGAAAAGGUGAUGGAAAAGAAAGUGAGGGGAAGUGGAUUCGGUGUAGUGGGCAUGUGGAGUGGAGAACACUUGCAUGGGAGGGAAGAUGAAUGGUGCGUGGUGUUGAGAUGGGUUGGAGUGGUGACAGUGUGAGAGCCAUUGGUAGGUGAUGGGUAUGAUAUUGGUAAUGCGCAUGAAAAACGAAGAUGGAGGUUAUGUAAUGGGAUGGGUAUGAUAUUGGUAAUGCGCAUGAAUAUUUUCAAUUUGAUUUUGAGUCAGACUUGAGAGUGGUUUUAGCUACUACAACUAUUUUUAUAGAGAAUUAUCUAGUGUCUAUGUAAAUAAAAAAGCAGUAAUUUUGAUAGUAUUCUAGUAAAAUCAAUUUUUUAGAAGAAGUUACCAAUAGGACUAGUUUAAGAAUCAUUUCAAGAGAUUCUUAAAAAAUUUUAAAGUAAUUUUUAAAAUUUUAUCAAAUGCCUAAUUUUAAUAAAAUUUCCAAAAUCAUUCAUUUUUUUUCCAUUAAAUAAAGUGAUUUUAAAAUUUUAUUAAAUAUCUAUAUUUUUUUUAAAUUUCCAAAAUCACUCUUAAACACCAUCUCAUAAUCAAUUUUCUAACACCUUUUCUUCUACACAUUAUUGUAAAAAUUUAACUUAAAAUAUUAUUUAUGUCCCCAUAUAAUUAUUUAAUGAGGAUUUAUCAAGAGAAAGGUCAUUAAUGACAUUAAUAAAUCAUAGAAAAAAGAUGAAACAUAUGUUUGAUUUUCUACUUUCUUUUAAUGGAUGGAAAAAAUACUCAAAAUAUUUUAUAGAAGGGGAGUUGGAAGAAGGAGAACAUGGAAUGCACAAAGAAAAAUAUUAUUUUAUUUUAUCAACAUUAGUCCAUUUUGUCUAUUUCACGACUUUUUUGUUGAAUUAAAAAUCGAAGGUGAAUCUUAAUGAUGAACUACAAAUCUACAGAGAAAGGGGAAGGGGGGUGGGUGAGUAGGUGAUUUUAUAAAUACCUUUUGAAUCUAUAUAAAAUCACUUAUUUGCCCCUCCUAAGUCCCUCGAUCCCCUAACAUAUAUUAUCAUUCCCUUUGAAUCGUCACAAUUUAUAUUCCUUUCUUUUAACAACUAUUUAUUUAUAUUCCUUUCUUUUAACAGCUAUUCAACAAAGGAUAAAGAAUAUCACAAGCAAGAAUGAAUGCAAUAAUACCCUCCCAAUAGUUUAUAAAUACAAGUCACAUGCAAAUGCUUUAACACUUCAUAAUUACAUUAAUUCAUAAGAACAAUUAUCUUCCUAAUAUAUUUCCAAUUACCUCUUGAUAUUAUUAACAAUAUGAAUAAAAAAUUAUUCAAGAAUAUCCAAAAGGUAAUUACACCCAUUUCAACUCAUAUUUCAUCCUUUCAACAUACAUGCUUAAGUAACAAAUGAUAUCUAACAUUGGAAAGGAAUCAAAUAGUAGAAUGAGAGCAAAAGAGACAAUGACACAAGAUUUUAUGUGGAAAAUCUCCUUAGAUAUUAAAAAAACUAUGAAUCUACCAAUGAUAAAAAAAUUCCACUAUCAAGAGUAACCAAUGCAUAGAAGGUUUUACUUAACUCAAGUUUGCUAAUAUUUCACGGAUUGCUUAACCAACACCUUUUCACUUCAGCUGCAUGCCUUCAUCUUUUGGAACAUUCUUGAAGUCCUCACCAAGCUUGAGCUCGACUUCUUCUUGAAGUUCAAUCAAGAAGAAAAUGAAUUUUCAUCCAAAACCUAAAUAAAUAGUAAUUGAAAGAUGAAUAGAAUAGAAGAAGAAAAUGAGUUUUCAGCCAAAACCUAAAUAAAUAGGAAAUUGAAAGAUGAAUGGAAUAGAAGAAUCAACCCAUUUUUUAAGAAAUUCUGAUGGAAAACAAUUUGGAAAUCAAGAUCAAAAAGAGAAUUUUCUUAACAACUAAACACGCUUAAUUAGAUAAGGAUAGAGAGAGCUCAAGAGGGAAGGAGAACGGCUGCAGGUAUCUCCUCCCAAAAUAGGAAUCAAUUUUAGGUUUUAAAUGGAAUGAAACCCUUGAUCCAACGGUUAAGAAAACAUAAAGAAAAAAGCAACCUGAAUCGACCUAACCAAAAUCUAAAUCGAUAUUGAAACAAGGCGUUUAAACACUUAGACAAGAAAAGUUGUCCUAACCUCCUCAACUCUCUUAAGAAAUAAAUAGUUCUAGAAUAACUAAUUUGAAAAACUUGGUUGAUUCAUUUCAUCCAUCUACAACCUCAACUACAUCUUUUGGUCCCUUAGCAAAUUCAACAUUUUGAUUUUCAUUAGGCAAGUAGUCCAAAGAAGGAUUUGGAAAAAUUGAGUUAAGAGACACUUAGGAAAUUUGUCCAAAAUUAUCAACCUAACUAAACACUCACAAAAACAUAAAUACUUGUAUUACUUUAUCAUAAAGUUUCCCCUAUUGUUUUUGGGUCUAGAAAAAUCAUCAAACAAUUUCUGGACAAGGUGUCACUAGAUGUUGUCGAUGCCAACGGAGUUGUGCUUGCAGAGAUGAGUCUCAAGUAGAGAAGGAGCAUUGCUAAAGAACAAGUGAGAAUGAUGUGCUCUCCAUAUGUCUUCUAAGUGUUUUUUAUCUUUAAAUAUGUUCUUUGAAAACACAGUUUUGAGAAGACAUAGAACAACAUUGUUUUUUAAGUCACCAUUUGUCAAACAUGUUUUUAAGUGUUUUUUAUUCUAAAGAAUGGAAAUCACACUUUCCAACAUAGCCUUUAUAUUCCUCAAUGCUUUCCAUGGAUAGUUUAUGCUAUCAUGAAGAAAUAAUUUGGAUAUUGAUGAGUACAAGAAGCGACACAUCGCUUAUCACAACUUCCAACCUCUACAAAGAUGAACAUACCGCUGCCAUCACUAAGGUGCGGAUAAUGGAAAUUACUCCAUCUUCUUUAAUUGAACCACAAUUUUUUUUUUUUUUGGUAGCUGAGUUAGAAUUUCUAGUAGGGUUUUUGCAUUGAAGCAACUUCAAGGAAGUAAUAGAUCUUUAAUUAGAUUCAUGGAAGUAGUACUUGUGCGCAACAUUCCAACUAGUCCUUUCUACACAUUGUUAAUGAGUAAAAAGUGAAUACAAUUCAUACAUGACUCUUUACCUAUUUUAAGGAACUUGAUCAGGGACUUCCAAUCUAUAGGCACUUGAUACCUACAUUGCAUGCAACCAUUUGGUGCAUCAAAAACACUAAAAAAUAAUUUGCAAAGGUGAAGUUUCCAUAGCCAGUACUUGUAGAAACUAGAUUGUCUUGAUUACUAGUAAAAUUCUAAUGAUUUCAAGAGCACCCAAUCCAAUUGUGUUAUUUGAGUAUUGCAUAACAAAAAGAGAAAAUUUGAUUUAGUUAUACUUUGUGUGAUUGUUUUGAGACUUGAAGGUGAUCAAAAAGCCAUUUUCUGAUUAAUUAAAAUUUUGUGGUUAAAAAUAAUUGCUCAUAGACUUAGAGCAACAAACUCACCAAAAUAAUAAUAAUAAUAAUAAUAAUAAUAAUAAUAAAAUAAAAUAAAAUUUGUGGAAAAAAAAAUCUUAUGUCACAAGAUACUAAUUUUUAAUCACAAAUUAGUUUGUGGCAAAACCUCAUAUUUGUUGUAGUGGCAUUACUAGGAUGGAAUAAGUAAGUUUUCUUUUUAAUUUUUUUUUUUUUGCAUGCUUGUUAAUGCAUUGAUCGAUGCAACUAAGGUUAAAUUAGUUGGAUCGACAUCAACCUUAGAGCUUGAGUUGAUUUAAAAUAUCACUUAAUUAGAUUGAUUAAUGUACAAUCCAAACUUAAAGUAGGGUUCAGAGUUUAUGAUUUGGUUCAAAGAAGAAGUUGGCCAAUUAACCUAAUGCCCAAAAGGCCAUUUAAAAAAAAAAUAGAAAAAAAUAUGCUAUGAAGAUAGGUUUUUUGAAAUUAAAUGUUAUUGUCAUGCACUAUCCUUAAUCCAAAUAGAAUAUUAUUAUAUAACCAUGCUUCAAUCAAUUAAAAGACAUGCUUUGGAACUCAAUCAUACUAGAAUUAAUAAUUUAUUAAAGUUUCACUUCAUAGGAACGCCGCACUUUUUAUUAGUACAAUUGCUCUUGCAAACAUAGGAAAAUAAAGCAUAAGUAGAGUUUGAUUCAAAGAAAAAGAACAAGUUCAUUAAGAGAGGCAUUUUUAUUCACUUCCUUUAGCUAGAGCUCUUUGGACCAACGUGACUAAGAAAUCUUUAUAAUUUCCAAGAGCUACAUCUUCAAUCUUCUUGGCUAGAGGAGUUCCAUAUUGCUUAUUAUAUUCCUCAGCAAUGUCCUUCAUAUCAACAUCAGUUCGGGUUACAAUAACUCGAGUUAGGCUUCUUUUUCAUUCUUGGUUGCAUUAGCUUUCAUUGCUGAAUCUAAAAUCUAAGAUUAAAAAGAAAAAAAAAUAGUUCAAGAAAUGCUUUAACAAAUAAAAAUAAAAAGAUCAUUUUUGUAAUGUGUUAUAGUGAAUUUAUCUCACCUUACUGAAAUACACUGGAGCAGCACACAAGCAAUAAAUUGUGUCCUUCAAACCUGAUUCCUCACCGAGAUCCUAAAUAAAUUAAAUAAGGAGGAAUUAUAUUAAAAUGAAUAUUUUUGAAAGCUAAUUCGAGGAAAAAUGACUUCUAAUAAAUAUUACAAUGAAAAGAAUUGUUCAAAGCAACAUGAGAACGAGAACUGCUGUCCUACUUAUUUAUUUAUUUUUCUAAAAAGAGAAUUUAUAAAACAAAAAAAAAGAAUAAAAAAAGAGGAAAAAACUGCAUAAAUAAUGUUCCAUGGUUCGAAAUAAUAUGUUUUUCCUUAUAAUUUGUAUGUUCAUAAUUUUAUGUGUUAAACUAUUAGCAAAGUAUAUAUUUCAAUCUAAUUACUUCUUAGAAUGUAUUUGGUAUGUGAAAAUAAGAAGAAAAAAAAAAUCAUAACAUCAUGUAAAAGAGAAAAAUCAAAAUUCGAAAAAGAUAGAAUUUUGCAUCCACAAGAUUGGAAAUUUAAUUUUAUUCCUAUAUUUAAUAAAUAAUUUGGAGUUAUAAAUGAAUAGAAAAUGGAAUGGGUUUUUUUUUGUUCCUAUUCUAGUGUGUGAAAAGCUAAUAAUAGUAUAGGAAAAAGGAUGAGAAGGAAAUAUAAAAAAGAGGAAAAAAGAACAAAGAAAGAUUAAAAAAAAAAAAGAAGAUACGGUAACAAAGAAGGAUAAAAGAUACUAACUUUAAGUCUAAUAUUGAUUAACCUUCACAUUUUUCUUUUCACUUUAUUCAUUUUUUAAUGUUUAAGUAAAGAAUAAAAAGUGCCUUUGAUAAGCAAGAAUUAAAAAAAAAAGGAAAUAAAAAAAUUUUUGGUAUUUUUUUUAUCUCUAUUUUUGAAAUAAAAUAAUAAAUGAACUGUGGAAUAGAUUUCCUGUUCCAUUCAUAUUCUAAUAUUUCAAACAUGCCCUAAGAAUUUACAAAUAUAAUAUCAUGACUAUGUUAUACCUCUGCAAUGUCCUUGUCGAAAUCAUCAUAGUAACAUUUGAAGACCUCCACGAGAUGAGACUUGCUUCUUGUUGUUAGAAUCCUUACAAUCUCUUCAUCUUUGAUUAGCAUCGUCUUAUCACCAUUUCUAAUGGCUUUAUUAAGUUUUUGAGCAUCCGAUUCAAUUGCCACAUCAUUCUUUCGUGAUCCUUCAUAUCUGUACGAACUUACAAGUGCUACCAAAAACUGUUGAGACAAUUAAAGAUUAAAAUAUCGGUAAUCAUGGAUAUAUCGAUACUUAGAUUUUAUAGAUAUAUCAAAUAUAUCGGGGACAUAUCGGUGAAUAUUUUAUAGUAAAAAUAUAAUGAAAAACUAAAAAAUGAUAAAUAAUAAUAAUAAUACAUAUAUUGAAGUUAUUUUAAUGAAAUAUAUAUAUAUAUAUAUAUUAUUUAAAAAUGUUAAUAAUUUUAUUUAUAAAUUUAUAUUUUUAUUAUAUUUAAUUACUAUAAUUAAAUUUAACUUAUUUACAAUAAUUUUAUUUUCAUUAAUUUAUAAUACAUAUAUACUAAUAAAUUUUAUUUUAUAAACUAAUAAAUAUGUAAUAUGCAUCUUAUGAAACCAAGACCAAUACAACUUUAUUGGCAAGUGACUUAAAUUCCAUGCAGAAUGCAGGGUUCAAGUCUUGGUGGUGUGCUUUGGGUGAAUAAUUUUUCUACUGUUUGUGGAAAGGAUGCUCCCAUCUUAUGCAUGAGGCGUGGAUUGGGUUACAACAAGAAUGCAUGCUUUUGAAGGAUGGAUGGAUGGUGUGGGCUGCAGCAAGUUGGGUGGGAUGCUUUUGAGGCCCAUUUCAAAGCUUUAAAUAAAAGGAAAAAAUAAAUAAAUAUUUGAUAAAAUUUAAGAAACACUUUUAAAAAUUUGAAAAAUCACUUGUAGUACUUUUAGAGAAAUACUUGAUAGAAUAUUUUUUUUUAAAACACUUUCAAAGAAAAUACUUUCACUAAAAAUAUUUUGAAUUAAAAUACUGUUAAAUGCAUUUUUUAACAAUGUAUUUACAAUAUUUUUACUUAAAGUGUUUAUAGUAAAAGUAUGUUAUUUACAAGUGUUUUUAGAUGACUUUCUAAUUUUUAAAAAAAAUUUUAAAAUUUUUUUAAAUGAUUAAUUUUUCUUUAAGAACCAUUUUUUUUAUAUACUAAAAGUACUUUCUAGAAAUAAUAUUAAACACUCUAAGUUACCUUUCAAAUAUGACCAAGUUACUUUCUAAAUAUGAUCAUCUUACCUAAUUAUGAUCACAUUAAUUCUCGAUUGGUUCCUUAAUAUGACUAUAUAUAUUACUUCUCAUAGUACCCUAACUAAGACUGCACCACAUAAAACUCCUUUAUUGAGAAAAGACACAAUUAUAGGACUUUCUAAGAGUCCAACUAAUGAGGUUUUAAGGCUCAAAAUAGGUGGCUUGAACCCAAAAAAAGUUCCAAACUCCAAUAGUAGAAGAGUAGGCUCAAAAGAUUAUUUGCAAUUGCAUAUCCUUAUGCCCAACCAUCAUUUAUGGAAAAAAUAUAUGUUAGAAAGGAAGACGAAUGCAUUUUUCUUAAGAAAUAAUUGGUCAAAAUGCUUCAAUAAAUUUAUAAGAUAGAAAUUCUCUUCACUUUAUAAAAAAUUGCAUAACAUCUCACUAAUCCAAGUCAAAGUUUAUUUUCAAAUAUAAUAACUAAAAAUAUGAUCAUAUUCUUCAAAUAUCGUUUGAUGCAUUUUUUUCUUUUUUAUACUAAAAGUGGUACUAACCUGGCGUUGGAUGCCUUCAACUCGGCAAGCAACGUCUUCCUCGAUGGAUUCACUGUAGAGGGACUGGUAUGCUCUCCUAGCUCCCAAGAGCUCGUCUGAUGAUCUGGUGCAUGCAAGUUCAAUGAGUAGGCCAUAUGCUUGACUGCCUCUUUUCAAAGCCUUCCUUGCCAUGCGAGCAUCUCUUUCCCAAGGAUGCAUGGUCCAUUGCACCACAGCAUCCUGCCCACAAAAAUGUUAAAAAAACUGAUCAUAUUAUUGCAAAAACCAAUCUUAAGUAAUCUUUAGUCUCCCUGUCUUUUGUACUUCCAUUGUAAUAUUUGUUUUUUUGUAAGAAUUAAUUUUUUUAUGAUAAAUAAUAUAUAAAUAUCUUUAAUUUUAUAUUAACAUAAAUAUCUAAUUUUGUAUUCGAUAUAUAGAUACCUUAAAACGCUUAAAUUCCCUUUUUAGAAAUUUAAGAAGAAUUUCUUCACAUUUCUCAAACGGGAAGCGUUCAUCCUUCAAAAAGAUGCUAGAAGUUUCAUUCCUAAAAGUUGACAAGUGUUCUGGUUGCCAUUUUACUAAGAUCUCCAGCAUUGAUUUCUCGUCAACUCCAAAUAUUCCUGGAAAUGUAAAUCAAGAUUAUUUCAACCUUCUAAUAAAUAUCAAUAAUGAAAGAACAAACAAACAAACUGAAAAAUGUUUGAAUAUGGGAAUUAUGUAACAUUUGCUCUCCAGAUCUGAUAUUGUAUCUAAAUUCAAAAUUGUUAUAUUAAUUUGUAGACUGUAUUCAUUAACCAGUGGGGAGAAAAAACUAUAGUGUAAAUUGCAAAAAAAGAAAAAAAGAAAAGAAAAGAAAAGAAAAGAAAAAAGUUUCAUAUGGGACAUGAGAUCAUAUGUAAUCAUCCUUACUGUCACAAAUUUUCACUAGAAUUAUUAAGAAAAUAAUAGAUCAAUGAGUAGAAAGUAUAUUGUAAAAGAAGGUAGUUGUUUGUGAUUUAGAAAAAAACAAAGUUAAGAGAGAAGGAGAAAUUACCAGAGUGAGAAACAGAGAAAGACUUUGCGAGAGCAUCUGACGAAGACAUAAUUGUUUUCCCUUCUUUGUUUAUUUGUUUUUUCCUUCUUUUGAUGGAGGCAACAAGAAUGGUGUCUUUCUUUACCUCCACCAUAGCAUUAAUUUUAUAAAUAAGCUAAAGGGGUAUAUAGGGUAAGCAGGACCACGAGACUAAAAGAUAGAAUGACUUGUGGGAGGGGGGAAAGGUCUUAAUUGUUUGUCGUCAUCAUAGUGUAUUGCAUUCAUUUAUGGGAUUCUUAAGUUAUUUUUGAAGUUUUAUCCACUUUUAAGACUUGAAUCUUUUUAAUUUGAAUUUGAGCCAAACUUGAGGGUGGUUUUAGCUUAUGAAAAAUGUUAAAAAUAUUAGGGCUCCUUUGAAUUUGACAAGGAGGCUUUUGGUCUAUAGCAUUUUUUAUAAUAGUACUUCUAGCUACUACACUUAUUUUUAUAGAGAAUUAUUUAGUGUCUAUGUAAAUUAAAAAACAGUAAUUUUUAUAGUAUUUUUAAUAAUAUCGAUUUUUUAGAAGAAGCAUUUAUCGAUAGUACUAAUUUAAGAACCGUUUCAAGUGAUUCUUCAAAAAUUUUAGAAUAGACAAUAAAGGAUUUUUAUUCCCCAACAAUAAUGGAAAUACUAUGUAUUGCUAAUUUAGAUUAUGAAAUAGCAAGAGAAAUUUUGACACUCAUAAAUGUUGACUUCUCUAAAUGCAUUCAUGAAAGUUAAAGUUCAGAAUAGACAAUAUUUAUAUAUAGAAUUCUCAAAUUAGAAGGAUAAUUUUUUUUUUUAUAAUUAUUAAAAAAUAGAAAAUAUAUGCAUAAGAUAACAAUGAGAUAUAUACUCCAACAAAGAAUCUUGUAAAGAGGUUUCAAAAUUUUGAAUUAUUUGUUUAUUAAAGGAGCUUCUUACGAGGAAUAUCCAAAAGAGGUUCCAAAUUUUAAGACUUAUAACAUGUUCAAGAAAUCUAUAUUUAUGCCAAACUUGCUCUUGGAGAAGGGCACAUUAUCUAGCUUGGUUAAUUAGAAGUGAUAAGAGGUUCCAAAGUUUAGAAUUCUUCUCAUAUUAUAGAAACCAUAUUUUAUUUUAUUUUAUAAUUUCUUUGAGAUACAUUUCCAUCGAAAGGUGCAAGAAAGUAUUUGACAGAAGUGUCUUUGCACCACUUUUUUAUUUAUUUUUUAAAUAAAGAUUUGAGAAAAAUGCAAAUGUAUUGUUUACAUGUAAUCAUUUUUUUGACAUAAAAAAGUAGAACAACCUUCAAAAUUAAGUAAUUUCAUUAUCAAAACACUAAUGAAACUAUUGUAGAUUCCAUUUAAGGGACUAGAGGUUUAGAGUAUUUUUGGAACAUUGAAAUAGAAAUUAAGAAUGAAAAUUCAUUUUAUUUUCUAUUUACUACUGUAUUUGGAUUACUACUUGUUCUCACUGAAACUAAAAUCCAUUCUAGCCAGGAUUUUAAUUCCCUUUUUUCUACAUAGUAUUUUAAUUUUUCUUUAUCCCCAUUCUUAUUCCCAUUCCUAUGUAACUAACUUACCCGUACUUUUCUUAAAUAGUAAGAGAAGGUUGAUUUUUUUUAAAAAAUAUUCUCAUUUCAAAGUCAAUAGGCUAACUACUCUUUGUUUCUUGGCUAGGAGGAAAGAAAUCUUUUGAGUUACAUAUUAUGUAUCCUUAACCAUUUUUCUUCCUUGUGAAGCAACUAUAUAGCUUUGAUAAAGACUUCCAUUCAAUGGUGGAGAAAAGAAAUGUGCUUCUAUGUUCAUGAAAAAGGAUACCCACUUGUGCCUCUCUUUGUCUUUGUCUCUGUCUCUCUACUAAAAUGAAUAAAGUAGAUCUAAUACAAUUACAAUGGAUGACGUUGAGGAUUCACAUAAGAAUGAUGUAUUGGCAUAAUGAUCAAAGAACAAAAUAAAGUUACUAAUCUAUAAAUAUGAAAAAGAAGCAACGAAUUAUGAGAGUCAUCUACACUUCAACUUUAACUGCAUAUUUUGCUUUAGAUAAGAUAUGUAGGUCCUUAAAUGAUCUUUCAAGUUGAAUGAAACAUCGCUUUCAACAUUAGAAAAAAAUUAAAAACAAAAAGAAGAAAAAAACUAAAGAAAAAAUCACAAUUUUUAUGCUUAUUAUUUAUAUUUCUUAGUUAAUAUAACAUAUUGGUUAGACAAUUUUUAGUAAAUACAUGAUAAAAUAUAAUCAAAUUAGCUAGAAUAUUAAAUUGAUCUUUUGAUAAUUUGAUUUUUAGGUAGGUAAAUGUUUCGGUGGUUAAAUAAUAAUAAUAAUAAUAAUUAUUAUUAUUAUUAUUAUUAUUAUUAUUAUUAUUUUAUAAAGAUUAGGCAAAAAAAUUUCUUAUUAUGGGUUGUCACACCCAAAAAUUUGAGAACAUGACUUAAUCUAUACUCAAGAUCCUACCAUGAUUCCACACUUCAAAAUAUGAUUAAGAAGAAGAAAUAAUCAUGUUCAUGUGCAUAAACCACUAGAUGUAAAAUAGACAAUUUUACAUCUCAUCACAUUGAACAUCAAAUGGGAGAGCUUGAGAAUAACAUAGAAUAGAGCUCAAGUAAUAAUUAACUUGUCACACACCAAAGUUUAAUCCAUGGUACAUCAUGAUAAUAUAAAUAAGUACUUUGGAUCUGAUGCCCAAAGACAUGUCUAUGCCUCCUAUCACAUCCACAUGGGAUCUUCUUAAGUUAGCUUUCACCUGUUUUAGAAUCCCAAUGCCCUCUCCUUUAAGGCUUUCACCCUCACCUUUGCCACCAUUAAUUAAAGAGCAGGAACCCACCUUUAUUGGUACUAACAACCAAUGGUUUCCAACAUCUCCAAGGCAAAACCUUUAUCAAUUCCAAAAAUUCAAACCUUCAUAACCAAAGAGAUACCUACCUAUUUGGUUCCUCAAGGAACCAUCCCUGCUCAAGGUUCAAGUAGUAGCCCUACAACAAACCAUGAGCUGAUAAGUGUAGCUUUGCAUUAAUCCAUUAUAGUAUGCUUGAGCUCAAAUACAACGGUUACAUGCAUGAAAUAUGUUAAAAUAAUACAUACUUAAUGGAAAUCCAUGAAACCAAAUUUUGGAAAGGUAACCAACGGAUGCUUAAUCUUAAAACAGAAGCUACCCUACCAAUGGUGAAAAUCACCAAAAAUCAGUGACUAAAGUAGUUUCUUUUUCCCAUGAUUCAAUUGAUUUAGGUGUUGCAGGUAAGUAAAUUCAUGGAGAAGAAAAUGCAAUGGAGAAAGAUGAGGAGUGUUGGUGAGCUAAAUUAUCUAGUUUAAUUCAAGUUUAAAAUUUUGUUUCCAAACAUUACCAGAUCCACUCUAAAUACUUCACUGAGACUAUAUUGGUCAUUGAAGAUUGAGUUCAUCAAUUUAUGUAUGCUGCAUACAGUUGAGUAUGAAAUGAAAGUGGUCAGUAAGCUUAAUGGUAAAUAAAAAGGCAUAGGAUGGUUUUAUGGAAAAAGUGGGCUAAAACACUGCCAAGUUGUGAAAACAUUUCAUGGAGUGCUCAAGAACCCAAGGUGCUCAACUGCCCUUGAUAAGCGCUUAAGCACUCAAGCCAUUUUUUUUUUAUAAUAAAUUUGUGGUAAAAAAAAAAAAAGAUUUCUUUGUCAUACCCAACUUGUUAGGAUUUUGUUAUAUAGAUAUGCCUUCUAGAGUUUAAAAAAGCUUCAUGUGCCCUAAUAUGAUAUAUAUAUAUAUAUAUAUUUUGCAUCCUUACCCAGUUUUCUUUUUUGUGAAGCAACCAUAUAACUUUGACAAAGACUUUGAUUCAAUGGCAUGAAGAAAAGAUAUGUGCUCCUAUGUUCAUGGAAAACGACUCACUUGUGCCUCUCUCUCUCCUAAAGUUAAUAAAGUAGAUCUAAUAUGAUUAUAAUGGAUUACGUUGAUUCACAUAAGAAUGACAUAUUGGCAUAAUGAUAAAAAAAAGAAAAAGAAAUGAAGUUAAAAAUCUAUAAUUAUGAAAAAGAAGCAACAAAUUGUGAGAAUCAUGUUACACCUAAAAUUUAAGUACACAUUUUGCUUUAGAUUAGAUAGAUAUGUGGGUCCUUAAAUGAUCUUCCAGGUUAAAUGAAAUAUCACUUUCAACAAAAAAAAUAAAAAGAAAAAACCACAAUUUUUAUGCUUAUUAUUAAAUUUCUUAGUUAAUAUAACAUAUUGGUUGGGGAAUUUUUAAGUAAAUAUGUGACAAGAUUGGCUGAAAUAUUAGAUUGACCUUUUGGUAGGAAAAUUGACAAAAUUGAUUGAAUAGCAAGUGGAAAAAAAUUUCCCUAACCAAUAUGUUAUAUUAACUAAGAAAUAGGACAUAGACAUGGACAUGGCAUUCUAUUAGCUCGAAAUGGCAUGUACAUAAUUAUUGCCACCAAAAGGUGGUUGCCCUCUACUUUGGAUAUAGAGGACAUGUGGAAAGCAAAUUUUGUGCUUGGAGUUAAGAUCAUAAGGGAUCACUCAAGAAGACUUCUUGGUUUGUUUCAAGAGACUUAUAUUAAGAAAAUUCUAGACCAGUUUUGGAUGCAAAAUUGCAAACCUAUUGACACACCUAUCGAGAAAAGUUACACCUCGAGUCUUGAUCAGUGCCCUAAGAAUGAUGAGGAAAGGAAAUAACUGGCAAGAGUUCUUUAUGCGAGUGCAAUUGGAAGCUUGAUAUAUGCUAUGUUGUGUACUCGACUUGACAUAUGUUUUGUAGUUGGAUUGGUUAGUCAUUACCAAGAGUAACCUAGGCCCUGUUCAAUGGCGAACAACUAAGAAGAUUUUUUGUUACCUCAAAGGGACUAGAGAUUUUGUCCUCUGCUAUCAAGAUGGGGACUUGGAGAUUAAGAAGAUACUGUAAUGCAGAUUGGACUAGUGAUAGAGAUGAGCGCAAAUCUACUAUAAGAUAUGCUUUCUUACUCAAUGACACUACUAUUACUUGGCGUAGUAAGAAACAAUCCUACAUUGCUUUAUCCACCAUGGAGUCAUAAUAUGUCACUUGUUUAGUGACCGUAUAGGAGGCUGUUUGGUUGGGGAGAUUAUUCCAAAACCUAAAAGUCAUGGAUUUAGCCAAAGAGCCUAUCACUAUUUUUAGUGAUAACAUAGCUGCUCUAGCAUAUAGUUAGGAUAUGUGAAGCUUGGUUGAAACUUCAAGUAUAGUGGAUACCUCACUCGGUUAGGAGUUUGAGGAGAGUGAAUGUAGGCAAAGGGUGUCGAACCACUAUAAAAUUUGAGUUUGCUUUCUUUAACUUUAUCUCUCUAUAUUUGUGCUUGUUUUGUUUGAAUUUAUUGUAAUUGAAAAAGAAUUUUUAAAACCUAAUUUACCCCCCUUUUGGGUGUUUUCCUUAUUAAGAUUAGCCUAUGACAUUAGAGAGUGACACACCCACUCUUGUGGGAGCUCCAUCUUGACAUACAUAUCAUAAUACUAUAUGUGCUAUCUACAACUAUAAGAGAGAGUUGUUAGAUGGAUCCCUGCUCCAACAUUAUGUGAACUCUUAUAGACUAGUUACUAUAAAGUUUACUCUAUACCCUUGAACCUAGGACUAUGUCAUGCAGCAAGGGUAAAAUGUCACUACUUUAACAUGUAAUCCAAGGGUCAUGAAUGAUACGGUCGAAUGGAAUAUGUUAGGAAAAUAGUCAAACCUAAAUGAAUUGACAUAAGUGGUUGGGGAAGAUUGCUAAUAACACACCACUAUUUGUAGCUCAUAUAUCAACUUUGUGUUCGAUAUAAUUAUGAGUACAAAUAUGUAUAUGAGUUGAGGUUAAACAUUUCUAAUUGAGAUAUGACUCAUUGAGGGGUUUUUUUUAAAGGUGCUUGAACUGGUAUGAUUAACAAGUCUGGGCUAUAAAUGAGAUAUUUUAUUCCGAAUGAUGUGUUGCGCUAGUGAGAUGGACACUUAGUAUAAACACUCCUACGUUAUAGCUUCUCAUCAUGCAACACAUUUCUUUUUCUAUAUGAAAAAAGUGACUUGAUGCAAGAUUAAGAGAAAAAAAAAGACAGAUUUUAGCCAAUGUUUAUGAGUGGGAAAUGUUAGAAUUUGAAUUUUUUAAUUUUUUUUAAAAUUCAUUGUCAACGUAUGGGUUAAAUAAAAGGAGGAUGAAUAAGUAGAUACGAUUCCAUGAAACUCAAAUUUUGUUUUUGAAUUAAAUUAGUUAAAAAAAAGAAAGAAUGAAGAUUAUUAUCCAUUUAGUUUGAAAUCCUUAUCUUUCACUAAUAGGGCUACUUAUAAAUAGUAGGUUCAUUGACGAGUCCAACAAUCUUUUCUCCAAAGGUUUGAGCUUCUUCAUCUCUCUUUUAUUUUCUUCGAAUCAAGUUUUUUCUGGUGUCCAUUUACACUUAGAAUUUGGAGAUUGGAAUAAUAAAAAACUCUAGUAGUUUCUUUGAAGAAGGAAGUUACCAACAUUAGAGAUUAUAAUUCAAGUUACAAAUUAAUAUCUUCCAUGCAUAGAUAUUUAUUUGGACUAUAGUUUUAUUCUUUUCUUAAGCUAUCUUUAUCCCCACAUUCAAGGCCCUAUGUCCCUAGUGCUACAAGGUCUUUUCUUUUUAGGUCAUGUGCAUAGUUGUCUUCGAUGAGCAUAGGUUUUGAAUUUAGGGAUAGUGUUUCUAUUUUUCUUUGGAGUGAUGUCAUAAUUUUAGGUCUAGGAUUAUUCAUUUAAGAGGAGAGUUUAUUUAGGAUCGUUUAUCAUUUAAUUGAUUCUCUAAUUAUUGUUUUUCUAAAAGGUUUGAGUGGUGUCAAAAUUGUUAAUUUUCAUUUAAAAGUGUGUUUUUCUACUUCUAUCCCUUCAAUCACUUGAAUUCUUUAUCAAAAUUUAGUAACAAAGUAAAGAAGGAAUUUGAUAUAAUGCCAAACACAUAAGGUUGAAUGUUGUAUCCUUGUCUCUAUGAAAUCUUCUUAAGUUUAACUUUUGUAUGAAGUUACUAUUCAAGUAAAUUAUGAAAUCAUGCCUGUUGAUUUUGUAUUUUGAAAACUCAUGUUUGGUUUAGUUCAAAAAUUAAAAUUUCUUAAAGUGAAAAUGUUACAUUGAUCGUGUAGUAAAUUGCAUUUUUAAACUAAGAGUCAAAGUUGUCAUUUGUAAUAGUACAAAUUACCCUUAAGUGGAAUAGACCCUUGCAUGGAAUGGGAUAAUAUCUUAUGUUUGAAAGGUGGUUUUCGACAAUUAAGGAUCAUAACUCCACUUUAAGUACUAUAAUUUAAAAAAGACGAAAAAAAACCUAUGUUAUGCCGCAAAAGUAAUAUUGUCGUUGUGCUUGAAUGAUCAAUGAAUUGUUAUGUUAUAAAAAAUUGGUCAAACUACUAUUCAAUUGAAUGAGUUAGUAUAAUGUAAUGGAUCCAACAUGAUUUAAACAGAGGACUUGAGCUAGUUAAAUGAAUCAUUUUAGUUAAAUGAAUCAUUUUAGUUAAAUAGCAAGUUGGGCACUUAGGCAAUAGUUUUAGUUAUUUGAUUUUAUAAUUAUCAUAUCCCUUUCACUCUUGAAAUGGUCUGACUUCAGGUUCACAAUUAAUCUAAUUGUUUGGAUAAUUUAGUGAAGUGGUUACAUGAUUGAGAUCAAUUGUUUAUGAAUUGCCCAUGAUUUAUAUGAUUACCAUAAUUUCUUGAGUAUUAGUGAGAUGAAAGCUUGCAAUUUGAGUAUAGGUCAUUCAUGUAUGUGUUAUAAUAUGUUUCUUAGUGGUGCAUAGUGUUUUUGGACACUUUUUUAAGAACCCAAUGCAUAGCUCAAGCAUUUGGAUCACUAGAGCGGCUGCUUGAAAAUUGAAGAGUGUUUAUUUGUGAAUUUUCUAGUUGUUUUCAAAUAUAAUUUCAUAUUCUUUCAUGCAUCUUUUUACAAUUUUUCUAUCAGAUGUCCUUCCAUCAAAUUUAUUGGAGAGUUUUUCCUUUUUCAUUUUUUGUCUUAGGUGGUGUUUGUUUUUUGUUUGAAUAGAAAAAGUCAAAAUAUUUAUUUUUUUCUAUUUAGCUAAAAGUAAUAUGUUAAUAUUAACCGGUAUAUAUUAACAUGUUCAUUUUGGCUUAUACUGAACCUAUUAAAAACAAAUUCACUUUACUUAUACGGGUUGAUAUUAACAUGUUCACUUUCUGCAGCUCACUUAUCAACCGUACUAAAUCAGCUUGGGUUUUUGCCAUGUUCUACAAAUACACAUUCUAUCCCUCUUCUCAUCAUAUCUAGUUCUAAAGAGCAGCUGCCAAAUUUAUCCACUGUGUCUUCAUUAGGCUCUUAUCGAUACAACCCAGAUGAUUCUGGAUAUUAUAGGGUCUUAUGGGGACCCCUCAUGCUUUGGGAGUCUUUUGUUCCUUAUCCAAUCAUAAGCUUCGUGCUAGAUGCUAGCCAGUUUUGACUUCUAGCAUGACCUAUCAAUGCUUGCAAUUGGCUUCCAUUGACGAUAGCUCCUAGUCCAAGCCUGUGAGCCACACGCAAGGACAGUUGGUUGACCUUGUUUUGAUUGUUGAGGAGGUAGAGAUACAAGAUAUCAAAGGGCUUAUUGCAUGUGGACCCGAAUUAGGGUGUUAGGUGACCUAGUGAGAAGAUAUGAAUGAAUUAAUAGAUUGAUAAAUUCAUGCCAAAUUUUUUUUUUUUUUCCUCUUAAGUAAAAGAAAAAGAAUAUAUAGACAAUUAAAUAAAGAUAAUAAAAAAUAAUAUAUAGAAGAAAAAGAAAAUGUCUUACUCUCACUCAAAUUAAAUUCAUCUCGUACAUAUUGAUCUUCAUUUAUUUCUUCCAUCUCUCACAACUUCAAUCUACCAUUUUCUUUACGUAUGAAAUAUAAUUUAAACAAAAACCAUUAGACCAAAUGAAAUUAGCUAGAUGAUCGAAGGCAAUCCUCUAAGAACAGAUUAAACAAGAAGGAAAGCAACAGCAGCCGUGGUUGCCAUCAGAAGCUAAUGCCCAGACACCGAGAUCCCAUAAGCAGAACUGGGUGCUGGUGCUGUGGUGGUGGAGGGGGAGGGGGCCGGUGCAGGAGACGCCCACUCUUCCAGCACAGUGAUGGCAAGCUUCUGUCCGUAGUUGGCACAAUGGUCGUUUACACCGCAAAUAUACCACUUCCUUCCAGGGGUGGCCAGUGUAAUCACAUCAUUUCCAGUGGUAAGAGCUUCAUUUGGUGGUGGUAUAGUGCAGUUCGUGAAGACGGUACCAUUCACUUUGAAGACAUUGUGCCGCCCCGCCGUGUAUUUGAAGACUGAAUGUAUGAGAAUUGAUAACAGGACUUUUAGCAGCUUGAAUCAAAAGAAACUACAAAAGGAAAAUAAAGUGACAGUUUAAGGCUAAAGCCACAUUACCUAGUUCAUCGCCAACCCGAAAUACUUUGUCCUUGGCCCAAGCUUCGUAGUCGAAAUUAAUGGUCCAACCUUGAUCAUCCCCAACAGUAAACUCAGUUGCCAUGGCCACAGCGGGAAGAACAAUUGCGAAGACUGCAAGGGCAAUAUUCAACAGUUUAGACGCCAUUGCAGCUGAUUAAAGUUGAGGAGUACUGUAAUUCAAUGGUUUCUUGGAUUGUUGAUGUUCAUCCUAGGCUCUAAAGGGUGUAUUUAUAGUUAAUGUUUAGACCAGAAUAUUGUUGAAAGCGUCUAAAACAUGAAGAACGGGAUGGGUCUGCAGGCCACAAAGCGUUGCCGCGGAAAAAGCUUUGGUUAGUGCGCAAUUAUUCCAUGACUAAUUAAUAUUAUUGUAUGACAAUUGUAAAGCCAUAAUUCUCUUGGCCGUUUUCUUCGGUCCAGACAUACACACUCGAGCAUUGAAUGGUCAAUGUUUAGCUUUAAAAGCACAAAUUGAAGUUCCCUGGAAAAGUGAAUCUUGGGGCCGGCUUUGUGGCUAGGUGGACAUGCACAACGACAAAGUGCUGUUGUGCCAAACCCAACUCAAUUUUCAUCACCUUAGCCUAAGUUGAUGCAUGGGUUUUGGUAUUGGGCUUGUGGUAACCCUAAGGUCCAACCUAUCAGGGUUGAGGAGCGUUUUUUUGUUCUUAGCUCAGUUUUUUGUGCCCAUUAUCAUGGGCUACAGCUGGCCCUGUCUUUGGCCCAAUAUAUCAGUUCGAGUAAAAGUAGAUUACAGGGCAAUAGUACAGAAGAGUAUCCACCAGUCCUCUUCCUAGGGUUUUAAACUUCAUCAUUCUCUUGCAAUCUCCGUCUUAUUCUUUCUUCAUGCUUAAGGAAGGACUAUAGUGAUGAGAUUUGUUCCUAUUUCUUUCUAGUUGUGGGCUUAUCCUUGUAUUAAUUGAAAGCUUAUAUUCUUGAUCACGGUAUUACCUAGGAUAUCUUAAAUUAAUAACCUGUAGACUUAUUUCUGAUUGAUUAAAUUAAGUUUAUUUUCUCGUUUUGAUUGAUCAAGUGCAUUUGAUAACAAUCAUGAAUAUUCAGUCACACAUGGAAAAUCACCAAUAGAGAUUGUCUCAACGCUAAACAUAUGGAAAACCACUAACUAGUCAACUGAUUUUAGUCAAAUUUCACUAAAUAUAAAAUACUAGUACACAAUUUUAUAAAAUUGACUGGUGUGGAAUAUUUUUUUUAUUAUUAUAAAAAUUAGUUUAAUUAAAUUGUUUCCUUUUUUUUUUCUUUUUGAACAUUUAUGAAAUACAAAUGUAAGUUUGGCUUUUCACUAAAAAUUUAUAAUUUGAUACCAUCCCUACCUAAUAGUCCUUAGGACGGUAGGUGGACUUAGCAAAUAAGAGAAAUAAAUAAGUAGUGAGGUUUGAACUUAUAACCUUUGAUAAAAUAAUAUACUUUGAUAUCAUAUUGUCAAUUAAAGCUUUGUUAAGUACAAGGAUUAAAAUAUCGAAAAAUACAGAAAUAUUGAUGGUUGAAUUUGACAAAAAUAUCAAAUCAAAAUUUGAAUAAAAAAUAUCAAUAGAAUAGAAGUAAAUAAAAACUUAUAGAAAUAUCGAUAAAACUACAAGAAAUGAUAAAACAAUGAAAGUUAUUUUUUAAAGACCAUAUUACCAAUAUUGAACUUUGGAUAAUGAUAUAUAAUACUUGAAAACACAUUUAAUAUUAAAUAAAUUAUUUAUCUAGUUUAUACAUAUUUAAAGACAUAAAAGAAAUUAUGACAUAUAACAUUAUUUUUAUUUAAAAAUAUUUAUCAUUUUAUUUAUAAAUUUAUGCUUCAUUUAUAUUUGAUAAUUAUAAUGAGAUAGAAAAAAAAUUAUUAAAAGGAUUUUUCAAAUUUUAUAUUUUAAAAAAUCAAUCUAUUCAAAUUUAAAAACAAAAUAAUUAAAAUUAGUUUAUUUACUAAAUUAAACUUAUUAGAAUUUAAUUUUAAUUUUAGUUACCUUAUUGGUAGUUGAAACAACAUUAUAUAUAGAAUUUUGGGUCAAGUUAGCCGUUGAUCCAAAUAAAAUAUUAGCUUAAUUUGAGCUUCUUUUGAAACUAUUGUUCAAAUUAGUAAUUUUGGUUUUGUUUUGUUUUUUUGUUUUUUGUUUUUUAAUUUCUAUGAAACUACAAUUUGAAAGUAAGGUUUCAAUAUAAAUUUAUAGACACAAUUUUAAUACUAAAACCAUAUUUUGAAACCUUAUUUUCAAAAUGUGAUUUUAAAUUUAUACUGAAAUCACAUUUUCAAAAUGCAGUUUCAAUUUCUUUUUCUUUUUUUCUAAUAGAAGAUAAAGGAUGAAAGAGAAAGAGGUCAUUUUGAACAAAAGUUUCAAAUGAGGGCCAAAAUGCAUAUUUGUUUGGCCAAUGGGGUUGUUUUUAACCCAAACUCUUAUAUAUAUAGACAUACACAAGUCUGUGUGUACUUUUUUUGCCACUUCUAGGCAUUACUAAUACAAUCUCUCAUUUACUUAUAUAUAUAUAUAUAUAUAUAUAUAUAUAUAUAUAUAAAUCUAUACAUACUCAAGGAUGAAAAUAUCAAUAAAUAUAGAUAUAUUGAUACUUGAAUCUUACAUAUAUAUUGAAAAUUAUGUCAGUGGAUAUUUUGACAAAAAUAUCAAUGGACUGAAAAUUGUUCAAAAUUCAUAAAAAUGCUUGGAAAUUUUUUUAAAAAUGAUAAAAUAAAUAAGAAUACACAUGUUAAAGUUAUUUUGUAAGUGUAAUUGAUAUACGUAUGUAUUAUUAUUACUUUUAAUUAAUUAAUUAAUUAAUUAUUGUUUUAUUGCUUUCUAUUUGUGUAUAUCAAUUGGGGAAUUGGUGGAACUCCUACAUAAAAAUCAUUUUUCAAAAACCUUCUUUUGAUCAACUUAUUCAAUUUAUUGCACACUUGAAAAUAAAAUUUAAUUUGACCUAUUUAUGAUGUUUUUUUAAAAAAAUUUAGUGAUUGUAUGAUAUUUUAGACAUCUUGAAUAUGAAGUUAGAACUUUGUUUAAAUUAAAAAGCAAUUCUAAAAUAGAAGAUAUAAAUGACUCUUUUAGGGAUUCUAUUUUCACCCGAUUUUGGACAUUCAAAAUAUUUUUGUAAAAAUAAAUUAUUAGGUGACCUUGUAAAUUUUAUUUGAUAUUUUUACUUGAUUAUAGACUUCUUGAAAUUGACUUUACACACAUAAAAUAUUGAAAAUAGUUUCCCUAAUCAAAAUAUAUUUUUUUUCCUUGUUGCAUUCACUGUAUUGCCCUAAUUUUGAAUAGAGGAGUUGUUUGAUUGUUUUUAAAAUUGAUUUGCCUUCUGAUCACCUUGUAUUUAUUUUUCUUGUAAAGUAGACAUUCUAAACAUUUUGAGUGAUUUUUUUGUAUGAUUUUUUGGCACUUCUAUGUUAGUUUAAAAAACCAUUUUAUGCAUACUAUUGAAUUUUGUUAUGGUCUGGACCUUUAGAGAUGUUUUUGUAAAACUGGAAUCAAUCAAAGCUUUACUAAAUUUCUUGGCCUUUUGGUUGAUAAUCUAGACAUAUAGAAGAGGCCUCCAAAAUUUUUUUUAAUUAAAAUCUACUUCUAGAUAUUGUUUUAGGAUUUAUUCUUUAAAGGUUCUUGUUGUGAUUGCAUGUUGGGAUUUCUAUACAAUGUUUAACUUACCUUUUAACUUGGAGUUAAUUGAUAUGUCUUUACUUGAUUUUGGCUUUGGUAUUGUAAUAUAGACAUAAUGAGAAUGCCAUAUGAUUCCUCCCAUGUUGAAAUGAUGUCUCUAGAUAUUUGUUUAGGAUUUUUCAAGUGAAUGCAAUUGUUCUACCCAUUUACUGCAUGUUUUUGUCUUAGUUACUAACUUUGAUACUUAUGACUACCUAAAGUAUUAGUUUAAAUUUAAUAAUGAGCUUAUAUGUAUGUCCUAGGUGAUAGAUGAUAUUCCUUUGGAAUCUUGCCUUUUUUUAGCUAUACAAAUGUUAUAUAUAUUAGUGUUUUUUUUUUAUCAUAGUUAUUUAUUAUCAUGAAUUAUUCUAACCCUAUUUCAUCAUGUGUAAGCACAUUGUAAGUUAUGCAUACUAUCCAGGUAUGUCUCUCAUGCCUUUUAUCCCUAUAAUUAUGCAAAUAUACAAACUUUGAGUGUGCAAAUUUAGAUAUAUGUUGUUGGUUUGUAUGUUUUGUUUGUUACUUGAUUAUUUGAAUGAGAUGAAAUGCAUGUUGUAUGUUAUAUUUGUUAAACUAACUUCAAUAUUUUUAUGAAAGCGCUUUGGGAUGUAGCUCAGGUACGCCAAUCCCUUCUUACUACAUGAGUGUUUCUUGCGGUAUGAUUGUUUGGUUAUGAAUAUUAUGUUGUUUACUCUUAAGCUUGAUCACCUUUGCUAUCUUUGCAGUUUCAAUCAAGCAAUUAAUUAUCAUCCUUCCCUCAACCUAGCUAAUAGAGACCUUUUUAGGGUUUAGAGGGGUGCUACACUUUAAGGUAUCUUCCUAAUAGGUAACUUGAUCCCUAGACCUAGAUUCGGGUUUUUCAAAAGUUUAAGGAGUCAUUUUUUCUUAGGGUUUUAGUUUCUUAUUUUAUUUUUCCUUAAAUAAAAUAAUAAAAAUAAGUGGCGACUCUAGUUUUUUAUAAAAUACAAUAUUUCAGUCAACAAAAACAAGUCUUGCCGAUUGAGUGGGGAUGCAUGUGAAAAAUAUGGGUCCAUAGUAUGGUUGAUGAUGAAAAUAUUAGUAAAUACAGAUAUAUCGAUAUUUGGAUUUUAAGGAUACAAAAUAUGAAUUUUGGAAGUGCACACUUACAAUUAGGAUAAGAAAUAUUUGGUUUCAUUCAGUGAGAACAAUUUAUACAUAUUAUAUGGUAAUAGUACUUUAGUACCAAAAUGAAUAUCGUUGUGGUUUCAUCGCAUUAUUAGACAAAGGGACCCCAUUUUGUUGAAAGGAUUGAUAGUAUUGAUUGUAAGUUUGAACAUGUCAUACAUAAAUUUAUGAUAUUAAUAAUAAUAUGUCAAACUUGAAAAUAUAUUUAAUAUUAAAACUAUAAUCUAUUUAAUUCAAAUGCAUUUAAUGAUGUAAAAUAAAUUAUGAUAUAUGUAUGAUUUUUUUUAAUAUUUAUAUUAUUUAUAUUUAAUUAUCAUAUAAAUGAUAUAAAAAAAAGACUUACUAAGAAAAUUAUAAUGAUGGUUGGUAAUCAAUUAAAUGAAAUUUAAAAUAAAAUAAUUAUAAUUAAUUUGUAUAUUAAAAUAUUCUUUUAAUAUUAAAAUUAUAAUCUAUUUAAUAUAGUAAUGUUUGUCUAAAUACAACAAAGUGCAAAGUUGGCCCAAUGGCUGCCAAGGGUUCAAUUUGAACUUUUUAACUUGGGUUUGAGUUGGCCAAGUAAGACGAUAAGAGGAGCAUGAAAAUAUAUUUGAUAGAAAUAUUGGGAAAUUUUUUAAAAUAUCGUUGAUAUAUCAGCCGAUGAUAAUCAAUGAUCAAUUUCAUAUUUACCCCUCCCUUUCGUCCAUGUGCAUACUUGAUGGUUAAAGUGCCCAUGACUCCAUUCCUACCUUUUUAAAACACCUCAAUUCCUUGCUUAGUUGCCCCACCUAUAGAAAAGUUUGUAAUAAAAUCAUUGGUUAGUCUUUCCUUAUCAUAUUUCGUAUCCGUGGAGCCCGAUACCUAAUAUUGCACCAAAUCCCAUUGAAACUCUAAUCCUUGCUUAGAUCAUGAUGGUCAAUACUAUAUAUUAAGCUAGGCAACAAAGUUACAAUGCCAUAUUUGGCAUUUCAUCACAUAAUGAAACUUUAUUGUUCCACGUGAAUUUGAUUCAUAAAAUUUUCCAUUUAAAAAAAGUUCAGGAUCACUUUAGUCAAUCAUAAAGCCGUAGAAGUUCAUUAUCAACCAUGGAAACUCAGGUGGAGUCGUUGAUUAAAAGUUUGACAUUGCUUGCUUCUUGCUAAAUGUUCUAAGACUCCCAAUAUAAUCAGCCCAGGUUAAGGUCAUGUAAAUUGAGUUUGGAUUGGGACUUUUGUUGUUCCACUUUCUAGUUUUGUAAGAAUGGCCUAGUGUCCAAGCUGGCCAGAAUAACUUCUUCAAGGGACUUCCAUUUGUGGUACUUUUGAAGUUAAACGUAAUCAUUAUUUAAUUUAUACUUAAAACACACUAGUGAUUGCUCAGAGAAAUUAUCAUUCGAUAUUUGUGUAUAUAUGUGUAGGCCAAAGGAAACCGCCAAAACAUACAUGUUUUUAUAAUUUUCAUACAACAUUAGGCAUGGCUUAACUGCUUACCAACCAAAGUUUUCUCCGGCAACACCCAUGGUCGGCGAUCCGGCCUGUUCCUCAUUUUUUUUUUUUAAGGCUUUCAAUGAGAUUCUGUAGGUCAAAACAUUUUGCUAUAAAUAGACUUUUAAUUUAGACCCCAAGAUGAAAAUCACCGGUUCAAGUAACCAUUGAAGUUGAUCAUUAGAAGAAACUUGGUGCCUACUCAACUUCAAUAAGCUCCAACGACUUCUAAGCAGUUUGUUGGCGCCAUAGCAAUCUUGGCAUUUGUUCUUCCAAUUGUAGCCAUGGCAACAGAGUUUACUGUUGGACAUGACCAAGAAUGGACCAUUAAUUUCAACUAUGAAGCCUGGGCUAAGGACAAAGUAUUUCAUGUUGGAGAUGAGCUAGGUAAUGUAGCUCAAGCCUUAAGCUAAGCUAGGAUUUCAUGUUCCUUUUAUCACUUCCUUCGAUUCAAGCUGCUAAAAGUAUUACGGUCGAUUCUCAUACAUGUAGCCUUCAAAUACACGGCGGGACGACACAAUGUCUUCAAAGUGAAUGGUAUGGCCUUCAUGAAUUUCUCAAAACCUAUAUUUUUUUCUUCAAAUAAUUUUCAACAAUAAAUAAAAAUCAUAAGGCAUGAAUGCAUCAACACUCUCCCAAUAAUUUAUAAAUACAAGUCACAUGCAAAUGCUUCAAUACUCUCCAACACAAAUUUAUAAAAACAAAUUCCUUCUUCAUAUAUUUCCAAUUACUUGAUAUUUUUAUCAAAUUGAGCAUAAAAUUAUUUAAGAAUAUCCAAAAGAUAAUUACACCAAUUUCAACUCAUAUUUCAUCCAUUCAACUUACAUGCUCAAGUAAUAUAUGAUAUCAAUAACUGGAAAUAAAUCAAAAAAGCAGAAUGAGAGAAAGAGAGACAAUGACACCAGAUUUUAGGUGGAAAAUCUCUUAAGAAAUAAAAAUCCACGGGUAUACAAGUGAUAAAAAAUAUUCAUUAUGAAGAAUAAAAACUGAAUAGUGCAAAGUUUUAUAUAACUCAGGCCUACCAAUCAUUUUCGAACCACUUAAUUAAUACCUUUCUAUUUUAACUUCACACCUUCUUUCGAAGCAUACUUGAAGUCCACACCAAACUCAAUAUUAAUAUCUUCUUGAAUUCACACAAGAAGAAAAUGAGUUUUUGAAAGUAUUAAGUAGUAGAUUUGAAUGUCCUAUUUAUAUAUUCUCGAUGAAUAACAAGUAUGAAGCCAAAUUUCAAAUCCUGAAUUCUAAUUUCAUAUCAGCCUAAACUUUUGAAUUUUCAUAGUCUAUCGUAGAUUUGAACUUGAUUAGCCAAAGGACAUCUUUAAAUCCACAAAUUGGGUGGAAAAUAUAUAUGUUCUUCUUACUAUUCUCAAGCUAUGAUUUAUUUAUUUUUUUAAAUAUUAUUAAAAUACGACCUUUUGCAAAAUGUUAAGACUUUUUCAAUAAAAAUUAUCACUUGAAACCCAUCUCUUAAAAAAAUGAAUUUACUGUAAAUGGGUGACCCUUAAUCUUGUAUUUUUGUUCUACAUAAAAAACAUAAUUUUUUUUUUUAUAUAUACAAAACUCAUAACAUGGAUUUCAUCAGGCAUAAAAUUACUGUAGUUUUAGAAAUGUUUUUUUUUUCUAAUUUUUUUAUUAGAGAAUGAUAUUUUAAAAAAUAAAAACCACAGCACUUGUGCAGAAUGAUCUUUCAAGUUAAAUGAUUUACUGUGAAGCAAGCAAAGAAAUGCACGACCAGAAUUCUAAGUGCCUGCCUGUGUCUUGUCUAUCACUUUUUUCAUUGAAACAUAUGCUAAUAAAUUUGCAUGUAGACAUUAUAAAUAUAUUGGUGUUUGACUCUUGUUCUUAAUUUCCGAUGUAGGUAGAGAUGCCGAGGAGGCAUACAUUCAAAGGACUCCACUAGUCUCAAGUAUGUAUUGAAACUGCAUUAUCAAAAUCCGAUUUCCUUUUUUUUGAAAGAACAAUAAAAAGUAAAGGGUGAAAGAGAAAGAGAUCAUUUUGAACAAAAGUUUAAAAAGAAAAGCUAAAAUGCACAUUAGUUUGGUGAAAAAGGUUGUUUAUAACCCCAAAAAGGUUGAAAAAUUGGUGAUGAAAUCAUUGGACUUUCUUGCCUUGUCGUAUUUGUAUCGAAGGAAUGUGACACCCGAUGUUUCAAGGCAUUACAUUGAAACUUUAAUCCUUGGUUAGAUCAUGAUGUCCAAUACUAUAUACUAAGCUAGGGUACAAAGUUACAAUGUCAUAUUUAGCAUUUCAUCACAUAAUGAAACUUCAAAAUAUUGUUCCACAUGAAUUUGAUUCAUAAAAUUUUCCAUUUAAAAAAAGCUGUAGACGCUUAUUAUCAACCAUGGAAACUCAGGUGGAGUCGUUGAUUAAAAGUUUGAUAUUGCUAGCUUGCUAAAUGUUCUAAGAGACUCCCAAUAUAAUCAGCCCAGGUUAAGGUCACGUAAAUUGAGUUUGAAUUGGGACUUUUGUUGUUUCACUUUCUAGUUGUGUAAGUAUGGCCUAGUGUCCAAGCUGGCCAAAAUAACUUCUUCAAGAGACUUCCAUUUGUACUAUUUUCAAAGUUAAUCACUAUUUAAUUUAUACCUAAAACACACUAGUGAUUGCUCAAAGAAAUUAUGAUUCAAUAUUUGUGUAUAUAUGUGUAGGCCAAAGGAAACCAUCAAAAGAAAUAUGUUUUUAAAAUUGUCAUACAACAUUAGGCAUGGCAUAAAUGCGUACCAACCAAAGGUUUCUCCGGCAACACCCUCUGGCCGGCUGACCCAGCCUGUUCAUGUUGUUUUUAAGGUUUUCAAUGAAAUUCUGCAGGUCAAAACAUUUAGCUAUAAAUAGACCCUUAAUUUAGACCCCAAGAUGAAAAUCACCUGUUCAAGUAACCAUUGAAGCUGAACAUUAGAAGAAACUUGGUGACUACUCAACUUCAAUAAGCUCCAAUGGCUUCUAAGCGGUUUGUUGGCGCCAUGGCAAUCUUGGCAUUUGUUCUUCCUGUUGUGGCCAUGGCAACUGAAUUUACUAUUGGAGAUGACUAAGGAUGGACCAUUAAUUUCGACUAUGAAGCCUGGGCCAAGGAGAAAGUAUUUCAUGUUGGAGAUAAACUAGGUAAUGUAGCUCAAGCCUUAAGCUAUGAUUUCAUGUUCCUUUUAUUACUUCCUUUUAUUCCAGCUGCUAAAAGUAUUAUGGUCAAUUCUCAUACAUGCAGUCUUCAAAUACACGGCGGGACGGCACAAUGUCUUCAAAGUGAAUGGUACAGCCUUCACGAACUGCACUAUACCACCAGCAAAUGAAGCUAUUACCACUGGAAAUGAUGUAAUUACACUGGCCACCCUUGGAAGGAAGUGGUACAUAUGUGGUGUAAACGACCAUUGCGCCAACUAUGGACAGAAGCUUGUCAUCACUGUAUUGGAAGAGUCUGCGUCUCCUGCACUGGCCCCCUCCAACCCCACAGCACCGGCACCCAACUCUGCUCAUGGGAUCUCUGGGUCCAGGUAUCAACUUCUGAUGGCAGCCAUGGUUGCUCUUGCCUUCCUAGCUAUUUGAUGAUCUGCUUUUACUCCAGGAGUACCUUUGAUCAUCUAGUUUUCAAGAAUUUUCUUCUGGCUUAUGGUUUUUUUAUUCAAUUAUUUUUUAUAUGAUUGAAAGAAAAUGGUAUCUUCGAAUAUGAAAGAUGGAAAAGAAAAAUGAGGAUGAAUACCUGUUGUGACAGUCUGACAAUUUUUUUAUUUUUUUAAAGUUUAUUGAUGUUUUUAUACCUUGCUGUUUUAUUAUUAUUUAAUCAAUAUAAUAUAAAGUUAAUGUAGCAGUAUGAAGAAAUAAUGUGAGCCUAUAGAAGCCUUUAGAUUAUUGAAGAAUGAUGAGUUAUACUUUCAAAGACCACUCAAAGAAUGGGAGGAUAUUUUUAAUUUGUUUUCCAUUUAUAGAGACUUAUGCUUUGUUUGGAUUAUGAAAAUAAUUGGGAAAUAUUUUUUUUUUUUUAAAAAGGAAGAAAUCUCACAUUCUCUUAUUAGGUUCAAUGUAAGAAAAUUAGAAGGAAAAUCAAAUUCAAUAAAAUUUAUUUGGUUUCAAAUCCUUCACUAUCGGAUGAACUUCCUCCCCUAGUUUGGUGUGAUAACAAAAGUGCAGCUGCCCUAGCUGCCAAUCCAAUCUUCCAUGCCUUCUCAAAACACAUUGAUAUAGAUCUUCAUUUUAUUCUUAAUAAAGUCCUUCAUAAAACCCUUAGUAAGUAUAUUCCCUCAUCUGGUCAGGUCGCCGAUAUCUUCACCAAGCAUCUUCCAAGCUUACAGUUCUCCACCUUUUAUGUCAAACUCUCCAUUGUCCCAUGCCCUAUAACUGAACAACAUAACAUUACUAGGAGUAGUAACUGAACCUCAACACUUGCAACAACAAGAACAUACUACCAGAAACAACAACCGCACCUCAAGACUUGCAACAAUAUGAACAGACUAUUGUUAAUGAUUAGUUAGACUGUUAUCAAGAACUGCUAAAGCAACAACUACAGUUAGAAGGAUUUGUAUAUAUAUAUAUAUAUAUAUGUAGUAGGCUUCAGAACAAAGUAAUCAAUAAUAAAUAUCCCUAUGAUUGUUUUUUUGCUAAAACAAAAAAAUCAUUCCCUGGUAACUCGUAGCCUACUAUGAAUAGUGGCAAUGAUUGUCGAGGGUGGCCCUAGAGGUGGAAGGAGGAGUCUCUCUUUGUUAUCUUAUUCUUCUUCUUGCAAAUCCUCUUCUUAUCCAUGAACUCCUUUAACUUCCCACUUUUUACAAACUCUUUUAUAUGUCGUUUUGGACUUCAAUACUUGUCGGUCUGAUUCCCUCGAUCCUCAUUGUAGUUGCAAUACUUAUGAGGCUUGCACUCCCCCACUAUGACCGAAAAGGGUUUGGAUGGUCAAAAUCCUUUUAGUGACUUAAUCUCUUAGAGGAUGUGUUAGUAGGACACUUUCUGCAGCAUAUAGUUGGUUUGGAACGAUUUUCUAGAUGAAGGUUAAUAUUUUCUCUACAUUGCUUCUUCUCUUCCCUUUCAAUUUGAGAUACAUCUUUCCUAUUACUUCCCGACUAGUUACGAAUUUGACCGAAUGAUGCUUCAAAAAUGAGGGCACCAUAGGAGGUAGCUUUCUUUAUCACUGAGACUUCAGGUCUUCUCUGGCAUGGUCUGUUUCCUUGCUUUAGCAAAUAAUCCCUAUAUGGUUGUCCGUGUUGAAUUAGAGAGUGAGUUAAUGAGGUUUAGACCCUUUAGAAGUCCUUUGAAAGCCAUCAUCACUGCUUGCGUGGUGGAUCACCAAACUUGAGAUAUUUCAAUGUUAAAUCACUGCAAAUAUGCAUGCCUUUAUUAACUCUCCUACACCUUUUGCUUCCAACCCCUUUUCCUAUCAAAUAGAGUGAAUAUAGUAUGCUAUAAACACAACUUCCAAAGCUCAAGAUUAAUUCGGACAAGCAUUGAUGGAAGCAUAAUAAUGUUGGUACCUUCAGACAUAAGGGAAGACUUUGCAUAAUAAGUGGUUAUGUACCAUCAUUUGGCAUAAAUGCAUUAGAUACUUGUGGGGAUCACUAGUACUGCUAAACAUGUUGAACUUCGAGAGAACAUACUCAUUGUCGUAGCCUCCUCAUGGAGAAUGUCAUGAGUAAAUGGUGUUAAGACAAUAUCUCACAAGAGAUGAAGACGAUGAGCUCUACAUUACUUUCUUGUACCAAUAGUGGAGUCUUAUUUGGUCCACCCCAGUUGCCUAUUAAGGCCUUCCUCUAAGACAACAAGGUCAUGCACCUCAGAUAAUGUUUUGAUAACUUAGAAUCAACAAAUCCCUUUCUUGAUCAUUUUCUCUGUAAUGUUACUGCAAAGGGCAUCAGAAUUGGACAUGUGUCUGCACUUCUUUACUGAACUUUCGAAAAUAAUGAAGCUUAACAUGGACUGAGUUCGGAUCAGUACAUACUUUCCUUAUGUUCCCUUUGAAAUAUUAAAUGGUACAAACUUUUGCAUGUUGGUCACAAAACAUAGUGCAGGUUGCUGUGUAUGCCCAUUUGAGUCUCAACAUUCUGCACAUCUCCCUAUCUUCUUUUAAUGCUAGAACCACUCCACAAAUUCUGUCAAACAUCCAUCAAUUGGGUAACAGAAUCAUCUUUGUGCAUUGUCAUUUUUGAGUGUGAUCUGCUACCUUCUUUCUGUUACUUGUUUCCAGAUUGAUUCCACUUAAGGUGAUUGAAGGAGACUUGAACGAGCAUGACAGAAUUGUUGGUGAACUGUGUGCGUGAGACAAUGAGGGACUAUCUGAAUUUGAUUGAUUUAGGUCUCAAAAAUAAGCAUGCAAGAAUGUAUGACAUGGUAGUGGCACUUAAAUUUUUUUGCUAAUUCUUGGUUUUACAUUACCAAGUUGUAAUUGAAACGAUGAGCAUUUCAUUCUUAUUUUACCAUCUGGUUUGUAUGGGAGAGAUUGAUGCUCAUCACUUAGAGAGAAAGGAUUUGGUGAAAAUGACAACACUAACUUAAGUUUCUUAUUGAGUUUGAUAUAUAUAACAAUUACUUAUUAAUUUUGAUAUAUAUAGCUAUUACAAGAAGGAUUAGUUAGUUACUUAUAGUCUAAGCUGGCAUAACAAACUCUUAACAAACUUCCUAAUAGGUAAUAAGCUUAAUUUAACUGUAUCACUAAUAUACCCCUCACAAGCUAAACGAUGGUACUAAGUGAAAGCUUGUUACACAGAAAAAGAAAACGAGAAAUAGACAAAGGCUCAGAAAAGACAUUAGUUGUUUGCUCUUUAUAUGGAAUAUAACAAACAUCCACUUCAUUAUUGAGCACUUUCUCAAGCACGAAUGAAAUAUCAAUCUCGAUAUGCUUAGUUUUGGCAUGAAAAAUAGGAUUUGAAGUAACACAAUAACACCAAUGUUAUCACACCACCACAUGAGGGUUUUUCAAGAGAAAGAUCCAACUCAUGAAAUAGAGAUUGAAUCCAAAUCAAUUUUGUAGUGGUAGAAGAUGAAGCACAAUAUAGGAACAAAUACUUUUUUUUAUUAAAGAAUUGAUUGAGACACUUUGACAACUAGAUUGAGAAACACUAGGCUCUUGUAGUAGAGAAAGCAAGGCCUUAAACAUAGAAGAUGACUUGGACUAUGAAGAUUGUGAUUGUGUGAGAUCAAGUUGAUAGAGACCAUUCCUAAGAGCUCGUUUCACCAUAAUUUUCUUUGAAGCUUUGUCCUUGCUUAGACAAUAGUCAUAACAGAAUUCAAUUAAAACAUUAUUAUAUUUUGUAAAUUGAGAAAUACUGAAAAUAUUUUUGGUAAUAUGUGGAACAUGUAAGAUGUUAUUAAGGAGAAGAGGUUUAGAAGAAUUUUUGUAAGGUAAAAAGGAAUUUCCAAACUGAGAAAUAGCAAGUUUAGAACCAUUACCAACCAUAAGCUUCUCAUUGCCCAUAUAAUCUACCUUGAUAGUCAGAUUGUUCAUAUCAACAGUGAUGUCGUUUGUUGCGCUACUAUCGACAUACCACUCGUGAUAUGCAAAGUUAGAGGUGAAAGCAAUAUUUGCCUAAUAACUAGUCAAAUCAACACUUAAAAAGCUAAUAUCAAACCUUUUGUAGCAUUUAACAACCACAUGACCAAUCUUGCCACAAAGUUGACAGAUUGGCUUGUUGCCAUGACUAGAACCACCAUUGUCAAGGCCAUGAUGACCACAGAAAUGAGAGUUACCACCAUGAUUGGCAUUACUCAAUACAACAAGAAAAGAUCUGCGAUAAGCAACAUUAGUAGAGGGAGAAUUUUGCAAAUCAGUUGGCAAAAAGACCAAUUGAUGUUGAAUCAUCAUUUCAUGAGUCUAUAUGACAAAUUGAACCUCUUGAAGAGUGAGAGCAUUGUUUCCUGAAGUAAGAUUAACAAUGAUUGACUCAUAUUCAGGAUAAAAUCCAAUAAGAAUAUAAAGAAUAAGAUCUUUAUCAAUAAUGACCUAACCAAUAGAGUUAAGAUUGUCAGUCAAACCUCACAUCUUAAGAAUAUACUCCUCUACACUAAGAGCUCAUUUCUUCAAUGUCUAUAGCAUAAUACAAAGUUGCAUCACUUUGGCCUUCGAUUGAGACCAAAAAAGUUAUUCACGUGUGGACCAAAGUUCAAUAGUAGUAGCACAAUGAUUGACAUGAUUAAGCAUUGAUUCGCUCAUCAAUAAAAGAAUCUAGCUUAGAAGAAACUGAUCAUGCCUCAUUCAAAUUAGGAAAUCAAGAUUUUAAACCCUAGUUGGUGGAGAACUAGGACUAUUACAAGGAACUUUGACAAAUUAAGGCAGAAUUAGAACAGAUCCAAACAGAAAGCCUUCACAUCCUUAAGCUCGUAUAGAUGAAAGCACUUGAGCUUGCCAUUAGUAGCACUUAGAGGCAAGAGGCAAAUUAGGAGCACCAAAGGAAGUAGAAGAGGUCAAGACAUGUUUCUAGAGAAAAAUUUUGAGAAAAAAAAUGGAAGAAUUUAGAAAGAGAAAAAAGAGAAAGGGAGAGAGAGAUAGAGAAAAGAAUUCUCAAAUGCAAACUUGCUUUGAUACCAACUUAGAGAGAGAAAGGAUUUGGUGAGAAUUACGACACUCACUUAAGUCUAUUAUUGAUUAUGCUAUAUAUAGCUAUUACAAGAGGGUUCAGUUACUUACAGUCUGAGUUGGCAUAACAAACUCUUAACAAACUUCCUAACAAAUACAAGUGUAAUUUAAUUAUAUCACUAAUAUCAUCAAAUGUGUUUGUACAUCUUUACAAGAACGGAAAAUAUUGUUAAAAUAUUGACUAAAGAAAUGCAAGUUGUAUUCUUAUUAGGCCACUCUUCUAAUCAAGCUCACCAAGAAAUCCUUAUAGUUUCCAAGAGCUACAUCUUCAAUCUUCUGGGUUAAAGGAACUUUAUAUUGCUUAUCAAAUUCUUCUAUGAUUUCCUUCAUAUCAACAUUGCUCCAUGUCAUUAUUACUCGGGUUAGGGCUUCUUUUGUAUUCUCGUCUGCAUCAUCUUUGAAUGCAUUAUUUAAGACCUAAAAGAAUUGAAACAAUCAAUCCAAUACAUGAUUAUACAAACAAAUAUAAGAUCAUUUCUAAGAUGUUGGUUGUGAUGAAUUAAUCUUACCUUACUGAAAUAUGAUUGGGGAUUGCAUAGGCACUGAAGUGUCUCCUUCAAACUCAUUAGAGUGUCAAGAUCCUAAGCAGAUUAAUGAGAAUCAUACUAAAUUGGUAAUUUAAGAUGAUAAGAAAAGUAAAUCAAAGAAACCCUUCAUGUGAUUUUUCAUUGUUUUUCCUACUUAAUUCAUUCACUUUUUAUAAAAAGAAAAAAGAAAUAAAAUAUGAAAAUAUUAAAUUGUUUUCCUUUGCUACAUUUCAUUUUUUUUUUAAUUUAUAAUUCGGUAGGUAUGUUAUACUCCUUCCCCAAAGAUUUAGACUUAGUAACUAGAGCUCUCUUGGUAAAAAUCUUGGCUCUUACUCACCAUGGUUUUUAAAACAGAUGACAUAAUUAAGAAAAGUCUACUAUAUAAAAAAACACCUAAAACUUCUCUUCUAACUAAUAUGGAAUAUGAUAUUACAUUUUCAAUUUUAUUAUUAUAUAUCUACUAAGGGGUUUACUUAUCAUUGUUAUUCCUUCAAACAACUAUGGUACCUUCUUUUUUUUUCUUUAUUUAAAAUUUAUUUUAAUUCCAACUGUUGUUGAAUUAAAGUUUAAAGAAGAAAAAUUAAGGUAUAUUACACAUUUAUUAUAAUAUCAUUCUCGUUCCUUACCUCAUCUAUAUUUUUGCCAUAAAUCUUCUUAUAGUACUUGACCACUGCCUUGAGAUGGAACUUGCUCCUUGUUGUUAGAAUCCUCACUAUCCCAUCAUCUUCAAUUGGGUUCUUCUUAUCAACAUUCUUAACCACAAUUGCAAGUGUCAUGGCCUCUAAUCUAGCAAUCCCCUCAUUAACCCGCAACCCUUCAUAUCUAUACGAACUCACAAGGGCUACUAGGAGCUAUCAAUGUAGGAAAACAAAUUUUCGUUAUACCAUAAUUUACAUUAAUUAUGGAAGUAUUUAACUUUUAUUAAAUACCUUUAAAAUCAAAGAUGUCAAAUAGGGCCUUAAUCUAUCAUAAACAAGUUAGAUUUGUGUUCUUUUGCCCUUGUACUAAUUCAAAUUGGGUCAAACAUAAGAUGAGGCAUGAGAGGGAAGAACUUUGGUGUUAGCCAACUAUAUUGUCAUGCGUUUGAGGCUUAAUUUUUAGGUUAUCAACAAAAGAGCCAUGCAUAUUAUGGCACAAUGAUUGGGCCACAUUGCUUGGGCUAGCUCAAUCUUGAAACAUAUGAGCUGCCCUAGUUUGAGCACAAAGUGGGCUCUUGUCAUCAUAUAAAAAUCAAUCCCACAAACCAUAAUAAAUGCUUUUAAUUUUAUAAAAAUAUUAUAAUAUAUUUUUAAUCAUAUAAAUAAAACCGUUAAGAGAAGUAUUUGAAAAUUUUAAUAUUUUACAAGAAGUAAUAAAACUAUCAUGAAAUGGAUUCUCAAAAAGAUUAUAAAGUAUAACAAUUGUGUGAUAAAAUUGUUAUUUUCAUAUAAAAACUAUGUUCAUGCUUUGAAUAUCAUUCAUUUGAUGUGAUAACCUGACUGAAGUGGCAGGAACCUUGCGUUUGAUGCCUUCAAGUCGAGAAGCAACAUCCUCGAUCGAUUGGUCGAAGAGGGAUUGAUAAGCUUUCCUAGCACCAAGCAACUCUUCUGAUGAUCUUGUGCAUGCAAUCUCAAUGAGCAAGCCAUAUGCUUGAGGACCCUUAGAAAUAGCCUCAUGCACCAAACGAGCAUCCCUUUCCCAAGGAUGCAUGAUCCAUUGCACCACAAUAUCCUGACCAUAAAAAAAUUCAAAAGAGUCAUAAGAUUGCAAAAAAUUCAACCAUUCAUAACUAACAUAUUAUCACAUCCUAAUAUAUGUGCCUUGGCAAAAUAUAAUACAAUACUCUUAGGAAAAUACUAAGAUACUAAAUUAAUGCCUCUAAAACUUUGAAUUUCAGUUUCUAGAAAUAUACAAUGAAAUUUGGAUCAUUGAAUAAAAGUACAAAUAUAAAGAAAGAAUCAUGGUAUAAAAACAAAUUAAAUUAAGGCAUAAGGGAACAAAAUUAAGGUAUAAACAAAUGAGACCAAGGUAUAAUGGGAUAAAACCAAUAUAUAGAGUAAGGAGACCUCGAAAUGUGAUACAAAUGAAUGAGCUUGGAAUAGUACAAAAUAAUGAGACUUGAAUUACAUAUGCGACACCAUUUAUUGGUGGUGCCUUUUGAAUAGGUUCCACAAAAAGUAUAUUUGGAUAUUGUACUAAAAUGUGUCAUCGUGUCAAUUAAAAGCACUUAAAAAAUAAGUCAAUCCAAUUGAUCCAUGAGUACAAAUUGGGCAUGAAACAAUGAUAUGAAAGGGUAAGUGUUAGCAAACAAUAAGUUUAUGAAAAGAAAAUUUCAUUUUAUUUUAUUUUUCAUUAUUUGAAGUAAUGGUACUAUAUCAUUAUAUAUAUAUAUAUAUAUACUUUAGAAUUUUCUCAUAUUAUAUAUUGCAAUUUUUUGAAUACAAAAAAGUAUUUAUAGGUUAUAUCUAGUACCAAAAUACAUUAAACUAGGUUAAAAAGAGAACAUUUUUCAUCCAUUUUCCAUGUGAUAUCCAUAAUUAUGACUUUCAGCUAACAUUUCUAUUACAAGAAGAAGAACAUGAGUACCUUAAACCGCAGAAAUUCUUUCGUUAAGCAAGCAAUAUGGUGAUCAUCCCACCUCUCAAAAAGACGUUCAUCCUCCAAGAAGAAUUUAGGAGUUCUCUUUCUAAAGGAUUCCAAGUGCUCCGAAUGCCACUUUCCUAGGAUCGAUACCAUCGAAUCCUCAUCAACUCCAAAUCCUAAAAAAUGCAAAUUAAGGUUGCUUCAAAUAGAUGGACUACAUAUAAUUCUUGGUACGCCUAUAUAAAAUAAAGCAAAUAGAAAAUAACAAAAGGCUAAAAAAGUUGAAUUUCACAAUUUAAGACUAUUAUACCAUAAUUUAGAGUGUAAUAGGCUGUGAUUUUAAGAAGUAUUUUUAAUAUUUCUAACAUUUGAAAAUUUUUAUCUUUUGAAUAUUAAAAAUGUUAGAAACACUUCUUAAAAUCACUAUCAAAUACAUUCUUAAAGUUCGUUUAGUUGUAAUUCUAAAAAAUGUUUAUAACAUUUCUAACAUUUGAAAAUUUUUAUCAUUCAAGUACUAAAACAACGAAAAACAUUUCUUAAAAUAAUUUCUAAACACAUUCUUAGUGUCCAACUAAAAUAAACAAAAUUAAAUAAAAAAAAAUGAUAAGAAAAAUAUAAGGGGCAAACCUGAGAAAGCCUUGGUGAGAGCUUCAAAGUCAUUUGGAGGAUCUAUUUUGGUUGUUUUUCUUUUCCCGAGUCACGCAAUAAGAUGAAAGGCUUCUCAUUCACACAUGAAUGUGAGAUGAUGAUUUAGUAAGCGAUCCAUCCAAGGGGAUGGAUGCAGUAGAAUAAAAUGUACACAAAAAAUGGAAUGACUUGUGGGAAGAGGAAAGGCAUCUGUCCUCAAAGGACUGCAUGUCAAUAUCAUGGAGUCCUUUCACUGAUUAUGAGAUUCCGACUAUAGUGUUUGAAUUUUGCUUUUAAGACUUGAUUUUCUGAUCAAGACUUUGACCUAGGUUUGGGUGAUUUUAGUUCAUGGAAUAAUGAUUUUGAACAAUUUGAAUAUGUUUUGAUCUAAUAAUAAUGAAUUUAUAGUUGGGCUUGGGCUUGGGCUGAGCUCCUAUAUCUCUUGUGGGCCGGCAUGGGAAUUGAAUACUAGUACUGGUACAGUGUUGGUCAAAGCUGCUUUAGAAUUUUGUCGUGAAAAGAUUCAUGGAAACAUAGGCACUCAUCACGGUGCUGAAUGUUCAUGUGCCUCUUCUAUGGGGGUCAAAUUAUGAUGAAUGUAUUGUGUGAUCAAGUCCUUAUGUAUAUACAUGAUCCUACACAAAAAAAAAAAAAAAAAAAAAGUUGAUUAGCAUUUAGAGCCCGUUUGAUAGUGAUUCUAUGAAACGUUUUUAAUAUUUCUAACUUUUGAAAAUUUUUGUCAUUUAAGUAUUAAAAAUACUAAAAAUGUUUUCUAAAAUCACUCACAAACGCAUUCUUAGACUCCAUUCGAUAGUGUUUUCGAAAAACACUUUGAACCUAAAAGGUAUUUUUGAAAAAAAUAAUUUUUUUGAUAAAAUUUAAUAAACACUUUUAAAAACCAUUUAUAGUAUUAAAAAAAUAAUUAACAAUGUUUUUUAAAGAAACAUUUGAUAAUUGAUUCUCUUAAAAAACUUUUAGAAAAAAAAAAAAUUCGGUAAAAAAAAAAAAAUUGGGUAAAAACACUAUCAAAUAAACUCUUGAACCUGUUUGAUAGUACUUUUAGGCGAAGUGUUUUUAUUGAAAAUGUUUUCUCUAUAAUAUUUCUAUGAAAAACUAUCUUAUGAGAUUAUGGAAAAAUGAUUUUAAUAAUGUUUUUGACAAUAUGUUGCAUAAGUAUAAAAAUAUUUUAAUAUUAAUAAAUUAUCAAAAAGGACAUAUAAUUUAAUUACAAAAAGUAAAUAUUAUAAUAAAUCCAAAACUUUUCAUUGUAAAAGAAUGUGUAAACAUUUAUAUUGUUAAAAAAACUAAAAAUAAUAAUUUUUAUAAUUACAAGAAAAUUUUGGAAAAUAUAUAUUUUUAAAUGGAUUAAUAAAUAAACAUCAAUCAUAAUAUAACAAUUUUUUUAACUAAAAAAUGAAACAAACUAUUUGAUUAUAUAUUAAAUUAAAAAUAAUAAAUUUUUAUUAUAAAAUGAUGGGUGGUAGCUACUUAAUAUUCAAAAGUUUUCUUAAAUUGUAUUUGUUUAAAAUUAAAAGAGUCAAAUAUUAAUUCUUACCCCGUUGUAUUCCUAUGUGGAGUGGAGAGUUGGGUUAUAAAAUAUGGUUAAAAUUAUACCUUUUAUGAUGCCCACAUAAUGUCCAUUAUAAGCAUAUGCGAGUUUCUUUCCUUUUGUGAGGUAGGAAUGCCUAAAAGCAUUCAUUUCCAAUAUAUAUUUGCAAUGUACACAUUAUUCACUUUAUAAAACUUGCUCAUCUAGAACGGAGAGUACUUUGGAGCAGAUUUCAACGAUGUCGAACGAGAGUGAUAAAAGCCUUUGACUGUAGAGUCUCCACUCGGAUGGAGAGGGAAUGAGGAAGAGAAAAGUGAAAGGGAAAUGGAAAUGGAGGGUAUCAGAAAACACUUGGGGGUAUUUCAGAAAUAUUUGUAAGCUUUUAAAGUGAUUUUUAAAUAAAUCACUUCCUAAGUGCUUCUCUAAAAAUCGCUAUUUCAACGAUGUCGAACGAGAGUGAUAAAAGCUUUUGACUGUAGAGUCUCCACUCGGAUGGAGAGGGAAUGAGGAAGAGAAAAGUGAAAGGGAAAUGGAAAUGGAGGGUAUCAGAAAACACUUGGGGGUAUUUCAGAAAUAUUUGUAAGCUUUUAAAGUGAUUUUUAAAUAAAUCACUUCCUAAGUGCUUCUCUAAAAAUCGCUAUUUCAACGAUGUCGAACGAGAGUGAUAAAAGCCUUUGACUGUAGAGUCUCCACUCGGAUGGAGAGGGAAUGAGGAAGAGAAAAGUGAAAGGGAAAUGGAAAUGGAGGGUAUCAGAAAACACUUGGAGGUAUUUGAGAAAUAUUUGUAAGCUUUUAAAGUGAUUUUAAAAAAAAUCACUUCCUAAGUGCUUCUCUAAAAAUCGCUUCAAGUAUUUUUCUAAAUUUUUAAAAGUGUUUUUUUUUAAAUAUUAUCAAAUACCUAUUUUUUACCUUAAAAAUGCUUUUAAAUAUUUUUAGGACAAGAAACACUUUUAAGAAGCAUUACCAAAUGGGCUUUUAAUUAUUUUUUACAUAAAAGUUUAAGACAUAUUUGGAUGUAUAGUAUUGUUAGACACCUUAAGAGCUAUGUGAAUAUAUAGGAUCUAAUAUUAAAAGCUUCAAAAAGCAUCCAUCCCUAAAAUUGGAAACCCUUUUUAUGAUCCCCUCAUUUUUUAAGCUCUUAAAUUUAUAAAAAAAAAAAAUGGUAAAGAUCCUAUAUCUUCAUUUCUAAUAUUAUCGGAAAUGAUUAUUUGUUUUUUUUAUUAUUCUAAAAUUAUAAUUUUUAGAAAAAAAAAUUAUUAGAGUUAUGAAAAGAUUAAGAAAAAAAAAAAAGUGGGACGAUGAUCUGAAUUAAUUUGUAAAAAAAUUUCAAUCUUCUCACAACUACUUUUAUCUUUAAAAAACCUAUAAUUCUAAUGGAUAUAUAGAAAGUUUAUCCUUGAAAAAUCACAAUUCUAAUGGAUAUAUAGAAAGUUUGGUAGAUGCCAAUAUAAUUUCUCUUUUAACACUUCGAAACAAUCCAAUAAAUUGGUGCUAGCCUACUAAGCCUUGAGGCCAAAAAGAGAGCGGGCUUGAACAGUGAAGGGAUACUGCCCAGCCCGUAUAAUUACAUGGUCAUACUAUUUGGGUCAGCCUAGUCUUGAGAUCUAUGGGCCAUCUUGGUUUUGGCUCACUAAGGUAUCUCUUAGGCAAACUCAACAUGCUUGAUGCACUUCUUUUCUUGGAAUAAGCCCAGAGUUGGGAUGACCCAAUUGAUUACUACUCAAAAAGUACUAUUUCAUAGCUUGUAAUUAACUCUUUUAAACACUUUUGAGUAGUAGUUAUCACCUUUUAACCCAAUUAACAUAUUAAGGACCCUUGCAAUCAAUUCUAAUCAAAUUGUGUUAAGUUUUGGUGUUUUGAUAGCUUUUUUUAUCACCAAAGCAAUCCCAGAUUGAGGAGAGUUCUUUGGAAUCCUUAAGCAAAUCCAGAAUACAAGGAGUAUGGGAUCCUGCACAUUCCACCCGGGAAGGAAUUCCAUCCGGCUGCUAAAAGCUUUCCCAUCCGACUGCCGCCACUUUCCACCCGGAUGUAUCACAUCCGGAAAUCGGCUGCCGCCGCCAUUCCAUCCGGCUGCCGCCACUUUCCACCCAGAUGUAUCACAUCCGGAAAUCGGCUGCCGCCACUUUCCACCUGGAUGUAUCACAUCCGGAAAUCUGCUGCCACCGCCAUUCCACUCGGAUGUUCACAUACGGAAUUCUGACGCAGGAUAGGAGUGGAGAACGUUUCAACUUCCCCGGUCACACAUUUCCGGAUCCGCUUAUAACGCUUACCCGGAGAGUUUCGCAGCCAUUUUGCACAAUGCCGCGGGGUUCUCCUGAAGCUUCCCAAUAUGUGUGACCAACAUUUUGAGAUAUUUUGCGAUAUUUUUGCUUUAGAUAUUUGAUGUCUAAAUCCCCAAACUCUCCUUGUAACCCACCAAUUAUAGGAUUCCUUAGUUAUUAAGUUAGGAAAAAGGGUGAAUAACCUGGUAGAUAUUAUUAUUGUAAUUUUCAUAUAAUGAUCUCUCGGGAGCCUAUCCAGGGGGGGACACAACUUUUGUAUAGUUUUAAAAAGAAGAAAAAUACAGAGCUUUGCUCUGCUUUUACUUUCUCAUUUUGAUUGUAUUUUCUUACUUGCCAAACAACCUUUGAGGAUGUUUUCCCAGAGGAUGAGAGGCUAAACCUUUGGUUUCUUGGAGUGAAGAAAGCUAGGUGAAAAGUCCAGAUGCAAAAGUGGAAAACUCUCGUGCUUUAAAUACAGGUAGUUGGAGUUCAUAAAUGGCUUUUAAAUCUAAAGUUUUUCUUUAAAUCCCUUAGAAUCACUUUGAAUGGCCAAUACAUGAUAAGCUUUUAGAUCUCUGUGGAUACUUAUUGUUAGAUCCACUUAAGACCAUUAGUUAUCAUGUAUGAGCCAUUAGGAAGUGGCUCAGGGUGAAGACCCCUAGUGUCUAAAGCCAUUAAUGGAACUCGACUACCAUUUCUAUUAGACUUUUUAUGGAUUAAAUCUUCAUUGUUAAACCUAUACCGGUUCGGGAAACAACCAUCCUUUAUGUUGUUGUCCCCAAUACGAGGAGAAAAAUCCGGAAUUUCCCACUUUGCAUUCUGAACUUGAUUCGUGCAAGCUUUAGCUCCGGGAGACUUUCUCUCUUCCAUUUUUACUUAGUUCUAUGUUAGUUUAGUUUCAAACACCACUUUCAAAACAAAUUUUAUUUUCUUUUAAACUUUAAGUUUUUGAUAAAGGAAAUCAUCAGAUUCAAUUUCUAAUCUUGAGUCUAUCACUGGUAGAAUGAAAACCCAUCCCAAAGUUCGACCCUAGAGCUGCUAUACUAUAGUAGCUUUGCUACGCUAGUAUGAGGUCAUAGGAUUUAUAAAUAUUUUUUAUUAAAAUACCCAACUAGGCACGAAUCAAAAUGGCAUCGUUGCCAGGGAUGGUGCCACGAUACAGUGAUACAACUUUUUAGAGGCUACUUGUGAUUUCCAUCACAAGUUUGGUGAAUUCCUUUUUCACUAACUUCAUUUCCUUUCUUCUAAUUGUAGAAUUCCUUUUGUUAAGUUUAUUUUCAUUUUCUUUCUAACCUUAACUUUCUUCUAGUUUUCUUUUGUUUUUUUUGUCUUUGUUUUGUUUUAGGGAAGUGGUAACUUGUGCAUGCCCUAUUGGAUUCGGGACCAAGAGGGAAGACUAGUAAGGAUAGGGAAUCCUCAAGACACAGAGUUGGAUAUCUGUGUAAACGUCAUGGACCCUCCAAAAGAGGAUCAGAAUUCUCAACAUGGUCAAGGGGAUAAUCCAAAUGCAUAUCUAUCCAUGAGGGAUAGAAUGCACCCACCAAGGAUGAGUGCACCCUUAUGCAUCGUACCUUCUCUUGAGCAGCUGAUUAUAAGGCCCCAUAUUGUGCCCCUCCUACCAAAUUUCCAUGGAAUGGAGAGUGAGAACCCAUAUGCUCACAUCAAGGAGUUUGAGGAGGUGUGCAAUACUUUUAGAGAGGGAGGAGCUUCAAUAGACUUGAUGAGACUCAAGCUAUUCCCUUUUACUUUGAAGGACAAGGCAAAAAUAUGACUUAACUCUUUAAGGCCAAGGAGCAUAAGGAAUUGGGUUGAUCUUCAGGCCGAAUUUUUGAAGAAAUUUUUCCCCACCCAUAGGACCAAUGGGUUGAAGAGAUAAAUCUCAAACUUUUCUACACAAGAAAAUGAGAAGUUCUAUGAAUGUUGGGAAAGGUAUAUGGAGGCCAUUAAUGCUUGUCCUCAUCAUGGCUUUGAUACAUGGCUCUUGGUGAGCUAUUUUUAUGAUGGGAUGUCUUCCUCCAUGAAGCAAAUUCUUGAAACCAUGUGUGGGGGAGAUUUUAUGAGUAAGAAUCCAGAAGAAGCCAUGGAGUUUUUAAGUUAUGUAUCUGAGGUAUCAAGAGGAUGGGAUGAGCCCAACUCAAGAGAAAUGGGAAGGAUGAAAGCUCCUGUAAAUCCAAAGGGUGGAAUGUACAUGUUAAGUGAAGACAUGGACAUGAAAGCUAAGGUGGCAACAAUGGCAAGGAGGUUAGAAGAACUUGAGUUGAAAAAAAUGCAUGAAGUCCAAGCCAUUUCCGAGACACAAGGCCAUGUCAUGCCAUGCACCAUUUGCCAAUCAUGUGAUCAUGUGGUAGAUGAGUGCCCAACCAUCCCAGCUGUGAGGGAGAUGUUAGGUGAUCAAGCCAAUGUUGUGGGGCAAUUUAGGCCCAACAACAAUGCAUCUUAUGGAAACACCUAUAAUUCAAGCUGGAGAAACCAUCCAAAUUUUUCAUGGAAACCAAGGCCACCUCCAUACCAACCACAAGCCCAAACCCAAGCACCUCAACAAACCUCUUCAGUGGAGCAAGCCAUUGUGAACCUAAGUAAAGUCAUGGGUGACUUUGUGGGUGAACAAAAGGCAAUCAACUCCCAAUUGCACCAAAAGAUUGAAAAUGUUGAGAGUUCUCAAAUUAAGAGAAUGGAUGGGAUGCAAAAUGAUCUAUCUCAGAACAUAGAUAAUAUUCAAUACUCCAUCUCUAGGCUUACCAACCUCAACACAGUGAAUGAGAAGGGAAAGUUUCCCUCUCAACCAAGCCAAAAUCCAAAGGGUGUUCAUGAAGUUGAAACCUAAGAUGGGGAGUCUUCAAAGUUGAGGGAGGUCAAAACUGUGAUCACCUUGAGGAGUGGGAAGGAGGUUGAUCAACCUUUGCCUAAGGUAAGGCAAGAUGAAGAACUCAUGUCAAGGAGAACCUUGGUUAAAGAGAGCAAUAACCAAGAAGAGAAGAGUGGGAAGAAAAAUGCAUCUAAUUUAAGCAUUGAAGAAGAGACAAGGAUAGUGAUUAAAGAGGAUAUGAUGAAGAAACAUAUGCCUCCCCCUUUUCCUCAAGCUUUACAUGGAAAGAAGGGAAUCAAGAAUUCAUCAGAAAUUCUUGAAGUUUUGAGACAAGUGAAGAUGAAUAUACCCUUACUGGAUAUGAUCAAGCAAGUCCCCACAUAUGCAAAAUUUUUAAAGGAUUUGUGCACGGUCAAGAGAGGGUUAAUUAUGACAAAGAAGGCAUUCCUUACUGAGCAAGUAAGUGCCAUCAUUCAGUGUAAGUCUUCAGUUAAGUACAAAGAUCCGGGAUGUCCCACCAUUUCGGUCAACAUUGGGGGGACAAAUGUGGAGAAGGCUUUACUAGACUUGGGGGCAAAUGUGAAUUUGCUCUCAUACUCUGUGUAUAAGCAACUAGGACUUGGAGAAUUGAAGCCCACAACCAUCACUCUCUCCUUAGCUGAUAGGUCAGUCAAAAUCCCAAGGGGGGUGAUAGAGGAUGUUCUAGUUCAAGUGGACAAAUUCUACUAUCCCGUGGAUUUUGUGGUGCUUGAUACUGAUCCCACUGUUAUGGAAGCAAAUUAUGUGCCAAUCAUCCUUGGGAGACCUUUCCUAGCUACCUCCAAUGCCAUCAUCAAUUGUAGGAAUGGGGUGAUGUAGCUCACAUUUGGAAACGUGACCUUGGAACUAAACAUAUUCCACCUAUGCAAGAGGCAUCUUCAACCCGAAGAGGAGGAAGGAUUGGAGGAGGUGUGCUUGAUCAACACUUUGGUUGAAGAGCAUUGUGACAAGAAUUUAGAAGAGAGCUUGAAUGAAAGCCUUGGAGUGCUUGAAGUAGGGUUACCUGAACCCUCUGAUGUGUUAGCCAUCAUGUCUCCUUGGAGGAGAAGGGAAGAGAUCUUACCCUUGUUCAAUAAGGAGGACUCAUAAGGAGCAGCUAGGGAGGACCCUCCAAAGCUAGUUUUGAAGUCAGUUCCUGUUGAUUUGAAGUAUGUAUAUUUGGAGGAAGAUGAGAAAUGUCCAGUGGUGAUUUCUUCAACUCUCACAAGUGAUCAAGAGGAUAGUCUUUUGGGAGUCCUCAAAAAAUGCAAAAAAAGCCAUUAGAUGGCAAAUUUUUUAUCUGAAAGGGAUUAGCCCUUUGGUAUGCACCCACCAUAUCUACAUAGAGGAAGAUGCAAAACCAGUGCGGCAGCCCCAAAGGAGGUUGAAUCCUCACAUGCAAGAGAUGGUAAGGGGUGAAGUUCUGAAGCUACUUCAAGCAAGGAUCAUAUAUCCCAUUUCAGACAGCUUGUGGGUGAGCCUAACCCAAGUAGUCCCAAAGAAAUCUGGAGUUACUGCGAUCCAGAAUGAGAAAUGGGAGGAAGUCUCUACACGUCUUAUCUCAGGAUGGAGGGUGUGUAUAGACUACAGGAUGUUGAAUUCAGUGACUAGGAAGGACCAUUUCCCAUUGCCUUUCAUGGACCAAGUCCUUGAGAGAGUCUCAGGGCAUCCUUUCUACUGUUUUUUGGAUGGUUACUCGGGGUACUUCCAAAUAGAGAUUGAUUUGGAAGAUCAAGAAAAGACAACCUUCACUUGCCCCUUUGGUACUUUUGCCUAUAGGAGGAUGCCCUUUGGUCUAUGUAAUGCACCUGCAACUUUCCAAAGAUGUAUGCUAAGCAUCUUCAGUGAUAUGGUGGAGCGCAUCAUGGAAGUCUUCAUGGAUGACAUCACUGUAUAUGGAGGUUCUUAUAAGGAGUGUUUGUUGCAUUUAGAAGCUGUUCUCCAAAGAUGUAUUGAGAAAGACCUAGUGCUAAAUUGGGAGAAGUGCCAUUUUAUGGUACAACAAGGAAUUGCCUUAGGACAUAUAAUCUCCAAGAAUGGCAUUGAGGUAGAUAAGGCAAAGGUGGAGCUAAUUGUUAAGUUGCCACCUCCCACAAAUGUUAAAGGAAUUAGGCAAUUCCUAGGACAUGUCGGGUUCUAUAGGAGGUUCAUUAAGGAUUUCUUAAAAAUCUCAAAACCUCUUUGUGAACUCUUGGUAAAGGAUGCCAAGUUUGUGUGGGAUGAGAAUUGUCAGAAGAGUUUUGAGGAACUGAAGCAAUUCCUCACAACUGCACCAAUAGUGAGAGCCCCAAAUUGGAAAUUACCUUUUGAGGUAAUGUGUGAUGCAAGUGAUCUUGCUAUGGGGGCUGUUUUGGGGAAAAGAGAAGAUGGAAAGCCCUAUGUGAUUUAUUAUGCAAGCAAAACUUUGAAUGAGGCUCAAAGGAACUACACAACUACUGAGAAGGAGUUGUUGGCAGUAGUUUUUGCCUUGGAUAAGUUUCGUGCUUAUUUGGUAGGGUCCUUUAUAGUGGUGUUCACUGACCAUUCUGCUUUAAAGUACUUGCUAACCAAGCAAGAUGCCAAGGCAAGAUUGAUAAGAUGAAUCCUUUUGCUUCAAGAAUUCAAUCUCCAAAUCCGGGAUAAAAAGGGAGUAGAAAAUGUGGUGGCUGACCACUUGUCAAGAAUUGUGAUAGCACAUGACUCACAUGGUCUACCUAUCAAUGAUGACUUCCCUGAGGAGUCUCUCAUGUCAAUAGAGGUAGCUCCAUGGUAUUCUCACAUUGCAAAUUACUUGGUUACUAGAGAAGUUCCAAGUGAGUGGAGUACCCAAGACAAGAAGCAUUUCUUUGCUAAGAUCCAUGCCUAUUAUUGGGAUGAGCCUUUUCUCUUCAAAUAUUGUGCGGAUCAAAUCAUAAGGAAAUGUGUUCCUGAAUAAGAGAAAUCAGGAAUUCUAUCCCAUUGUCAUGAUAGUGCAUGUGGAGGUCAUUUUGCUUCCCAGAAAACAGCUAUGAGAGUGGUCCAAUCAGGUUUUUGGUGGCCCUCUCUGUGGACCCGCAUUUUUCACGUGCGCCCCCACUCGAUCAGCGAGACUCGCUUUUUAUUUGUGAAAAAUUAAUUUUUGGAAAAAAGUUAGAGCCGCCACUUAUUUUAUUUUUAUUUUAAAGGGAAAAUAAAACAAGAAAUAAAACCCUAAAAAAAAUGACUCCAUAAUUUUUGGAAAAGCAUGUCUUUGAAAAAAACCCGAGUCUAAGUUCGGAGAUCAGGUUACUUAUUGGGAAGGUACCUCUAGGAAGUAGCACCCCUCUAAGCCCUAAAGAGGUCUUUACUGACUAAAUUGGGGAAAUGGGGCAAUUAAUUGAUUAAUUGGGGAUACCUAGAUAGACUAAAGUGAUUUUAAAAAAUAACAUGCCAAAUAGGAUCAAAUUACCAUAAAAGAGAGUUAGGGUGCAUACCUGGACGGCUUCUCAAGCGCUAUCACAAUACAUCAAAGGUUAGUUUGAAAAUACCACGCAUAAUAUGCAUUUUUAUCAAAGAUGAUCAAACAAGCAUCAAGGCAAUCAAUUAUGGCAUCAACAUGGACAUGGCUCAUGAUAUCAUACACAUUCAUAGAAUUUUAGAGCUUGAGGGCAAGAAGAGCGUACCGGGAUAGCAAGCUAAUACUCCUCUAUGGGAAACAAGUUUGCUUAGUAACAAGUGCAAAAUACGAUACCACAAAGAGGAAGCACAAUCAAUCAAACAUCAAACAAACAAUAUUGAUGAGAAUAUCAUCAAUGUCGGGCCCCCACCAAAGCCCUAGUUGAUUUCGCAUGAGUUGAUCCUAUGAAUUCCAUUGUUUUGGAAUCAUGGAGUUUGUUCAUGCUUGGAGGAAAUCGAGAAAAUCAUGAAAAUAGUUGAAAAUAAAAGAAAAUAGUGAAAAUGCAUGCCUAGAGGAAAGUGGUAGCAUAUUUAUUAAAAUUUGGAUUUAAGUGACUAGAAAGACUCUAAAGAUGGAUUUUUCAAAGCUGGAAAUGUUUAGUUGAAAAAAAAUAAUUUAAAAUUUCAAUUUAAAACAAUAAAUUCUCAAUCAAAGAAGCAAAAGGAAGAAGAAGUGUGUGUAGCAAGGUAGAUAUGAUGGAGUGGAGUCUGGGAGGUUUAGCUGUAUCUAGAUUGCUGAUGGUUGUGUGAAGAGACCUUUGUACAUUGUUAGCAUGUUUGGAGAAGAACUGGCCAUAUUCAUUUCAGAGCACGUGCUCACUUGCUGCCACUCAUUCUCAAGCUUCAAAUCUUCUUUCAGAAGUUCAUCUGAUUUAUCAAUUUUCUUAUAGUUCACUUCCGGAUUUUUCUGUAGUUCAGAAUAUGAGUUUUCCAGCUCAUCACAACUUCAUCCUUUGCCUUUUCUGUAGUACUAAUUGAUCUUCUUUAGCUCGCAUAGGGAAAUUCACUGAUGUAGCUUUUCGAAUAAAUACAUGGACUGUUGCAACAUCUCCAAGCUGUAUGUGUGUGGUGCCCCUUUUGAAUUUUGGCAAGUGCUUUAAAGCUCAUUUUCUUUUAAGGCGAAUUCCAAUGCUAAGUGGUCCGAAGGUUGGAUCAAUUCUCUCUGUAAGGAUGCAAGAGCGUGUCUUGAAGUUAUAUCUUCAACAGUUUGUACAAGUAAGAGCAGAUUCAAACCAUCUCUUCCUCUGAAGUCAAUAAGCCAUGAUCAGGCCUUUCUAAACUGAACUUGGCUCUGAUGAAUCUACUGUUGGUUUAGGACUCUCUAAUUUCUUUUUAGCUGACUGCAAUGGGAACUCUGAGACCAAAGGUUCGCUUGAAGAUUCUUUUAGAUAAGAUUUUGAAGGAGUAUCAAAGCAACUUUCUUGUUCUAUACGAUUCGAAGUAUCGAUUUGCGGAAUCCAUUGAGAAAUUAGUGGUGUAAAGCACAAGAUUCUGGUCAGUAUGCAAUAUAAUCAUGGAUCUUCCUCUCGAGUUAUUCACCUCUGAGAAACGUGCAACAAGUUUACUGCCUUGAUUCAGCAUCUGAGUGGGUAGUAUUGUGUCUGUUGGAGGAUUAAAACUCUGCCAGAAAUAGGUGGGAUCGCAGCCCGCAAGCAUAAGAUUUCCAAUGUCCAGCAUGGUAGCAUAGGUGACUUCAGUACUAUUCAAAUCAGCCUUUGAACAUGAGAGAGAGAGAGAGCAUUAUAAAUUCUAUUUCGAUUUUCCCAUUUCUAAUAGCAUUUGCCUCAGCUUUUGGAGAAGAGCUUCAUCAUCUGACCUGGCCGUUUGCAAUGCUUCCAAGAAAUUCUUGCAGCCUGCGUCAUCUUGAUCGCUUGGUUCGCUUUCCACAUCGUAAAAAAUGACCUUCAAUAAAUUUAGAAGCUGCUCCAGAUGAGCCAUAUUCCUCAAAUAAAAGGGUUGUUUCAAGAGGAUCAACAGCAAAGCGAUAGAUAGGUAUCCUUCAUAAUGCAGCCUUUUAUCUACAACUUCAUCCUCAAAGAAUAAAUAGCACUCAUAAAUCAUUUUUUAUGCUUCAUUGAACCGUAUUCUUCUCUCUUCGGGCGCAUUUGAAAUAUGUAUUCUGGUUGCUGGCAUAGUAGAGUAAUUCACCAAAAUUUCUCAUGAGCAUGUUGGGCAAGAUUCACAAAGGCGACCUUAUUGAGAGGCUCAUUAUGUUUCAGCUUCAGAAAAUUAUCUAUAAUAGACAUUAAUUCAACACAUUGGUAAGAGUUCAAGAUGAAUCUGCAUGUCCACUCUUGAAUGACUCAAAGAUGACCCCGUCUGAAACUCAAAGCCUGUAGAAUUCUCCAACAGCAUCCUCUAAUAGCUUAUCCUGCUCAUUAGUUGCUUCUCUGCCACUCCUUGCAUAGAGCUUCUUAAUAUUCCAGAGCCUAUUCAUGACUUAUCUCAAACGCAAGCAAAAUAGAGAAUCAGGACCUUCAAUUGAUGCCUGCGUUCAGAAGCUGUAACUGGGCAUCAAAAUCAUCUAGGCAUAGAUCACAACCCUCAACAUGAUCAGUUGUAGGUGAUCGAGCAGCCAAUUCAUCAUUGAGCAAAUCAAUAAAAGCUUGGAUAUCAUUGCCGGGUGGCCUAAAAUCAUUGGAUAAAUCAUUAAAGUCAUUAAGUAUAUUAUUGAUCUCCAUGAAAACCCUUUUCCUUGCUUCUAUAGAGCGAACACAAGCUGCCACUAAAAUUGGUUAGCCCGGAUUGCUAAUUUAUGCCUCCAAUCACUAUCGAUUUUUCUUUUCCUUUUUAGAACUUCUGGAAUAUGGAUGAAACAUGUGAAGGAUACGGUGGAAUUGCAAGUUUUGGGUUCAAAAUCCAGCAGAACUUUGUUACUUUUCCUGCAGCUGCUAUGCGUACUUCAGCCUCAUUGUCAUGAAGCAACCGAACAUAUGCAGGAACCAAGUCUGACCUGGUAGGCUCAGGACCAACAACUUCACAUAGCUCAUAUAAUUGAUUUGCAACCAUAUAGCGAACACGCCAAGACUUAUCCUGAGAGAAAUUCAUAAUUUAUGGGAGGAAUAUGUGCUACACAAUCUUGAGGUUCCAACAGUUUUCCGAGAGCUGCACAACCCUUAACAGCCAAUAACCUAACAGAAUCUUGAUCAUCCUUUGUCAGAUCCUCAAAUAUUGACAUGAUGUCAGCCUUUGAAUGAGCAGUUUCAACAGUAGCAGCAAACUUUCCCAGAUUUGAUGCAGCGGAUCUCUUUACCAUUGGCAUGUCAUCUUGACAAAGCUGGCUAUAUAUUGCUAUUCUGAAGUAGAUGACGUAUUCUGGAAAACUGUGCUUGUCAACUAGACUAAUUUUUCAUGACAUUCAGAGGAACCGUGUACUUUUUCAUUUGAAUCUUCCCACCAGGCAUUUAAUUGAAUUCUGGAUUCUUAUAUUACCAAUAGGAUAAACAAACCAAUUCUUAUAGCUUCACUUACAAAAUCGUAAAUACCUUGCUGCCAUGUGUUCAAUAUUAGUCCUGUUUCUAUCUUUUAGAGCAUAUAUAGGGACAUGCUUUAGGAAGUCCUGCAUUAUUUGCAUUUUGCUUAGUUUCUUGCUCAGUAAUUCAAUCUGAAUAUGGGGUUGAGGCAUCUAGGAUGAAAAGAUGACUAUGGAUUGUGCAUUUGCUUGUUUGUCCUCUUAUCGUUUUCUGAAUCAAAUCAUCUGCUGCUGUGUCCCCUGAAGCUGUAGCCUCAUCCAACAAUCUCUCAAAAGCAUAAACACCAGAUUCUACAGCUGUGCUGUUCUCAGAUUGCAUCAGCAAUAUAAGGGGUUUUAUGCACUCAGAGGCCCUCGGCGAAGCUCGAAUUUUUAGAAUAUUAAACAAAGCAAAGCAGAGUUGUGCAACAUUUCCCUUUAGAUCUGAGGAUGAAGUAGAAGAUGACAAAAUUUUGCAAAGACUCUCAAGGGGGUUCCCAUCCACGUCUGUCAUCAAAUAUGUUUUUUUGAUGAAUUUCCUAUAGUCAACUUGAUUAAGACAACAAGAGUAGCUUGUUGCUCACUCUCUGAUGCAGCAUUAAGCACGUUAAUCAAGAGCUGAACCGCCUGCUUAGCUAACUCAAAAUCUCUGACAUUCUUAGCAUCGAAAAACUCAUGCGAAGCUCUAGUAGCAUCGAAUCUAUCAUUUCUUGACUCCAAACGCAGCACGACUAUUAGUUGAUUUAAGGAACUGAUUGAUGCUUCCUAACGAGGAAGAUCAAGAUUACUAAAAAGUAUUCUCAACAGCUCAGACACUGUGGCCUCAGAAAAGUCUUGAGGGCUCAAGGACAAGUACUUGGUUAGAGCAUCCAAUGCUCCAGCUUCAGCCAUGAUCAGUUUGUUUGUAUCACUUCCAUCUGUAAUACCAGUCAAUUGUUGAGCAGCAAUUGGAGGGGCACUUGAUCUAUCUGGAAUUGGUCUCAAAAGAUCCAUUAAUAAAGGUAUAAAUUUGCGAGCAGUGGAACCAACUCUUAUGUCUUCAAUUUCAACAAGAUUUUCAAGAACAACUUGAACAAGUUUCCGAACCAGACAAAACACUUCAGAUAAAGCAACAAGGUUUGGCAUAUCUGAUUCUACGUAACCAAUUAGAGUUAUUAACCCAGCAACUGCAUCUGCAUUUAUAAUCGUAAGAUUUAUUUCCCUGCUUCUAUUACAAACAAGACUUGCCAUUGCCUGGGCAGCAAAGAAUCUGUCAAUCACUUCAUCAGGCUUCAGUGCAAGUGAUGGUAUGAUGCACAUGGUUGCAGGGACCAGAACAACAUUUGCAUCUCAGGACAAACAAGCAAAUGCACAAUCCAUAGUCAUCUUUGCAUCCUAGAUGCCUCAACCCCAUAUUCAGAUUGAAUUACUGAGCAAGAAACUAAGCGAAAUGCAAAUAAUGCAGGACUUCCUAAAGCAUGUCCCUAUAUAUGCUCUAAAAGAUAGAAACAGGACUAAUAUUGAACACAUGGCAGCAAGGUAUUUACGAUUUUGUAAGUGAAGCUAUAAGAAUUGGUUUGUUUAUCCUAUUGGUAAUAUAAGAAUCCAGAAUUCAAUUAAAUGCCUGGUGGGAAGAUUCAAAUGAAAAAGUACGCGGUUCCUCUGAAUGUCGUGAAAAAUUAGUCUAGUUGACAAGCACAGUUUUCCAGAAUACGUCAUCUACUUCAGAAUAGCAAUAUAUAGCCAGCUUUGUCAAGAUGACAUGCCAAUGGUAAAGAGAUCUGCUGCAUCAAAUCUGGGAAAGUUUGCUGCUACUGUUGAAGCUGCUCAUUCAAAGGCUGAUAUCAUGUCAAUAUUUGAGGAUCUGACACAGGAUGAUCAAGAUUCUGUUAGGUUAUUGGCUGUUAAGGGUUGUGCAGCUCUCGGAAAACUGUUGGAACCUCAAGAUUGUGUAGCACAUAUUCCUCCCAUAAAUUAUGAAUUUCUCUCAGGAUAAGUCUUGGUGUGUUCGCUAUAUGGUUGCAAAUCAAUUAUAUGAGCUAUGUGAAGCUGUUGGUCCUGAGCCUACCAGGUCAGACUUGGUUCCUGCAUAUGUUCGGCUGCUUCAUGGCAAUGAGGCUGAAGUACGCAUAGCAGCUGCAGGAAAAGUAACAAAGUUCUGAUGGAUUUUGAACCCAAAACUUGCAAUUCCACCGUAUCCUUCACAUGUUUCAUCCAUAUUCCAGAAGUUCUAAAAAGGAAAAGAAAAAUCGAUAGUGAUUGGAGGCAUAAAUUAGCAAUCCGGGCUAACCAAUUUUAGUGGCAGCUUGUGUUCGCUCUAUAGAAGCAAGGAGAAGGGUUUUCAUGGAGAUCAGUAUUAUACUUAAUGACUUUAAUGAUUUAUCCAAUGAUUUUAGGCCACCCGGCAAUGAUAUCCAAGCUUUUAUUGAUUUGCUCAAUGUUGAAUUGGCUGCUUGAUCACCUACAACUGAUCAUGUUGAGGGUUGUGAUCUAUGCCUAGAUGAUUUUGAUGCCCAGUUACAGCUUCUGAACGCAGGCAUCAAUUGAAGGUCCUGAUUCUCUAUUUUGCUUGCGUUUGAGAUAAGUCAUGAAUAGGCUCUGGAAUAUUAAGAAGCUUUAUGCAAGGAGUGGCAGAGAAGCAACUAAUGAGCAGGAUAAGCUAUUAGAGGAUGCUGUUGGAGAAUUCUACAGGCUUUGAGUUUCAGACGGGGUCAUCUUUGAGUCAUUCAAGAGUGGACAUGCAUAUUCAUCUUGAACUCUUACCAAUGUGUUGAAUAAAUGUCUAUUAUAGAUAAUUUUCUAAAGCUGAAACAUAAUGAGCCUCUCAAUAAGGUCGCCUUUAUGAAUCUUGCCCAGCAUGCUCAUGAGAAAUUUUGGUGAAUUACUCUACUAUGCCAGCAACCAGAAUACAUAUUUCCAAUGCGCCCGAAGAGAGAAGAAUACGGUUCAAUGAAGCAUAAAAAAUGAUUUAUGAGUGCUAUUUAUUCUUUGAGGAUGAAGUUGUAGAUAAAAGGCUGCAUUAUGAAGGAUACCUAUCUAUCGCUUUGCUGUUGAUCCUCUUGAAACAACCCUUUUAUUUGAGGAAUAUGGCUCAUUUGGAGCAGCUUCUAAAUUUAUUGAAGGUCAUUUUUUACGAUGUGGAAAGAGAACCAAGCGAUCAAGAUGAUGCAGGCUGCAAGAAUUUCUUGGAAGCAUUGCAAACGGCCAGGUCAGAUGAUGAAGCUCUUCUCCAAAAGCUGAGGCAAAUGCUAUUAGAAAUGGGAAAAUCGAAAUAGAAUUCAUAAUGCUCUCUCUCUCUCUCAUGUUCAAAGGCUGAUUUGAAUAGUACUGAAGUCACCUAUGCUACCAUGCUGGACAUUGGAAAUCUUAUGCUUGCGGGCUGCGAUCCCACCUAUUUCUGGCAAACUUUUAAUCCUCCAACAGACACAAUACUACCCACUCAGAUGCUGAAUCAAGGCAGUAAACUUGUUGCACGUUUCUCAGAGGUGAAUAACUCGAGAGGAAGAUCCAUGAUUAUAUUGCAUACUGACCAGAAUCUUGUGCUUUACACCACUGAUUUCUCAACGGAUUCCACAAAUCGAUACUUCGAAUCGUAUAGAACAAGAAAGUUGCUUUGAUACUCCUUCAAAAUCUUGUCUAAAAGAAUCUUCAAGCGAACCUUUGGUCUCAGAGUUCCCAUUGCAGUCAGCUAAAAAGAAAUUAGAGAGUCCUAAACCAGCAGUAGAUCCAUCAGAGCCAAGUUCAGUUUAGAAAGGCCUGAUCAUGGCUUAUUGACUUCAGAGGAAGAGAUGGUUUGAAUCUGCUCUUACUUGUACAAACUGUUGAAGAUAUAACUUCAAGACACGCUCUUGCAUCCUUACAGAGAGAAUUGAUCCAACCUUCGGACCACUUAGCAUUGGAAUUCGCCUUAAAAGAAAAUGAGCUUUAAAGCACUUGCCAAAAUUCAAAAGGGGCACCACAUACAUACAGCUUGGAGAUGUUGCAACAGUCCAUGUAUUUAUUCGAAAAGCUACAUCAGUGAAUUUCCCUAUGUGAGCUAAAGAAGAUCAAUUAGUACUACAGAAAAGGCAAAGGAUGAAGUUGUGAUGAACUGGAAAACUCAGAUUUUGAACUACAGAAAAAUCCGGAAGUGAACUAUAAGAAAAUUGAUAAAUCAGAUGAACUUCUGAAAGAAGAUUUGAACCUUGAGAAUGAGUGGCAGCAAGUGAGCACGUGCUCUGAAAUGAAUAUGGCCAGUUCUUCUCCAAACAUGCUAACAAUGUACAAAGGUCUCUUCACACAACCAUCAGCAAUCUAGAUACAGCUAAACCUCCCAGACUCCACUCCAUCAUAUCUACCUUGCUACACACACCUCUUCUUCCUUUUGCUUCUUUGAUUGAGAAUUUAUUGUUUUAAAUUGAAUUUUUAAAUCAUUUUUUUUCAACUAAACAUUUCCAGCUUUGAAAAAUCCAUCUUUAGAGUCUUUCUAGUCACUUAAAUCCAGAUUUUAAUAAAUAUGCUGCCACUUUCCUCUAGGCAUGCAUUUUCACUAUUUUCUUUUAUUUUCAAUUAUUUUCAUGAUUUUCUCGAUUUCCUCCAAGCAUGAACAAACUCCAUGAUUCCAAAACAAUGGAAUUCAUAGGAUCAACUCAUGCGAAAUCAACUAGGGCUUUGGUGGGGGCCCGACAUUGAUGAUAUUCUCAUCAAUAUUGUUUGUUUGAUGUUUGAUUGAUUGUGCUUCCUCUUUGUGGUAUCGUAUUUCGCACUUGUUACUAAGCAAACUUGUUUCCCAUAGAGGAGUAUUAGCUUGCUAUCCCGGUACGCUCUUCUUGCCCUCAAGCUCUAAAAUUCUAUGAAUGUGUAUGAUAUCAUGAGCCAUGUCCAUGUUUGAUGCCAUAAUUGAUUGCCUUGAUGCUUGUUUGAUCAUCUUUGAUAAAAAUGCAUAUUAUACGUCAUAUUUUCAAACUAACCUUUGAUGUCUUGUGAUAGCGCUUGAGAAGCCAUCCAGGUAUGCACCCUAACUCUCUUUUAUGGUAAUUUGAUCCUAUUUGGCAUGUUAUUUUUUAAAAUCACUUUAGUCUAUCUAGGUAUCCCCAAUUAAUCAAUUAAUUGCCACAUUUCCCCAAUUUAGUCAGUAAAGACCUCUUUAGGGCUUAGAGGGGUGCUACCUCCUAGAGGUACCUUCCCAAUAAGUAACCUGAUCUCCGGACUUAGACUCGGGUUUUUUUCAAAGACAUGCUUUUCCAAAAAUUAUGGAGUCAUUUUUUUAGGGUUUUAUUUCUUGUUUUAUUUUCCCUUUAAAAUAAAAAUAAAAUAAUUGGCGGCUCUAACUUUUUUCCAAAAAUUAAUUUUUCACAAAUAAAAAGCGAGUCUCGCCAAUCGAGUGGGGGCGCACGUGAAAUAUGCGGGUCCACACUCUCUUUUCAAGGAUGCCCACUCUAUGUGCAAGGGAUGUGAUUGGUGUCAAAGGCUUGGGAAGCUAACACGCCGGAAUAUGAUGCCCUUGAACCCCAUCUUGAUAGUGGAUGUCUUUGAUGUUUGGGGGAUAGACUUCAUGGGACCAUUUCCAAUGUCAUUUGGACACUACUACAUUUUGGUGGGAGUGGAUUAUGUCUCUAAGUGGGUAGAAGCAAUCCCAUGUAGGAGCAAUGAUCAUAAGGUGGUUCUCAAAUUUCUCAAGGAGAACAUCUUUUCAAGGUUUGGAGUGCCUAAGGCCAUUAUCAGUGAUGGAGGAACCCAUUUUUGCAACAAGCCUUUUGAGACUCUUCUAGCCAAAUAUGGGGUCAAGCACAAGGUAGAUACACCUUAUCACCCUCAAACAAGUGGCCAAGUUGAGUUAGCCAACUGGGAAAUCAAGAAUAUACUGAUGAAGGUGGUGAAUGUGAAUAGGAAGGAUUGGUCUAUUAAGCUCCUGGAUUCAUUAUGGGCUUAUAGGACCUCUUAUAAGACCAUUCUUGGAAUGUCUCCUUAUCGCCUUGUUUAUGGCUAAGCGUGCCAUCUCCUAGUGGAGAUUGAAUAUAAAGCAUGGUGGGCAAUCAAGAAGCUCAACAUGGAUUUGACAAGAGCCGGGUUAAAGAGAUGAUUGGAUUUGAACGAAUUGGAGGAAAUGAGGAAUGAUGCUUACCUCAAUUCAAAAAUUGCAAAAGAGAGGUUGAAGAAAUGACAUGAUCAGUUGGUAAAUCAGAAGAAUUUUACCAAGGGACAAAGAGUCUUGCUUUAUGACUCUAAAAUUCAUCUUUUUCUGGGAAAAUUGAAAUCAAGGUGGACGGGUCCUUUCAUAAUUCAUGACGUGCAAUCAAAUGGAGUAGUGAAACUACUCAACAUCAAGAGCACUCGAACUUUCAAAGUGAAUGGGCAUCGUCUCAAGCCCUAUAUGGAAUCAUUUUCCCGAGACAAGGAGGAAUUCAUCCUCCUUGAUCCACCUCUAACAUGAAAACACUCAAUUCAUGGUUGAACUUAGUCUCUUCAAAGACUAAAAAGUUCAUCAUCUUUUUGUUUCCUUUUGCAUUGAUUUUAGUUUAAUCUAGUGUUUUUUCUUGUAUAUAUGCAUGUUUUGAUUUUUAUUUUUGACCUUAACUUCAUUCUAAUGUGGUUUGAAUUGGUUUUUGUGUUAACAUGCAGCUAGGAAGGCUUGAAGAAUGAAGUCAAGGGAAAAACAGGGGAAAACAGGGGAGAAAAGCCAAGACAUAGGGAAUUUCGCACUACUCAAUUCUCUGGUGCGAAAUUCGUACCACCCUACCCCCUUGUGCGAAUUUUUGGGCAGCCACUCAAAGUAGCCUUGCUCAGGAGAUGUCAGCUAUUCGUUCUCAGUAGGAGCAGAUUUUGAUCACCCAGACUCAGCACACUACCAUCCUGAGGCAGCUUUAGCACCAUCUGGAUCUUCCAUCAGCUACUGAGCAUCUCACACCUACCACUGCAGUGCCCCACUCAGAGACCGCAGAGCCCCAUGCCCCUCCUGAGCCGGCUACUGAAGAUGCAGAGAUCUCUACCUGAGCCAUCAGUUUACCAGCAUCAUCCUCCCCAUUUCUGAUCAUUUACAUACUUUACUUUAUGUAUUUAUUUUAUAAUUCCAUAUUUUGAUGUCUUAUAUUCUGGGAUUGCAUGUAUUAUUGAUGAUGCAUCAUAUAUAGACAUCAUUUUUGUUUAAACUUGACAUAUUUCUAUUUUCUUUACUCACUAACUUUGUUGUUUUUUUGAAACGUGUGGUUUCUCCUACAUGACUCAGAUUCCAUGUCACUCAGGAGGUACCACUUCCUCCCUAUUUUUUAAUCGCUUUUAUCACAUUGAGGACAAUGUUCAGCUUGGUUGGGGGGAGAGUUGAGGAAGAAAGUUUUGUUAUUAAUGCUAAGUUAUUUUGGUAAUUUAGUUGCUUUUUGCUUAAUUUUAAAAUAUUUUUAAGUUUUUAUUCUACUCUUCAUGGUUAUUAAGGAAAAAUUUUCAAAAUGAAAUGGGACAAAUUGAAUUUUUGUCUUUUUACUUGACUUAGAUUUUGUAUUAUGUUUAUUAAAGCUAAUGAAUUGUUGAAAUUUCUAUUGAAUUCAAGCUUAUGUCUUCCACUUUAAGCUAUUCACACACUGUGCACAAUAGGUUCCGAUUAUAAGAUGAAAAACUAUUUCCCUCUUGACUUAGGAAAAUUUUAGACUUGGUACCUUUGACCUCAUUUUAAUAGUGUUGGGACACCUUGUAAAAGGCCAAUGAGCCUUUGAAAAAAAGAAAGAAAGAAAAAAUGUUUACUUGCCUUGAAACCCGAGCAAGGUCUGAAGGGUAUAUGGUGAAAAUCUUUAAAACCUAGUGCCCUAAGCCUUAAUUGGUUGGGAGUCACCGACCUCAAUGCUCGUUACAAGGGUGGAUGGGUGGAGUUUAACAUACUGUAGGUGCUUGGGUAUUAAAAUUUCAUUCUCAAAAGUCCGGGGUAAAAUCCGAGGAGUUAGUGGUUGAAAGAUCCUUAAAACCUGAUGCCCUAAACCUUAAUUGGUUGGGAGUCAUCGAUGGACCCCCGUUACAUGGACAAUUUAGAAAAAAAUACCUUUAAGCCUUGUACUCCUACAAGAAAAAAAUUGUGAAAAAAAAAGGUGCGUUCUUAGCCUAUUGGAGGUUGAUCAGUUUGCUAAGCUGUGAAAAAAGAACUAGGUUGGGGGUGAGAUUAGUUUAGCAUACUAUAUUCGGAAACUAUCAUCUCACACUUAGAUUUUGUGGAAGAGUAAGGAUUGGUCAUUUGGAAGUGGAAAUGAUUUUAAAGCUUAAAUUUGCAUAAUGCCUUUUCUUUAAGAAUUGUGAUUAGAUAAGUUAUUUGAUAACUCUUGUUGAAGUUUGAGUUUUAUUUCUUUAAUGUUCCAUGUGAGAGUUAGAUCAUCAUGCCGCUUGGAAAUUGUUUUUUGAUCAGCAUGAUGUUGUAAAUUAUAAUACUGUUUAUUUUUAUUUUUUAUUUUUUCUUCUCUCCUUCAUUACUAAGGGACUAGCAAUAUGUCGGUUGGGGGGAGUGAUUACUACUCAAAAAGUACUAUUUCAUAGCUUGUAAUUAACUCUUUUAAAUACUUUUGAGUAGUAGUUAUCACCUUUUAACCCAAUUAACAUAUUAAGGACCCUUGCAAUCAAUUCUAAUCAAAUUGUGUUAAGUUUUGGUGUUUUGAUAGCUGAUUCGUCCCUAGCAGUGGCAGUGGCAACGACACCAUUUGAUUCGGGGUUCGAUUCCCCGGUAACGGCGCCAUUUGAUUCGUGCCCAAUUGGUGUCUCAGCUGAUUCGUGUCUAGCUGGUGCUCCUUGAUUGAGGGAGUAAUCAACAAAAUUUAUAACCUAUAACACCAUAUACUAGGGUAGCAAAGACAAAGCUACUAUAGUAUAGUGGCUCUAGGAUCGUUCACUGGGAAGAAUUAACAAGCUAUCAAUGAUACCAAUUCCAAGUGAAUUGGUUUUGUUUCAUUUCAUGGUUAGCUUAAGAAGUAAAACACAAACUUUGAUUGGUAAAGGUUUAGACUUAAACUAACUAACAUAACAGAAGUUUGGAAUAAUUUAGGAAGAAAAGCAUUCCCUGGAGAAUUAGGUUCACUGGGGUGGUUCCUCAUGCAAAAGACAUAGCUCCGGUCAGAUGGUUCAUUUCCUCGUGUUAGAGAUUCAACAUAUAGUCAAUUCUCUAACCGGUAUUGUACAGAGACUCCUUCAAUUAGAUUUCACUUUAAUUCUCUCACUGAUGCAACUUGCAAUGGUUUAAGCCUCUCACUAAGCCUUAACCAUUCAAGGUGAUCUUUAACCUUGGAUUACCCGUCAAAAGCUUGCAAGAGAUAACUAAUGGAUGUCUCCUUGGAGUCCAAAAGCUUACCAUGUGUUGGCUAUUCUAGAAAAUCCUACCUUGAAGUCACCUCCCAAAGGCUCGCAAGGGGUAAACUAGUGCAUUUCCAUGGUUGGAAAUCACUUGCCUUACCAAGUGUUGGCCCAGGUGACUCUAAGGUGUUUUAAGUUAACUAAAAACAUAGAAAUCAUUAAAGGAUUUCACUUCCUUUUCAUUACUAGCUAAAACCACAAAGCUUUGCAUUCUUGCACUUGGAACCUUCCCCGGCAACCUUAGCUCCAAGGAAUUAGAGGUUUAGUUACUCAUUCUCUGGGGAAAACUCCUCAGAGAAUUCAUAACUUAGAAAUAAAAUAAAAAUACAAAGUGAGAAGGUAAGGCAGUAGAAAGAACUGAACUUUACUUGCUUACCCAAACUUUUUCAGAAGGAACUCUUCUUCUGAGAACAGGCUCACGAGAGGUAUAUAUAUGUACAUAAUAUAAAACUAAUUAUUACAUAGAUAUUUAGUCUUUUUACUAACUUAAAAGCUAAGGAAUCAUGUAAUUGGUGGUUUACAAGGAGUAUUUUGGGAUUUAGACAACAAAAAUCUAAUGGAAAAUAUCUCCCAAUGUCGGUAGCAAAUAUCGGGAGGCUUCAGGCACCAUUUCGUACGAGAAAAAUGGUGUCUGCGAGAUUUCGCAGACACUCAAGAGGGCUGCGAAAUAAUUUCGCAACACCAAGCUAUCUUCACAGGGCUGCGAAGUUGGCUUCCACCUUGAGGUUCCAAGCUUCCUUCUCGCGGUAUAUGUCGGGAAACUUCAGAAGGAGAUACAUCACACUGUACAAAAAGGCUGCGGAAUCACUUCUCAACAAAAGGGUGAUUUCGCAGCACUUUGCAAAAUGCUUCCUUCAGCUCGAAGUGAUUGGCUUGUAAUGGCUGUAACUUCUUCGUUUCAACUCCGAAUUGCACACCGUUUGAAGCAUUGGAUUGUUGACUUCCUGAGCUUUGAAAUGGUAUAUAGUAUACAUCAUUUGGACCUCAGAAAGUGCUCCAAAAGUGGCUGCUACGACUGUCAUCAAGAAUAUGCUUCAUGGCAGAUUCUCUUUGCUUUUUCUCCUUGCAAUCCGGAUUUACUCUUGGAAAAUGACUUCUAAGCUUUGCCCAAGAUUCCUCAUAGCUCUCCUUAGUCUUGACUUGCUUUGGUGAUCAAAAUACUAACAAAAACACCAAAACUUACACAAAGUGAUCAAAAUUGCUUUCAAGGGUCCUUAACAUGCCAAUUGAGUUAAAAGGCCAAAACUACUACUCAAAAGUGUUUAAAAGGAUUAAUUAUAGGCUAUCAAAUAGCACUUUUUGAGUAGUAAUCAAUAGCUUUUUGAUCACCAAAGCAAUCCCAGAUUAAGGAGAGUUCUUUGGAAUCCUUAAGCAAAUCCAGAAUACAAGGAGUAUGGGAUCAUGCACAUUCUACCCGGGAAGGAAUUCCAUCCGGCUGCUAAAAGCUUUCCCAUCCGGCUACAACCACUUUCCACCCGGAUCUAUCACAUCCGAAAAUCGGCUGCCGCCGGCAUUCCAUUCGACUGCCGCCACUUUCUUCUCGAAUGUAUCACAUCCGGAAAUCGGCCGCCGCCGCCAUUCCAUCCGGUUGCCGCCACUUUCCACCCAGAUGUUCACAUACAGAAUUCUGACGCCGGAUAGGAGUGGAGAACGUUUCAACUUCCCCGGUCACACAUUUCCAGAUCCGCUUAUAGCUCUUACCCGGAGAGUUUCGCAGCCAUUUUGCACAGUGCUGCGGGGUUCUCCUGAAGCUUCCCGAUAUAUGUGACCAACAUUUUGAGAUAUUUUGCGAUAUUUUUGCUUUAGAUAUUUCAUGUAUAAAUCCCCAAACUCUCCUUGUAACCCACCAAUUAUAGGAUUCCUUAGUUAUUAAGUUAGGAAAAAUGGUGAAUAACCUGGUAGAUAUUAUUAUUGUAAUUUUCAUAUAAUGAUCUCUCGGGAGCCUGUUCCAAUGGGGGACGUAACUUUUGUAUAGUUUUAAAAGGAAGAAAAAUACAGAGCUUUGCUUUGCUUUUACCUUCUCAUUUUGAUUGUAUUUUCUUACUAGCCAAACAACCUUUGAGGAUGUUUUCCCAGAGGAUGAGAGGCUAAACCUUUGGUUUCUUGGAGUGAAGGAAGCUAGGUGAAAAGUCCAGAUGCAAAAGUGGAAAACUCUCGUGCUUUAAAUACAGGUAGUUGGAGUUCAUAAAUGGCUUUUAAAUCUAAAGUUUUGCUUUAAAUCCCUUAGAAUCACUUUGAAUGGCCAAUACAUGAUAAGCUUUUAGAUCUCUGUGGAUACUUAUUGUUAGAUCCACUUAAGACCAUUAGUUAUCAUGUAUGAGCCAUUGGGAAGUGGCUCAAGGUGAAGACCCCUAGUGUCUAAAGCCAUUAAUGGAACUUAACUACCAUUUCUAUUGACUUUUUAUGGAUUAAAUCUUCAUUGUUAAACCUAUACCGGUUCUAGAAACAACCAUCCUUUAUCUUGUUGUCCCCAAUACGAGGAGAAAAAUCCGGAAUUUCCCACUUUGCAUUCUGAACUUGAUUCGUGCAACCUUUAGCUCCGGGAGACUUUCUUUCUUCCAUUUUUACUUAGUUCUAUGUUAGUUUAGUUUCAAACACCAUUUUCAAAACAAAUUUUAUUUUCUUUUAAACUUUAAGUUUUUGACAAAGGAAAUCAUCAGAUUCAAUUUCUAAUCUUGAGUCUAUCACUGGUAGAAUGAAAACCCAUCCUAGAGUUCGACCCUAGAGCUGCUAUACUAUAGUAGCUUUGCUACGCUAGUAUGAGGUCAUAGGAUUUAUAAAUAUUUUUGAUUAAAAUACCCAACUGGGCACGAAUCACCAAUCUUUGACUAAAGCCCAUGUAAGAGCAUCUAGGCUUUAGGCAAUUACAUUUAGGGUUACUCAGUGUACUAAUGCAUGUGGCAAUUUUGACACAGCCUAACAUGAGUGAGAAAAGACAUAAAUUUUAGUGGGUUCGAGUCACACAUAAUCACGUUUUUGUUAUAAUCAUAUAACUCAUAUAACUCAUUCAAUUAGUCAUGUUUAUGAUUUGUUUAUGAGAAAAGACAUUUAUGAUUUGUUUAACCCAAUUUAUUAAUUUUAAAUAUUUAAAAAUUCUAAAAAUUUAAAAUACCUUUUAAUUAUGAAUAAUAUCAUAUCGUUAAAAAAACUUAAAGAACUAAAGUAUAAUUUCAUAAAAGAUUAAAAAUAUUUUAUAAUUUAAUAAAUAAAUAAAAUUAUAACGAGCAUAUAAUUAAAAUUUUAAUUUAAUUUUUAUUUUAUAAAUGUAUUCUAACUUAAAAUAAAUAAUUAAGUUAAUGAAAAGUUUAAAAAUCAAACUUAAAAGUUAAGAACAACUAAAAAAAUAUUUUAAAUUAAUAUUCUUAUAAAAUUAAAAUUUUAAAAAGGUUAAUUAAAAUACAAUCAUAUUAAUGAGUUUAAUGAAUUAAAAUUAUAUUAAUUAGUUUAAUGGGUUAUAAUCAUGUUAACAACUAGGUUUCAUAAGAAUUAGUCUCACCCAUUUACUUUGAAAUUCUCUAAUAACAUGCAGUACAAUUUGAUUGGGGAAAAAAAAAUUAAACAUAUCAUUAUUUUCCAUGCAAAAAUUAUGCUCAUAUACUUUGAAUGUCUUCUAAGUGGCACUAUCUCUCUUCCAUUUGAUGUCUUAAAUUUGGAAGUCAACAUUCUCAAUUGAUACGUCAAAGAGAGAUUGACAAGCUUUUUCAGGCUUUGUGCAUGUGAUCCCGAUGAGCAAGCCGUAUGAUUGUCGACCCAUGCAUGGUCACAGCUUCUCAGCAUGUCAAAUGAGCAUCCCUUUCCCAAGUAUGCGUGGUCCAUUGCACCAAAGCAUUCCAACCAUGACAAAACUCAAAUCUACCACAAGAUCGCAUUGACAUCUUGUCACAUCCUAAUAUGAAUGUCAUUUUUUUAGAAGAGUUGUGCAGUUCUCUCACUAAAGAAGUAUAAAUACUCUGAAUCCCAUUUUCCAAAUAUCAUUAUCAUCCAUUUCUCAUCAACUUCAAAUCCUAUAAAAGCAAAUUAAAGGGGUUUCAAUAUCUAAAAAUAAUAAUUAAUAUAGGAAUUAAAUUAAUUAUGAUUGGGUCGAGAACUUUCUCUCUAUUGCUGCUUAUGAUGAAAGCUAUUAGAGAAUUGCUAAAUGAGGGGAACGAGGAGAUCUAGGACAUGCCAAAACCUAGAGGUGGGCACUUGUAGGAAUCUUCCUUGCAUAUAGGAAUGGCAACGAGGUGGGUUCAGGAGGGGUCCCCCCAUCCCAAUCCUGUCCCGUUUAUUCAAAACAAUUCUCAUCCUCGUCCCAUUUAAAAAAUUAAACGGGGCGAGGCAGGGUGGGGUAGGUAUGAUAAAUUCUCAUACCCGCCCCGCCUCGCCCUGUUUAUUUUAUUUUAUUUUUUUUUUUAAAUUUACUUUUAAAAUUUUUAAUUACAUUAAAAUAAAUAUAUUUUAUAAAUAAUUAAAUUAUCAUAUUUUUUAUAACUUAUUUUAUUAAAAAUAUUUUAUUAUUUUCUAUAUAUUAAAAAUAGUAAAAUAAAUUAAUUUUAAAAUUUAAAUUAAAUUAAAUUUUAAAAUUAAUUUUAUAUAUAAUCGGGACGGGGCGGGGUGGGAUGGGGCAAUACCCAAACCCGCCCUAGGUUUUAAAAAAAAAUCCCAUACUCGUCUCAAACCUGUUUAUUAAAAAUUGAACCUCGUCCCAUUAGGGGCGAGUAACCGAAACCACCCCCCCGCAAUUGCGAUCCCUACCUGCAUACGUGUUGUGAGCAGAGAGGGUGUGGGGGCCAUUUUGAGAGAAAAUAGAGGGAAACUCUAUUGAAAUUUUCCUAGUCAGACAUUGUUUUAACAUUUAAGUUCAAUUAAAAUUUGGUUAUUAAUUUCCUUUUUUAGAGGAUGUUUGGUAAAUCAAUAUGAAUUAAUGAUUUAAUGACUUAAUUUAAGUCAUUAAGUAGAUUAAGUAUAUUUGGUAAAAUAACUUAAAAUCAAAAUUUAAAGUAAAAAAAUGACUUUAAGUUUUAAUUCAAAAUAAUGAAUUUAUUUUUAAUCUCAAAUAUCUUUUAUCACAUUUAUCCAUAUUUACUAAGAGUAUAUUUUACAAUUAUGGCUCUACAUUCAUAACCCAUCUUUUGUAGUAAAUAUUUUUAUAAUUAAUUUAUAUAUCUACAAUAUUUUAAAUAUUAAUGUUUAACAAAUAAAUUUAUUAUUUAAAAUUAGUAAAAAUAUAAAUAUUAAUUAAAAUUAAUGAGAGUAAAUAUGUCAAUUUGAUGAUUUAGAAUCAAUUUUAAAUUAACUUUAUCAAACAACCUUAAUACUUAAUACAAAAAUAAGUGAUAAGUUUUAAAUCAAUAACUUAUGAAUAAUUUAACUUAAGGUCAACUUAAGUCAUUAUUAAGUAAUAAGUAUUAAGUUUUUAUCAAACACCCACUUACUAAGUUACUUAAAUUAAAAGAUAUUGGAGUCAUCAUAAUUUGUCUUUUUUGGUUCUUAGAAUCAGGUAAGAGAAUGAGAGUAAGAAUGGGAGAGAAUGCAUUGGGUAAGAAUAAGCAUUGUAGAAGUUUGGUUACAAUAGGAAACAAAUCGAAGAGUAAUGACUUGGGAAAUGAAAGGGAAUAAGAUAUAGGAUUGCUAAUGCACGGGAAAAUGGGUAAAUAGUAGGGCUAUGUACAAAAAAGUGGAUUCUAUGCUUUUCAUUUUUUUUCAAUAUGUUAUAACCAUUUUUAAAUUGGAUUAGAUAUACUAAAUGCAUACCUAAUUGUUAAGAUUUUAGCUAGCUCAAUCUCAAGUAAUCAUUGUAAAGAGAGGGGGAGGGUGAAUGGGUGAAGGUCACUUUUUGCAAAUUUAAGCUAUGUAAGGCAAGUGACAAUUAUGUGCAAAUGUAUAACAAAUAUAAUGGAAAUUAAUUGCAUAUAAAAUAGAGAAAGGAAGAGAAAUUAUAAACACGGGAUUUAAUGGUAGUUUAACGCAACUUGACUUAUGUCCACUCUUCUCAAGCUCCUAAUUGAGUGAGAGUUCCACUAAUCCAAGACUUCCAACACAAAUAUUCAAGAUAUAUAAUUGGAUUUUUCAACUCUAAUGGGCACUACAAAUUUCUUCAAGAGAUGUCUCACUUUUGAAUUCCUUAAGUGAUAUCCCAUAUUUGGCAAACACUAAGUGAUAUCUUAUACUUAAAUUUUUCUGUUAAGUGAUUCCCCACACUUGAGAUUUCUUUGCAAAGGUUACAAAUUGAUAGGAAAUAUAAUCUCACAAGAUCCUAGUACAAAUUUAAGCUAAGCUCAAAUAAUAUGAAGAAAAACUAGGAUUGAGGUGCAUUAAAUGGAUAUGCAAGUUCUGAAAUAAGGUGCACCUGGAUAUGUAAGCUUUGAAAUAAGGUGCAUUAAAAAAACACUCCCCCAAGGUUUAAAUAUAAUCAAGAAAGAUUUUGGAAUGUUAAACUCUUUUAAACAAUGAAGAAUGAAACCAUUUUAUAAGAGAUGAAAGCCCAAACUAGCCAUAGGCACAGUUUGGGGGUUGAUUGGUUGAGCAUCGACUUGACUAGUUCACUAUCCAUUGUGCAUUAAUUGCAUAAGCAAUUGACCAUUGGGGUUCAAUGCUUCAACUAGGCCCUGAUCAAAACUCGGCUAGUCCUCGAUUGGUCUCAACUUGUUGAACACAUGCUACUAGAAAUCAAGGGUGCACAAAAUGCCCCUCGAUUGAUAAAGCCUAACUGGCUCAACCAAUUCCCUAGACCGUUGACCUAUCGCAUUGUGAAGUGCUCAAAUAAUCCGGUUUUGAGGUUUGGAACCUCUAACAACUUGUGUAAAGCAACUUAAAACCUUUAAAGUAAGUUUAUAAAGAAUUUGACUAAAGGUUUUCAUUAAAAACAUAAAAUCGUCCAAAUAUAAAAUAUUUUAAGGCAAUUUAACUCUUGGAUGAUUAUGGGUGCAUCAAUAAAAAUACAACAUAUAAUCCUAAUGUAUCAGCAACCUUACAAAAAGAUCCUAAGGAAUGAGUUUUCAUUGAUUUUCUCCUUGAGGUCUUCAUUUUCUUUUUGAAUUUCUUCUGACUUAUUUUAUCUUUAUGAUUACCAUUUAUAAAUCUUCUUGCCUAAACACAUUUAAGAUAAAAUAUUAGUUUCAAGCUUUAUUUUAUUAUCAUCAAAAUGGAGAUUAACCAAAUCUUGGUUUAACAUCUCCACUUUUUUUUGUUUUUUUUUUUAUGAUGACAAAAUCAAGGUUGCUAAUUUGCCCCUCCUCAAUAUAUGAUCCUUAAUUUUUAGAAAAUAUUUAAGUUUAAGAACUUUAAGGAGUAUAUUAAAAAUGUUAAAAAAAUAAAUAUACCCAAAUAUAAAUAACAUAAAGAGCAAUUAUGAAUAUGACAAGAUAAGACAUUAAAUAUGAUGCAUGCAUAAUUGACCAAUUAUGCACAUAACAUCAAUAAUUAAGAUUACGAAAUACAAGAUUGUCAUUUUAGUACAAUGAUAGCCUAAUAAUAAUAUUUCAUUGUAAUUACAUCCACUCAUAACUGGGGAGAAAAAUCAAUCAUAAUACCAACUCUUAAAAUUAGCAACCCUUAAUUUUUUUUUUUUUAAUUAUUAAGAGAAGACAUUUUGCUCCUAUUUUUCUCUAUAUGCUUGUGGGUGUUUGAAGCUAUCUUAGAUAUAUUUGUGGAUAGUAGAGAAGAAAUUCGUUAAGCAAAGUACAAGGAAAAUAAAAACAACUAUUGAAAUAGAAAGCUCCAAAAGUAUUGUUUUUAAUUAAAACGAUGUUAAUUUUUCUUUUUUAUUUUAUGGCAUAGAGUUUAGGUGUAAAUAAAAUAUUUUGAUUUAAAAAGAUUGCAUUUUGUACCCUAUCCAAUUCUUGCCAUGAGAUAUUGUUGAUAUCUUUACCAUGAUGAUCAAUUAAAUAAGAGGGUUAAUGCUUUAAUAUAUACUAUAGCACAAUGAAAUUGGACUUGAGAAUAACCAAUUUAUUUAAUUGUACAAAUAUAUAGGUCCUUGGUACAAACAAAUAAGAGCAUGAUGCAAAAGCAAUAGAACUUUGGUACAAAGCUAUAGGAAUAACCGUUCAAUUGUAUUGGUCCAAAUGCAUAAAGAAAUGGGUCCAAAAUAAAAGGUAAUAAGAUCAAAGAUACAAAGCAAUGGGACCAUAGUACAAACUAAUUGAACAAAUGAUUUAUAAUUCUAUCAUUGAGAGUGAAAUUAGGGAUAAUAGAAGAUGAGUGACUAAUUUAGGGGAGGAAUGAUCAAUUUAUAAAUUGGAAUGACUAAUUUCAUGAAGACAAUUAAUAGUUAAAGGAGCACAAUGUGCCUCAAAAGAGGGUGAAGGGAGGAGACAAUAGAGUUUUUCAUGUACCCUCUCUUUCCAUUGAUGGUGGAGUGAUUUUUCUCUCUAAAUUAGUGUGUCUAAUAUCAUUCAAUAAUGUAAGUGUGGUACCUCUUGCAUAUAGUUGUUAAAAAAUAAUUUUUUUUAAAAUUUAAUGUUGUUGUAUAAGCUAGAUGUUGAAGUUAAAAAUUAAGAACAAACCAGGGACAUGGUAGGACAAAUAAAAAAUGAGUCUUCACACUGUGAUUUGUUAGGGAACAUGGGAAAUACUGCUGAACCUUGAAACUCAAGUCACUUGCUUCACUAUUAAGAAAGAACUAAUGGAGCUAUUAAUUGAAGAUUCCUUUAACACAUGAAAGCAAGAUGCUUAGCUGUUGUUGGUUCAUUUUCAGGACUAAGACAAGGGUUGAUUUUGGGAAAAAACACAUUAAAGAGGGUUUCCACGGUUUUAAAAUUCUCCCUUUUAAGUCAGAAAGUUAAGCUUUCUUUAUUGGCUUGGAGGAUAGAGCAUUUUUAGAUCGAUAAGGUUAGAUAUUAAUUUGGUGUUAUAAUUUUAUGUAUUUUUACUUCAAUAAAAAUUGAUAUUGAAGUCAAUAUCACGAUUUCCAAAGAACAAUGUUGAUAUAUAUUAUGAAAGUUUACACUAAACAAAGCAUUUGCUUGCAUAAAUCAAAAAACGGUUUUUCCUAAAAUCAAUAUAGUUGGAAAGCAUGAUAUUACCGGCUCAAAUUCUAUAAACUUAAACUUUUAGAAAAUAUGAUUGUCCAAUAUGAUAUCACAAUCUCAUUUGAUAAGAGAUCAUGUGUUCAAACAUUACUACAAGGACAUUUAUUUGAUCAUAUUUAAGAGGUGUUAAAGACUAUAAUUUACAUUAUAGAUGUAAUGUAAAUUAUUCUCAUUCAAAGAAUUUUAUAUUCUUAGAGGUUACCUAAUUUAGGUUUUACUAAGGAUUGAAAUUUUGGAUUUUAUCGACGAUAUUUCGUAGAUAUAUCGAAUAUUGGACGACCUUGAAACGAUUUUGAGCACUGAUUAUCAAACGAGAGGAAUAUCGGGAAAAUGUUGGAAAUAUCGCCGAAAUAUCGGCGAUAUAUCGGUUUGGAACUAAUAAUCAAUAAUUAAAUCAGUUGUGGAGUGACGCGUAGAGCAAUGGGGAGAAAUGGAAAAAGUCGUUGAUAUAUUGUUGAUUUUUUCAAGCAUUUUUUUAAAAAAAUUUGAAAAUUCAUCCAACGGUCAAAUUUGAAUUUUUGAUGAUCCGAUGGCCUAUAUUUGACUCGUGUUUUUUUAAAGGCAUCCAAUAGUCAGAUUUGUGAUCCAAUGGUGGAAAAGCAAUAUUGACUUGAUCCAACGGUCAAAAUUAAUUUAUAACAGCUAUUUGACCAUCCAACAACUAGUUUGACCAAAAAAAAUCCUAUAAAUACCCACAAUCCAUUCUAUUUCAUACAUAAAAAUUUGAUCUUGUUCUAUUGCUCUAAAUUUUUAUUUUAUUUUAUCUCUAGCAAAAUUUUAAAAUUUUGAAAAUUUGAUGGUGAAGGGGAUUAACUCUAAGUUAAGGCUAAUUAAGGUAUACUUUACCUUUCACAAAAUUUAUUUUUAUUAUCCAUAAUUCAAUUUUAUUUUUUAUGUAUAGUUUAAUUGAUAUUAUCUAAUUUUAAAAUUUGUUAUAUUAACAUUAUAUUUCAUAUGGAAUGGAAAUUGAUUUGACAUCUAUGCAUAUUUAGUUUCAUUUUUUAAUAACUUUAAAAUUAAAUUUAAUUCAUAUGGAAAUUUAAUUGUAAUGUUUAUCUAUUUCAUGCAUAAUUCAAUUUUAAUUUUAAUUUUUAUUAGUAAUGAUUCUUAUCAAUUUCAUGAAUAUGGAAAUUUUAUUUAAUUUAGUUUAAUUUAAUUUAAAUUAAAUUAAAUUCAUAUGGAAAUUUAAUUGUAAUGCUUAUCUAUUUCAUAUAUGCAUAAUUAAAUUUUAAUUUCAAUGGACAUUACAUAUAUGCAUAAUUCAAUUUUAAUUUCAAUUUUUAUUAGUAAUGAUUCUUAUCAAUUUCAUGAAUAAUAUUAAUAUUAAAUUUCUUAGAUGUUUUAUCUUUAAUAAUUUUAAAUUUGAUAUUAGUUUUGUAUAGGAAUUUAAAAUACAUGUUUAGCAAAUGGCUAGUGGAAGUGGAAACGGUAUCAUGGGUCGAGAUCCUUAUUGGAAAUAUUGUACACUUAUGGAAGGGAACAAAAAUGGAACAGUAUGCAAUUACUGUGGGUUGACAAUAAAGAGUGGUGGGAUUACUCGUUUUACAUUUUACCUAUGUCAUACAGACCCUCAUUCAAAUACAAAAAAAGUGUUCUAAUGUGCCUCCAUAAGUGAAACAAGAAAUAGGACGACUUCUAAAGGUAAAAAAUGAGGCAAAAAUGAAGAAAACUACAAAGAUAGAAGAGAUCCAAGCUGAAGUGAGACACAAUAGGAGGAAUACAUAGACAUGUAACUGAUAAAAAGGAUGAGAAGAACCUUGAUGAUGAUGAUGAUGUGUAUAUGUAUUUGGUUGACAUGCACCCUGAUGAGCGGCAUGCUUAUAGAGCAACAGUUUGAGCAUCAAAAGCUAUUGAAUGGAAUCGACAACAAAAAGAACAUUUUGUAAGAGGCAAAAGAAAAACAAGUAUAAUAUUAAUUUGAAUUAUUACUAUUUCUUAUCAACUUCAUCAAUAAUAUUAAAUUAACAUAUAUGUUUAAUUUUAAUAAUUAUAAUAGGUGAGUCUUCACAUCCAACUAGUCCAACAAGGCAUAUACGAAGAUCGCAAAGUGUUCGAUAUUCAGAUCCAUCACCGCCUAGUGCACCCUCAUUGUACAAAUCUUUAGUAGCAAGACAGAAAAAUGCGAAAAAUCUUUUCAAAUGUGGUGCCAUCAAGGAAACCAUGGGAUGUUUGAUUAGUAAGUUCUUCAUAUAUGAUAGUGUUGCGCCUAAUAAAGCAGACUCUCACCACUUCAAGAACAUGAUUGUUGGUGUACAACAAACAGAUAAUUAGUAUAAUUUUAAAAGUUGUAUUUAUUUUAACAAUAUCAUUAUUAUUUAUGAAGUAUGAUUGCCACAAAUGUUCUUAUAUGCUUUAAUUAUAUAUGGAUUGUAGUUAUGGGUAUAGAACCACUGUCUCCUUAUGAAAUCAAACACAAGUACUUGGAUAUGGAGUACAAAGACAUGGAAGCUUAUGUUAAUAUUCAAAAAGAAAAAUGGAAGACUUAUGGAUGCAUGAUUAUGUGUGAUGAAUGGACUGGGUCCACAAAAUUAAGCAUAAUUAAUUUAAUGGUAUAUUCAAAAGGUAGCACAAUCUUCCUCAAAUAUAUUGAUGCAUCAAAUUAUAUAAAAUAUAACAAAUACAUAUAUGGUUUGUUAAAGGAUGUGAUCAAGGAAGUUGACAAACAAAAUGUGGUAUAAAUAGUGAUGGAUAAUGGGUCGGCAUUCGUGAAGGUGGGGAAGUUUUUAAUGAAGAAAUGCAAUCUUAAUUAGUCUUCGUGUGUAGCACAUUGCAUCGAUUUGAUGUUCGAAGACACCGAUAAAAGGUCGAGUAUUGCAAAUGUGAUUACAAAGGCUCGAAAGAUAACCAACUUCAUCUAUAAUCAUAGUUGGUUGCUUGUGCAAAAGCGCAAGGUGUGUGGUGGAGACAUAGUUCACCUUGGAGCAACAAGACUUGCAACCAAUUAUAUUGCCCUGGAUAGUCUUUUGAAAAAGAAGGUGGACUUGAAGAAAGUGUUUAUCAGUGAUAAAUGGGCACAACACAAGUUAAGUCGCAAAUUAAUCGGCAAAGAAGUUGAAAAACUUAUGUUCGACCAUGCGUACUAGGAGAGAGUGGGAAAGCUAGUGUCAAUCUAUGAGGCGCUAUACACAAUUCUUCGCAUUGUCGAUUUCAGAAGUUGCUCCUACAAUGCCAUUUGUGUAUGAAUUGAUUCAAGUUAUGAAAGAGAACCUCAUUCGACUUAAUGCUAAAGAAUGGGUGUUAGAAAUAAUUGCAUACCAUUAGGAUAUGACUCUUAAACAUCCUCUUCAUGUAACAAGUAACUAAGUAUUAUCCAUCUUUGAAAGUUAUUGGUAUUUAAUAUGUUUCUUUCAUAACAUUCUAAUUCUACAUAUCUAUUUUACUAUUGUAGCAUUCUUUCUUAAUCCAAGGUAUCAAUAUAAAUGUACUGAUCCUGGUCUACUUCAAGUUGUUCAUGAAGUCUUUGCGAAAUUAGAUCCUGCAACCAAAGGUCUUUGUCAAUUUAGAAAUUAGGUAAAUUAUUAGAGUUAUAAUAUAAAUUAAAAAUUUGAAUUUCAUUUACUCAAUUUUUGACUUUCAAUUAUUUAAUAUAUAUCUUAUACUAUUCUGAGAUGCAAAAAGAGAAUUUGGUGAUCGAGCAGCGAUUGCUUUGAGGUCAGAAAUGGUUCCCAAUGAGUAUUAUUUGUGAAUUAAUAAUACAUUUCAUUAGCAUAUUAUUGUAGCUUUCCAAUAUAAGUAUUGAUAUCAUUUAUUUGGUUGUAGCUGAAUGGUGGUUCAUGUAUGGAAACCACACUCCUACAUUAAGAAGGUUAGCCAUCAAGGUUUUAUUGCAAACUGCGUCAUCUUCAACUUAUGAGAGAAAUUAGAGCAAGUUUGCCUUAAUUCAUACAAAGCAAAGAAAUCGGCUUGCUUACCCGAGGUUCCAACUAUUAGUUUUCGGUUAUUAUAACAUGAAACUAAAGACCCGUGAUAUGAAGACAAAAAAUGACAAAGUUGCGGAGAACGAUUAACUCGAUUUACUUGACAUUAUAGCUAAGGUUGGUGAAGAAGAAGAUAACCAAUUGUUUUAAUGGGUUAGACCUUUUCAUUUAGAUGAUGAAGAUGGAAAUCUUGACCUACGAAUUGUCGCACAUGUCCGAGAAGCAGGUGUUGAUGUUGAACGGGUGUUAUUCGAAGAAGUUCAUACUAAUAGUUUCAUCCAAGACACGAGAGAUUCAUUUCUACAAGGAACUUCUCAAUUGGCAGUCACUUUUCGGCCUUCUUUUGACUCCACGAGCAUUGAACAUAGUAACAGAACUAAUGUUGCUGGUAUUUCCGCUUUCGGUUAUGAUGGUUCAAGAUGAGAGAGGACCAAUGAUGGUAGCGACCCUGGAAAUGAUGGAGGGGAUGCUAGACAACAACAAAAAAGUGGAGAACCAUUGGCAUUUAUUUGUGAAGAUGAUUUCACACAUUGUACUCAAGAUGAAGAUCACGACUCUAGAAGAGCUAGUCCAAUUGUUGGAGCCAUUGGAAAGCCAUAUAGAGGAAGACAACGAAGAAUGACGCCAUACAACGAGGACUCAUUGUUGGCCAAUUUUGAGUCAAUGAGUAUAGAGACUCAAUUCAGUGACUCGUCAAAUGAAGCCAACAUUUAUGCCCUUUAUGUAAUGAGUUAUGGUCAACCUCUUCCAAAUCUUUCAAAUUCCACUGAUGAAGAGUGUGAAAGGUAUAACUAUCCUUUUUUCCACACAAAUAUUGUACUACCUUCCAUAUCAGAUGCAACAACAAGGAUUUCAAAUGAGCACAUAGGAAAACCCUGGAUUUGGUGUCCAUGGACAGGUUGUGGGUAGGGCUCAACCUGUCUAUUGACUAUGAGUUGUAGGGAAUCCAUUCAUAUUAAAGUAUAAUUAAAUAUUAAAGUUAUAUGUUAUCUUCAUUGUGUUAUUGAUAAGAAUGAACACAAUUGCAUUUUCCAUUUGAACCGAUAAAAAUAUACAAGAACACUUAGUAAUUACCCAUGAAGUAACUAAAGUUCAAAAAAAGAAAAAGGUUUGAAAUCAAUCUCCUUGUGUAUAAUUAUAAAUUAUUUUCUAUAGAGGAUUUUGAAUCGAUUGUUGAAUAUUCACUAGGUUUAUGAAUAUUAUCAAUGGACUUCAAGCCUUAGAAAUGACCUACACCAAAAUGAAGAAAGUUAUGAAGAUUUUGAAGUAUCUACCAAAGAAAUAGGGGGCAAAGGUAAUGACAAAUCAAGAUCUUAUUAAGCUCUUUCUUAAAGAAUUCAUUAGGUCAAUUAUGACUCAUGAGAUAAACAUGAGAAAUCAUCAAUAAUCAAUAAGAAAAGAAGAAGAAUAAUAUUGCAUUCAAAGCUUUAAAAAGAAGGUUUUAUAGUUUCAUAUAUAUUAAAAACACAUGUCAAUUUAAUGAAAUAUAAUAUAUAUAUAUAUAUAUAUAUAUAUUAUUUACAAAAGAGUAUCAAUCCUUUUAUUAGUAUAACAUAUUUUUUUAGUAAUAUUUAUUUUAGAGAAAAAAAUUGUAAAUUCAUUUACAUAAAUAUUUCAAUACUUUUUUUUGUAUAUAUUUCAUUACAAACGAUUUUUUAUUUGAUAUAUAUAUAUAUAUAUAUAUAUAUAUAUAUAUAUAUAUAUAUAUAUAUAUAUAUAUAUAUAUAUAUUUUAUUUACAAAAGAGUAUCAAUCCUUUUAUUAGGAAAAAUAUUUUUAUUAGUAUAAAAGAUUUUUUUAUAAUAUUUAUUUUAGAGAAAAAAAAUUGUAAAUUCAUUUACAUAAAUAUUUCAAUCCUUUUUUUUGUAUAUAUUUCAUUAAAAAUGAUUUUUAUUUGAUUUUAUUAUAAUAGAUUUAUUGCAAAUUGAUUUUAUCUUUAUUUAGUUUAAGAAGAAGUCUCCCAAGUUUGUUACAAAGAUUCUUGCAAUUUAGUUCUAAAAAGGUUAUUUCUACUUUAUAAAAAAAAAAAAAAACUUCAAAUUUAUUAUUUUAAAAAAAGGCUUCAAAUUUAUUUCAAGAAAACAUUAGGAAAAAUUUUGUCCUUAUUUUAUUUUUAAAAAAAUCUAGUUUAUUUAAAAGAUCAUAUCUCACUUAUUUUAAAAGCAAAAUGAUUUUUUAAUUUAUUUCUUUUAAAAGGUUUCAUAAUUUUAUUUUUAUUUUUUUUAAAAUGUUUAAAUUUUUUUUUAAGAGAAAAAGGGUUCAUAUUUAUUUUUAAAAAGGUUUGGGAUUUAUUUUUGAAAAGAAAGAAAGGGUUUCAUAUCUUAUUUUAUUUACUUACUUAGUGACUCAAAAAUAAAAACAACUAAAACUAUCCAAUAUACAAAACUAAAUAAAAUAUAUAGAAUGGAUAAAUAUAAAGGGAAAAAAAACAAUAAACUAUAACCAUUUAAAUGAAGUAUAUUUAAAAAAAUGAGAUCGAUUCUUUCAAAGAUAGAAACUCAUAUUCUGUCAUGCAUUUUAUCAUCAAAAAAGGUUUUUAAUCUUAAGCUUUCAAAUGGAACCAAUAUGAGCUAUUAAAGGUCACUUGUGCAUCAGGUUCCAAUGUUUAUUGUAUGUUUGAUUUGUGGUUGACUAAAGUGGUCAACCAAUUGACCUAAAUAGUUGAUCGAUUUAGGGGAAUUUUCUUAAAUGAUUGGCAAAAAGCUUUCAAUUGAAGGAGAGCCUUGAUCGGUCAAACCAGAGACUUGAUCCAUUGACUCAAUGCUACAUUAAUUAUCAUCUUCUACUACCCAAUAGCUUGUAAACAUUGGUUGAGCCUUAUUGUGUUUAAUAGUUAGGUUGAGCUUCUAUCUCCUAUAUAAAGUUCUAUUCUUCAUUUUCAAUUAUCUAUAGAGCCUUAGAAAAGAAUUUUGAGUGUGCUAAGUUUAAACUUUAAUUUCAUUCUUAGUAUACCUUAUCAAUCAUACUUUAUACUAUAUCCAAUGAGCAAAAUUAUAAAUAAUGAGUUUUAAGCUUUGUAAACUCAAUCUUGUAACCUUGUGAGGGUAGACUCAAAUGUGUGGUAUCACUUAUGGGAAAAUUCAAGUAUGAGACAUCACUUGAUAGUUUUCCAAGUGUGGGGUAUCACGUGGAGAGUCCAAGAGUGAGACACCUCUUGAUAAUUGUUGAACAUCACUUGAAACCAAGAAUCUAAAUUUUCAAAUAGAUGAUGUUUGGUUUGAAGCUUUAAAUAUAGUGAAAUCUGAGUUUGGAAUUGAAAUGAGAGGAUAGUGGAUGUAGAUUGGGUUGAGUUCGAGGUCGAAUCAUUACAAAAAUCUUGAGCUAGUAUUCCCUUCUUUAUAUAUAUAUAUAUAUAUAUAUAUUAGUGUCUAGAUAAUUGCUCAUAACAGUUUAAUUUGUUAUUUGCAUUCAUUUUGUAAAAAUUGUUAAAUUAAUAGAAAUAAAAAUGAUAAAUGUUUAUUGUAUUUUUAUUUGCAAUAAGUUGUUUCAUCUAUUAUGAUUAAACAAUAAUUAAUGUGUAAUAAUUAGUAUUUUAUUUUUUAAUAAAUUAAUAUUUUAUAGAUAAUCAUAAUUAUUUCAUUAAUAAUGGUUCAAAAUCAAUAUUGUAUUUAUAAUAGUGAAAAUAUUAGUCAUAAUCUAAUUGUUUCCAUUUAUAGCAUUUAUUUAUUUUUUUCAGUUUUUUUUUUUAAUUUUAAAUUUCAAGGCAUUCUUUGAAGUUUAUAUGAAGGAUAGUUUAAAAUUUUCAAAUAAUUUCUCAAUAGUACUUUAAUAUUAAAAUGAGCCCUUAAAUUAAAAAAAAAAAAAAAAAAAAAGGUUUUGCCCAACAACAAUCCCAUGCAUGAAAAUUCUUAAGAUUCCAAAUAAGAAAAGAGAGAAGGGAAACCUGAACAAGGAAGAACACGACUCCAAUGGGGAUCAAACCCAGAGUCUCUGGUUUCGUAGACUAACGCCUUAUCCAUUUGGCCAUGGAGUCCUGAUACUUAAUACAGAGGUUAGGCAUAAUCCACAUUCUCACUCUAAUUGAUUUUUUUUUUUCCUUCAGCCACUUAUGGCUUAUUUGAAAGACAUCCUUCCUUUUAUUUCUUUUCUAUUUUUAUUUUUGUUUGAGUAGUUGACAACUUUAAUUUAUUAACGUUCAUCUUUUUAAUUUCAUGUGUUUAUAAAUAAAUUGAGAUGGAUCAUUUUUAUUAACUUCUUGUAAUGUAAAAAUGGGUUGGUUGUUGCUUAUUUUCAUAUUUGUAUUUUCUUUUCAUUUUUGGAUACUCAAGAGGAAUUUUAUAUUGCUUUUUUAUUUGAAAUUAAUUUAAUACAUAGGAAAAAAGUUGGGUUAUGUUUUAAGAUUCGAGUUCAAAUAUAUAUUGAUUAAUCGUCGAAUCAUAUUUAAUUAUUAUAUAAAUAAAAUAAUUAACUUGCAAGAUGUGAUUGGAUUAAUAUGUGCAUGGAUAAAAAAGUAAUUAAUUUUUACAUAAUUAAAAGCUUUUACUAGAAAGAUGGAAAAAAUAUAAAAAUAUAUGGGUUGUUUAGAGGGAUGACAAUGGGUAGGUUUUUCUUUGAGUACCUAUAAUGACCUGCACCCAACCAUGUAAAUAUUGUCUACUCUAGACCCAAAGGGGCUCUCAUGACUUUAAAACACGUCUACAGGUUAAGGGGAGUUCAUACUUAUAUAACGUCAGAAACUUUUCCCCUAUUCAAUGUGGGAUGCCACAGACACCCCUAUGAAGACAUAACAUUCUCGUUGUAUCCUACAAGAUUGCGGGGCCAAACAAACCCUUACACUGGGGUCGAGGAUCAGUUCUGAUAUCAUUCUAUAACGACUUGCACCCAACCGUGUAGAUAUUGUUCGCUCUGGACCCAAGGGGGCCCUUACGGCUUCAAAAUACGUUUACAGGGUUAAGAGAAGUUCAUACUUAUACAACGUCAGAAAAUUUUCCCCUAUUUGAUGUGGGAUGUCACAGUACCCACCUCAUCGGGAAUGUAAUAGGAUAGGUAUGGGAGGAUUGAGGAGUAUAAAUGGGUCAUGAUUAGGUUUUGAAAAUUUUUAAAAAACUUUAGGUAAGGUUUGGGGCAAGUUCAACUAUUGUCUUAGCCCAUCCCACCUUGAUUAUGAAUAUAAUUGAAUAAGAAUGAUUUAAUUUAAUUUAUUUUUAUUUUUCUUUUUUAUACUUAUAAAAUAAAAAAUUAAUUUUUUAAAAAUAAAAUUUUAUAAUAUUCAUUUAUUUGUAAAUUAUAUUUCUCAUUAAUAUAUUUAUUUUUUUAGAAAAUAAGCAAUUGAAAAAAAAAUAAAAUAUAUCAAAUAGGGAAGGGAGGGUAUGAGAAAUUCCCAUACCCAUUUAAAGUGUUUUUAUUUAUUUAUUUUUGGAUGGUUAUAAGAAUAAGUGUAAAUAAUUGACCUACAGUCAAGACAAAAGUGACCUAUCCUAAACUCAUUUUAUUGUCAUCUUUGGUUGCAAACUUUUUUUUCUCAACAUGGUAAAGAGUGGAGAUAAGAUUUAUUUAUUUAUUCAUUUUAACAAAAGUCUACUUAUAUUACUCUUAAAUCUUCAAAUAAUCAUACAAAUCACUUAUGAUAUUUUAAAACAGGGUAACACCCUUUCAUAUUUAUUUUUCUAAAACCUUUUCUUCUAUACAACACUGUAAAAAUUUAACUUAAAAUAUUAUUAUGUCCACAUACAAUUAUUUAAUGAUGAAUUAUCAAGAGAAAGGUCAUUAGUGAUACUAAUAAAUCAAAGAAAAAAAAUGAAACAUGUGUUUACUUUUCUCCUUUCUUUUAUUGGAUGGAAGAAAUACUUAUAAUAUUUUGUAGAAAAAGAGUUAGAAGAAGGAGAACAUAGAAUGCUCAAAGAAAAAUAUUGUCUUAUUUCAUUAGCGCUAGUUAAAAUUUUUCAAUAUUUAUUUGCCCAUUUCUCCUAUUCCACAACUUCUUUGCUAAACUAAAAACUAUCCCAAUGAAGAACUACACCUUCGGGCUGAGAGGUGGGAUGUGGGGAGUGGGUGGGUUGGGUGAAUAGGUGAUUUUAUAAAAAUUCAAAAGGUUCUUCCUUUCUUCCCACAACCAUUCAACAAAGGAUAAAAAUCACAAGCAAGCAUGAAUGCAACAAUACUCUCCUAAUAAUUUAUAGAUGCAAGUCAUGUGCAAAUGCUUCAAUACUCCCCAAUUACAUUAAUUCAUAAGAAUAAUUAUUUCCCUAAUACAUUUUGAAUUACCCUUUGAUACCAUUAACAAUAUGAACAAAAAAUUUAUUGAAGAAUAUCCAAAAGGUAAUCACACCAAUUUUAGCUCAUAUUUUAUCAUUUCAACAUACAUGCUGUAAAAAAUAAUAUCUAACACUGGAAAUAAAUCAAAGAGUAGAAUGAAAGUAAGAGAGAUAAUGACACCAAAUUUUACAUGAAAAAUCUCCUUAGAGAUCAAAACUAUGAACCUACCAACGAUAAAGAAUUCCUCUAUGACGAACAACCAAUUUGUACAAGGUUUUACUUAACUUAAGCCUGCUAAUCCUUCAUAGACUACAUAACCAACACCUUCUCACUUUAGCUGCAUGCGUUCAUCUUCCAUAAUAUACUUGGAGUCCUCACCAAGUUUGAUCUUGAUCUCUUCUUGAAGUUCAAUCAAGAAGAAAAUGAGUUUUCACCCAAAACCUAAAUAGAUAGGAAAUUGAAAGAUGAAUGGAAUAGAAGAAUCAACCCUUUUUUUUUUUUUAAGGAAAUCUAUUGGAAUAUAGUUUGGAAAUCAAGAUGAAAAAGGGAAUUUUUGACAACCAAACACCCUUAACUAGAUAAGGAUAGAGAGAGCUCAAGAGAGAAGGAGAAUGGUUGCAGAUAUCUAUUCCCCAAAAUAGGAAGGAAUUUUAGGUUUUAAAUGGAAAGAAGCCCUUGAUCCAAUGGUUAAGAAAAAAAAAACCUAAAUCGAUUUGACCAAAACCUGGAUCAAUUUUGGAACAUGACAUUUAAACACCUAGACAAAAAUAGUUGUCCUGGCUUCCUUAACUCUUUUUAGAAACAAAUAGUUCUAGAAGAAACACUUUGAAAAACUUUGGUUGAUUCCAUCUCAUCCAUCUACAACCUCAACUAUAUACCUUAGUCCCUUAGUAAAUUCAAUAUCUUGAUCUUCAUUAGGCUAGUAGUCCGAGGAAGGAUUUGGAAAAACUAAGUUAAAUACUUAGGAAAUUUGUCUGGAAUUACUAAUCUAGCUAAACACUCAUAAAAACAUAAAUACUUGUAUUACUUUAUCAUAAAGUUUCCCUUAUUGUUUUUGGGUCUUUGCAAAAUCAUCAAAUAAGAACAAGUGAGAACAAUGUGCUCUCCAUAUGUCUUUUAAGUGUUUUUUUUUUAUUCUAACCAAUGGAAACCACAAUUCCCAACAAAGCCUUUAUAUUCCUCACAAUGCUCUCCAUGGAUAGUUUAUGCUAUCAUGAAGAAAUAAUUCGGAUAUUGAUGAGUACAAGAAGCAACACAUCGCUUAUCACAACUUUUAACCUCUACAAAGAUGAACAUGACAUUUCCAUCACUAAGUUACAAAUGAUAGCAAUCACUUCAUCUUCUUUAACUGAAGCACAAUUUUUUUGGUAGUUGAGUUUGAAUUUCUAGUAGGGUUUUUGCAUUGAAUCAACUUCAAGGAAGCAUUAGUAGAUCUUUAAUUAGAUUUACAAAAGUAGUACUUGUGUGCAACAUUCCAACUAGUCCUUUCUACAUAUUGUUAAUGAGUAAAAAAAAUGCAUGCAAUUCAUAUUUGAGUCUAUCUAUUUUCAUGAAAACUUGAGGAACUUCCAAUCCAUAGGCACUUGAUGCCUGCAUUGCAUGAAACCUUUUGUUGCAUCAAAAACCCUAAAAAAUAAUUUGCAAAUUGAAAUUUCGAUAGCUAGUACUAGUAGAAACUAAUGAUUUCAAGAACCCAAUCAAAUUAUGUUAUUUACAUAUUUCACAACAAAAAGAGUAAAUUUGAUCAAGAUAUACUUUGUGUGAUUGCUAUGAGACUUGAGAAGGACUAGAAGGUGAUCAAAGAGCUAUUCUACAAGAGGAACAAUGUCUCUCUUGAUGAUGUGGUAGUCAAGACACUUCAAACAUUACAAGGAUGGUAUAAAUAGGUUUUUUUUUUUUUUUUUUUUGCAUGCUUGUUAAUGUAUGAAUUGAAGCAAUUAAGGCUAGAUUAGUUGGAUUGACAUCAACUUUAGAGCUUGAGUUGAUUUGAGAUAUCACUCAAUUAGAUUGAUUAAUGUACAACCUAAACUUGAUUAAUGUACAUCUUCAAUCUUCUUGGUUAGAGGAGUUCCAUAUUGCUUAUUAUAUUCCUCAGCAAUGUCCUUUAUAUCAACAUUGGCUCGGGUUACAAUAACUCGAGUUAGGGCUUCUUUUUAAUCCUCAUUUGCGUUAACUUUCAUUGCCGAAUCUAAAAUCUAAGAUUAAAAAAAAAAAUAGUCCAAGAAAUGCUUCAACAAAAAAAAAAAAGAUUAUUUUUUUAAUGUGUUAUAGUGAAUUUAUCUCACCUUACUGAAAUACAUCAGAUGAGCAUACAAGCAAUAAAUUGUGUUCUUCAAACUUGUCUCAUCAAGAUCCUAAACAAUGAGGAAUUAUAUUAAAAUGAAUAUUUUUGAAAGCUAAUUCAAGGAAAAAUGAGUUCUAAUAAAUAUUAAAAUGAAAAGAAUUGUUCAAAGUAACACAUGAAUGAGAAUUGUUUUUUUUUUUUAAAGAAUUUAUAAAAAAGACUGGAGUUUAAAAACAAUAUAAUGAAUAAGAAUAAAAAUAGAGUAAAAAAAAGGCACAUGAGUGGACCACACAAAUAAUGUUCCAUGAUUCAAAACAAUAUGUUUUUCCUUAUAAUUUGUAUGUCCAUAAUUUUACAUGUUAAACUAUUAGCAAAGUAUAUAUUUCAAUUUUAUUACUUCUUAGAAUGUAUUUGGCAUGUGAAAAUAAAGAUAAAUCAUAACAUCACGUAAAAGAGAAAAAAUUAAAAUCUAAAAAACAAAAAAAAAAAAAAUUUGUAUCCACAAGAUUGAAAUUUUAAUUUCAUUCUUAUAUUUAAUAAGUAAUUUGGACUUAGAAGAAAUAAAUAGGAAAUGGAAUAGGUUCUUUUUAUUCCUAUACCCAUUUUCUAUUCUAGUGUUUCAAAUAUGUAAAGUGAUAAUAGUAGAGGAAAAGGGAAGAGAAGGAAAUACAAGGAAGAGGAAAAAGGAGCAAAGAAAGAGAAAAAAAAGAACAUAAAAUAACAAAGAAGGAUAACAAAUACUAACUUUUAAGUUAAAUACUAAUUACCUUUCAUUUUUUUUUCUUUUUCACUUUAUUCAUUUAUUAUUGUUUAAGUAAUGAAUAAAAAGUCCAUUUGAUAUGGAGGAAUUAAAAUACGAUAGGAAUGUUGGAUGAUGUGUAUUAUGUAAAAAAAAAAAAAUAAUUUUUUUAUAAUAAUAUAUAUACUUAAAGAAAAAUUGUGUUUUCACACAUUCACUCAUGUAAAAAUAAGGAAAAAGUGUGUUUUCAUAUACUUGCGUAAAAAUAAUUACAAAAUAGGAACUUUGUAAAAAUAAUUCAAGUUUUAUGCACUCAUCUAGUUGAAUAUAGUAUCUAUAUCAUUAAAAUAUAGUAUUUGAAUGAUCAAAAUUGUAAUUUGAGCAAAAAGUGCAUGAAAUGCUAAUUAUUUUUAGAUAACUACUUGAAAUUUGUAUUUUAUAAACUUGAGUUUCCAUUUGGUGGUUUUUUCAUAUAAAUGUAGGGAAACACAUUUUUUUUUUUUACUUCUCAUUUCCAUUUUUGAAAUAAUUCAAAUAUAAUAAUGAUUGGAAAAUAGAAUAGAUUUCCUAUUCCUAUUUCACAUUCUAAUGUUUCAAACAGGCCAUAAGAAUUAACAAAUAUAAUAUCAUGAUUAUGUUAUACCUCUUCAAUUUUCUUGUUAAAAGUCUCCUAGUAACAUUUGAAGACGACCUUGAGCUGAGGUUUGCUUCUUGUUGCUAGAAUCCUUACAAUCUCUUCAUCUUUGAAUAGCUUCUUCUUAUAACCUUAUCUAUUAAUGGUUAUACCAAGUUUUACAGCCUCUGAUCUAACUGCCACAUCACUAAUUUGUGAUCCUUCAUAUCUGUACGUACUUACAAGUGCUACCAAAAGCUGUUGAUACAAGAAGCAAUUUUUCAUUACAUUAUUUCAUGUUGAUAAUAAUAUUUGUUACAUGGUUUCUUUAUGUGGUUAUGAGUUUUUAGUUAUCAUUAGAGAGAAUGUGUUUGAUUAAAGCUCUCCAAAAUCAAAGAUGUGGGAGGGAAAGAACUAUGUUUGGUUGGUGGGCAAAAUGGGCUUUCAAGUUUCAAAUUACGACAUACAAUGGGCUAGGUUCAGUCAAGAACAGUGUUUGUCUUUUUAGCUUUUUAUUGAAAGCAAUUUGCUUUUGGACUUUAAGUUGUUUGUUUUUCUACUUUUCAUGACUUAUUAUAAAUUUUUGGUUGAAUAGAAAAAACUAAAAUAUUUGGUUGAAUAGAAAAAAUCAAAAUAUUUGGCUUUUUCUAAAUGGAUAAAGUACCAUGUUGUUUUUCUUUACCUUUUAAUGCUUAAUAUAAAUAAAAUAUUAAAAAAACAAACAACCUAAUACUUAACAAUAUUAAGCACUAUUUAGUUUUAAUUUCUAUUUAAAAUUAAGUAAGAAAACAAACACCACCUUAUGCUUUUUGGCCCAUAAAUGAACUUCAAAUUGGAUCCAAAAUAUGAUAAAGCUUGAAGUCCAAUUUAUUAUGGUUGGGUUUAGGGGUUGUACAGAUUAUUGGAUGGAGUUUUUGAAGUGUUGGACCAAACUAAAAUGAAAUCUCAACUAUUGAGUUGAUAUUUGAUGAUAUUGAUAGAUAAUUAAACUAAGAGCCCGUUUGACAAUGAUUUUAGGAAGUGUUUCUAACAUUUUUAAUGCUUAAAAAUGUAUAUCAUUCAAGUGUUAGAAAGACUAGAAACAUUUUAUAAAAUUACUAUCAAACGCACUCUAAAAGUAUGUUUGACAAUAGUUCUAGAAAGUGCUUUUAACUUAAAAAGUGUUUUUGAAAAAAAUUAGAUGUUUAGUAAAAUUUAGGAAACACUUCUAAAAAUAUGAAAAACCACUUGUAGUAUUGAAAAGUCACUUAUAGUAUUUUUUGGAGAAACACUUGAUAAAUGGUUUUUGUAAAAAUAUUUCUAAAGAAAACACUUCCAUUAAAAAUACUUUAAGUUGCCAAACGCACUUUAAGAGUGUAUUUGACAGUGUUUCUUCUUGAAGUGUUUUUAGCCUAAAAAGAGUUUUUGAAAAAAAUUGGAUGUUUGGUAAAAUUUAGGAAACACUUCUAAAAAUAUGAAAACUCACUUAUUGUAUUGAAAAGUCACUUAUAGUAUUUUUUUGGAGAAACACUUGAUAAAUGAUUUUUUUUAAAAAAAAAAUUGAAGUGUUUUCUACAUUUUUCCAAACAGUUGAUUUUUCUUCAAAAACAGAUUUCUUUUUUCUUUUUUAUACUAAAAGUGCUUUCUAGAAAUACUAUCAAUCGGACUCUUAAAUUACCUUUCAAAUAUGACCAAGUUGCUUUCUAAAUAUGAUCAUCUUACAUAAUUAUGACCACAGUAAUUCUUGAUUGGUUCAUUAACAUGAUUAUAUAUAUUACCUCUCACAGUAUCCUAACCAACACUGCACCAUAUAAAACUCCAUUAUUGAGAAAAGACACAAUUAUAGGACUUUCUAGAAGUCCAACUAAUGGGGACAAAAAAAAAGUUCGAAACUCCAAUUGGAGAAGAGUAGGCUCAAAAGAUCAUUUUCAAUUGCAUACUUUAUGGAGAAAAUAUAUGUUAGAAAGAUAGACGAAAGCCAUCUUUUUAAGAAAUAAUUAGUCAAAAUGCUUCAAUAAAUUAAUAAGAUAGAAAUGCUCUUUACUUGAUUAAAAAUUGCAUAAUAUCUCACUAAUCUAAGUCAAUUUUUAUUUUCAAAUAAAACAACUAAAAAUAAUGCUCAUACACUUCAAAUAUAGUUUGAUGCAAAAAAGAAAAAAAGAAAAAAGAACGUAACUAAAAUUAGUACUAACCUGGCGUUUGAUGCCUUCAACUCGGGAAGCAACAUCUUCCUCGAUGGAUUCACCGUAGAGGGACUGGUAUGCUUUCCUAGCUCCCAAGAGCCCGUCUGAUGAUUUGAUGCAUGCAAGUUCAAUGAGUAAGCCAUAUGCUUGAGGGUGUCUGUCCAAAGCCUUCCUUGCCAUGCGAGCAUCUCUUUCCCAAGGAUGCAUGGUCCAUUGCACCACAACAUCCUGACCACAAAAAUGUUAAAAAACUAAUCAUAUUAUUGUAAAAACCAAUAUUUAAGUCAUCAUUUGUCUCCUUGUCUUUUCUAAUUGGCUUGUAAUUUUUGUUUUCUCAUAAGAAUUAAUUUUUUUUAAAAAUAAAAUAAUGUAUAAAUAUCUUUAAUUUUAUGUUUCGCAUAAAUACCUAAUUUUAUAUUGGACAUAUAAUACCUGAAAACGCAGAAAUUCCUUUACUAGAAAUGCAAUAUCAUAAUCUUGGCAUCUCUCAAACAAGAAGUAUUUAUCCUUAAGAAAGAUGGAAGAACUUUCAUUCCUAAAAGUUGUCAAGACUUUUGGACGCCAUUUUACUAAGAUCUCCAUCAUUGAUUUCUCGUUAACUCCAAGUAUUCCUAGAAAGGUAAAUCAAGAUUAUUUCAACCUUCUAAUCAAUAUUAAUAAUGAAAGAACAAAGAAACAAUUUGAAAUCAUAUGGGACAUGAGAUCACAUGAAAUCAUCCAUAUUGUCACAAAUUUUCACUAGAAUUAUUAAAAAAAUAACAUACCACAAUAAGUACAACUAGAGUAAACAAUUUGAAUGUAAAAGAAUGCAGUUGUUUGUGAUUUAGAAAAAAUAAAGUCAAGGGAGAAGGAGAAAGAACCAGAGAAAGCCUUUGUGAGAGUGCGGCUCUCAUUUGGCAAAGACAUAAUUUUUCUCCCUUCUUCGCUUGUUUUCUUUUUCCUUCUUUUGAUGGAGGCAACAAGAAUGGUGGCCUUCUUUACCUCCAUCAUGGAAUUAAUUUUAUAAGUAAGCUAAGGGGUAUUUAGGGUAAGUAAGAAGACUAAAAAAUGGAAUGACUUGUGGGAGGGGGGAAAUGUCUUAAUUGCAUGUCAACAUCAUAGUGUACUUGCUUAAGUUAUUUUUGAAGUUUUAUCCAUUUUAAGACUUGAAUAUUUUCAAUUUGAUUUUGAGUCAGACUUGAGAGUGAUUUUAGCUACUACAACUAUUUUUAUAGAGAAUUAUUUAGUGUCUAUGUAAAUAAAAAGGCAAUAAUUUUGAUAGUAUUCCUAGUAAUAUCAAUUUUUUAGAAGAAGCAUUUACCAAUAGGACUAGUUUAAGAAUCAUUUCAAGAGAUUCUUAAAAAAAAUUUAAGUAAUUUUUAAAAUUUUAUCAAAUGCCUAAUUUUAAUAAAAUUUCCAAAAUCGUUCAUUUUUUUUCCAUUAAAUAAAGUGAUUUAAAAUUUUUAUUAAAUAUCUAUUUUUUUAAAUUUUCAAAAUCACUCUUAAACACCCUCUCAUAAUCAAUUUUCUAAAACCUUUUCUUCUACACAUUAUUGUAAAAAUUUAACUUAAAAUAUUAUCAUGUCCCCAUACAAUUAUUUAAUGAGGAAUUAUCAAGAGAAAGGUCAUUAAUGACAUUAAUAAAUUAUAGAAAAAAAGAUGAAACAUGUGUUUCAUUUUCUACUUUCUUUUAUUGGAUGGAAAAAAUGCUCAAAAUAUUUUAUAGAAAGGGAGUUGGAAGGAGAACAUGGAAUGCACAAAGAAAAAUAUUAUUUUAUUUUAUCAACAUUAGUCCAUUUUGUCUAUUUCAUGACUUCUUUGCUGAAUUAAAAAUCGAAGGUGAAUCUUAAUGAUGAACUACACCUAGAGAGAAAAGGGGGGGGGGGGGGGGGGGGGGGGGGAAAAGGGGAUUUUAAAAAACCCUUUUGAAUCUAAAAAAAAACCCUUUUUUGCCCCCCCCAAGCCCCCGGACCCCCAAAAAAAAAAAAAAAUUCCCUUGGAACGGCCCAAAUUUUAUUUCUUUUUUUUUAAAAAAAUUUUUUUUUAUUUUUUUUUUUUUAAAACCAUUUCAAAAAAGGAAAAAAAAAAUCCAAGGAAAAAAGGAAGGGAAAAAACCCCCCCCAAAGGUUUAAAAAAAAAAGUCCAAGGGAAAGGGUUUAAACCCCCUAAAUAAAUUAAAUUAAAAAAAAAAAAAUUUUCCCAAAGGGUUUUCCAAUACCCCCUGGGAAUUAUAAAAAAAAGAAAAAAAAAAUUUUUCAAAAAAUUCCAAAAGGGAAUUCCCCCCUUUUCGCCCCAAAUUUUCCCCUUUCAAAAAAAAGGUUUAAAAAAAAAAGGAAUUUAAAAUUGGGAAGGGAUUCAAAUGUUGAAAGGGGGGCAAAAAAAACAUGGCCCCAGAUUUUUUGGGGGAAAAUCCCCUUAAAAUUAAAAAANNNNNNNNNNNNNNNNNNNNNNNNNNNNNNNNNNNNNNNNNNNNNNNNNNNNNNNNNNNNNNNNNNNNNNNNNNNNNNNNNNNNNNNNNNNNNNNNNNNNGGGGGGGGGGGGGAGUGAAUAGGUGAUUUUAUAAAUACCUUUUGAAUCUAUAUAAAAUCACUUAUUUGCCCCUCCCAAGUCCCCUGAUCCCCUAACAUAUAUUAACAUUCCCUUUGAAUCGUCACAAUUUAUAUUCCUUUCUUUUAACAACUAUUUAUUUAUAUUCAUUUCUUUUAACAACUAUUCAACAAAGGAUAAAGAAUAUCACAAGCAAGAAUGAAUGCAAUAAUACCCUCCCAACAGUUUAUAAAUACAAGUCACAUGCAAAUGCUUUAACACUCCUUAAUUACAUUAAUUCAUAAGAACAAUUAUCUUCCUAAUGCAUUUCCAAUUACCUCUUGAUAUUAUUAACAAUAUGAAUAAAAAAUUAUUCAAGAAUAUCCAAAAGGUAAUUACACCCAUUUCAGCUCAGAUUUCAUCCUUUCAACAUACAUGCUUAAGUAACAAAUGAUAUCUAACAUUGGAAAGGAAUCAAAUAGUAGAAUGAGAGCAAAAAAGACAAUGACACAAGAUUUUAUGUGGAAAAUCUCCUUAGAUAUUAAAAAAACUAUGAAUCUACCAAUGAUAAAAAAAUUCCUCUAUCAAGAGUAACCAAUGCGUAGAAGGUUUUACUUAACUCAAGUUUGCUAAUCUUUCACGGAUUGCUUAACCAACACCUUCUCACUUCAGCUGCAUGCCUUCAUCUUUUAGAACAUUCUUGAAGUCCUCACCAAGCUUGACCUCGACUUCUUCAAGUUCAAUCAAGAAGAAAAUGAGUUUUCAUCCAAAACCUAAAUAAAUAGUAAUUGAAAGAUGAAUAGAAUAGAAGAAGAAAAUGAGUUUUCAGCCAAAACCUAAAUAAAUAGGAAAUUGAAAGAUGAAUGGAAUAGAAGAAUCAACCCAUUUUUUAAGAAAAUCUGAUGGAAAACAAUUUGGAAAUCAAGAUCAAAAAGAGAAUUUUCUUAACAACUUAACACGCUUAAUUAGAUAAGGAUAGAGAGAGCUCAAGAGGGAAGGAGAACGGCUGCAGGUAUCUCCUCCCAAAAUAGGAAUCAAUUUUAGGUUUGAAAUGGAAUGAAACCCUUGAUCCAAUGGUUAAGAAAACAUAAAGAAAAAAGCAACCUGAAUCGACCUGACCAAAAUCUAAAUCCAUAUUGAAACAAGGCGUUUAAACACUUAGACAAGAAAAGUUGUCCUGACCUCCUCAACUCUUUUAAGAAAUAAAUAGUUCUAGAAUAACUAAUUGAAAAACUUGGUUGAUUCAUUUCGUCCAUCUACAACCUCAACUACAUCUUUUGGUCCCUUAGCAAAUUCAACAUUUUGAUCUUCAUUAGGCAAGUAGUCCAAAGAAGGAUUUGGAAAAAUUGAGUUAAGAGACAGUUAGGAAAUUUGUCCAAAAUUAUCAACCUAACUAAACACUCACAAAAACAUAAAUACUUGUAUUACUUUAUCAUAAAGUUUCCCCUAUUGUUUUUAGGUCUAGAAAAAUCAUCAAACAAUUUCUGGACAAGGUGUAACUAGAUGUUGCCAAUGCCAAUGGAGUUGUGCUUGUAGAGAUGAGUCUCAAGUAGAGAUGGAGCAUUGCUAAAGAACAAGUGAGAAUGAUGUGCUCUCCAUAUGUCUUCUAAGUGUUUUUUAUCUUUAAAUAUGUUCUCUGAAAACACAGUUUUGAGAAGACAUAGAACAACAUUGUUUUUUAAAUCACCAUUUGUCAAACAUGUUUUUAAGUGUUUUUUAUUCUAAAGAAUGAAAACCACACUUUCCAACAUAGCCUUUAUAUUCCUCACAAUGCUUUCCAUGGAUAGUUUAUGCUAUCAUGAAGAAAUAAUUUGGAUAUUGAUGAGUACAAGAAGCAACACAUCGCUUAUCACAACUUCCAACCUUUACAAAGAUGAACAUAGCGCUUCCAUCACUAAGGUGUGGAUGAUGGAAAUUACUCCAUCUUCUUUAACUGAACCACAAUUUUUUUUUUUUUUUUUUGGUAGCUGAGUUAGAAUUUCUAGUAGGGUUUUUGCAUUGAAGCAACUUCAAGGAAGUAAUAGAUCUUUAAUUGGAUUUAUGGAAGUAGUACUUGUGUGCAACAUUCCAACUAGUCCUUUCUACACAUUGUUAAUUAGUAAAAAGUGCAUGCAAUUCAUCAAUGACUCUUUGCCUAUUUUCAGGAACUUCAUCAGGGACUUCCAAUCUAUAGGCACUUGAUACCUACAUUGCAUGCAACCAUUUGGUGCAUCAAAAACCCUAAAAAAUACUUUGCAAAGGUGAAAUUUCCAUAGCCAAUACUUGUAGAAACUAGAUUGUAUUUCUUGAUUACUAGUAAAAUUCUAAUGAUUUCAAGAGCACCCAAUCCAAUUGUGUUAUUUGAGUAUUGCAUAACAAAAAGAGAAAAUUUGAUUUAGUUAUACUUACUUUGUGUAAUUGUUAUGAGACUUGAAGGUGAUCAAAAAGCCAUUUUCUGAUUAAUUAAAUUUUAUGGCUAAAAAUAAUUGCUCAUAGACUUAGAGCAACAAACUCGACAAAAAAAAAAAAUUUGUGGAAAAAAAAUCUUUUAUCACAAGAUACUAAUUUUUAAUCAAAAAUUAGUUUGUGACAAAACCUCAUAUUUGUUGUAGUGGCAUUACAAGGAUGGAAUAAGUAAGUUUUUUUAAAAAAAAUUUUUUGCAUGCUUGUUAAUGCAUCGAUCGACAUGAUUAAGGUUGAAUUAGUUGGAUCGACAUCAACCUUAGAGCUUGAGUUGAUUUAAAAUAUCACUUAAUUAGAUUGAUUAACGAACAAUCCAAACUUAAAUUAGGGUUCAGAGUUUAUGAUUUGGUUUGGAGAAGAAGUUGGCCAAUUAAGCUAAUGCCCAAAAGACCAAUUUUUAAAAAAAGAAAAAAAAUGCUAUGAAGAUAGGUUUUUUGAAAUUAAAUGAUAUUUGAUUCGUCCCUAGCAGUGGCAGUGGCAAUGGCACCAUUUGAUUCGGGGUUCGAUCCCCGGCAGCGGCGCCAUUUGAUUCGUGCCCAAUUGGUGUCUCAGCUGAUUCGUGUCCAGCUGGUGCUCCUUGAUUGAGGGAGUAAUCAACAAAAUUUAUAACCUAUUACACCAUAUACUAGGGUAGCAAAGACAAAGCUACUAUAGCAUAGUGGCUCUAGGAUCGUCCACUGGGAUGGGUUUUCACUUCACAAUUGAUAUUAAUUCAAAGAUGAAUUGGUGCCUUUUCAUUUCAAGGUUAGCUUUAAAAGAAAACAUAAAUUUGUUUGAAUGAAAAAAAAGUUUGGUUUUAAACUAACCAAAAAUAGUAACUGAUUUUACUUACAAAGAAAAGAUGUUUCUUCGAGUUCAGAUCACUAGGCUCAGGUUCUUCAUAUAAAAAGGAGAGUUCCGGUCACUUGUUUCUUUUCCUCGCAUUAGAGAAUUAACAUAUAGUUCCUUCUCCAACUGGUGUUGUACAGAUGCUUCCAAUUAAUGGGUUCAAACACUAAAUCCCUCUCACUGAUGCAUCUUGCAAUGGCUCAUACCUCUCACCUAGCACUUGCCAUUCAAGAUGAUCUUUCACCUUGGAUUACCCGUCAAAAGCUCGCAAGAGAUAACUAAUGGAUGUCUCCUUGGAGUCCAAAAGCUUACCAAGUGUUGGCUAUUCUAGAAAAUCCUACCUUCAAGUCACCUCCCAAAGGCUCGCAAGGGGUAAACUAGUGCAUCUCCAUGGACGGAGAUCACUUGCCUUACCAAGUGUUGGCCCAGGUGAUUUAAAGGCGUUUUAAGUUAACUAAAAAGAUAAAAACCAUUAACGGGUCACACUUUCUCUUCAUUAAAAACUAAAACAACAAAACUUCCAAUUUAUGCAUGUGGAAACUUACCCGGCUUUCUUCACUCCAAGAAACAAAAAGCUUAGCCUCUCAUCCUCUGAGGAAAAAUCCUCAGAGUUUUGUUGGCUAGAAAUAAAAAGAAAUGAAAAAUGAAAGAGAAGGAAAAACAGAGCAAGGCUCUGUAUAUUCUAUAUAUUGAUCGAUAUGGAUUACAUAUAUGAUGAUUCCCCGAGCGUCUCCUGAGAGUGUUUACAAGAGAGUUUAUAUAGGAAGGUAAUUUAGCCUUCCUUGGAUACUUCCUAGCUAAGGAAUUACAUGAGUGGCUGAAUACAAGGAGAAAAUGGAAAUUAUACAAAAAUAUCUGAAGAAAAGAUCUAAAAGAGUCGGUGCAAAAAUAUCGGGAAGCUCCAGGAACCAUUUCGCAUGAGAAAAAUGGUGUCUGUGAGAUUUCGCAGACACUCAAGAGGGCUGCGAAAUAUUUUCGCAACAACAAGCUAAACUUGCAAGGCUGCGAAGUUGGCUUCCACCUUGAGGUUUCAAGCUUCCUUCUCGCGGUAUAGGUCGGGCAACUUCAGAAGGGAAUCCACAACACUGUACAAAAAGGCUGCGAAAUUCUCGCAACAAAAGGCUGAUUUCGCAACACUUUGUUGAAUCCUUCCUUCAGCUUGGAGCAGUCAUCUUCCAAAGGCUGUAACUUCCUCAUUUCAGCUCCAAAUCAUACACGGUUUGAAGCGUUGGAUUCUUGACUUCCUGAGCUUUGAAAUGGUAUAUAGAAUGUAGAAAAUGGACCUUGGAAAGUGCUCCAAAAGUGCGAAAGAAGACUGUAGCUGCUGUCCUCUGUUUUCUUCACUCUGUUUUUCCUCUCUCCUUGCUUCUCUCCUUGCAUACUUUGAACGACUAAGGCAAAGGGAUAUGGAGCUCAAAAGCUUGGUUUCUUCAUGAAUUUGAGCUUCCAAAAGCUUUGCCAUAACUUGUCCAAGUAGCUCCUCCAUCAUUUGGCAUGCUUGAAUUGAUUCAUAAGCUGAUAAAAACAUGUAAACUUGCCACAAAAUGGUUAAAACCAAUUACUAAUGACCUUAAUGAAUUAAUUGGGUUAAAUGAAUAUGAUUACUACUCAAAGGUGCUUAAAACCAUUAUAAUUAGGUCUACAAAAUAGCACUUUUUGGUAGUAAUCAAUAUUAUCACACACUAUCCUUAAUCCAAAUAGAAUAUUAUUAUAUAACCAAGCUUCAAUCAAUUAAAAGGCAUGCUUUGGAACUCAAUCAUACUAGAAUUAAUGAUUUAUUAAAGUUUCACUUCAUAGGAACACCACACUUUUUAUUAUUACACAUUGCUCUUGCAAACAUAGGAAAAUAAAGCAUUAGUAGAGUUUGAUUCAAAGAAAAAGAACAAGUCCAUCAAGAGAGGCAUUUUUAAUCACUUCCUUUAGGCAGAGCUCUUUGGACCAACGUGACCAAGAAAUCUUUAUAAUUUCCAAGAGCUACAUCUUCAAUCUUCUGGGCUAGAGGAGUUUUAUAUUGCCUAUCAUAUUCCUCAGCAAUGUCUUUCAUAUCAACAUUGGCUCGGGUUACAAUAACUCGAGUUAGGGCUUCUUUUUCAUUCUUGUUUGCAUUAGCUUUCGUUGCUGAAUCUAAAAUCUAAGAUUAAAAAGAAAAAAAAAAGUUCAAGAAAUGCUUUAACAAACAAAAAUAAAAAGAUCAUUUUUGUAAUGUGUAUAGUGAAUUUAUCUCACCUUACUGAAAUACUGUGGAGGAUCACAUAAGCAAUAAAUUGUGUCCUUCAAACUUGAUUCCUCAUCAAGAUCCUAAAUAAAUUAAAUACGGAGGAAUUAUAUUAAAAUGAAUAUUUAUGAAAGCUAAUUCGAGGAAAAAUGACUUCUAAUAAAUAUUAGAAUGAAAAGAAUUGUUCCAAGUAACAUGAGAAUGAGAAUUGUUGUCCUACUUAUUUAUUUAUUUUUUUAAAAAGAGAAUUUAUAAAACAAAAAAUAAUAAAAAUAGAGGAAAAACUACACAAAUAAUGUUCCAUGAUUUGAAAUAAUAUGUUUUUCCGUAUAAUUUGUAUGUUCAUGAUUGUACAUUUUAAACUAUUAGCAAAGUAUAUAUUUCAAUCUAAUUACUUCUUAGAAUGUAUUUGGUAUCUGAAAAUAGGAAUAAAAAUAAAGAUAAAUCAUAAUAUCAUGUAAAAGAGGAAAACCAAAAUUUGAACAAGAUAGAAUUUUGCAUCCACAAGAUUGAAAUUUUACUUUCAUUCCUGUAAUUUAAUAAGUAAUUUGGACUUAGAAAUGAAUAGGAAAUGGAAUGGUUUUUAUUUUAUUUUUUAUUUUUUAUUUAUUUUUCAUUCCCAUUUUCUAUUUUAGUGUUUCAAAUAUUACACAAUUUUUCUUUAAUUUUUUCCAAGUAAAAAAGUGAUAAUAGUAGAGGAAAUGAGACAAUAGGGACAUAUAAGAAAGAGAAAAAAGUGAUAAUAGUAGAGAAAAUGGGACAAUAGGGACAUAUAAGAAAGAGGAAAAAGGAACAUAGGAUAACAAAGAAGGUAACAAAUACUAACUUUAAGUCUAAUGCUAAUUAACUUUCACUUUUUUUUUUCUUUAUUUCUCUUUAUUCAUUUAUUAAUAUAUAAGUAAAGAAUAAAAAGUGCCUUUGAUAUGCAGGAAUUAAAAUAUGAUAGGAAUGUUGGAUCACAUGUAUUAUCUUAAAAAAAAAAAGGGAAAUCAAAAUUUUUUUGGUAAUAAUUUAUUUUUUUACUUCUUAUUUCUAUUUUUGAAAUUAUCCAAAUGUAAUAACGAAUGAAAAAUGGAAUAGAUUUCUCAUCCCCAUUUCAUAUUCUAAUAUUUCAAAUAGGCUCUAAGAAUUAACAAAUAUAAUAUCAUAAUUAUGUUAUACCUCUAUAAUGUUCUUGUUAAAAGUCUCCUGGUAACAUUUGAUGACAGCCAUGAGAUGAAUCUUGCUUCUUGUUGUUAGAAUCCUUACGAUCUCUUCAUCUUUGAUUAGCUGCUUCUUGUCACCAAUACUAAUGGAUUUUUCGAGUUUUUGAGUGUCCAAUUUAAUUGCCCGAUCAUUAGUUUUUGAUCCAUCAUAUCUGUAUGAACUUACAAGUGCUACCAAAAGCUGUUGAUACAAGAAGCAAUUUUUCAUUUCAUUAUUUCGUGUUGAUAAUAAUAUUUGUUGCAUGGUUUCUUUAUGUGGCUAUAAGGUUUUAGUUAUCAUUAGAGAGAAUGUGUUUGAUUAAAGCUCUCCAAAAUCAAAGAUGCAGGAUGGAAAAAACUAUGGAAAGGGUUGGACCAAACUAAAAUGAAAUCUCAACUAUUGAUUUGAUAUUUGAUGAUACUAACAAAUAAUUAUACUAAGAGUGCGUUUGAUAAUGAUUUUAGAAGAUGUUUAUAGCAUUUCUAACACUUAAAUGAUACAAAUUUUAAAGUAUUAAAAAGUUUGGAAACACUUCCUAAAAUCACUAUCAAAUGGGCUUUAAGAGUCUAUUUGACAGUAAUUUUAGGAAGUGUUUUUAACGUAAAAAGUGUUUUUGGAAAAAAAAAAUUGAUGUUUGAAAAAAUUUAUGAAAUAUUUUUAAAGAUUUGAAAAAUCACUUAUAAUGUCUUUUUUUUUUUUUUUUAAGAAACACUUGAUAGAUGAUUCGUCUAAAAACACUUUAAUUAAAAAUACUUUGAGUAAAAACACUACUAAAUGCACUUAAAAAAUGUAUUUGGCAAUGUUUCUAUUUGAAAUACUUUUAAUAGAAGUGUUUUGUUUACAAGUAUUUUUAGGUGAUUUUUUAAUUUUUGAAAAGUAUAUUCUAAAUUUUUCCAAACAGUUGAUUUUUCUUCACAAAUGGUUUAUAUAUAUAUAUAUAUAUAUAUAUAUAUAUAUAUAUAUAUAUAUAUAUAUAUAUAUAAAAUUGCUUUUUAGAAGCACUAUCCAACAGACUCUAAGUUACCUUUCAAAUAUGACCAAGUUACUUUCUAAAUAUGAUGAUCACAUUAAUUCUCGAUUGGUUCCUUAAUAUGACUAUAUAUAUUACCAGUCAUACUAACCUAACCAAGACUGCACCACAUAAAACUCCUUUAUUGAGAAAAGACACAAUUAUAGGACUUUCUAAGAGGCCAACUAAUGGGGUUUUAAGGCUCAAAAUAGGUGGCUUAAACCCAAAAAAAAGUUCCAAACUCCAAUAGUACAAGAGUAGGCUCAAAAGAUUAUUUGCAAUUGCAUAUCCUUAAGCCCAACCAUCAUUUAUGGAAAAAAUAUAUGUUAGAAAGGAAUAUGAAUGCCAUUUUUCUUAAGAAAUAAUUGGUCGAAAUGCUUCAAGAAAUUUAUAAGACAGAAAUGCUCUUCACUUUAUAAAAAAAUUGCAUAAUAUCUCACUAAUCCAGGUCAUUUUUUUUUUCAAAAAUAACAACUAAAAAUAUGAUCAUAUACUUGUACUAACCUGGCGUUCGAUGCCGUCAACUUGGGAAGCAACGUCUUCCUCGAUGGAUUCGCUGUAGAGGGACUGGUAUGCUCUCCUAGCUCCCAAGAGCUCAUCUGAUGAUCGAGUGCAUGCAAGUUCAAUGAGUAGGCCAUAUGCUUGUCUUCCUCUUUUCAAAGCCUUCCUUGCCAUGCGAGCAUCUCUUUCCCAAGGAUGCAUGGUCCAUUGCACCACAGCAUCCUGACCACAAAAAUGUUAAAAAAAACUGAUCAUAUUAUUGCAAAAACCAAUCUUAAGUAAUCUUUAGUCUCCCUAUCUUUUGUACUUCCAUUGUAAUAUUUGUUUUUUUAUAAGAAUUAAUUUUUUUAUGAUAAAUAAUAUAUAAAUAUCUUUAAUUUUAUAUUAACAUAAAUAUCUAAUUUUGUAUUUGAUAUAUAGAUACCUUAAAACGCUUAAAUUCCCUUUUUAGAAAUUUAAGAAGAAUUUCUUCACAUUUCUCAAACGGGAAGCGUUCAUCCUUCAAAAAGAUGCUAGAAGUUUCAUUCCUAAAAGUUGACAAGUGUUCUGGUUGCCAUUUUACUAAGAUCUCCAGCAUUGAUUUCUCGUCAACUCCAAAUAUUCCUGGAAAUGUAAAUCAAGAUUAUUUCAACCUUCUAAUAAAUAUCAAUAAUGAAAGAACAAACAAACAAACUGAAAAAUGUUUGAAUAUGGGAAUUAUGUAACAUUUGCUCUCCCGAUAUGAUAAUGUAUCUAAAUUCAAAAUUGUUAUAUUAAUUUGUAGACUGUAUUCAUUAGCCAGUGGGGAGAAAAAACUAUAGUGUAAAUUACAAAAAAAAAAAAAAAAAAGGUUUCAUAUGGGACAUGAGAUCAUAUGUAAUCAUCCUUACUGUCACAAAUUUUCACUAGAAUUAUUAAGAAAAUAAUAGAUGAAUGAGUAGAAAGUAUAUUGUAAAAGAAGGCAGUUGUUUGUGAUUUAGAAAAAAACAAAGUUAAGAGAGAAGGAGAAAUUACCAGAGUGAGAAACAGAGAAAGACUUUGCAACAGCAUCUGACAAAGACAUAAUUGUUUUCCCUUCUUUGUUUGUUUGUUUUUUCCUUCUUUUGAUGGAGGCAACAAGAAUGGUGUCCUUCUUUACCUCCAUCAUGGCAUUAAUUUUAUAAGUAAGCUAAAGGGGUAUAUAGGGUAAGCAGGACCAUGAGACUAAAAGAUGGAAUGACUUGUGGGAGGGGGGAAAGGUCUUAAUUGUAUGUAGUCAUUAUAGUGUACUUGCAUUCAUUUAUGGGAUUCUUAAGUUAUUUUUGAAGUUUUAUCCACUUUUAAGACUUGAAUCUUUUUAAUUUGAAUUUGAGCCAGACUUGAGGGUGGUUUUAGCUUAUAAAAAAAUGUUAAAAAUAUUAGGGCUCCUUUGAAGUGAAUUUGACAAGGAGGCUUUUGGUCUAUAGCAUUUUUUUUAAUAGUACUUCUAGCUACUACACUUAUUUUUAUAGAGAAUUAUUUAGUGUCUAUGUAAAUUAAAAAACAAUAAUUUUUAUAGUAUGUUCAAUAAUAUCGAUUUUUAGAAGAAGCAUUUAUCGAUAGUACUAAUUAAGAAUCAUUUCAAGUGAUUCUUCAAAAAUUUUAGAAUAGAUAAUAAAGGAUUUUUAUUCCCCAACAACAAUGGAAAUACUAUGUAUUGCUAAUUUAGAUUAUGAAAUAGCAAGAGAAAUUUUGACACUCAUAAAUGUUGACUUCUCUAAAUGCAUUCAUGAAAGUUAAAGUUUAGAAUAGACAAUAUUUAUAUAUAGAAUUCUCAAAUUAGAAGGAUAAUUUUUUUAUAUAUAAUUAUUAAAAAAUAGAAAAUAUAUGCAUAAGAUAACAAUGAGAUAUAUACUCCAACAGAGAAUCUUGUAAAGAGGUUUCAAAAUUUUGAAUUAUUUGUUUAUUAAAGGAGCUCCUUACGAGAAAUAUUCAAAAGAGGUUCCAAAUUUUAAGACUUUUAACAUGUUCAAUGAAAUCUAUAUUUAUGCCAAACUUGCUCUUGGAGAAGGGCACAUUAUCUAGCUUGGUUAAUUAGAAGUGAUAAGAAGUUCCAAAGUUUAGAAUUCUUCUCAUAUUAUAGAAACCAUAUUUUAUUUUAUUUUAUAAUUUCUUCAAGAAACAUUUCCAUCGAUAGGUGUAAGAAGGUAUUUGGCAUAAGUGUCUUUGCACCACUUUUUUUUUUUUUUUUAAAAAAUAAAGAUUUGAGAAAAAUGUAAGUGUAUUGUUUACAUGUAAUCAUUUUUUUGACAUAAAAAAGUAGAACAACCUUCAAAAUUAAGUAAUUUCAUUAUCAAAACAUUGAUGAAACUAUUGUAGAUUCCAUUUAAGGGACUAAAGGUUUAGAGUAUUUUUGGAACAUUGAAAUAGAAAUUAAGAAUGAAAAUUCAUUUUAUUUUCUAUUUACUACUGUAUAAAUAAGAGUAUAGGAAUAAAAUACUUGUUCUCACUGAAACUAAAAUCCAUUCUAGCCAGGAUUUUAAUUCCCUUUAUUCUACAUAGUAUUUUAAUUUUUAUUUAUCCCCAUUCUUAUUCCCAUUCCUAUGUAACUAACUUACCCUUACUUUUCUUAAAUAGUAAGAGAAGGUUGAUUUUUUAAAAAAUUAUUCUCAUUUCAAAGUAAAUUGGCUAACUACUCUUUGUUUCUUGGCUAGGAGGAAAUAAAUCUUUUGAGUUACAUAUUAUGUAUCCUUAGCCAUUUUUCUUCCUUGUGAAGCAACUAUAUAACUUUGACAAAGACUUCGAUUCAAUGGUGAAGAAAAGAAAUGUGCUUCUAUGUUCAUGAAAAAGGAUACCCACUUGUGCCUCUCUUUGUCUCUAUCUUUGUCUCUCUCUCUACUAAAAUGAAUAAAGUAGAUCUAAUACAAUUACAAUGGAUGACAUUGAGGAUUCACAUAAGAAUGACGUAUUGGCAUAAUGAUCAAAGAACAAAAUAAAGUUAGUAAUCUGUAAAUAUGAAAAAGAAGCAACAAAUUAUGAGAGUCAUCUACACUUCAACUUUAACUGCAUAUUUUGCUUUAGAUAAGAUAUGUGGGUCCUUAAAUGAUCUUUCAAGUUAAAUGAAACAUCGCUUUCAACAUUAGACAAAAAAACAAAAAGAAGAAAAAAACUAAAGAAAAAAACACAAUUUUUAUGCUUAUUAUUUAUAUUUCUUAGUUAAUAUAACAUAAUGGUUAGGCAAUUUUUAGUAAAUACAUGAUAAAAUAUAAUCAAAUUAGCUAGAAUAUUAAAUUCAUCUUUUGAUAAUUUGAUUUUUAGGUAGGUAAAUGUUUCGGUGGUUAAAUUAUUAUUAAAUUAUUAUUAUUAUUAUUAUUAUUAUUAUUAUUAUUAUUUUAUAAAGAUUAGGCAAAAAAAAUUCUUAUUAUGGGUUAUGUCACACCCAAAAAUUCGAGAACAUGACUUAAUCUAUACUUAAGAUCCUACCAUGAUUCCACACUUCAAAUUAUGAUUAAGAAGAAGAAAUAAUCACGUUCAUGUACAUAAACCACUAGAUGUAAAAUAGACAAUUUUACAUCUCAUCACAUUGAACAUCAAAUGGGAGAGCUUGAGAAUAACAUAGAAUAGAGCUCAAGUAAUAAUUAACUUGUCACACACCAAAGUUUAAUCCAUGGUACAUCAUGAUAAUAUAAAUAAGUACUUUGGAUCUGAUGCCCAAAGACAUGUCUAUGCCUCCUAUCACAUCCACAUGGGAUCUUCUUAAGUUAGCUUUCACCUGUUUUAGAAUCCCAAUGUCCUCUCCUUUAAGGCUUUCACCCUCACCUUUGCCACCAUUAAUUAAAGAGCAGGAACCUACCUUUAUUGGUACUAACAACCAAUGGUUUCCAACAUCUCCAAGGCAAAACCUUUAUCAAUUCCAAAAAUUCAAACCUUCAUAACCAAAGAGAUACCUACCUAUUUGGUUCCUCAAGGAACCAUCCCUGAUCAAGGUUUAAGUAGUAGCCCUACAACAAACCAUGAACUGACAAGUGUAGCUUUGCAUUAAUCCAUUAUAGUAUGCUUGAGCUCUACAACGGUUACAUGCAUGAAAUAUGUUAAAACAAUGCAUACUUAAUGGAUAUCCAUGAAACCAAAUUUUGGAAAGGUAACCAACGGAUGCUUAAUCUUAAAAACAGAAGCUACCCUACCAAUGGUGAAAAUCACCAAAAAUCAGUGACUAAAGUAGUUUCUUUUUCCCGUGAUUCAAUUGAUUUAGGUGCUGCAGGUAAGCAAAUUCAUGGAGAAGAAAAUGCAAUGGAGAAAGAUGAGGAGUGUUGGUGAGCUAAAUUAUCUAGUUUAAUUCAAGUUUAAAAUUUUGUUUCCAAACAUUACCAGAUCCACUCUACAUACUUCACUGAGACUAUAUUGGUCAUUGAAGAUUGAGUUCAUCAAUUUAUGUAUGCUGUAUACAGUUGAGUACGAAAUGAAAGUGGUUAGUAAGCUUAAUGGUAAAUAAAGAGGCAUAGGAUGGUUUUAUGGAAAAAGUGGGCUAAAACACUGCCAAGUUGUGAAAACAUUUCAUGGAGUGCUCAAGAACCCAAGGUGCUCAACUGCCCUUGAUAAGCGCUUAAGCACUCAAGCCAUUUUUUUUAUAAUAAAUUUGUGGUAAAAAAAAAAAAGAUUCCUUUGUCAUAACAAAUUGUUAGGAUUUUGUUAUAUAGAUAUGCCUUCUAGAGUUUAAAAAAGCUUCAUGUGCCCUAAUAUGAUAUAUAUAUUUUGCAUCCUUAUCCAGUUUUCUUUUUUGUCAAGCACCCAUAUAACUUUGACAAAGACUUUGAUUCAAUGGCAUGAAGAAAAGAUAUGUGCUCCUAUGUUCAUGGAAAAUGACUCACUUGUACCUCUCUCUCUCCUAAAGUUAAUAAAGUAGAUCUAAUAUGAUUAUAAUGGAUUACGUUGAUUCACAUAAGAAUGACAUAUUGGCAUAAUGAUAAAAAAAAGAAAAGAAAUAAAGUUACAAAUCUAUAAUUAUGAAAAAAAAGCAACAAAUUGUGAGAAUCAUGUUACACCUAAAAUUUAAGUACACAUUUUGCUUUAGAUUAGAUAGAUAUGUGGGUCCUUAAAUGAUCUUCCAGGUUAAAUGAAAUAUCACUUUCAACAAAAAAUAAAUAAAAAUAAAAAUAAAAAAAUAAAUAAAAGAAAAAGAAAAAAAAAACUAAAGAAAAAACCACAAUUUUUAUGAUUAUUAUUAAAUUUCUUAGUUAAUAUAAUAUAUUGGUUGGGGAAUUUUUAAGUAAAUAUAUGACAAGAUUGGUUGAAAUAUUAGAUUGACCUUUUGAUAGGAAAAUUGACAAAAUUGAUUGAAUAGCAAGUGGAAAAAAAUUUCCCUAACCAAUAUGUUAUACUAACUAAGAAAUAUAACAUAGACAUGGACAUGGCAUUCUAUUAGCUCGAAAUGGCAUGUACAUAAUUAUUGCCACCAAAAGGUGGUUGCCCUCUACUUUGGAUAUAGAGGACAUGUGGAAAGCAAAUUUUGUGCUUGGAGUUAAGAUCAUAAGGGUUCACUCAAGAACACUUCUUGGUUUGUUUCAAGAGACUUACAUUAAGAAAAUUUUAGACCAGUUUUGGAUGCAAAAUUGCAAACCUAUUGACACACCUAUUGAGAAAAGUUACACCUCGAGUCUUGAUCAAUGCCCUAAGAAUGAUAAGAAAAGGAAAUAACUGGCAAGAGUUCUUUAUACGAGUGCAAUUGGAAGCUUGAUAUAUGCUCUGUUGUGUACUCGACUUGACAUAUGUUUUGUAAUUGGAUUGGUUAGUCAUUACCAAAGUAACCUAGGCCCUGUUCAAUGGCGAGCAACUAAGAAGAUUUUUCGUUACCUCAAAGGGACUAGAGAUUUUGUCCUCUGCUAUCAAAAUGGGGACUUGGAGAUUAAGAAGACACUAUAAUGCAGAUUGGACUAGUGAUAGAGAUUAAUGCAAAUCCACUAUAAGAUAUGCUUUCUUACUCAAUGACACUAUUAUUACUUGUCGUAGUAAGAAACAACCCUACAUUGCUUUAUCCACCAUGGAGUCAUAAUAUGUCACUUGUUUAGUGACUAUAUUGGAGGUUGUUUGGUUGGGGAGAUUAUUCCAAAACCUAAAAGUCAUGGAUUUAGCCAAAGAGCCUAUCACUAUUUUUAGUGAUAACAUAGCUGCUUUAGCAUAUAGUUAGGAUUUGUGAAGCUUGGUUGAAGCUUCAAGUAUAGUGAAUACCUCACUCGGUUAGGAGUUUAAGGAGAGUGAACGUAGGCAAGGGGUGCCAAACCACUAUAAAAUCUGAGUUUGCUUUCUCUAACUUUAUCUCUCUAUAUUUGUGCUUCUUUUGCUUGAAUUUAUUGUGCUUGAAAAAGAAUUUUUAAAACCCAAUUUACCCCCCUCUUGGGUGUUUUCUUUAUGAAGACUAGCCUUUCUUUUCUCAAUAUGUAUUUAAUUUUUGGACUCCUACCUAAGUUGAUAGAUAAAAGUCAAAUGUGAAGUUAUUCCACAAAUUCAUAUAGCAUGAACAAAGCCAAAUGUGAGACCUUAGGUAGGUGCUUGAUAAACAAUUGUGCUAAGAAACUCAAGUUAGGCACUUAGGGAGACGACUAGGCUAAGAUUCCUAUGACAUCGGAGAGUGACACACUCACUCUUAUGGGAGCUCCAUCUUGACAUAAAUAUCAUAAUACUAUAUGUGCUAUCUACAACUAUAAGAGAGAGUUGUUAGAUGGAUCCCUGCUCCAACAUUGUGUGAACUCUUAUAGACUAGUUACUAUAAAGUUUACUCUAUACCCUUGAACCUAGGACUAUGUCAUGCAGCAAGGGUAAAAUGUCACUACUUUAACAUGUAAUCCAAGGGUCAUGAAUGAUACGGUCGAAUGGAAUAUGUUAGGAAAAUAGUCAAACCUAAAUGAAUUGACUUAAGUGGUUGGGGAAGAUUGCUAAUAACACACCACUAUUUGUAGCUCAUAUAUCAACUUUGUGUUGGGGAAAUUAAUGGUCCAACCUUGAUCAUCCCCAACAGUAAACUCAGUUGCCAUGGCCACAGCGGGAAGAACAAUUGCGAAGACUGCAAGGGCAAUAUUCAACAGUUUAGACGCCAUUGCAGCUGAUUAAAGUUGAGGAGUACUGUAAUUCAUUGGUUUCUUGGAUUGUUGAUGUUCAUCCUAGGCUCUAAAGGGUCUAUUUAUAGUUAAUGUUUAGAUCAGAAUAUUGUUGAAAGCGUCUAAAACAUGAAGAACGGGAUGGGUCUGCAGGCCACAAAGCGUUGCCGCGGAAAAAGCUUUGGUUAGUACGCAAUUAUUCCAUGAGUAAUUAAUAUUAUUGUAUGACAAUUGUAAACCCAUAAUUCUCAUGGCCGUUUUCUUCGGUCCAGACAUACACACUCGAGCAUUGAAUGGUCAAUGUUUAGCUUUAAAAGCACAAAUUGAAGUUCCCUGGAAAAGUGAAUCUUGGGGCCGGCUUUGUGGCUAGGUGGACAUGCACAACGACAAAGUGCUGUUGUGCCAAGCCCAACUCAAUUUUCAUCACCUUAGCCUAAGUUGAUGCAUGGGUUUUGGUAUUGGGCUUGUGGUAACCCUAAGGUCCAACCUAUCAGGGUUGAGGAGCGUUUUUUUGUUCUUAGCUCCGUUUUUUGUGCCCAUUAUCAUGGGCUACAGCUGGCCCUGUCUUUGGCCUAAUAUAUCAGUUCGAGUACAAGUACAUUACAGGGCAAUAGUACAGAAGAGUUUCCACCAGUCCUCUUUCUAGGGUUUUAAUCUUCAUCAUUCUCUUGCAAUCUCCGUCUUAUUAUUUUUUUCAUGCUUAAUUGUAAGCUUAUAUUCUUGAUCACGGUAUUACCUAGCAUUUUGGUAACAAUCAGGAAUAUUCACUCACACAUGGAAAAUCACCUAUAGAGAUUGUCUCAACGCUAAACAUAUGGAAAACUAGUCAAUUGACUGCUGUAAAAUUUCACUAAAUAUAAAAUACUAGUCCACAAUUUUAUAAAAUUGACUGGUGUGGAAUAUAUUUUAUUAUUAUUAUAAAAAUUAGUUUAAUUAAAUUGUUUCAUUUUUUUUUUCUUUUUGAACAUUUGCAAAAUACAAAUGUAAGUUUUUCUUUUCACAAAAAUAAAUUAUAAAAAUUUAUAAUUUGAUAUCAUCCCUACCUAAUAGUCCUUAGGACGGUAUGUGGACUUAGCUAAGAGAAAUAGGUUUGAACUUAUAACCUUUGAUAAAAUAAUAUAUUUUGAUAUCAUAUUAAAUUUGUCAAUUAAAGCUUUGUUAGGUACAAGGAUUAAAAUAUCAAAAAAUAUAGAAAUAUUGAUGGCUGAAUUUGACGAAAAUAUCGGAUGAAAAUAUGAAUAAAAAAUAUUAGUAGAAUAGAAGUAAAUAAAAACUUAUAGAAAUAUCAAUAAAACUACAAGAAAUGAUAAAACAGCUAAUAAUCCACUAAUGAAAGUUAUUUUUACAAGACUAUAUUACCAAUAUUGAACUUUAGAUAAUGAUAUAUAAUACUUGAAAACACAUUUAAUAUUAAAUAAAUUAUUUAUCUAGUUUAUACAUAUUUAAAGACAUAAAAGAAAUGAUGACAUUUAACAUUAUUUUUGUUUAAAAAUAUUUAUCAUUUUAUUUAUAAUUUUAUGCUUCAUUUAUAUUUGAUAAUUAUAAUGAGAUAGAAAAAAAUUGUUAAAAGGAUUUUUCAAAUUUUAUAUUUUAAAUAAUCAACUUAUUCAAAUUUAAAAAUAAUUAAAAUUAGUUUAUUUACUAAAUUAAACUUAUUAGAAUUUAAUUUUAAUUUUAGUUACCUUAUUGGUUAGGUGAAACAACAUUAUAUAUAGAAUUUUGGGUCAAGUCAGCCUUUAAUCCAAAUAAAAUAUUAGCUUAAUUUGAGCUUCUUUUGAAAGUAUUGUUCGAAUUAGUAGUUUUGGUUUUGUUUUGUUUUUGUUUUUUUGUUUUUUAAUUUCCAUGAAACUACAAUUUGAAAGUAAGGUUUCAAUAUAAAUUUAUAGCCACAAUUUUAAUACUAAAACCAUAUUUUGAAACCACAUUUUCAAAAUGCAAUUUUAAUAUUUUUUAUUUUUUAAAAUAGAAGAUAAAUGAUGAAAGAGAAAGAGGUCGUUUUGAACAAAAAUUUCAAAUGAGGGCCAAAAUGCAUAUUUGUUUGCCCAAUGGGGUUGUUUUUAACCCAAACUCUUAUAUAUUUAUACAUACUCAAGUUGUGUGUACUUUUUUCGCCGCUUCUAGGCAUUACUAAUACAAUCUCUCAUUUACCUAUAAAUAUAAAAAAAAAUCUAUACAUACUCAAGGAUGAAAAUAUCAAUAAAUAUAGAUAUAUUGAUGCUUGAAUCUUACAGAUAUAUUGAAAAUUACAUCAGUAGAUAUUUUGACAAAAAUAUCAGUGGACCGAAAAUUGUUCAAAAUUCAUAAAAAUGCUUGGAAAAACUUCAAAAAAUGAUAAAAUAAACAAGAAUACACAUGUUAAAGUUAUUUUGUAAGUGUAAUUGACAUAGGUAUGUAUUAUUAUUAUUUUUAAUUAACUUAUUUAUUUAUUAUUGUUUUAUUGCUUUCUAUUUGUGUAUAUCAAUUGGGGAAUUGGUGGAACUCCUACAUAAAAAUCAUUUUUCAAAAACCUUCUUUUGAUCAACUUAUUCAAUUUAUUGCACACCUGAAAAUAAAAUUUGAUUUGACCUAUUUAUGAUGUUUUUUAAAAAAAAUUUAGUGAUUGUAUGAUAUUUUACACAUCUUGAAUAUGAAUUUAGAACUUUGUUUGAAUUAAAAGCAAUUCUAAAAUAGAAGAUAUAAAUGAGUCUUUUAGGGAUUCUGUUUUCACUCGAUUUUGGAAAUUCAAAAUAUUUUUUUUAAAAUAAAUUAUUAGGCGACCUUGUAAUUUUUAUUUGAUUCUAAACUUCUUGAAAUUGACUUUAGACACAAAAUAUUGAAAAUAGUUUCCCUAAUCAAAAGAUUUUUUUUUUUUUCUUGCUGCAUUCAUUGUAUUGCCUUAAUUUUGAACAGAGGAGUUGUUUGAUUGUUUUUAAAAUUAAUUCAUGUGCCUUCUGAUUAUAUUGUCUUUAUUUUUCUUGUAAAGUAGACAUUCUGAACAUUAUGAUUUUGUGGCACUUCUAUGUUAGUUUAAAAAAUUAGUUUAUGAAUAUUAUUGAAUUUUGUUUUGGUUUGGACCUUUAGAGAUGUUUCUAUAAACUGGAAUCAAUCGAAGCUUUACUAAAUUGCUUGGCUUUUUGGUUGAUAAUCUAGACAUAUAGAAGAGGCCUCCGAAAAUUUUUGUAAUUAAAAUCCACUUCUAGAAAUUUUUUUAGGAUUUAUUCUUUAAAGGUUCUUAUUGUGAUCACAUGUUGGGAUUUCUAUACAAUGUUUAACUUACCUUUUAACUUGGAGUUAAUUGAUAUGUCUUUACUUGAUCUUGGCUUUGGUAUUGUAAUAUAAACAUAAUGAGGAUGCCAUAUGAUUCCUUUUAUGUUGAAAUGAUGUCUCUAGAUAUUUGUUUAGGAUUUUUCAAGUGAAUGCAACUGUUUUGCCCAUUUACGGCAUGUUUUUGUCUUAGUUACUAACUUUGAUACUUAUGGCUACCUAGAGUAUUAGUUUAAAUUUAAUAAUGAGCUUAUAUGUAUGUCCUAGGUGAUAGAUGAUAUUCUUUUGGAAUCUUGCUUUUUUUAGCUAUACAAAUGUUAUAUAUAUUAGUGUUUUUUUUAUCAUAGUUAUUUAUUAUCAUAAAUUGUUCUAACCCUAUUUCAUCACAUGUAAGCACACUAUAAGUUAUGCAUACUAUCCAAGUAUGUCUCUCACACCUUUUAUCCAUAUAAUUAUGCAAAUAUGCAAACUUUGAGCGUGCAAAUUCAGAUAUAUGUUGUUGCUUUGUAUGUUUUGUUUGUUACUUGAUUAUUUGAAUGGGAUGAAAUGCAUGGUGUAUGCUAUAUUUAUUAAACUAACUUCAAUAUUUUCAUGAAAGCGCUCUGGGAUGUAGCUCAAGUAUGCCAAUCCCUUCUUCCUACAUGAGUGUUUCUUGUGGUAUGAUUGUUUGGUUAUGAAUAUUAUGUUGUUUACUCUUAAGCUUUAUCACCUUUGCUUCAUUUGCAAUCUCAAUCAAGCAAUUAAUUGUCAUCAUUCCCUCAACCUAGCUAAUAGAGACCUUUUUAGGGUUUAGAGGGGUGCUACACUUUAAGGUAUCUUCCUAAUAGGUAACUUGAUUCCUAGACCUAGAUUCGGGUUUUUCAAAGACACGUUUUUUCAAAAGUUUAAGGAGUCCUUUUUUCUUAGGGUUUUAGUUUCUUAUUUUAUUUUUCCUUAAAUAAAAUAAUAAAAAUAAGUGGCGACUCCAGUUUUUUAUAAAAUACAAUUUUUCACUCAACAAAAACGAGUCUUGCCGAUUGAGUGGGGAUGCAUGUGAAAAAUAUGGGUCCACAGUAUGGUUGAUGAUGAAAUUAUUAGUAAAUACAGAUAUAUCGAUAUUUGGAUUUUAAGGAUACAAAAUAUGAAUUUUGGAAGUGCACACUUAGAAUUAGGAUAAGAAAUAUUUGGUUUCAUUCAAUGAGAACAAUUUAUACAUAUUAUAUGGGAAUAGUGCUUUAGUGCCAAAAUGAAUAUCGUUGUGGUUUAAUCGCAUUGUUAGACAAAGGGAUCCCAUUUUGUUGAAAGGAUUGAUAGUAUUGAUUGUAAGUUUGAACAUGUCAUGCAUAAAUUUAUGAUACUAAUCUAUUUAAUUCAAAUGUAUUUAAUGAUGUAAAAUAAAUUAUGAUACAUGUAUGAUUUUUUUUAAUAUUUAUAUUAUUUAUAUUUAAUUAUCAUAUAAAUGAUAUAAAAAAAGACUUACUAAGAAAAAUAUAAUGAUGGUUGGUAAUCAAUUAAAAUAAAUUGAUUAGAAUUAAUUUAUAUAUUAUUCUCUUAAUAUUAAAAUUAUAAUUUAUUUAAUAUAGUAAUGUUUGUUUAUAUACAACAAAGUGCGACGUUGGCCCAACGGCUGCCAAGGGUUCAAUUUGAACUUUUUAACUUGGGUUCAAGUUGGCCAAGUAAGAUAGCAAGAGGAGCAUGAAAAUAUUGAUAGAAAAAUGGGGAAAUUUUUGAAAAUAUCGUCGAUAUAUCGGCUGAUGAUAAUCAGUGAUCGAUUUCAUAUUUACCCCUCUUUUUUGCCCAUGUGCAUACUUGAUGGUUAAAGUGCCCAUGACUCCAUUCCUACCUUUUUAAAACACCUUAAUUCCUUGCUUAGUGCCCCACCAAUUGAAAAGUCUAUGAUAAAAUUGUUGGUCAGUCUUUCCUUAUCAUAUUUGGUAUUUGUGGAGCUCGAUACCUAAUAUUGUAGCAAAUCCCAUUGAAACUUUAAUCCUUGUUUAGAUCAUGAUGGUCACUAUUAUAUAUUAAGCUAGGCUGCAAAGUUAGAAUGCCAUAUUUGACAUUUCAUCACAUAAUGAAACUUUAUUGUUGCACAUGAAUUUGAUUCAUAAAAUAUUCCAUUAAAAAAAAGUUUAGGAUCACUUUAGUCAAUCAUAAAGCCAUAGAUGUUCAUUAUCAACCAUGGAAACUCAGGUGGAGCCGUUGAUUAAAAGUUUGACAUUGAUUGCUUCUUGCUAAAUGUUCUAGGACUCCCAAUAUAAUCAGCCCAGGUUAAGGUCAUGUAAAUUGAGUUUGAAUUGGGACUUUUGUUGUUCCACUUUCCUGUUGUGUAAGAAUGGCCUAGUGUCCAAGCUGGUCAGAAUAACUUCUUCAAGGGACUUCAAUUUGUGGUACUUUCGAAAUUAAACGUAAUCAUUAUUUAAUUUAUACCUAAAACACACUAGUGAUUGUUGGGGUGAUGAUAGAACAAACCUAUAGUAAUUCAAAAGAAGAAACAAGAAAAAUUCGAAUGGAAGUAAAAAGAGCUUCGCUUGUUUAGAGGCUUGCAAAUUGCAACGUCCUAAAGAUAGAAUUUUGGCACCCUGUUCUUGAUUACAAUAGUAAAUGAUGUAUGUCUUUCAAGAUACAACUCUUAAAUGAUUUAAAGAGGGUAAUCUCCUAUUUAUAUCCUUUCAAACCAAGUGUUGUGUCCCCUCUAAAGGUUGUGUCUCCUUCAUUAGACAUGUUCUUUUCAUUCACCAAUUUACUAUGACAUGUGAGUCAUUAGUGCUCUUGACAUACACACAUUUUUCACACUCAUUUAUCUUGAAACCAUUAGAAGCAUGGUGUGAUCAAAUUUUUCAUGCCAUUGUUUGGGUGCUUGCUUUAACCCAUAAAGGGACUUGAUAAGUCUACAAACUUUCUUUUCUUGUUCCUUUACUACAAACCCUUUAGGUUGUUCCAUAUAAAUUUCUUCAUCUAAAUCUCCAUUUAGAAAGGUUAUCUUGACAUCCAUUUGAUGAAUUUCAAAAUUAUGGAUGGCAGUUGUAGCAAUUAACAUCCUAAUGGAUGUAAUUCUUGUUACAGGAGAGUAAGUGUCAAAGAAAUCUAAACCCUCCUUUUGUCGAUAUCCUUUAGCUACUAAAUGUGCUUUGUACUUGUCAAUAGUACCAUUAGUUUGUAGCUUUCUUUUAAAUAUCCAUUUGCAACCAAUUGGUUUAUUUCCCGGAGGAAGAUUAACCAAUUCCCAAGUAUGAUUUUGCAUAAUGGAAUUUAUUUCAUCAUUUACUGCUUCUUGCCAAUAAGGAGCUUCUGGUGUUGACAUAGCUUCUUUAUAUGUUUGAGGUUCCACUUAUGUCAAGAGGAUGAUAAAAUCAGGUCCAAAAGACGUGCUAGUUCUAGCUCUUUUACUUCUCCUAGGUUCAACAUCAUCCCUUUGUUCAUGUUGAGUUCUAAGCAAGCUAUCAUCAAUUUUUAUUUUAAUGAUUUCAUUGUGUCUUUCUUUGAAAGGAAAUAUCUCUUCAAAGAAUUCAACAUCUAUGGAUUCCAUGAUGAUAUUAUUAAUAUCAGGAACUUUAGAUUUUAUCACUAGGAAUCGAUAUGCUAAACUAUUUGAAGCAUAUCCAAUGAAGACACAAUCAAUUAUCUUUAGUCCGAGUUUUGUCCAUUUAGGUAACGGAACUUGCACCUUUGCAAGACACCCCCACACUUUCAACUUUUUAUAGGAAGGUAGUUUUCCUUUCCAUAACUCAUAAGGAGACUUUGAUGUUUUCUUAUGAGGUAUUCUAUUUAAAAUGGUAUUAGCAGUAAGUAAUGCUUCCCCUCACAUGUAGUGUGAUAACCCCGAACUAUUUAACAUAGAAUUAACCAUGUCCUUAAGUGUUCGGUUAUUUCUUUCAACAAUACUGUUUUAUAAUGGUGUAAAUGGUGCUGUAGUUUGAUGCACUAUACCAUGUAAUGCACAAAAUUCAGAGAGAGUUGUAGACUCAUACUCUCCUCCUCUAUCGGACCUUAACAUUUUCAAAGUCUUAUUCUCUUGAUUUUCAACGUCAUUCUUGUAUGUCUUAACGACAUCAAUGGUUUCAUCUUUGCUAUGUAACAAAUAAACAUAGCAAAAUUUGCUAUAGUCAUCAAUAAAAGUUAUAAAAUAUUUUAUGCCACCUCUAGUUUGAUUCAUUUUCAAAUCACAAAGAUCACUAUGAACUAAUUCAAGUAGUUCACCAGAUCUUUCAAUUGAUUUAAAUGGCUUCCUUGCAAACUUUGAUUCAACACAUAUUUCACACUUUUGUGUUUCAUUAAUAUCAAAUUUAGGCAAUAAACCUAAGUUUGACAUCUUAUACAUGGAACGAUAAUUAACAUGUCCCAACCGAGAAUGCCAUAAUUCACAAGAUUCAACAAUGUAAGCAGAAGACAUAAAGCUUUUAUUGAUAGUUGAAGCAAUUACAUUGUCAUUGAAUACAUUGAUUUUGAACAAGCCCUCACUCAUGUAUCCCUUUCCUAUAAAGGCUCCACCCUUAGUCAGCACAAGUUUGUCACUCUCAAAUACAAGUUUAAAUCCCUUCUUACUAAGAAGAGAAGUAGAUACAAGGUUCUUCCUAAUUUCAGGUACAAAGAGGACAUCCAUCAAGGUGAGUUUCUUCCCUGAAGUGAGAUUCAUAACCACAUCACCCUUGCCUUCCACCAUAGAUGAAGAAGCAUUUCCCAUGUAGAGUUUUUCUCCACUUUAAAUCUUCUAGAAAUUCACAAAGGAAUUUCUAUAACCACAAAUGUGUCUAGUGGCUCUAGAAUCAAUCCACCAAUCCUUAGAGUUCAUCACAACAUUUGACUCUAGGAUUACAACAACAAAAUUUUCAGAUUCUACCAUGUUUGCUUAACUGGCUUUUCUCUCUCUUUCAGGUUUUUUCCCAUCAUUUUUGUGCCAACAAUCCUUGGCAUGAUGGUUGGAUUUUCCACAAACCCAACAAGCCCCUUUGAUCUUCUUAUUAUCAGGCUUGUUGUUAGUAGGUUUCUUCCUCUUUCCAUUGUUGAAGGGAAGUUUUCUCUUCUUGGAGCACUCUUCUUCCAUAAUAUGGGCCUUGGCUUCCAUGAAUGACUUGCCAACAAAUUUGUCAUUCUUUCUGUUGUCUUCUUCAAUCCUAAGCCUUACUAUCAAAUCCUCUAUUGACAAUUCCUUGCGUUUAUGUUUCAGAUAGUUCUUAAAGUCCUUCCAUGAAGGAGGCAACUUUUCAAUGAUGGAAGCAACUUUUCAAUGAUUGAAGCAACUUGAAAUGCUUCAUUGAUCAUCAUUCCCUCAACAUGCAUUUUAUUGAUGAGGAUUUGAAGUUCUUCAACUUGAUUAAUAAGAGUAAUAGAAUCAAUCAUUUUGAAAUCUAAAAAGUUACCAACAAUGAAUUUCUUUGUUCCAGCAUCUUCAGUCUUGUACUUCUUCUCAAGUGCCUCUUACAACCCUCUUGUUGUAGUGAAUGAAAAGUAGACAUUGUAGAAGGAGUCAACCAGACCAUUGAGAAUGCAGUUUCUACAUAAGAAGUCUGAAUGCUUCCAGGCCUCUAUAACAUUGAAUGUCUCCUUUGUUAGUUGUUCUAGUGCUUUGGGGCAUUCCUCCUUUAGGACAUGAACAAGGUUGAGGGUGGUGAGAUAAAAGGGCAUAUUUUGUUGCCAUCUUUUAAAGUCAUCUCCAUUGAAUUUCUUUGGUUUUUCAUGGUGUGUUCCUGCCUUAAUGGGAAUAGGAACUUCAGUGUUUGGUAAGAUAGAGUCUAACUUCAAUGUUUGUUCCAUGAUCACUAAACAAAAUUCUAUCUUUAUAUUGUUGGAGUGACGAUGGAACAAACAUGUACUAAUUCAAAAGAAGAAACAAGAAAAAUUCAAAUGGAAAUAAAAAAAGAUUCAUUUGUUUAGAGGCUUGCAAAUUGCAAUGUCCUAAAGACAGAAUUUUGGCACCCUAUUCUUGAUUGCAACAGUAAAUGGUGUUUGUCUUUCAGGAUACAACUUUUAAAUGAUAUAAAGAGGGCAAUCUCCUAUUUAUAUCCUUGCAAACCAAGUGUUGUGUCCCCUCUAAAGGUUGUGUCUCCUUCACUAGACAUGUUCUUUUCAUUCACCAAUUUUCCAAUAGUGAUUGCUCAAAGAAAUUAUCAUUCAAUAAUUGUGUAUAUAUGUGUAGGCCAAAGGAAACCGCCAAAACAUACAUGUUUUUAUAAUUGUCAUACAACAUUAGGCAUGGCAUGAUUGCGUACCAACCAAAGUUUUCAAGGACAACACCUCAUGGCCGGCCAUCUAGCCUGUUCCUCUUUUUUUCUUUAAGGCUUUCUAUGAGAUUUUGUAGGUCAAAACAUUUUGCUAUAAAUAGACUUUUAAUUUAGACUCCAAGAUGAAAAUCACCGGUUCAAGUAAUCAUUGAAGCUGAUCUUUAGAAGAAACUUGGUAACUACUCAACUUUAAUAAGCUCCAAUGGCUUCUAAGCGGUUUGUUGGCGCCAUAGCAAUCUUGGCAUUUGUUCUUGCAGCUGUGGCCAUGGCAACAGAGUUUGCUGUUGGAGAUGACCAAGGAUGGACCAUCAAUUUCGACUAUGAAGCCUGGGCCAAGGACAAAGUAUUUCAUGUUGGAGAUGAACUAGGUAAUGUAGCUCAAGCCUUAAGCUAAGCUAGGAUUUCAUGUUCCUUUUAUCACUUCCUUUGAUUGAAGCUGCUAAAAGUAUUACGGUCGAUUCUCAUACAUGGAGUCUUCAAUUACACGACGGGAUGGCAUAAUGUCUUCAAAGUGAAUGGUACGGCCUUCACAAACUGCACUAUACCACCAACAAAUGAAGCUCUUUCCACUGGAAAUGAAGUAAUUACACUAGCCGCCGAUGGAAGGAAGUGAUACAUUUGUGGUGUAAACGACCAUUGUGCCAACUAUGGACAGAAGCUUGCCAUCACUGUAUUGGAAGAGUAGGCAUCUCCUGCACCGGCCCCCUCCACUCCCAUAACACGAGCACCCAACUCUGCUCAUGGGAUCUCUGGGUCCGGGUAUCAUCUUCUGAUGGCAGCCAUGGUUGCUAUUGCUUUCCUAGCUGUUUGGCCUGUUUUUACUCCAGAAGAACCUUAGAUCACCUAGUCUUAAGAAAUUUAUUUUGUUUUAUGGUUUUUUUAUUCAAUUAUUUUUUGUAUGGGUGAAAGAAAAUGGUAUGUUGGAAAUAUGAAAGAUGGAAGAAAGAAAUGAAGAUGAAUCUGUUGAGAAAUGAAAUUUAGUCACAAUCUCACAUUUUAUAAUGCUAUUAUUUCGAAAUAUAUAUGCUUACUUGAGUUUCAAAUUUUGUGUCUUUAACUUGAACAUGCCGGUAUACAAUUCAAAUUUGUGUCUUGAACUAGUAAUCUUUAGAGCAAAAUUACCAACCUAAACUAAUACAUUAGUAUUAAUAAUUAGCAUAAAUUACAAAAACCACUCAUGUAAUUCACUCGUAUGACAUGCCGGUUUUUUUUUAAAAUUUUUUUUUUAAGGUAAUGUCAACCUUAAAAUAUGCUCAAAUGUCAAAUAAGUUUUUCUAUUAAUUUUUUAAAUAAAAAAAAUGGAUGGAGAAACCCCUAUGACAAGCAGUAUACAAAUUAAACAUAUCCAAACAUAUCAUUUACAACUCAUGUCAAUGUUUAUAUGCUUGUCACAUGGGUUUCUUCAUCCAUUUUUUUUUUUAUCAAAAAUCUUUAAGUAAAGAGCUUAUUUGAUAUUUAAGCAUAGUUUAAGAGUGAUUUUCAUUACAAAACAAAAUUUAGGGGUUAAAUUGAAAUAUGGGUAAAAGUAUAAGGGUGGUUUUAUAAUUUACAAUAAUAAUUACUCAAGAUUGCUAUUUUAUAAGACUUUAUACGUUGUGUUCUAAGAAAUUGUGAGUGGUAUUCACGUUUCUUUUAUUGUAUUAGAGUCAAGUGCCUAGUUUUUCCUAAGCUUUUGCAGUGUUUUGUAUAUUUGUGUGUAGGAAUGAAGUCAGAGGGAAAGCGUGUGUUGAAAAGUAUUGUUUAAAGCACAAAAUGAUCCACAUAUGAAGAUUUACUCACCUCACUUGGUGAGUUUAGGCAGCAAAUGGACCACAUUCAAUGUAGCAGACUCACCUAAACUACACCUAGGGUAGAGUAGGGGUGGGGUAAAGUACCCCAACACCUAUUAUGUUUCCUUAGAAUUUCUCAAAACCUAUAUUUUUUUCUUCAAAUAAUUUUCAACAAUAAAUAAAAAUCAUAUAAAUACAAGUCACAUGCAAAUGCUUCAAUACUCUCCAACACAAAUUUAUCAAAACAAAUUCCUUCAUAUAUUUCCAAUUACUUGAUAUCUUUAUCAAAUUGAGCAUAAAAUUAUUUAAGAAUAUCCAAAAGAUAAUUACACCAAUUUCAACUCAUAUUUCAUACAUUCAACAUACAUGCUCAAGUAAUAUAUGAUAUCAAUAAUUGGAAAUAAAUCAAAAAGUACAAUGAGAGAAAGAGAGACAAUGACACCAAAUUUUAGGUGGAAAAUCUCUUAAGAAAUAAAACUCCACGGGUAUGCAAGUGAUCGAAAAUAUUCACUAUGAAAAAUAAAAACUAAAUAGUACAAGGUUUUAUCUAACUCAAGCCUACCAAUCAUUUCUGAACCAAUUAAUUAAUACCUUUCUAUUUUAACUUCACACCUUCUUUCGAAACAUACUUGAAGUCCACACCAUACUCAAUAUUGGCAUCUUCUUGAAUCCACACAAGAAGAAAAUGAGUUUUUGGAAGUAUUAAGUAGUAGAUUUGAAAGUCCUAUUUAUUUAUUCUCGAUGAAUAACAAGUAUGAAGCCAAAUUUCAAUUCAUGACUUCUAAUUUCAUAUCAGCCUAAAAUUUUGAAUUUUCCUAGUUUAUCAUAGAUUUGAUUUAUUUAUUUAUUUUAAAUAUUAUUAAAAUACGACCGUUUGCAAAAUAUUAAGACUUUUUCAAUAAAAAUUAUCACUUGAAACCCAUCUCUUAAAAAAAAUGAAUUUAAUUUAAAUUACUAAGCAUGUGACCAUUGAUUUUGUAUUUUUUUUCUACAUAAAAAAUAAAAAAUAAAAUCUUUUUUUAUAAAAAAACUCAUAACAUGGAUUUCAUCAAGCACAAAAUUACUAUAGUUUUAGAAAUGUUUUUUUUCUUUUUCUUUUUUAAUUUUUUUUAUCAGAGAAUGAUAUUUAAAAAAAUAAAAACCAUGGUACUUGUGCAGAAUGAUCUUUCAAGUUAAAUGAUUUACUGUGAAGCAGGCAAAGCAUUGCACGACCAGAAUUUCUAAGUGCCUGCCUGUGUCUUGUCUAUCAUUUUUUUUAUUGAAACAUAUGCUAAUAAAUUUGCAUGUAGACAUUAUAAAAAUACUGGUGUUUGACUCUUGUUCUUAAUUUCCUGAUGUAGGUAGAGAUGUCGAGGAGGCAUACAUUCAAAGGACUCUACUGGUCUCAAAUAUGUAUUGAAACUGCAUUAUCAAAAUCCAAUUUCCUUUUUUUAACAAGAACAAUAAAAAGUAAAGGAUGAAAGAGAAAGAGAAAGAAAUUAUUUUGAACAAAAGUUUAAAAAGAAAAGCUAAAAUGCACAUUAGUUUGGUGAAAAAGGUUGUUUAUAACCCCAAAAAGGUUGAAAAAUUGGUGAUGAAAUCAUUGGACUUUCUUGCCUUGUCGUAUUUGUAUUGAAAGAAUCUGAUACCCGAUGUUUCAAGGCAUUACAUUAAAACUUUAAUCCUUGGUUAGAUCAUGAUGUCCAAUACUAUAUACUAAGCUAGGGUACAAAGUUACAAUGUCAUAUUUAGCAUUUCAUCACAUAAUGAAGCUUCAAAAUAUUUUUCCACAUGAAUUUGAUUCAUAAAAUUUUCCAUUUAAAAAAAGUCGUAGAUGCUCAUUAUCAACCAUGGAAACUCAGGUGGAGUCAUUGAUUAAAAGUUCGAUAUUGCUAGCUUGCUAAAUGUUCUAAGAGACUCCCAAUAUAAUCAGCUCAGGUUAAGGUCACGUAAAUUGAGUUUGAAUUGGGACUUUUGUUGUUUCACUUUCUAGUUGUGUAAGUAUGGCCUAGUGUCCAAGCCGGCCAGAAUAACUUCUUCAAGAGACUUCCAUUUGUACUACUUUCAAAGUUAAUCACUAUUUAAUUCAUACCUAAAACACACUAGUGAUUGCUCAAAGAAAUUAUGAUUCAAUAUUUGUGUAUAUAUGUCUAGGCCAAAGGAAACCAUCAAAAGAAAUAUGUUUUUAUAAUUGUCAUACAACAUUAGGCAUGGCAUAACUACGUACCAACCAAAGGUUUCUCCGACAACACCUAUCAGCAUGUAACAAAGAUCUGUUAUCCGAUCUUUAUUCAAAUUCAAAUAUUUCUUUGUAUAUAGCAGAGUAGUUGAGUCUUCCUUAAGACUAGGACUUCCUCCUAUAUCUAGGAGUGAUCUUGUUAUUCCUUUGUGUAUAUGUACUCUAUUUCGGUUAAUGAAAAUUAGCGGAAAAAUCAUAAUUGAUUCUCAUCUCAACAUGGUAUCAGAGCCCAUAUUGAUUCCUCCCCAUUAAUUUUUUUUUUCUUCUCUUCUUUCCUCUAUUGUUUCCCUCUUACUCUCUUGCUAUCAAACACCACAAUGACAACACCACACUCCAUCAACAUCACCUCUGCUGCUAGUCCUCCAAACACUGAAAUUCCUCUUAUCACCAUCAACAUAUCAACUCAAGCACCACUCAAACCCACCUCCACAAAUUACCUAUCCUAGAAGCUGCAAUUUGAAACUCUAUUCAUUGGAUAUGACCUCAUUGGGUAUAUCGAUGGAUCCAAACCAUGUCCUCCCACCACCAUCACAACAAACAACACUGCCACAACCAAUCAUUCUCACAAACUUUGGAUUCGUCAAGAUCAGCUGUUGCUAAAUGCCUUAAUUGGCUCUCUUUCCCCUACUAUCAUUCCCUUCAUUGCCCAAGCCAAGACUGCCAAAGAAGCAUGGACCAUCCUUGCCAAUACCUAUGCCAAACCCUCACGUGGUCGCAUCAAACAAGUCAAAACCAAACUUAAGAAUCCAACAAAAGGCAGCCAGAAUGUAACCGAGUAUCUUCAUUUUGUCAAAACUUGUGCUGAUGAACUAGCCAUCCUAGGUGUACCACUAGAUCCUGAAGACCUCACCGACAAGAUCCUCGAUCGCUUAGGCGAUGACUACAAGGAACUGGUCUGUGCAGUACAAGCUCGUGACACUUCCAUCACAUUUGAUGAGCUCCAUGAGAAGCUACUCUCCUUUGAAGCCUCUGCACCUGCAAUCACAAGUUCAGAAACUUCAAUUCCAAUUACUGCCAAUCUGAUUACUACUCAAAAAGCGCUAUUUCAUAACUUGUAAUUAACUCUUUUAAACACUUUUGAGUAGUAGUUAUCACCUUUUAACCCAAUUAACAUAUUAAGGACCCUUGCAAUCAAUUCUAAUCAAAUUGUGUUAAGUUUUGGUGUUUUGAUAGCUUUUUUAUCACCAAAGCAAUCCGAGAUUGAGGAGAGUUCUUUGGAAUCCAUGGCAAAAGAUGUCCGGAUAGGGCGUCUGGACACACCAUCAGAGGGCGGCAGAACGUGGGCUGUGGCAGGCUAUCAGAAUGACGUAGCAAGGCUUGUGCACUUUAGUCAAUGAUCCAGACAACAUAUUCGAAUAGGAUAUGCUAUCGUCCUGGGUGUGAUGAUCGCGAGUGCCAUGUGCUUCUCCCUGAGGGAGUCCGGAUAGGGGAGCGCACCACAUAUUCUCUUAGAGAAUCCGGAUGGAGUUGCUCCCGAUAGCGAUGUGCGCUCUGUGUCAUCAGGGGGAGGGGUCCCUACACCUUGCACACGCAGACGGCCCCCUUGCGACGUGUGGCAUCGUACAUUCCACCCGGAUGACUCACAUCCGGAAUUCUGCUCCGCCGACAUUCCACCUGAAUGUCUCACAUCUGGAAUUCUUCUCCGCCGACAUUCCAUCUGGAUAUUUCGCAUCCGGCGCCUGACGCCGGAUGGGAGAAGAAGGCGUUUCAACUUCCCCGGUCAGACAUAUCCGGAUCCUCUGAAAGCGCUUACCCGGAGAGUUUCGCAGCCAUUUUGCACAGUGUCGUGGUGUUCUCCUAAAGCUUCCCGAUAUGUGCGACCAAAAUUUUGAGAUAUUUUGCUUUAGAUAUUUGAUGUCUAAAUCCCCAAAAUCUCCUUAUAACCCACCUAUCAUAGGAUUCCUUAGUCUUUAAGUAAGAACAAAGGGUGAAUAACCUCUUAUAUAUAGUUUGUAAUUUCCUUUACAAGAUAAUGAUAUAAUCGGAUCUCGGAAGCUUGUUCUUAGAGACAACCUUUUGUAUAAAUAAGAAAUAUAUUUUGUAGAGCACUUGCUCUGUUUUUCCUAUAUAUAUUUUUGUUCUCUUGUUAUUUUUCUUUCUAGCCAAUCAAACUCUAAGGAUUUUUCCUCAGAGGAUGAGAGGCUAGGCUCUUCGUCUCUUGGAGUGAAGAAAUCCGGGUAAGUUUCCUCAUGCAUAAAUUGGAAUUUUUGUUGUUUUAGUUUUUAAUGAAGAGAAAGUGUGACCCGUUAAUGGUUUUUAUCUUUUUAGUUAACUUAAAACGCCUUUAAAUCACCCGGGCCAACACUUGGUAAGGCAAGUGAUCUCCGUCUAUUGAGAUACACUAGUUUAUCUCUUGCGAGCCUUUGGGAGGUGGUUUGAAGGUAGGAUUUUCUAGAAUAGCCAACACUUGGUAAGCUUUUGGACUCUAAGGAGACAUCCAUUAGUUAUCUCUUGCGAGCUUUUGACGGGUAAUCCAAGGUUAAAGAUCACCUUGAAUGGCAAGUGCUAGGUGAGAGGUAUGAGCCAUUGCAAGAUGCAUCAGUGAGAGGGAUUUAGUGUUUAAACCCAUUAAAGGGAAGCAUCUGUACCACACUGGUUCGGGAAAUAACUAUAUGUUAAAUCUCCAAUGCGAGGAAAAGAAACAAGUGACAGGAACUUCCUUUUUGUAUGAGGAACCUGAGCCUAGUGAUCUGAAACUCCAAGAAACACUUUUCUUUGUAAGUAAAAUCAGUUACUAUUUUUGGUUAGUUUAAAACCAAACCUUUUUCCACCAAAGAUUAUGUUUUCUUUUAAAGCUAACCUUGAAAUGAAAAGGCACCAAUUCAACUUUGAAUUAAUAUCAAUUGUGAAGUGAAAACCCAUCCCAGUGAACGAUCCUAGAGCCACUAUGCUAUAGUAGCUUUGUCUUUGCUAUCCUAGUUCAUGGUGUAAUAGGUUAUAAAUUUUGUUGAUUACUCCCUCAAUCAAGGAGCACCAGCUGGACAUGAAUCAGCUGAUACACCAAGUAGGCACGAAUCACAAUCCAACAAACAAAACAAACCACCAAUGGUGCCCAAACAAACCAAAUAAUUGGCAUAUCCCCUCUCCCUCACAUGCACCUAUUGGCAACCAGAAUUGGCGUCCACCAACACCCAAUAAUGGUCGUCCACCAAUUAACUUAGAUCAACGCUUCCAAAAUCGUAGCAACCGUCCUCCAUCUAGACCUUAUCAAGGCUUCUAUCAGAUUUGUGGCAUCCAAGGACAUACAACCAAGAGAUCUCCCUCAUUUCAAGUGCUUCCCAUUCAAUCCUCUACCAUUGCACCCUCAUCCUCCAACAACUCAACUGCUCCUUUGCAGCCAUGAGUUAACUUUGCUGCGAAUAGCACAUCACCAAACCCGAGCUGGUUACUCGACAGUGGCGCCUCUCAUCAUGUCACAACUGAUCUAAACAAUCUGUCCCUUCACUCACAUUACAACGGAAUAGAUGAUGUUAUGAUCGGGGAUGGUACAGGUCUCUCCAUGACACACACGGGCUCCACUACUCUCUCCUCUCCACAAUCAACUUUCACUUUAUCUGAUGUUCUUUGUGUCCCAACCAUGAAAAAAAACUUAAUUUCCAUUUCUCAGUUUUGCAUCACUAACAAUGCAUCAGUUGAAUUCUUACUAUCUUCUUUUUUUGUGAAGGAUCUUCGCUUGGGGGUAAUUCUAUUCCAGGGCAGUACUAAGAAUGGAGUGUAUGAAUGGACGACUCCCAAAAACCCGAUUCUAGCAUUCUCUACAGCCAAAACAACAUCUAUCAACUAGCAUCAUUGUUUAGGACAUCCAACUCUUCCAAUCUUACAACAUAUUCUUUCUAAUUCUUGUUUAGAAUCAUCUUCCUUUAUGCCAAAAGAUUUCUCAUGUACUGCAUGCCUCUGCAAUAAAAGUCACAAAUUACCUUUUUCUACUUCAUCACUUGUGUCUACACACCCUCUUCAAAUUAUUUUUUAUGAUGUUUGGACCUCUCCCAUUAUGUCUUCCACUGGUUUUAAAUAUUAUGUCAUAUUUUUCGAUCACUUUACAAAAUAUAUCUGGUUUUAUCCCCUCAAACGAAAAUCAGAUAUUCACGAAGUGUUUAGACGCUAUAAAACCAUUGUUGAAAAUUACUUCAACCACAAAGUCGUCACUUUAUAUUAUGACAAUGGGGGAGAAUAUUUGGGCCUCAAAGAUUACCUUUAUACCGUUGGUAUAUCUCAUCUAACUAGUCCACCUCAUACACCCGAACACAAUGGCUACUUUGAAAGAAGACACCGUCACAUUGUCAAAAUUGGCCUCACCUUACUCUCCCAUGCCUCCUUACCUCUCACCUUUUGGCCUCAUGCAUUCAAUACUGCUGUAUACUUAAUUAAUAGGAUGCCCACCCCUACUCUCAACCCCUCCACUCCCUUUGAAUUAAUUUUCAAAACAAAACCAAAUUAUGCUAAACUCAAAAUCUUCGAAUGCUUAUGUUAUUCAUGGCUUCGUCCUUAUUCAUCCCACAAACUAGCCCCCAAGUCCACACUCUGUGUCUUUCUUGGUUACUCUUUGUCCCAAAGUGCCUAUCUCUAUUUUGAACCAACCACCUCUAAAACAUAUAUCUCUCGUCAUGUCUAAUUUGUUGAAUCCAUAUUUCCUUACACCACACUCAACAUUCAGCAACCAUGUCUUACCACCAACAGUUUCUAAUUGGAUUCCACCAGUUAUCACCAUUCCCAUUCCUCCUCCAACACAACCGCCUUCUUACACUCCAAAAGUACAAGCUCCAAACUUGGCCCCUGUUGCAAAUCACAUCUCAAACACGUUUCUACCACCCCCAUCAACCAGGACCUACACUACAACCAGAACCUGCCUCACAACAAGUCUCUACACCAGCUCCUCACCAUUCCAUGACUACCCGCGCCAAAAACCAUAUCACCAAACCUAUCCAAAAACUCAAUCUCGACACACACCUAGCCUCUUCCCCCAGUUCCGAACCCACACCUGUUGCUCAAGCCCUCAAAGACUCAAACUGGCGCAACGCUAUGUCCGAAGAGUAUGAUGCCCUUGUUCCCAAUGGGACUUGGGAACUUGUUUCUCCAACCGGCAUCACCAACCUUGUAGGUUGUAAGUGGGUGUUUCACAUUAAAAGAAACUCUGACGAUUCUAUUGAUAGGUUUAAAGCUUGCCUUGUAGCCAAAGGCUUUCAUCAAAGACCAGGUGUGGACUAUCUUGAAACAUUCAGUCCAGUAAUCAAGCCAACUACUGUGAGAUUUGUGCUUAGUAUUGCCGUAAGCAAUGGCUGGUCUCUUUGCCAAUUAGAUGUAAACAAUGCCUUUCUCUAAGGUACUCUAUCAAAAACAGUAUAUAUGGCACAACCUCCUGGCUUCAUUGACACUGAUAAACCCACCCAUGUAUGCAAGCUUCACAAAGCCAUUUAUGGUCUCAAACAGGCUCCUCGGGCCUGGUAUCAUGAAUUGUGCCAAUUUCUUGUAGAUUCUGGGUUCAAGAACUCUCACUCUGACACUUCUCUGUUUAUUCUACAUACUGGAACCAACCUCCUCUAUCUGUUGGUAUACGUUGACGACAUUAUAAUCACUGGGAAUAGUAACGAUCUUGUAUCCCAAGUUGUUGAGUGUCUAGCUCAACAUUUUUCUCUCAAAGAUCUGGGCCCUCUAUCAUAUUUUCUUGGUGUAGAAGUUGUUCCUUAUUGUCAUGGCCUCUUACUCUCACAAAGGUAAUAUAUAAAGGAUCUGCUCACUAGAACUAAUAUGCAAGCUACCAAACCAGUUCAUACACCUUUACCAACCAACUCGUCCUCCAUCAAGUUAUCAUCUGGAUCGCCUCUCUUUGACCCCACGGAAUACAGAAUUGUAGUGGGCAGCCUUCAAUACUUGUCUCUCACUCGUCCGGACAUUUCAUUUGCUAUUAACGAAAUGUCUCAGUUCAUGCAUCAACCAACAGAUGAACAUUAGACUCUAGUUAAACGAAUUUUACGUUACCUCAAUGGCACCGUAAAUGAUGACCUUCUUCUUCAUCGCACCUCACCGCUAUCCCUUCAUGCUUUCUCUGACUCGAUUCAUACCUUCCUCGAUGCUGACUGGGUAGGUAACAAGGAUGACUACUCUUCAACUGGUGCUUACCUUGUUUACUUAGGCAACAAUCUCAUUUCCUAGAGCUCUGAGAAGUAGAAAACUGUGGCUCGUUCUUCUAUUGAGGUAGAAUAUCGCUCAGUUGCUGCUACUACUGCUGAACUCUGCUGGGUUUGCUCUUUGCUCUCUAAACUUUGCAUCAAUCUGGCCAGCCCCCCAGUUGUCUACUACGACAAUGUCAGUGCAACACAGUUAAGUUCAAAUCUGGUCUUCCAUUCUCAAAUGAAGCAUGUGGCAGUUGAUUAUCACUUCCUCCGUGACCAAGUUCAAUCUAGUGCUCUUUACGUGGCUCAUGUUUCAUCUACAGACCAACUUGUUGAUCUUCUAGCCAAACCUCUGCCUCAUUCUCAAUUCUAGAAAUUACGAGUCAAGAUUGGCCUCGUUCCACGUGGCCUAUCUUGAGGGGGCAUAUCAGCAUCUAACAAAGAUAUGUUAUCCGAUCUUUAUUCAAAUUCAAAUAUUUCUUUGUAUAUAGCAGAGUAGUUGAGUCUUCCUUAAGACUAAGACUUCCUCUUGCAUAUAGGAGUGAUCUUGUUAUUCCUCUGUGUAUAUGUACUCUAUUUUGGUUAAUGAAAAUCAGUAGAAAAAUCAUAAUUGAUUCUCAUCUCGACAACAUCCUCUGACCAGCUGACCCAACCUGUUCAUGUUGUUUUUAAGGUUUUCAAUGAAAUUCUGUUGGUCAAAACAUUUAGCUAUAAAUAGACCCUUAAUUUAGACCCAAAGAUGAAAAUCACCUGUUCAAGUAACCAUUGAAGCUGAACAUUAGAAGAAACUUGGUGACUACUCAACUUCAAUAAGCUCCAAUGGCUUCUAAGUGGUUUGUUGGCGCCAUGGCAAUCUUGGCAUUUGUUCUUCCUGUUGUGGCCAUGGCAACUGAAUUUACUGUUGGAGAUGACCAAAGAUGGACCAUUAAUUUCGACUAUGAAGCUUGGGCUAAGGAGAAAAUAUUUCAUGUUGGAGAUAAACUAGGUAAUGUAGGUCAAGCCUUAAGCUAUGAUUUCAUGUUCCUUUUUAUCACUUCCUUUUAUUCCAGCUGCUAAAAGUAUUAUGGUCAAUUCUCAUACAUGCAGUCUUCAAAUACAUAGCGAGAUGGCACAAUGUCUUCAAAGUGAAUGGUACGACCUUCACGAACUGCACUAUACCACAAGAAAAUGAACCUAUUACCACUGGAAAUGAUGCAAUUACACUAGCCGCGCCUAGAAGGAAGUGGUACAUAUGUGGUGUAAACGACAAUUGCGCAAACUAUGGACAGAAGCUUGUCAUCACUGUAUUGGAAGAGUCGAUGUCUCCUGCGCCGGCCCUCUCCAACCCCACAGCACCAGCACCCAACUCUACUCAUGGGAUCUCUAGGUCCGGUUAUCAACUUCUGAUGGCAGCCAUGGUUGCUCUUGCCUUCCUAGCUAUUUGAUGAUCUGUUUUUAUUCCAGGAGUACCUUUGAUCAUCUAGUUUUCAAGAAUUUUCUUUUGGUUUAUGGUUUUUUCAUUCAAUUAUUUUUUAUAUGAUUGAAAGAAAAUGGUAUCUUCGAAAUAUGAAAUAUGGAAAAGAGAAAUGAGGAUGAAUACCUGUUGUGACAGUCUUACAAAUUUAUUUAUUUAUUUAUUUUAAAGUUUAUUGAUGUUUUUAUACCUUGCUGUUUUAUUUUUAUUUAAUCAAUAUAAUAUAAAGUUAAUGUUGUAGUAUGAAGAAAUAAUGUGAGCCUAUAUAUAGAAGCCUUUAGAUUAUUGAAGAAUGAUGAGUUAUACUUUCAUAGACCACUCAAAGAAUGAGAGGAUAUUUUUAAUUUGCUUUCCACUUAUAGAGACUUAUGCUUUGUUUGGAUUAUGAAAAUAAUUAGGAAAUAAUUUUUUUUUUAAAAAAAAGCAGAAAUCUCACAUUCUCUUAUUAGGUUUAAUGUAAGAAAAUUAGAAAGAAAAUCAAAUUCAAUAAAAUUUAUUUGAUUUCAAAUCCUUCACUAUCAGAUGAACUUCCUCCCUUAGUUUGGUGUGAUAAAAAAAGUGCAGCUACCCUAGCUGCCAAUCCGAUCUUCCAUGCCCGCUCAAAACACAUUGAUAUAGAUCUUCAUUUUAUUCUUGAUAAAGUCCUUCAUAAAACCCUUAAUAUGUAUAUUCCCUCAUCUGGUCAGGUCGCCGAUAUCUUCACCAAGCAUCUUCCAAGCUUACAGUUCUCCACCUUUUAUAUCAAACUCUCCAUUGUCCCAUGCCAUAUAACUGAACAACAUAACAUUACUAGGAGUAGUAACUGAACAUCAAGACUUGCAACAACAAGAACAGACUACCAGAAGCAGCAACCGCACCUUAAGACCUACAACAAUAUGAACAGACUAUUGUUAAUGAUUAGUUAGACUGUUAUCAAGAACUACUAAAGCAACAACUACAGUUAGACGGAUUUGUAUAUAUAUAUAUAUAUAUAUGUAGUAGGCUUUAGAACAAAGUAAUCAAUAAUAAAUAUCCCUAUGAUUGUUUUUUUGCUAAAACAAAAAAAUCACUCCCUGGUAACUCGUAGCCUACUAUGAAUAGUGGCAAUGAUUGUCGAGGGUGGCCCUAGAGGUGGAAGGAGUCUCUCUUUGUUAUCUUAUUCUUCUUCUUGCAAAUUCCCUUCUUAUCCAUGAACUCCGUUAACUUCCCACUUUUUACAAACUCUUUUAUAUGUCGUUUUGGACUUCAAUACUUGUCGGUCCGAUUCCCUUGAUCCUCAUCGUAGUCGCAAUACUUAUGAGGCUUGCACUCCCCCACUAUGACCGAAAAGGGUUUGGAUGGUCAAAAUCCUUUCAAUGACUUAAUCUCUUAGAGGAUGUGUUACUAGGACACUUUUUACAGCAUAUAGUUGGGUUUGGAACGAUUUUCUAGAUGAAAGUUAAUAUUUUCUCGAGUUCGCUUCUUCUCUUCUCUUUCAAUUUGAGACACAUCUUUCCUAUUACUUCCCGACUAGUUACGAAUUUGACAGAAUGAUGCUUCAAUAAGGAGGGCACCACAGGAGGUAGCUUUCUUUAUCAUUGAGACUUCAGGUCUUCUCUGGCAUGGCCUGUUUCCUUGCUUUAGCAAAUAAUCCCUACAUGGUUGUCCGUGUUGAAUUAGAGAGUGAGUUAAUGAGGUUUGAACUCUUUGGAAGUCCUUUGAAAGCCAUCAUCACUGCUUGCGUGAUGCAUCACCAAACUUGAGAUAUUUCAAUGUUAAAUCACUGCAAAUAUGCAUGCCUUUAUUAACUCUCCUACACAUUUUGCUUCCAACCCUUUUUCCUAUCAAAUAGAGUGAAUAUAGUAUGCUAUAAACACAACUUCCAAAGCUCAAGAUUAAUUCGGACAAGCGUUGAUGGAACCAUAAUAAUGUUGGUACCGUCAGACAUAAGGGGAAGACUUUGCAUAAUAAGUGGUGGUUAUGUACCAUCAUUUGGCAUAAAUGCAUUAGAUACUUGUGGGGAUCACUAGUACUGCUAAACAUGUUGAACUUCGAGAGAACAAACUCAUUGUUGUAGCCUCCUCUUGGAGAAUGUCAUGAGUAAAUGGUGUUAAAACAAUCUCUCACAAGACAUGAAGACGAUGAGCUUUACAUUACUUUCUUGUAUCAAUAGUGGAGUCUUAUUUGGUCCACCCUAGUUGCCUAUUAAGGCCUUCCUCUAAGACAACAAGGUCAUGUACCUUAGAUAAUGUUUUGAUCACUUAGAAUCAACAAAUCCCUUCUUGAUCAUUUUCUCUUUAAUGUUACUUUUUUUUUUCUUUCUUUGUUUUUUUUUUUUUUUUUUUUUUUUUUUUUUUNNNNNNNNNNNNNNNNNNNNNNNNNNNNNNNNNNNNNNNNNNNNNNNNNNNNNNNNNNNNNNNNNNNNNNNNNNNNNNNNNNNNNNNNNNNNNNNNNNNNUUUUUUUUAAAGGUAACUUUUUUUUUUUUUUUUUGGUUUUUUUUUUUUUUUUUUUUUUUUUUUUUUUUUUUUUUUUUUUUUUUUUUUUUUUGCAUGUAACCCUUUGAAUUUCACAUUUUCUUGAGCUAACACCCUUGUUUCUUUUCACUAGCUCCUCUAUUCUUGGCAAGGUUUCCUUGUUUUCUUUCCUCAUCCUCUUUUCCAUUGUGGUUAUCUACUCUUAGAGUUGUAGGAAAGCUGAAAGGUCCUCAUGCAGUCACUUGCCACUUGAGUAAGUUUGCAUUAUGACUAUCAUUUAGGUUUUUCUACCAUUUACCAUAGACAACAUCAAUGUGUUUCACCCUCUUUAAAAUGUAGCAACUCUAUCCUUGAAUAUGACCUAUCUUUGUGAUAUAGAAGAAGAUAGAGUGGGGAUUUGAUUGACCCUCUUUGAUGGUCAAGUUAGUCCUCGAUCAUUAAUAAAAGGACAAACAAAUAGGAAUAGAGUAUAUGAGGGAAAAAAGACUAGGAUAAUUUAUGUGUACCCUAUCUUGGUCUAGCCUUAGGGUUUUAUACUACCUUAGUUUAGGCAUUAAUUUUAGAAAGUGUUAUGAUAAAACCCUUAAAAACAUGACAUGAUAUAAUAAUAAUAAUAAUGGAAUUAUUAUUCAUUAAUAAGAUUCCAAUUUCCUCAAUUUAUUUGUCCUAUCAAUGCAUUAUACUAUUAAAGCAUUUAAUUCUGAUAUCUUUUGCAUUGUACAUGAUUUAGGUGUAUUAGGAGUUGUACAAAAGAUCCAAGUCAUAAGUUUUUUGUAAGUAUUUAAUUUUUCAUAGCUAAUUCAUGAAUUUAGACAAUUUAUUUGAGGUUGUAAUGUGCUAGCUCCUCAUUAAGAGGAUAACUUGUCCUGGUUAUCGAGAUGAGUUUCCUAUGGUGAGUGUACUAGUGUGUAUGGUAAGUUAUGACAUUAACUAUCAAGUAGUUAUGAGCUCUUAGCCUUGAGAGGACACUAAGCUUGUGUUAAAGUCAUUAAUGACUUUGACUUAUAGGUGAGACCUUAAAGUGGUCAAAUAUUUCUCAUGAAUUAGGUCAUUGUUAAUGAAGAUUGGUGGCAAAAGGUAUAGUCAAGAUAGGCACCAUGACAUCUCAUGGGUUUGAGAAAACAUGUCCAUUUGGGUGAUCCUAAGGACAUGUGAUCAAGAAAUAUAUAGUUGUAGUAAUUCCUUAAUUGGAAUUUGAUAUAUGUUCUUUGUGAGUUAGAGUAUGCUAGUUGAUAACAUAAUAGGAAGAUUUAAGAGUACUUAAAGAUUGUAAAGACAAUUUUGAGAGUGUGAUAGCAUAUACCUAAUUAGAUUAUAAACACCAAUUCAUGGGGAACCUACAUAUGAUGAAUAGUAGAUCACAUACUUGAGUUCUUGUAUCUUAUUGUAAUAUCAUAAGAUACUAGAGUGUAGUUGACUCUCUGUAAUGAGAUUUUGAGUUAACUUCAAAUUUGGAUUCUAAGGAAGCCAAUAAUUUUUCUAUGGGUCCUAGUAGUCUUUGCUCAAAUUCGUAUUUCUUGAUAGCAUGUUUACUGAGGGUUAUUUGGAUUCUUUAUUCAUGUGUAUAUAAGAGCCUUUUAGUUAAUGUGCAAGGUUGCACAAGAGCUUAUGAACGGUCUCUAUGGAUUGGGUUAAUUGAUUAAUUGAAGCUUAAUAAGGUUAAUUAAUCAAUUAGUUACUUAAUAGAUUAAGGACCUAAGCCCAAGAUGGGCUCAAGUCGUUUAAGCUCACUAGAAGCUCUCUUAGGGGUUUAGGGUUUUACUCUUGCCAUUACUAUCUUCCCAUUCACGUUAGAGAGGAGAGCCUUAGGCUUCGCUUGAUAACUAUUUUUAAAAAUAAUGUUCUAUUCUUUAGGCAAAAAGAAGGAAAAUAUGUUUGAAAACCAAAAAACAAAAAAUAUGAUAUUUUUAGAGAUCAUCUUUUAGUUAUUUUCAAUUGUUUUCUAAGGGUUAUUUUAAAAAGUAUUUAUACAAAUAUGAAGAAUGAUUAAAAAUAAAAUACUAUGAAUAAAAGUUAAUUUCAAGAUAUAGAAAAUAGAUUAAUAACAUUUCAAGAUCUAAAACAAAUUUUUGUACUACAAAACAUCAAUGAAUAAUUUUUAAAAAUUGUUUUUUAGAACUAUUUUGAAAGCAUUUCCCCAACAGAGCCUUAGCCACCACCCCUCUGUGAGGCUACUACCACCUCAAGUUCUAGGAACCAAGGAAAAGCUAGCAAUCAAAUGGAAGAUCUCUCAGUUUAUGAGACUCUUUCAUUGAUUGGAAAUGAUUUGGCAACAUCCAUAUCUCAGUUAAUGCACUAUGAAGUUGUUGAUCUAAGGUUUUAAUAUGCAUAUGCUUCCGCUUGUUAGAUUUAGGGUCUUACAAUGUUUUUGCAUACACCCAUUUUGAUACAUAUGCCAUGUGUCACUUGAUUUGAACGACCCACAUGUAUAUAGCUAUGCUUCUACUAAAGAUGGUAUAGUUGCUAAUACAUCAGGCUGACAUACAAAUUUCUUUUAAAUUUUUUCAUUAAAAUCCUUAAUUAAUUUUUUUAAAUUUAUAUGCCUCAAAUUUAAAAGCUUUUGCAUUACAUGCCUCAAAUUUCUUUUAAAUUUUUUCGGACGUUGAAACUAAUUAAAGUAGUAUUGCUUCCAAUUUUGCAUUUGACGUGCCGUUACAUAAUUAAUUUCCAUUCAAAUUUUCUGUAACAUGCGUGAUCUAACCAUGACAUGUUUUUAAGAAUAAAACGCAUAUCUGAGUCAUGGAUCAUAAAGUGGUAGAGACUGCUUCAUGAACAACUUAGAUUAAUUAAAAGGUCGUCCAAAUUGGGUUUGGUUUGGCAUUUUUGUGGUCCCACUUUUUCUAUUUGCCUUUUUCCAGCCUAGUCUCCAAGCCGGCAAGAGUCACCCUCUUAAGGGAGUUCCAUUUGUACUUCUAAAGUUAACAAUUAGCCAUUGUUUAGUAAUUUAUGCCAAAAUCAUGACUCCAGUUCAAAAAAAUUAUCGUUCUUUAUUUGAUAGUAUGUUUGGACAAAGGAAAUCUCUUAAAGAAGAAAAUUCUUUGUUUUGUAACAUUAGCUAUGGCAUAACUUCGUUCUAACCAGCCUGUUUCUCAUGGUUGUUGAGGCUUUCGAUGAAACUCCGAGCUAAAAAAGUUGCUAUAAAUAGACCCUUAAAUGGACAUCAGUGCAAGUCGGAGAAACACAUUGAAGCUGGUAUAAAGAAACUUUACCACUAAUCAACUUCAAUCAGCUCUAAUGGCUUCUAAACAUUUAGCUGCCCUUGCAAUCCUCGCAAUUCUUCUUCCUGCUGUGGCCAUGGCAACUGAGUUUACUGUUGGAGAUGAUCAAGGUUGGACCAUUAAUUUCGACUAUGAAGCCUGGGCCAAGGACAAAGUCUUUCAUGUUGGCGAUAAACUAGGUAAUGUAGCUCAAACUAUCACUUUCUUUUCCCUUUAUGACUUCUUUUAAUUCAAGCUGCUAAAAAUAUUGUCGCCAAUUCUCAUAUAUGCAGUCUUCAAAUACACGGCGGGAAGGCACAAUGUCUUCAAAGUUAACGGUACUGCCUUCACGAACUGCGCUAUACCACCAGCAAAUGAGGCUCUUACCACUGGAAAUGAUGUGAUUACACUGGCCACCCCUGGAAGGAAGUGGUAUAUUUGUGGUGUGAACGACCAUUGUGCCAACUAUGGACAGAAGCUUGCCAUCACAGUGCUGGAAGCGUGGGUGUCUCCUGCAUCAGCCCCCUCCACCCCCGCAGCAUCAGCUCCCUCCACCCCCGCAGCGUCAGCCCCCUCCACCCCCGCAGCACCAGCCCCCUCCACCCCCGCAGCACCAGCACCCAGUUCUGCUUAUGGGAUCUCGGUGUCUGGGUAUCAGCUGCUGAUGGCAGCCAUGGUUGCUGUUGCUUUCCUAGUCGUUUGAUCUGCUUUUUCUCCGGGAGUACCUUUGAUCAUCUAGUUUUCAAGAGAUUUCUUUGUUUCAUUGUUCUUCUAUUCAAUUAUUUUUUGGACUGAAAAAUGCGAUGUGUGAUGAAGUUUGAGUGGAAAUGAAACAUCCAAUUUUUUUUGUUUCUAUCAUUCUAAUUUGAUUCUUUGAUUUUUCUUUUCAUUCUUUUUAUCUAAUUUAAUUCUUUGACUUUUCACACUAUCUUUCUAAUAAUUUAUAAGGCAUACUUAUUUGUUUGCGAUUUUUUUCCUUCAUAUUUACUGCAAAGAGCAUCAGAAUUGGACAUGUGUCUGCACUUCUUUACUGAACUUUCGAAAAUAAUGAAGCUUAACAUGGACUGAGUUCGGAUCAGUACAUACUUUCCUUAUGUUCCCUUUGAAAUAUUAAAUGGUACAAACUUUUGCAUGUUGGUCACAAAACAAAGUGCAGGUUGCUGUGUAUGCCCAUUUGAGUUUCAACAUUCUGCACAUCUCCCUAUCUUCUUUUAAUGCUAGAACCACUCCACAAAUUCUGUCAAACAUCCAUCAAUUGGGUAACAGAAUCAUCUUUGUGCAUGGUCAUUUUUGAGUGUGAUCUGCUACCUUCUUUCUGUUACUUGUUUCCAGAUUGAUGCCACUUGUAUGUGAUUGAAGGAGACUUGAACGAGCAUGACAGAAUUGUUGGUGAACUGUGUGCAUGAGACAAUGAGGGACUAUCUGAAUUUGAUUGAUUUAGGUCUCAAAAAUAAGCAUGCAAGAAGGUAGGACAUGGUAGUGGCACUUAGAAUUUUUUGCUAAUUCUUGGUUUUACAUUACCAAGUUGUAAUUGAAAUGAUGAGCAUUUCAUUCUUAUUUUACCGUCUGGUUUGUAUGGAAGAGAUUGAUGCUCAUCACUUAGAGAAAGGAUUUGGUGAAAAUGACAACACUCACUUAAGUCUGUUAUUGAUUUUGAUAUAUAUAUAUAUAACUGUUACUUAUUGAUUUUGAUAUAUAUAGCUAUUACAAGAAGGAUUAGUUAGUUACUUAUAGUCUAAGUUGGCAUAACAAACUCUUAACAAACUUCCUAAUAGGUAUAAGCUUAAUUUAAUUGUAUCACUAAUAUACCCCUCACAUGCUAAACGAUGGUACUAAGUGAAAGCUUGUUACACAGGAAAAGAAAACGAGAAAUAGACAAAGGCUUAGAAAAGACAUUAAUUGUUUGCUCUUUAUAUGGAAUAUAACAAACAUCCACUUCAUUGUUGAGCACUUUCUCAAGCAUGAAUUGAAUAUCAAUCUUGAUAUGUUUAGUUUUGGCAUGAAAAAUAGGAUUUGAAGUAACACAAUAACACCAAUGUUAUCACACCACCACAUGAGGGUUUUUCAAGAGAAAGACCCAACUCAUGAAAUAGAGAUUGAAUCCAAAUCAAUUUUGUAGUGGUAGAAGUUGAAGCACAAUAUAGGAACCAAGACUUUUUUUAUUGAAGAAUUGAUUGACACACUUUGACAACUAGAUUGAGAAACACUAGGCUCUUGUAGCAGAGAAAGCAAGGCCUUGAACAUAGAAGAUGACUUGGACUAUGAAGAUUGUGAUUGUGUGAGAUCAAGUUGAUAGAGACCAUUCCUAAGAGCUCGUUCCUCCAUAAUUUUCUUUGAAGCUUUGUCCUUGCUUAGACAAUAGUCAUGACAGAAUUCAAUUAAAACAUUAUUAUAUUUUGUAAAUUGAGAAAUACUAAAAAGAUUUUUGGUUAUGUGUGGAACAUGUAAGAUGUUAUUAAGGAGAAGAGGUUUAGAAGAAUUUUUGUAAGGUAAAAAGGAAUUUCCAAACUGAGAAAUAGCAAGUUUAAAACCAUUACCAACCAUAAGCUUCUCAUUGCCCAUGUAAUCUACCUUGAUAGUCAGAUUGUUCAUAUCGACAGUGAUGUGGUUUGUUGCGCUACUAUCGACAUACCACUCGUGAUCUGCAAAGUUAGAGGUGAAAGCAAUAUUUGCCUAAUAACUAGUCAAAUCAACACUUGAAAAGCUAAUAUCAAACGUUUUGUAGCAUUUAACAACCACAUGACCAAUCUUGCCACAAAGUUGACAGAUUGGCUUGUUGCCAUGACUAGAACCACCAUUGUCAAGGCCAUGAUGACCAUGGAAAUGAGAGUUACCACCAUGAUUGGCAUUACUCAAUACAACAAGAAAAGAUCUGCGAUAAGCAACAUUAGUAGAGGGAGAAUUUUGCAAAUCAGUUGGCAAAAAGACCAAUUGAUGUUGAAUCAUCAUUUCAUGAGUCUAUAUGACAAAUUGAACCUCUUGAAGAGUGAGAGCAUCGUUUCUUGAAGUAAGAUUAACAAUGAUUGACUCAUAUUCAGGAUAAAAUCCAAUAAGAAUAUAAAGAAUAAGAUCUUUAUCAAUAAUGACCUAACCAAUAUAGUUAAGAUUGUCAGUCAAAACUCACAUCUUAAGAAUAUACUCCUCUACACUAAGAGCUCAUUUCUUCAAUGUCUAUAGCAUCAUACAAAGUUGCAUCACUUUGGCCUUCGAUUGAGACCAAAAAAGUUAUUCACGUAUGGACCAAAGUUCAAUAGUAGUAGCACAAUGAUUGACAUGAUUGAGCAUUGAUUCGCUCAUCAAUAAAAGAAUCUAGCUUAAGUUUGAUCUUGACCUCUUCUUGAAGUUCAAUCAAGAAGAAAAUGAGUUUUCACCCAAAACCUAAAUAGAUAAGAAAUUGAAAGAUGAAUGGAAUAGGAGAAUCAACCCAUUUUUUUAAGGAAAUCUAUAGGAAUAUAGUUUGGAAAUCAAGAUGAAAAAAGGGAAUUUUCUUAACAACCAAACACCCUUAAUUAGAUAAGGAUAGAGAGAGCUCACGAGGGAAGGAGAAUGGUUACAGGUAUCUCUUCCCCAAAAUAGGAAGCAAUUUUAGGUUUUAAAUGGAAAGAAGCCCUUGAUCUCGUGGUUAAGAAAAAAAAAACCAACUUGAAUUGAUUUGACCAAAACCUAGAUUGAUCUUGGAACAUGACAUUUAAACACUUAGACAAAAAUAGUUAUCAUGGCUUCCUCAACUCUUUUUAGAAACAAAUAGUUAUAGAAGAAACACUUUGAAAAACUUUGGUUGAUUCCAUCUCAUCCAUCUACAACCUCAACUAUAUACCUUGGUCUCUUAGUAAAUUCAAUAUCUUUAUCUUCAUUAGGCUAGUAGUUCGAGGAAGGAUUUGGAAAAAUUGAGUUAGGAAAUACUUAGGAAAUUUUUCUAGAAUUGCUGAUCUAGCUAAACACUCAUAAAAACAUAAAUACUUGUAUUACUUUAUCAUAAAGUUUCCCUUAUUGUUUUUUAGUCUUUACAAAAUCAUCAAACAAUUUCCAGUUGGGUAUGGACAAUGUGUAGCUGGAUGUUGUCAAUGCCAAUGCAGUUGUGCUUGUAGAGACAAGUCUCAAGUAGAGAAGAAGCAUUGCUAAAGAACAAGUGAGAACAAUGCGCUCUCUAUAUGUCUUUUAAGUGUGUGUGUGUGUGUUUUAUCUUUAAAUAUUUUCUCUGAAAACAUAGUUUUGAGAAGACAUAAAACAACCAUGUUUUUUAAGUCACCAUUUGCCAAACACGUUUUUUUAAGUGUUUUUUUUAUUCUAACGAAUAGAAACCACAAUUCCCUACAAAGCCUUUAUAUUCCUCACAAUGCUCUCCAUGGAUAGUUUAUGCUAUCAUGAAGAAAUAAUUGGAAUAUUGAUGAGUACAAGAAGCAACACAUAGCUUAUCACAACUUUUCACCUCUACAAAGAUGAACAUGACGCUUCUAUCACUAAGGUACAGAUGAUAGUAAUCACUUCAUCUUCUUUAACUGAAUCACAAUUUUUUUGGUAGUUGAGUGCGAAUUUCUAGUAGGGUUUUUGCAUUGAAGCAACUUCAAGGAACCAUUAGUAGAUCUUUAAUUAGAUUUACAAAAGUAGUACUUGUAUGCAACAUUCCAACUAGUCCUUUCUACACAUUGUUAAUGAGUAAAAAAAUGCAUGCAAUUCAUAUUUGAGUCUUUAUCUAUUUUUAGGGAAACUUGAGGAACUUCCAAUCUAUAGGCACUUGAUGCCUGCAUUGCAUGAAACCUUUUGUUGCAUCAAAAACCCUAAAAAAUACUUUGCAAAUGUGAAAUUUCCAUAGCUAGUACUAGUAGAAACUAAUGAUUUCAAGAACCCGAUUGAAUUAUGUUAUUUACAUAUUUCACAACAAAAAGAGCAAAUUUGAUUAAGAUAUACUUACUUUGUGUGAUUGCUAUGAGACUUGUGAAGGACUAGAAGGUGAUCAAAGAGCUAUUCUACAAGAGGAACAAUGUCUCUCUUGAUGAUGUGGUAGUCAAGACACUUCAAGCAUUACAAGAAUGGUAUAAAUAUGUUUUUUUUUUCACAUGCUUGUUAAUGUAUGGAUUGAAGCAAUUUAGGCUAGAUUAGUUGGAUUGACAUCAACUUUAGAGCUUGAGUUGAUUUGAGAUAUCACUCAAUUAGAUUAAUUAAUGUACAACCUAAACUUAAAGUAGGGUUAAAGUUUAUGAUUUGGUUCCCAGAAGAAGUCGGCCAAUUAACCUAAUGCCCUAAAGGCCAUUAUGCUAUAAAGAUAGGUUUUUUGAAAUUAAAUGAUACUAUCACACAGUCUCCUGAAUCCAAAUAGAAUAUUAUUAUAUAACCAUGCUUUAUAAUAUAAUGAUAUUGUCACACACUAUCCUUAAUCAAUUAAAAGACAUGCUUUGGAACUCAGUCAUACUAGAAUUAAUGAUUUAUUAAAGUUUUACUUCAUAGUAACACCACACUUACUAUUACACUUUGCUCUUACAAACAUAGGAAAAUAAAGCAUAAGUAGAGUUUGAUUCAAAGAAAAAGAACAAGUUCAUCAAGAGGCAUUUUUAAUCACUUCCAUUAAACAACUCUUUAAACCAAUGUGACUAAGAAAUCUUUAUAAUUUCCAAGAGCUACAUCUUCGAUCUUCUUGGUUAGAGGAGUUCCAUAUUGCUUAUUAUAUUCCUCAGCAAUGACCUUUAUAUCAACAUUGGCUCGGGUUACAAUAACUCGAGUUAGGGCUUCUUUUUCAUUCUCGUUUGCAUUAGCUUUCAUUGCCGAAUCUAAAAUCUAAGAUUAAAAAAAGAAAAAUAGUCCAAGAAAUGUUUCAACAAAAAAGUAAAAAGAUCAUUUUUGUAAUGUGUUAUAGUGAAUUUAUCUCACCUUACUAAAAUACAUUGGAGGAGCAUACAAGCAAUAAAUCGUGUCCUUCAAACAUGGCUCAUCAAGAUCCUAAACAAUGAGGAAUUAUAUUAAAAUUAAUAUUUUUGAAAGCUAAUUCGUGGAAAAAUGAGUUCUAAUAAAUAUUAAAAUGAAAAGAAUUGUUCAAAGUAACACAAGAAUGAGAAUAGUUUUUUUUUUUAAAGAAUUUAUAAAAAAAGGCUGGAGUUUAUAAACAAUAUAAUGAAUAAGAAUAAAAAUAGAGUAAAAAAAAGGCACAUGAGUGGACCGCACAAAUAAUGUUCCAUGAUUCAAAACAAUAUGUUUUUCUGUACAUAAUUUUACAUGUUAAACUAUUAGCAAAAUAUAUAUUUCAAUUUAAUUACUUCUUAGAAUGUAUUUGGUAUGUGAAAAUAGAAUAAAAAUAAAGAUAAAUCAUAACAUCAUGUAAAAGAGAAAAAUCAAAAUCCUAAAAAAAAAAAAAAGAAAGAAAGAAUUUGUAUCCACAAGAUUGAAAUUUUAAUUUCAUUCCUAUAUUUAAUAAGUAAUUUGGAUUUAGAAAUGAAUAGGAAAUGGAAUAGGUUCCUUUUAUUCCCAUUCCCAUUUUCUAUUCUAGUGUUUCAAAUAUUACAUAAUUCUUUUUUAACUCUUUUGAAGUGAAAAAGUGAUAAAAGUAGAGGAAAAUGGAAGAGAAGGAAAUACAAGAAAGAGGGAAAAGGAAUAAAGAAAGAGAAAAGAAGAAGACAAGAUAACAAAGAAGGAUAACAAAUACUAACUUUUAAGUCUAAUACUAAUUAACUUUCAUUUUUUUUUCUCUUUUUUCUCUUUAUUCAUUUAUUAAUGUAUAAGUAAAGAAUAAAAAGUGUCUUUGAUAUGCAGGAAUUGAAAUAUGAUAGGAAUAUUGGAUGACAUGUAUUAUGUAAAAAAAAAAAAUCAUUUUUUUGGUAAUAAUUUUUUUUAUUAUUGUUAUUUUUUAUUUUUAAGAAAAAGUGUGUUUUCGUAUAGUUGUGUAAAAAUAAUUACAAAAUAGGAACUUUGUAAAAAUAAUUCAAGUUUUAUGUAUUCAUCCAGUCAAAGGUAGCAUUUAUAUAAUUAAAAUGUAGUAUUUGAAUUAUCAAAGAUGUAAUUUGACCAAAAAGUGCAUGAAAUGUUAAUUAUUUUUAGAUAACUACUUGAAAUUUGUAUUUUAUAAACUAGAGUUCCUAUUUUGUGGUUUUUUCAUAUAAAUGUAUGGAAACAUGCUUUUUUUCUUUUUUUUUACUUCUUAUUUCCAUUUUUGAAUAAUUCAAAUGUAAUAAUGAUUGGAAAAUAGAAUGGAUUUCCUAUUCCUAUUUCAUAUUCUAAUGUUUCAAACAGGCCCUAAGAAUUAACAAAUAUAAUAUCAUGAUUAUGUUAUACCUCUUCAAUGUUCUUGUUAAAAGUCUCCUUGUAACAUUUGAAGAUGGCCUUGAGAUGAGGCUUGCUUCUUGUUGCUAGAAUCCUUACAGUCUCUUCAUCUUUGAAUAGCUUCUUCUUUUCACCAUAUCUAUUAAUGGCUAUACCAAGUUUUAUAGCCUCUGAUCUAACUGCCACAUCAUUAAUUCAUGAUCCUUCAUAUCUAUAAGUACUUACAAGUGCUACCAAAAGCUGUUGAUACAAGAAGCAAUUUUUCAUUACAUUAUUUCAUGUUGAUAAUAAUAUUUGUUGCAUGGUUUCUUUAUGUGGUCAUGAGUUUUUAGUUACCAUUAGAGAGAAUGUGUUUGAUUAAAGCUCUCCAAAAUCAAAGAUGUGGGAGGGAAAGAACAAUGUUUGGUUGGUGGGCAAAAUGGGCUUUCAAGUUUUAAAUUGCGAUAUGUAAUGGGCUAGGUUUGGCAAGAAGAAGACUUAGAGGGUAUUUGUCUUUUUAGUUUUUGGUUGAAAAAAAUUUGCUUUCAGACUUUAAGUUGUUUGUUUUUCUACUUUUCGUCACUUAUUAUAAAUUUUUAAGUGAAUAGAAAAAGCUAAAAUUUGGCUGAAUAGAAAAAGCCAAAAUAUUUGGCUUUUCUAAAUGGAAAAAGUACUAUGUUGUUUUCCUUUCUUUUUUAAUACUUAAUAGAAAUAAAAUAUUACAAAAACAAACAACCUAAUACUUAAUAAUAUUAAGCACUAUUUAGUUUUAAUCUAUAUUUAAAAUUAAGCUAAAAAAACAAAAAACACCUUAUGCCUUAUGGUCCAUAAAUGAACUUCAAAUUGGAUCCAACAUAUGAUAAAGCUUGAUGAUAUAAAUAUAUAAAUGAAUUUCAAUAGAGGAAAAAUUGAGUUAAGAGACACUUAGGAAAUUUGUCCAAAAUUAUCAACCUAACUAAACACUCACAAAAACAUAAAUACUUGUAUUACUUUAUCAUAAAGUUUCCUCUAUUGUUUUUGGGUCUAGAAAAAUCAUCAAAGAAUUUCUGGACAAGGUGUAACUAGAUGUUGCCGAUGCCUAUGGAGUUGUGCUUGUAGAGAUGAGUCUCAAGUAGAGAAGGAGCAUUGCUAAAGAACAAGUGAGAAUGAUGUGCUCUCCAUAUGUCUUCUAAGUGUUUUUUAUCUUUAAAAAAACUUAAAAAUAAAUAAAACCCGAGAUGGAAUGGUCAUAUGAGUUUUAGGUAAUGCUAGAAGCAAUAUUUUCUCGGUAUUCAAACAACUGUAUCUAACCUAGAGGUUGAUUGAUUGACUUCGGAAUAGAUAGUUGCAGCACCUUGAACUCAGAAUCGAUCCAAUCGUAGCGUUUGGAGAAGAAGUUGUGUAAACAGCCUUCGGGUGAUAAUGGGCUGGACUGAGCCAGGGCCAGCCCAGUUUUUGAACAAUUCGGCUGUGAGUGGGUUGCUUUCUUGUCAUAAGCCCUUGCUCUUCCCAUGGUUCCAUCUGGAUCAAAUCUCCGUUAAGAUUGAGGGUUAAUUUCACUCCCCACGUUAUAUUUGGACUAAAUAUAUCUUACCAUCGUUAAUUUGAAAUUCCGUCAAAUAUUUCAGAUAUUCUUUUCAUUUAUUAUUUUUAUUCAUUUCUUAUUUGAUUCAAAAUUAGAGAAAUAUCUAUUGAAAUUUCAAAAUUUUGAUGACUAAAUAUAUUUAGUACAAAGUUGAAGGUAAAUUGUGAAAAUUUUGCAAACGCACUCUUGAUUAUGUUUGACAAUAGUUGUAGGAAGUGUUUUUAGCCUAAAAAGUGUUUUUGAAAAAAAAUUAGAUGAUUGGUAAAAUUUAGGAAACACUUCUAAAAAUAUGAAAAAUCACUUGUAGUAUUGAAAAGUCACUUGUAAUAUUUUUUAGAGAAACACUUGAUAAAUGAUUUUUGUAAAAAUACUUCCAAAGAAAACACUUCCACUAAAAAGACGGAGUAAAAACACUAUCAAACACACUUUAAGAGCGUAUUUAACAGUGUUUCUUCUUGAAGUGUUUUUAUUAAAAGUGUUUUAUUUACAAGUGGUUUUAAGUGAUUUUUUAAUUUUUUUUGGAAGUGUUUUCUAAUUUUUUUCAAACAAUUGAUUUUUCUUCAAAAAAAGUUUUCUUUUUUCUUUUUAUACUAAAAGUGCUUUGUAGAAACAUUAUCAAACAAACUCUUAAGUUACCUUUCAAAUAUGACCAAGUUGCUUUCUAAAUAUAAUCAUCUUGCAUAAUUAUGAUCAUGUAAUUCUUGAUUGGUUCAUUAACAUGACUAUAUAUAUUACCUCUCACAGUAUACUAACCAACACUGCACCAUAUAAAACUCCAUUAUUGAGAAAAAGACACAAUUAUAGGACUUUCUAAGAGUCCAACUAAUGGGGACAAAAAAAAGUUCGACACUCCAAUUGUAGAAGAGUAGGCUCAAAAGAUCAUUUGCAAUUGCAUAUCCUUAGGCCCAAACAUCAUUUAUGGAGAAAAUAUAUGUUAGAAAGAAAGACAAAUGCCAUCUUUUUAAGAAAUAAUUAGUCAAAAUGCUCCAAUAAAUUAAUAAGAUAGAAAUGCUCUUUACUUGAUAAAAAAUUGCAUAAUAUCUCACUAAUCUAAGUCAAAUUUUAUUUUCAAAUAAAACAACUAAAAAUAAUGCUCAUAUACUUCAAAUAUAGUUUGAUGCAAAAAGGAAAAAAAGAAAAAAAAAACGUUACUAAAAGUAGUACUAACCUGGCGUUCGAUGCCUUCAACUCGGGAAGCAACGUCUUCCUUGAUGGAUUCACCGUAGAGGGACUGGUAUGCUUUCCUAGCUCCCAAGAGCUCGUCUGAUGAUCUGGUGCAUGCAAGUUCAAUGAGUAAGCCAUAUGCUUGAGGGCGUCCGUCCAAAGCCUUCCUUGCCAUGCGAGCAUCUCUUUCCCAAGGAUGCAUGGUCCAUUGCCCUGGACUGGUAUGCUUACUUGUCAUAAGCCCUUGCUCUACCCAUGGUUCCAUCUGGAUCAAACCUCCGUUAAGAUUGAGGAUUAAUUUCACUCGCCACAUUAUAUUUGGACUAAAUAUAUCUUACCAUCGUUAAUUUCAAAUUCCAUCAAAUAUUUCUCAUAACCUUUUCAUUUAUUAUUUUUACUCAUUUCUUAUUUGAUUCAAAAUUAGAGAAAUAUCUAUUGAAACUCAAAAUUUUGAUGACUAAAUAUAUUUAGUACAAAGUUGAAGGUCGAUUGUGAAAUUUUCGUAUAUAAUUUUGAUUAAACAAUAUAUGUGGAAUCAUAUAAAGAUGAGAAAUUCUCUUAGCCUACAACUAUAAAGAGCCAUAUCAAUAUAAUAAAUUUUCAUAACCCAAAACUAUUAUCGUAUAAAUUUAAAAUUCAUUUAAGUUGUUCAUUCAUUUCUUGGACUCUUUUGGAACUCUUCUUAAUUUCUCUAUGGUUCCUUGGAAAUAAUAUCUACAUCUAAAAGUUUUAGAAAAAAAGUGUUAACAUUUCCAUGUUUCUCAAUAGGGUGUUGUGCAUCCAAAGGAGUAAAAAUUCCAAUUUAGUGUAAUAUAAUCAAAUGAAAAAAAUAUAAUAAUUUAUUCACAUUAUACAUUAACAAAAACUUUAAUCAUACAAAAAAUUAAAUUAACUAGGUUUGUCAAAUUUUCUAUUAUAAUCAUCUAUAUCGUUAAAUAUUCCAAUUUUUUUUGCAUAAUAUGAACUCUUCAAUUUAUCAUCCAACAAUUUAUUCAAAUAUACAUUUGAUAUCAUUUAAUCAUUAUAUAUAAAUCUUCAAUCCAAAUGCAUAUUGAUGCAACUGUUUAUAGAUAAUUAAAUAAUACAUUGUUGUUCUUGAGCUUUCACUAAAAGAUACGUAUUUGUACUCAAGUACUCUCCCAUUGGGAGUCUCCUUAGGGUAAAUUAGUGUCAAUGUGAUAAUUCUUGUACCACUUAAUAUCAUUGUGCAGAUAACCCUACUAGGGAGCAAAUGACUCUACCAAAAUAAAAUAGAUAUAGAUAAAACAUUUUUCUCACCCAAAAACUCCUUGAUGGAGCUUACACAUGAGAAAAAAUGGGCAAGUGAAGUAGAUGAUUUAGGAAUCCAUCUACUGUAGAUAAGUUUGUCCAAAAGUCAACACAAAUUAGCUCUUGUAUAAAGAUGUAUACGAACUAAAGCUCAUAAUGAAUUCAGUCAUGUCUCAUGUACUAGUCAACACGAUCUAGGUGAACAUAAGAAUCAAGCUAUGGCCGAAUUCUCACCAUCAUGAACUUACUAGAAGACAAAAAUCGUUGCUAAGAUUCUCCUUUAAACAGUUAAACUAAUAAAAUAGAGACACGUGUAAAGAAGUGAAACAUAAAAAUGGAAUAAGAGAGAGAAAAAGGAAUCAUAAAAUAAUGAUCACAAUAGGCAUAACACUUGACAUUAAAGAAGACCCUUCAAAUUCCAUCUUUGACCUUGCAAUCCCAACCUCUAGCUACAAUCCAAGGCAAGGUUAAGUCCACCAUCAAAGUGAACCCGAUCAAGGUAUGGAGUCAAAAAAAUGGAGUCUGGGUCAUAAUUUAUGUAAGGGAAAAAAGAAUUUGGAUGUAUUAUACUCUUCAUAUGCAAGUCGGGGGAUUAUUUUUCUGUUGAACACUUGGCAUGAAAACUUAUCUUUGAAUCCCUUAAUAAUUCUUUUUGUUUCAAUCACAUAAUGUUACAUCAUUUUUCUUGGAUAAAUAAGAUAUAUUUGCACUCACUACUACAAAAAUAAUAUAUGAUGUCACUAUUUAUGGUGUCGCAUUUAAAAUAAUGACACCAUUGAACUUAAAAUUUAUAAAGGUGACACAUCAUAUAAAAAAUCUUCAAUUAGGAUAGUUAGAUGAUGCUAAUUUCAGAUUUACGGUGUCAUUUUUUGGAAGUGACACCAUAUGAAAUAAAAAGUUUUAAAUUUUAUAACUUAAUGGGCCCUUUUUAAAAAUAGUGAGUAGGAACAAUUUAUGAAAAGUCCAUUGUUUCCAUAGAUACAUUAACUAAUAUAAAAGAUCUUAUUGCUUAACCCUAACCAUUGUUUUCUUCUCCUUCUUCUCACACCCAUGGUCGACACACCCAUAAUUGAUAUUCUUUGGUUCGUAAAAUCUCGGGUAAGUCAAAAUCUCUUAUCUACCAUCUUCAUUUUUUUUAUUAAUGCAAAAAACUUUGUUAGUAUAAUUGUUUUUUAUCUCUUGAUUUAGUAUAUCUAUGAUGUGGGUUUUGUAAAUGGUGUUUUUUAUCGAGUUCCAGGGAAGUAAAAACUAGGUUUAACAUUCUAACAUAUUUUUUGUUUCAUUGCUAAUAAGCCCCAAAACAAAUGAAAACAAGAAAAAUGAAUUAUUUUUAAAAAUUUUGUCUAAUUGAGAAUGAGAGAUACACUAGUUUGUAGUAAUUUUUCGCAUGAAAUAGUAUUUUAUUGAAGACUUGACUAUAUUUGAUACUUUUUUCCACCGUGCUAGGAGCUUUUUGGUGAAGUCUAACAAUAGAGAUUGACAUCUACUACAAGAUGAUACUCAAUUAAUCCAAAAGCACUUAAGUUAUUUAGGGUUUUCUUCGGUUAACCUAAGAAAACAUUCCCACUUUCUUUGUAUUGAGUCACCUAAAUAGAAUAGAAUAUUGGGUAUCAGAGUCGUAAAGGGUAUUAUAAAUAUGACUUUUUUUUUAGAGUCACCUACAUGGAAUGAAUUAUUGGUAGGUGAACAAAAUAUUGGGGUGAUAGUAAUAGUUGAAUUAGUAAAUGGAAGAUAAGUGUAUGUUGCUUUGUUUAUUCUAUAAAAACAAUAAUUUUAGUAGUUGAAAUUUACAUGCUUUGUUGUUUUAUAAAAACAAUAAUUUUAGUAUUUGAAAUUUUAAAAUGUGAAUGAAAUGCCUGAAAAUAUGUUUUGAAAAAUAGGAUAGUAAUAAAUGGAAAAUAACUCAUUUCCUAAAAAUAUUUUGAUAAAUUAAAAUAAUAUGUGGUUAAAAUAUAUUUUUGUGAAAGUAUUUAAAAAUGAAUCAAAAUAUUAAUAAUUGUUAUUUUGUUUGAAAAUAAUUUAGGAAUAUAAAAUAAUAUUGGGGAUAAUUUUUGAGUUUAAAUUGAGUUAUAAAUGGUUAAUUUUUUUAGGACUGUCCUUUUUGAAAAUAAUCCAAUGAUAAUUUUUUUAAAUAAGAAUGUUGAAAAUAAUUUUAAAAAUAAAAUUUUGUUGGUAAUGAUUUUUCUAAAAGUAUUUUAGGCAUAAAUGGAAAUUUCUUGUAUGAAAAUAAGAGAAUUUAUAUAUAUAUAUAUAUAUAUAUAUAUAUAUAAUAGACAUAAAAAUAGACUUCUUUGAUAUUUAAUAAACAAGUGAAUUUUUCUCUAAAAAAAGAAUAAAAUAAGAAUUUCUCUAUAUAAUAAAAUAAUUUAUAUAUGAGAUAGUUUUCAAUAAGAAAGUUUUGAAAAUAAAUUUGGGAUAAAAUAUUUUUUAGUAAGUUUUGUUUAGAUAAUUCAAGAAUAAAGUGAUUUAUUAACUUUUCUUAAAAAAUAACAUUCUUCUUUCUUUUUUGAAUUGAUCAAUUUUUUUAGAAAUAAAAUUGUUAGAUUCUAUUUUUUGUAAAUUUUUAAGAAAUUCUAAAAAAUUCUUUAAAAAUGAAAUGACCUUUCUACCACAUUCCUUGUAAUAAAUAAUUGGUUUUUUUUUUUAUACAUAUUGUAAAGUAAAAAAAAAAAGUCUUUGUUUAGUUAACCUAAAAAGACAUUCCUACUUUUCUUUGCAUUGAGAGUCACCUAAAUGGAAUAAAAUAUUCAAUAUCAUAGGAGAGUAAAAAGUAUUGUAGAAAUGAUUUUGUUGAGAGAGUUAUCUAAAUGGAAUGAGAUAUUGGUAGGUGAAUAAAAUAUUAUGGUGAUUGUAAUAGUUGACUUAGUGAGUGGAGGAGAAGUGUAUGCUUCUUUGUUUAUUCUAUAAAAACAAUAAUUUUAAUAGUUGAAAAUGUGUAUGAGAUGACUGAAAAUAUUUUUUGAAAAAUAAGAAAAUAAUAAAUGGAUAAUAGCUCAUUUCCUAAAAAUCUUUUGAUAAAUUAAAAUAACUUGCAGUUAAAAUAUAUUCUUAUGAAAGUAUUUAAAAAUGAACCAAUAUAUUAAUAAUUGUUAUUUUGUUUAAAAAUAAUUUAAUAGUAAAAAAAUAAUACUAAGUUCAAAUAUGACUACUUUGUUAUGAGAUUCAUUAAAGAAAUAAUUGUUGAUUUUACAGUUAUUGCAUCAAAGGUUUUACUCGUUUAAUGAAUUGUACAUAAUUUCAUACUUUCAAUUAUUGUGAUAUUAAUGUUAUUCUCAUUUGAUUUUAGUUUGAUGACAAAUAAAACAUAUUCUCAAGUAGAAUUUGAUGAAAUUAGAGAAAAAUAGAUUACUUUUGUGUUAUAACUAAUCAUGAAUCAUAUUGAUGUAUUGUGAUCAUUCAUGGUAAGUCCCUUAGUUGUUAUAUGAUUGAAUUUUCCAUUGAUAUUGUAUAACAUUACUUAUUCUUUACGAACUAUUUUUAUACCAAAAUGAGAAAAAGGAAAAAGAAAAAGAAAACAUUAGUAGUUAGAUUUGUUUAUUGUUUAUAGCAUCACAUUUUUAUUUUCAAUAAGAACUCUAAAACUCAUUAAACUAUGAAAUGCAGGUAUACACUCUUGGGAGGACAAUAUGAAGAAUAAAAAGAAAGGAGAAAGAGGCAACAAGAUUUAGGUUUUUAGAUAUGACUCUUAUGUCAUACAUUAUAGGACAUAAAUGUUACUUUAUUUGGAAUUGAGAAUUUUGGGUUUUUGGAUGCAACUCUUGUGUCAUUUUAUGGUUAGCCAGUUUUAUGCAUAUGAAAUGCAAGUAUACAUGAAUGUUGGGAAGCUUAACAUUUCUAAAUCAUGUUUUAAUGAGUAUUCACUUUUCUUUUUUAGUUUUGGUGGGUUUGAUGUGUUUGAUGUACUAUCAUUUUGUGAACAUUUGAUAUACAAAUAUUAUUGGAUGAUGUAAUAUGUUACAAAUUAAUUCAUAAGCAUUAUGAAAAUAUAAGUUAAAUGUAAUAUGAUUAUUAUAUUUAUGGACAAUUUACACAGGUUAGUUUUAUUUAUUAAUAGGCAUUACAAAAAAUCUACAAACUAAUCAACAAAAAACAACCAUAUCUUCCAUAAUCAUUUACAAUGAUGUGACACCAUAAAUUAAAGGUGAUACAUUUAACGUGACACUAUAACUCAAAGAUGAUGCAUUUAAUAUGACACCUUAUAUAUCUCAUACAACUCUAUAUCAAAUUAAGCAUCACUAAAAAUAUAUGGUGUCUCUUCUGAAUGUGUCACCAUUUAUCUGCUUUAGUGUCGCUUCCAAAUACGUCACCAAUUGAUACCCUCUAUGGUGUCAGUGGAUAAGGUGACGCUAUGUUGUAGUGACACCCUAUGUUUAUAGUGACUUAUUAUAAAUGUCACCAUAUAUCUUUUUCCUUGUAGUGACUCUUGGAUAUACUACUGGUUUCUACUUUCAAAAAUUUAUUAAGAGCAAUGAAUUUCUUUUUAUUUACUUUUUAAAAAAGAAAAAUCCUAAGAUAUAAUACAAAAUCUAAGACUAUUAGGGGUGUGAUGGUUGGUUGGGUAAUGGUUGCUAUGCUGAUAGGUGAUGAGCUUCCCUCAUGGCUCUCAAUUAUAUAUGUGAUUUCAAGUAAUGAUUGUUUCUAUAUUGAUUUAGGGGAGAGUUGUAUUUAUAGGUUGUUAUAUGGGAAAUAUAUGGUUUUGGAAACCCAUAUAACUGAAAUAUGAGAUUUGUCUGGUAAUGAGAAAAAUAUUAUGUGUUUCAUGCACUAUAUACUAUUUAUAUUUGUAUUUUUGAAAUUCCCCUCCAUACCUCCCUAUCAGCAACCAUCACCAGUCAAUCCCACUGUCACACGCAACAUGUUUCGCAUUGCCCCUUGUUUCUUUCCUUCUUUAACCCACCCCACCUCAUCUAUUUUUAUUUUUUUUAUUUUUCUAUUUUAUACUUUUAAGUUAAAAAUAAAAUAAAAAAAUAACUGUCUUAAAGUAAAAUAAUUGGAAGAAAAAACGAAGAGAGAAAAAAAUAAAAUUCUAAGAAAUAAACUAAAAAGAUGAAAAAAAAAAAAAAGAAUUCUAAGAAAGAAUUUGACACUAGGAUUUAUAUAUUAUUGUUUUUAUAAUUUAAUUUUAAUAAAUAUAGAUAUAAAUAUCUAUGGAAAAAAUAAAUUAUUUUUAAUUAUUUUAUUUUUAAAUUUCAUUUAAUUGGUUGUUAAAAAUAAAUAAAAAAUUAUAAAUCAAGAUGCAAUAAGUGUAUCAUCAUUUAUUUUAUAUCAUUAAAUAUAUUUGAAUUAAAUAUAUUAUAAUUUUAAUAUUAAAUACAUCUUCAAGUUGGAAAUAUUAUUACCAUAUGUUAUAAUAUUGUUGUCAAAUAAUAUAUUAUUAUAAAUGUAUAACUAUUUAUAUGUAUUUGCUAUGACAAUGACAUUUCUUUUUUUGUUAUCUUAAAAAAAGACGUUUCAACUUGAAUUGUACCAAAAUGCAAAAGAAUAAAAAACCAAUAGGCCAAAAAUGUAUAGACGCGUUGCAUAUUGGCCAAGAUUCAUAGAUAGUCAAGUUCCAAACCGAUUUAUAUCACAAUCAACGUAACAAAAACUACCUAAUGGCAUUAUACAAAGGUUAAAAAAAUGGCAAUAAGGCAUAUAUAGUCAAAAGAAAAACAGGUAAGCCAGCCAAGCUUAGCACUUUGGACCUGAAAAUUCAACCGCUAUGCUAAAUUUGAACAGGUUUUACAGGUAGGAGCAUGAAUGACCUACCUUCAUGUCCCCAUCAUUCACCCAUUUAUGGCAUAAAACACAAUAGUAAUGCCUAACUGUUAUAUAUCUAUCAAUUUCCAUAUUGUAUGGGUAUGGGUAUGGUGAUGUGAGGAUGAUGAACUCCAUCGUCCCCCCAACUGAUCAUUUGAUGCUGGUGGGAUUAACAUCUGUAAGUGUGUCUGCUUGUAGGUCUUGAUCAGCGUGAAGGACCUGAAAAAGGGCAUCCAAUGGGGGUAAUGAAGGAGCGGGGGUUCCAAACAAUCAAUGACAUAUGUGCAGGCAGACACAAGCCUUUAGGUGCUACCUUAAGGGACCUUAGGUACUACCUUAGUUAAAGUUGGGUUCUACCUUUCCCAAGCCUCGAACCUUCCUUUGUGACCAUUAGACCAUACCAUUAUGUGAUUCUUUUGUGUGGUCAAGUCGUUCACCUUUGGUUUUUUGGGACUAUACCUUAGGUACUACCUUAAGGGACCUUAGGUACUACCUUAGUUAAAGUUGGGGUCUACAUUUCCCAACCCUCGAACCUUCCUUUGUGACCCUUAGACUAUGUCAUUAUGUGAUUCUCUUGUGUGGUCAAGUGAUUCACCUUUGGUUUUUUAGGACUGUACCUUAGGUACUACCUUAAUAGCCCUUAGGUACUACCUUAAUGUACCUUAGGUACUACCUUAAGGGACCUUAGGUACUACCUUAGUUAAAGUUGGGUUCUACCUUUCCCAAGCCUCGGACCUUCCUUUGUGACCAUUAGACCAUGCCAUUAUGUCAUUCUCUUGUGUGGUCAAGUCGUUCACCUUUGGCUUUUUGGGACUAUACCUUAGGUACUACCUUAAUAGCCCUUAAGUACUACCUUAAUCAACUUUAGGUACUACCUUAGUUAAAGUUGCAGUCUACAUUUCCUAACCCUCGGACCUUCCUUUGUGACCCUUAGACCAUGCCAUUAUGUGAUUCUCUUGUGUGGUCAAGUGGUUCACCUUUGGUUUUUUGGGACGGUACCUUAGGUACUACCUUAGUUAAAGUUGAGUUCUACCUUUCCCAAGCCUCGGACCUUUCUUUGUGACCCAUAGACAAUGUCAUUAUGUGAUUCUCUUGUGUGGUCAAGUAAUUCACAUUUGGUUUUUAAAAACAAAUGAGAGAAAUGACGUCCCAGCGAUUCCAUUGUUGCAAUGGGAUUGUGGCAUUGUGCUGAUAAAAUAUGGUUCGAUGGUACCAUUUAUAAUAAUUUGCCCUUAAUCAUACAUAUAUUAUCCGUUUUGGAUUUAAAAAAACCUUUAUAACUUUAAAAAAUAUUUAUAUAUUAAAAAUGACUUAUACUAUUAAAAACUUUUUCCCUUGUCGAUUAAAUUACUCAAAAAAAUAUUUAUAUAUGUAAAUUAUUGAAUUAUAAUUCCAACUAAAUACUAUAUUGAGUUAGGCCUCUUAAAAUCUUUUAUGAUUUUGAAUCUAUUUAAAAAUGAUUUUGGAAAGGUGAAAAAUGUUUUUUGAAAAUAAUUUUAAAAAAUUUAGAAAAUUAAAUUUUUUUGAUAAUUAAUUGAUAAACUAUUAUUUCAAAAAUAUAUUUUUAUAUAAUAAAUUAUUAAUUUUAUUUAUUUGUUUAUAUUCAAAUAUUUAGGAAUUAGAUAAAAGCAUCUUUAAUUAAAAGUAUUUGACCAAAAUCCCUUCAACCGGUGUUCCACCCUAGACCCUGUGGCGGCUUCUCUUUUUCGGUAUGCGAUUCACCAGACCAUCGGAUAUUCUAAUCUCACACUCAAUUCCAUUCCUGCCCAAACAUUCCUGCCCGUCACACACUCGUCUUUCCAUGCUAUACACAGAUGGCGGCACAUUUUGAUUGGGUCACCCAACUACUGCUGGGUGAUGGUAUCAUCUACAAAUUUCAAGACGCAAAACCCUCUCCCUAACACGUACCCGCGAGGCUGCGCCUCCCUCUCCUUCGCUGCGACGCCAUUGCAGUAGGCGGCCACCUUUCCCUCUCUCUAAUCAAUGGAAUCGCUAUGCUUCUCUACCUUUCCAAACACCCGAGCUUAAGCAUCUGGAGACAAAAGAGACUAAAAACUAGAGUUUCAGCUACCGAAGGAAAUGAUGUAAAAUUGGUUAUAUAGGAGUUUUUAGUGCAUUAAGUUGUUUUGGUUUAAGUUAGUAAUUUUAUUCCAUUAAUCCUGAUUGAGGACUUUUUGUAUUUUUUUGUGACCUUCACUCCAUUACACACACAUAAGAAGUAUAGAAAGGUUCAUAAAAGCUAUUGACUUUAAACAAACGACAUAACAGACUUUAGGGUAUUUAAGUUGAGUGUUUUUAAGAUAACUGUUUUAGAAAUUCUUGAUCGAGCGCAAAAACGCUCCUUGAGAUCGCUCAUCAUUGUGCAUGAGCAUUGACAAGGGGCACUUAAGCAGUAGAAGCACUCAAGCACACUUAUUCAACACUCAAACAUUUGGGUUUGGGUUUUCCAAAAAUUAAGUCCUAGACAUGAGAUUUGGCCGUAUAGGUUCUAGGACAUAAGUCUUAGAGUAACUUCCACUAGGUAAAUUUGUGUACCAUUUUUCUAUGUCUAACUGAAACCAGUAAUUAGGAUGCGAGGGAAAUGGAUUCAUGCCCCCAAAUCUGAAUAGGCCAGAAAAGGAGUAAAAUAAUGAAUAUCAAGCUAACACUCUUAUUUACCAGAAUAAAUUAUGAGUUAAUUACUUCCAAAAAGAGCUAGUUUGCAAUGUAUAGUCAUCUAUAAUAGGCUAAGAUUGUGCGGUGAGAAUCAAAUUCUUGCUCCAAUUAAGGUCAUCAAGAAGUCCUUGUAGCCCCCUGAUGUUUUGCCUACCACUGCAUCAUCAAGACUUACCUUGUUCAUGUUGAAAUACUCUUCUUUGAUCUUCAUCAUGUCAAUUUCCACUCGAGCCAAAAUGGCUCUUGCUAAUGAAUGAACA
rnacentral:lncRNA from 1 species